rnacentral:lncRNA from 1 species
UAGUAAUAUGUCCUGCCUCCAUCUGUCUCUGCACUGAGGUUUUCUACCUCAAAUAGACUACAACCUUCAACUCUCUGAUAUUACAUAAAUAAGGUGUGCUAUCUCUCUCAAUACGAAAAUCCAGGAUUUGAAUUGGUCAGUCAUUUCAAAUUGGGCCACCUUGCCCCAGAGGAAAGGUUAGAUGUGCUAUAGCAAAGUGAUCUGUGAUCGAGCAUGUCAUUAUGUGUGUGCAACGAGGAUGUGUCUAUACUACUGAAAGGUUGAACCAUAGCCUCAGAACUGGGAUUUAAGAUUGAAAUUCAAGUUGAAAGCUUCUCAGUGCAUGUAUUUUAACUAAGUAUUUUUCCAAUGCGGAGUUCUUUCUCAUUUUAUCCCCUGAAAUUCUUUUUACUGUCAUUAAAACACCAAUUUUUUACUUCAAAGUUUCUCCUUUUCAUUUGGAAUCCUUGACAGUCUAUCAGUCAUCUUUCAUGUGUGAUGUGAACUAAAAUUUUCUCAUAAUCUUAUCAUGCUAGAAAAUUUGCAUGUUAAAAUAUCUUCUUGCUCCUCGAUGUUCUCUUAGCUGAUCAUAUAAGUCCUUUUAAUCUUAACAAGGCAGGUAGAGGAUACGGUAGUCUUAUUCUUGCCAUACUAGGAACUACUUUUGGUGCACUUGAUCGAAUAUGGAAUAUUUGAUUGUCUUUUUUCCUUCGUAAAUGCACCUCUGGAAGCAAUGUUCCUAAGAAUCUGGGUCAGUGCUUUGGAGAAUCCAUGUUGAUCUCAAUGAUUGUGCAGUGGUUUUAAAUUUGGACACCUGAAUAUCACCAGUAAUAUUAUGCUUUGAUGUCUGAAGGUCCUAUUAGAAAGCAAAAUGGGGUGGGAUUACUGUAUUGGGCUGUAAAAGCUAAGACCAUCAAAAUUUGUAAGAUGCAGAAGAUAAUAAUAGGUGCCAAACUGACCGGUUCUUAGGGUUCUUUAUUGUGGAUGCAGGCACUGCUUGCUGAUUUUGAAGUCUCUGAAGGCAUAUAUUUAAGAGCUCACAUCGAAUAUACCUGAUUCANNNNNNNNNNNNNNNNNNNNNNNNNNNNNNNNNNNNNNNNNNNNNNNNNNNNNNNNNNNNNNNNNNNNNNNNNNNNNNNNNNNNNNNNNNNNNNNNNNNNNNNNNNNNNNNNNNNNNNNNNNNNNNNNNNNNNNNNNNNNNNNNNNNNNNNNNNNNNNNNNNNNNNNNNNNNNNNNNNNNNNNNNNNNNNNNNNNNNNNNNNNNNNNNNNNNNNNNNNNNNNNNNNNNNNNNNNNNNNNNNNNNNNNNNNNNNNNNNNNNNNNNNNNNNNNNNNNNNNNNNNNNNNNNNNNNNNNNNNNNNNNNNNNNNNNNNNNNNNNNNNNNNNNNNNNNNNNNNNNNNNNNNNNNNNNNNNNNNNNNNNNNNNNNNNNNNNNNNNNNNNNNNNNNNNNNNNNNNNNNNNNNNNNNNNNNNNNNNNNNNNNNNNNNNNNNNNNNNNNNNNNNNNNNNNNNNNNNNNNNNNNNNNNNNNNNNNNNNNNNNNNNNNNNNNNNNNNNNNNNNNNNNNNNNNNNNNNNNNNNNNNNNNNNNNNNNNNNNNNNNNNNNNNNNNNNNNNNNNNNNNNNNNNNNNNNNNNNNNNNNNNNNNNNNNNNNNNNNNNNNNNNNNNNNNNNNNNNNNNNNNNNNNNNNNNNNNNNNNNNNNNNNGACACGUCCGAACCAGUAAUGCUAAAUCAAGUUUAGAAGUUCUUGUUGCUGAUCUAAAAUUUUUAAGGGACCAAGUGACAAUCAUACAGGUAAGUUGGAAUUUUUUGGGAACUUGGAGGUCCCUGUUUGUUUCAAGCUGUUUACUGUGUCAGCUUGGGGUAAGUCUAUCGUUGUUGAACUACUGUUGCUGUGGUUUUUGUAAUGGGCUUGAGGCUAUAUAUUGGGGAGGCAUGUUAACUUGUGACUGACCUAGAGGGUAGUAAUAUCGCACUUAUGUGAACUUGAAAAAAUUUGAAGGUUGUUGUAGGACCGUAUUCUUUAGUUUUGCAACUUGAAUCAAGGUAGCACAAUGUGUACUUCUGGAGACUUUGUUCUCCCCAUUUCGACUAGAUGAAUGAAUUAUGUGUUGCUCUGUGAUUGCAAGCGUUAGAUGACAAGUGAUUUUGGUUAGGUUUAGUGAGAUUUACUGCAUGACAACAAGCUUGCCAUGUAAAACGAUUUUGAUUGAGAACCUCUUGGGCUUGAGUUUUCACUUUUUAUGUUGUGCGCUAUUUUUGAGUUGAUAUAUGGUCUAUCUGUUUUGUCUUGUUUCAGCUUGGUCAUACGUGUUAGAAAGAACUAAUCUAAAUUUGAAUUCGGGGAAAAACAUGGAGAGAUGUAUUUUUUGCCCGAUAAGGCAUUUACAUUCUUGAAUUCUUAUUUGUUGUGCUGAUGAUAUGUAUUUUUCUUUUUCCUUUGCUGAUUUUAGUUGGGUCUGGGAAUUUGAUGAUUUUGACUCCUGGAUGAAUUAAAUUAGGCAAAUGCAACAACCUGGGUUGCUCCCUUUUGUAUAAUCUUUGUUUCCUGGAGUUCCAGAUAUAUAAAUGGGAUUAUCUGGUGCUGCACAAUCAAAGAUCACUAUCAACUUUACUCCACAUCUGAUGUGAAUGGCUGUAGUUGCAAUUUUCAAGUAAUCCCAUACUUGUUCUCCAGCAAUAAUUAUUAGCUUUCUUCAUCUAUUUAUGAAGAUUCCUGGAAUGCAGUCAACUAUUCAUGCUGAAAUGUCUUCAGGUGUAAAGGUGGGGAUCUAUAUGAGCAACUUAAAGUUGUUUGCGGGGCAAACUUUUUCAGGCUAACAGUCCUAUUCCGCUUAGGCAUCCAAUGGCUUAAUGUACAGAGUAUAAACCAUAGCUUUUGUUUGCUGAAGUACUCAUUCUCAGUAUUCAUAAUUAGGUUAAUCAAAGUACAUAAUUUGUCUCAUAGAUCUUGGUAAGUCAGUCAAGUAGUAGACAUUUGGGGACUGAAACUUAGAAGGUCCGUGAUUUCCUCUAUAUUCUUGAGUGUGCUUGUCACAUACUGCAUGCUAUUUGAUUGCUUAAUUCACUUUAUCUUGCUGGAUGAGGAAUUCGUUAUUUUGUUAGAAAAGAAGUUGCUCCUCAUACUCAACAUGUGCGAGGAUCCUAUUAUUGUUUUAUGAGUGUCUUUCUUGAUCGAGUAUCUGGACGAGCAAUACUAAUCUAUGUGUAGGUUCUUGAGUGUUUGUUUUCCAUUAAGUGCUCGACUUUCCGUGUAACGUCAAAGUCAUCUUUUGAUGAUAAGCUGUCUAAACCUCUUUUGGCAGAUUGGCAAUCUAUGAAGGGAUCCUAUGGUCAGGCUCUACAGAAUCUUCACUGAGAUGCUGGGAUUACCUGAGAUUGUGGGGCUUAACUACUUAUCAUUGUUUCCCUGAUGCAUUCUUGUGAGUGAGCUAAAUUAUGCAUGGAUUUUGUUCAAGAAAGCUUGUAUAACUACAUUGGUUGUGUCUCAGUUGUAGCUUUUGUUUAUUCUUUCUGGUAGCUCAUUACACCUUUCCUCAUCUUGCUCUCUCUCUCUCUCUCUCUCUCUCUCUCUCUCUCUCUCUCUCUCUCUCUCUCUCACUUUGCUAAACUGUGGUCAUUGUUAACUUGUUAAAUAAACCUAUUUCAUCUUCAUGUCUAUCAUUCUUAUAUUUGCUGAUAAAAUGUUCUUGCCAAGCUCCUCUAAGGCCAUGGUCAAAUUUUCUUUUAAAUGGACAUCUGGGCUUUGGCAAGUCACACAUUAUUGGUGCUGCAACAGCAGCUUGUUCUCUUCAAUCCAUAUCAGCGAAAGGCUGAGCUGUUGAAUAAAUACAUUAGUACUGCUGAGCAAGUUAUAAGAGGCUUCUUUUCUACUACACUGAUGCUGAUUGAAUUCCAUUGUGCAAUCUUGCAUUAUACUUUGUUAUUUCCAGACAUUUCACAUUUUGUGCUUUCUUCUAUUGCUUUUGCAUGCAUUUACUAGAGUCUCUUCAGGUAUGCUAGCAGUCGAAAUAGGAUAACUAGCGGCAGCAAUGAGGAUCCUCCCAUAACCACUAAAGAGGCCGAGUUAAAACGGUUGAUGACUUUCUAAUGCAUGAAUGAGAGGAUCGUUUAUGGCCAUUUGAUUAAGAGAAAGAUUAAAGAAGUAAAAUAUUUGAAGAUUUUCUCUACUAAAAAUUUGGAAUUGGUGAUCAAAUGUCUACUGGAUUUCCUAUUUUGCACAUUGAUGGCAUUAAUUUUGUCAGCAAAAGGAAGAAAUUUUUGAAUAUUUGAGAGUAACGGCAGUUAGAAAAUACAGGUUCUGGAUAUAUUCUCGAAGGCAGCAGCUGCAGUUCCUUGCCUUCUCUUUUUCGAAGAAAUAAAUUCCAUUGCUCCCAAGAGGGAUAAUAAGGGGUUCACUGACCAUGUCAUCAAUCAAGUCAGUUCCUUGCACUCUUAGCACUUAUAAGGUGGUCAAGUGAAAUAUAUUCAAUGGUAUGACUCACUAAUGAUUUGUUAUUCAUUGGUGCAGUUUUUUACUAUAUUAGAUGGUGUUGAAGUUUUAACCGGUCCAUUGCUGUUUGCGCAAACAAGGUAAUGAUUUCAUCUUUCAUGGCAACAAAAAAUACACUUUUCCAAUAGCACACUAACUGUAAACUACUAUUUGAAGUUGCACAGCCAUUAUGAAUGCUUUGACUAACAUUUUCUACCAAGCCUUUAGUAUGGAGACUAUGUUAUUAACCUUUAAGGCAGACUAUAAAAUGCUAGACUUGAUUUCUACUUGAUUUAGAACUGUUUAACUUUGGAUACACGUUAUUGGAUAAACUGCAUAUGUAUCCAAGAAGGUAACAAAAGAUGGGAUUGCAUAAAUUUUCAGUUGCUGAAGUAGCCUGCAAGAAGUGUAUUAAGCUAGACCUGUGCCUCUACAACAGCAUCAAUAUUCUGAUAGUCUUGUGACAUCGAGCAUAGGGCAAUUUCUCAUAUCUGUCAUGACAUCUUUGUGGCAUGAGGUAGUCUUUUGUUUUCCUUUAGGAGUCAUGAGUCCAUCUGUCUCUUAAUAACUCCAAUUUACUUUCCUUUCUCGAGAUCCUAUUUCUUUAUUUUAUAGUUGUCUAGUUAUGUGCUUUUAGUUCUAAUCGAGUUGCAUUUGGUGUGAGGUAGUAGACCGGGACUUACUUGAUGGCGCACUUCUGAGACCUGGCAGGCUUGAACACAUCUAUUCUGUGAUUUUUCUUCAAUACAGGAGAGGCUGGAUAUCCUUAAAGUUUUAUCAAGGAAGGUAAAAAAUUAGCUUCCAUCCAUCUGCCAGCGCUUGCUUUUAGUUUAUUUCAUCUCUGACAUGGUUUGAAACAGUUUGUACAGAUCGAAAUUUAUGAGAGUACUUUGUUAAAGAACUUCAUAUCUGGAUUACUUUCUGAGAAGAUGCAUCAGAAAGAUUACAUAUGAACAGAGAAUUGUUAAAAAAGGAAAAAUAGAGAGAGAACUAGGAACAGAGUCAAUUUGAGCAGCUGAAGAUCCUGUUUAGAACUCGAGGCAUCUGACACAAUACUUUUAGAAGAAAACGUUGUAAAAGGCAUUGUGGGUUGGAUCUACAACCCGCUUGGGUGAGACUUAGUUAAGUUUCAAAAUGUGCAAUAGUAAUUCACUUUCAACCUUGGACCUUGAAACAGAUAGAUUUGACACCUACUGAUGUUGCUCAGAAAAAAAAAAUGAAAGGGCCUUUACAGCUGAUCCCAUGAAACAGGACUAGGACUUACCUUUGGGUAUCAUUUUGUAUAAACCUUUCGAAGACAUUGUCAUCCCUCUCUUUUUCUUUUCUUGAGACUAAUUAGGAAGAUAUUGCACGAAUUCAUUUAAUCCUAUUACACCAGUUCAGCAUAAUCAGGCAGUUAAAAUGGCAACAAUGGGCAUCGCUGAAGUUUUGCUAAUUGUCUGCUUCAAUGCCCUUAUGCAGCUUCCUUUGGCCAGCGACGUGGACUUGGACGCUACAGAUCAAGAUCUAAUCUAUCUAAUCAUAAUCAACGGUUCGUCAAGCUCUGCUUCCCGAUGCACAGCUGCAAGCGGAGAGAGUUAUCCAGCGCGGGAAAGACAGUAAUAACGGACUCUCUUCUGAAGUUUGCUGCUUCAAAGGCGAGCCCGUCAAUCUCAGAUGCCGAGAAGAGAAGACUCCGUACAAAUUCCUUUCAUUCUUUGAAUUCUAUCAUCUCUCCCCAAAACUACAAAUUGUGUAUCUCCAAUCAAAAAAUUCAACUGGGGAUUCUGAUAGUUGCUUAAAACGCAUCUUUGUACGUUAGUAGAUCAUUGAUUAGCAUAUUUCCUCUGAAUAGUCUACCCGGCCUCAUAGUUUACAUGACUAUUAAUUUUUGUGGAUCCAAUAAUGUCAGACGCAAAUUUUGAACAGUGAACAGCUGCUGGUGGUGAUCCCUAUGCAUUAGAAAAUCAGAGAAAGGGGGAUGAAAAGAUUGCCUUUUUGUCGCAGCUGCUAUUUCCACAGCUUCUUUGGCUUUAAGGACCGCAUUCAAAGUGAGGAGACAAUUUUUUCUACUUACCAAUAAUCGACGAAAGCUGUAAAACUCUAUCUUUAAAUCCUUUCAUCUCUAAUUAUAAUAAACUUGUGCCUCUACACAAAUGUCGUUCAUUUGAGAAACUACAAAGCGUAACAAAUCGUGGACUCAAGAUCUCAGCGUUGGCGAGGGACGUGGAAAAUUCUGAGCCUAAGUACUCCUAGCCGGGUAGAACAAUCUCUUCGGCGGGUCAAUGGUAUGGUCCACCAUCUAUUUUGAGAAACUCCAUUUUAACAAAAUUCUAAUGUAAUCUUCUACACUAUUAUGUGCACAUUGUUCGUUGUCAUUGAAUAAAAGCCUUCAAUGAACUAUGAUAUGAUAUUUGAUUAACAAAAUUCAUCGGUACUUUGGCAGUGAGUCUUUAUGUGAAUAUGCUUUUUUUUAUUUCUUUCUUUUGUUCUUGGGCUUGAAAGAGUCUUUAUGAAACUAUGGUCUAAUCAAAGUAAUUCAAAUAAAUCAUGAAUAUAUCAAGGCACAAUAGCAUGGGUGACCAGCUUAAGAAUGAGGCAACGUGAAUUGGAGAGACCACUUUUUAACUGAUUUGAUCGAAUUGGUCUUUUAUAAUUUGGAACAGUAGUCCAUUUCUCUUAACUGGUCAACAUAAGUACUAUAGAUGUCAUUGGUAGUCAAUGCACUAGGAGAAAUUAAUUCGAAGGACUUCAUCACUAUUUCUAUCAUCCGCGGAAAGUAUGCAAGUUAAAGCUGAAACCUUAAGCCCGUUAACAAACUUAGCGAGGUCCAAUCUCACACAAAGCUUACCCUGUUAUGAGUCAACUAGUUAAAGUAAUUUUGGCCCAAAUAAACUAAAAUAUAUCAAUUGUUCUAUAACAAAUCAACUAUUUGAUGUCAAACCAUACAGUUGCCUUGGCGUAUUACCUUAGAUUGGGGAGCAAAAGGAGGAGAUGCAAAAAAAAAAAAAAAAACAACAUAUUUGUAGGAUGUGUUAUAUGAGGAAUUUCCGGAGGAGAAUGAAUAAAAUAUUCCAAAAUAUUUGAAGCAACGAAUAGCUUAACUCGCUUGAAAUAAUUAGUAAAUGGAAAAUAUUUUUGUUAUCGAUAACAACUUAUGUUUUAAUAUUUUCAUGGACAAGGGAAAUAUAUAUUUCGUUCGUUCAUUUUUGUAUACAGGCACUCCUUGCUGAUUUUGAAGUCUCUGAAGGCAUAUUAGAUCGAGAUGUUCACAUGUAAUUAGGAUGAGAAAGAGACUCUCCUUCUAAAAUGCUUGCUUGGCCCAUUUAUGGAAAUGAAGAAUGUCAAUGCACAUCACUAAAUAGUAAGCCUUGUUUAUGCUCUCCACGUUACGAAAUUUUCUCAUUUAAAGGUACCGGGAACGUGAUGAUUAGGUGUUGCAUCUUGCAUGUUAUACCUUAUAAAUCUUCCUUAUACUUUAUCACGUAAAAUGGUUUGUCAUUGAAAAACGUCGGUAUUAUUUCUCAUGUUGUGCAUUAGAGGCUUUCAAAUGCUUAUCUUAAAAUGAGUAGGAAUUAUCUGCAUUUAGGUUCUAUUUAAAAAGGAAUCACUUCAGCGGAUCUUUCUCGUCCUUUGAGAAAGCGCAAGAGUAUAGGAAGAGAUUUUUUUUUGCAUGUUACUCCAGUUCAGAGCCUGGUUAAUGGUAUUGCGAAAACUGACAAAAGAAGGGUGGAGAUGUAUCUAAUUCUAGAGUUCUUUCCUUUUUUUCUUUUUUCUUUUUAAACUGUUUCACAUUGGUUGUUCUUUUUUUGGGUGAACAUUUAAUGAAGCUCAGAGCUGGUAUUAGUGUCUUGUGUAUAGAACAAAAUAAACAAUUCAUUUGUUUCAUGUGGCCCUUCAUUUAAAUAUGAGAAUGCUUUCUUGCUGAUUGAAUAUUCUUCAGAAAGCAAUAGUUAUUAGAGCAAACCUCUUAGUAGAGUUAUUUACAUGAGAGUGAAUCUAACAAACUUGGGGUAAGAAGUUAGUCUUAGAAAUUGUUAACCGCGUGUGAAGUCUAAAAAGCCAUCCUUUUCCUUAAUGCAAGAUUUAAAGGCUCUCUUAUUUCUAUCUCUUGACUAAGAAAAAGGCUAAGAUUUGGAUUGGGAUUCAAUUCCAUGGUCACCACAUCUUAUCUGCAUCUUUUCCAGCAUAUCCAUGUCCAAAGAAGAUCUAGUCUGAGGGCAACAUAUCGGUGGGUGAUCUGAGGAUUCUCAUUGACUUUGUCAUAGCUAGUAUCUGUUUGUAUGCACCCUUCUUCUUGUUUUUGGUUUCUUUUUGUAUGUUGGCUAUUUGGAAACCCUCCCAGGGCAAUCACACAUGUCGAAAACUUGUGAUGCCGAAUAGUUCCAUAUGGCUUUCAUCUAAGCGGCUAAUACCCCCUGCCUUCUUUGGACAGAGUCCUUCCCUGUCUCUUUGUUACCAGCUAUAUUGCGUAAGAGAACUUAAACUUUGGCCAUCUCAUUCUCUACUGGUUACCAUUCUCUGCAUAAAUGGUGAAUUUUACCAAUACCUUUUGCCAUCAACAAAGUUUCCUGCUCAUGUGCUAUAAUAGCCGUAUCUCUGCAGUGGACAAGAACCUGUGAGAUUAGUCCCACACGAUUAGUCCUUAGCAUCAACUAUGGGUCGCCAGGCACUCAGCCCCUCUACCAAGACCCAUCUCUCUCUCUCUCUCUCUCUCACACACACACACACACACACACACACACACACACACACACAUGCAAACACGGACAAACACAAGUACUACUAUGUGCUACCUCCAUCUUUCUUUGCACUGAGGUUUACUCCAUUAAAUAGGCUAUGACCAUGCUGACAGUACAAACAAAGGUGCGGUAUAUCUCUUAAUACGAAAAUCCAGGAUUUGAAUUGGUCAAUGAUUUCAAUUUGGGGCACCUUGAUGCAACAAUUAGUUCACCACUCCAUUCUACCACAAUGUUAUGCUCUUGUUUCCUUUCUUAUUUAUUUGAUAUGUAUACCUGCAUAAUGACUGAAGCAAACUGGCUUAUUUGCUAUAGCAAAGUGACCUGUGACUGAGGACGUCAUUAUAUGCGUGCACAAUGAGCUUGAGUUUCUAUUACAGUUGUUAAAAAAAUAUAAUUUUUUGGAUGUGAGCGUUGCGUGCGGAAGCAUGGUUUUGGUAUUAGUUAUAGUUUUUGGUUAGUGACGUGUGCAAGUGUAUGGUAUAGUUUGUAGAGGAUGGACAAGGGACAAGAUAGGAUAACUAAAGGAUAUAGGACAUGGGGAAAAUAGUUUCAUUAGUUGAACAAAAUAGUUUGAUGGAGGUACAAUAGAGAUCUUGACCUCUCAUGGUGGAGGGUUCACCUCACACACAAGGUGGAGGGUUUACCUCUCACUCACUUACAUGAUCAACAUUCAAGCCUAUUUAUAGGCGUGAAUCACCGCCAUCCUUCACCGACAUUAGUACAAAAAAUAAUAUAAAAUUACAGCUUGCUUCUUGUCUUCUUUUAUUGCGACUUCUUCCGCAUCUUCUGGUGGCUUCUCCAUUUAUCUUCAUUUUUUUAUUCUUUCGGCUGCCCAUGUACUCUAGAUCAUUCUUUCUUCAUGGUCAAGAGUCAACAAUUGUAGGCUUUCUUUCACGUUCAAAUUAGCAAGUUCACCUUCCUUCGUGCUCUCUUGAAGACUCCAGCAGCCAUUAUAAUAAUAUUUUAAUAUGUGCCCAUUCUCUUGAUCAGCGUGUGGGAGCUUCUUCACGUGUUUCUCAUGCACGUAGAUUUCCCCAGCUUGUUCUAGGUUUUUCUUUGAUGCUUCUUCACAGAGUCUUCAAGUUCAAGGAUUUAUUGAAAAUGGAUCACUAAUUUCCAACACUCCCCCUGAUUCAUUUUAGGAUAAUCCAGACUUGUGUUGUAAAGUCUCGGACAUACCUGAAAUUUUUUCUUGUAAUUUGUCCCAUGCCUUUUAUGUCGUCUUUGUUCCAUGAUCCCUUGUAUUCUCCCGUCAAAACACUUGCACUUGCCUCAAAUGUGCAUGUUUUUUCUUCAACGAUGUCCCAUACGUCUCGGAACAUCAAAAUGCAUUUAGUUGUAGUUGUUAGCUCGGGCUCUGGCUCUCUUGGCUCUCGCUCGGGCUCUGGCCUUCUUAGUUGAGGAUGGUGAGGACAAACGCCCAUAACCAUCCGAUGUGCCUAUCUCUGGCUUCACGAUCCUUUACACCUGGCUCAGUUACGAACCUGGGUGCAACUGGCUCUGAUACCAUGUUAAAAAAUUUUGGAUGUGUGUGCUGCGGAAGCAUGAUUUUGGUAUUAGUUAUAGUUUUUGGUUAGCGACGUGUGCAAGUGUAUGGUAUAGUUUGUAUUUGAUAGAGGAUGGACAAGGGACAAUAUGUGAUAGUUGGAGGAUAUAAGACACAGGAUAUGGGGGAAAAUAGUUUCAUUAGUUGGAUAAAAUAGUUUGAUAGAUCUAUGACUUCUCAUGGUGGAGGAUUUUCCCACACAAGGUGGACCUCUCACACGAUGGAGGUAUUUCCCUCUCCAUACAAUUACAUGAUCAACAUUCAAGCCUAUUUAUAGGCGUGAAUCACCGCCAUCCUUCACCGACAUUAGUACAAAAAAUAAUAUAAAAUUACAGCUUGCUUCUUGUCUUCUUUUGUUGCGACUUCUUCCGCAUCUUCUGGUGGCUUCUCCAUUUAUCUUCAUUUUUUUAUUCUUUCGGCUGCCCACGUACUCUAGAUCAUUCUUUCUUCAUGGUCAAGAGUCAACAAUUGUAGGAUUUCUUUCACGUUCAAAUUAGCAAGUUCACCUUCCUUCGUGCUCUCUUGAAGACUCCAGCAGCCAUUAUAAUAAUAUUUUAAUAUGUGCCCAUUCUCUUGAUCAGCGUGUGGGAGCUUCUUCACGUGUUUCUCAUGCACGUAGAUUUCCCCAGCUUGUUCUAGGUUUUUCUUUGAUGCUUCUUCACAGAGUCUUCAAGUUCAAGGAUUUAUUGAAAAUGGAUCACUAAUUUCCAACAAAGAUUGAAUCAUGGCCUCAGAACUGGAAUUUAAGUUUGAAAUUCAAACUGAACACUUUUCGGUGCAUGUAUUUUAACUGAGGAUACUUAAUGGGUAUCUGUCAGACUCGUGCUGCUGACGUUGAGGCUUUUCACAAAGUAAACUUGAUAUUGCGUAACCAGAUCAUAUUUUUUCAAUCCGGAGUUCUUUCUCAUUAUAUCCGCUGGAGUUCUUUGUAUUGUCUUAGAAUCCACCAAUUUUUUCCUUUGCAGUUUCUGUUUUUCAUCUGGAAUCCUCGACAAUCUAUCAUUCAUCUUUUAUAUAUGAUGUCAACUAAAUUUUUCUCAUAAUCUUGUUAUGCUAAAAAAAUAUUAUCUUAAAAAAUAUUCUUGCUCCUCGAUGCUCUCUUAGCCGAUCAUAUUACCCCUUUCUAUCUUUACAAAGCAAAUGGAGGAUAGGCUAGUUUAAUUCCUGCCAUACUAGGAACUAAUUUUGGUACGGUUGACAUGAUGUGAAAUAUCCAAUUGUCGUUUCUCCUUUGCAAAUGCACUUCUGGAAGCAAUAUUCCUAAUAAUCUAGGUUAGGGCUUUGAAGAGCCCAUGCUGAUCUCCAUAAUGGGGUGGUUUUAGAUUUGAACGCCUGAAUAUCACCAGUAAUGUUUAGCUAGUUGCUUUGGUGUCUGAAGGUCCGAUUAGAAACUGACAUGGGAUGGGAUUACUGUAUUGGGCUUAAGACCUAAGACUAUCAAAACUUUUAUGGCGCAAAAGAUAUUAGGCACCAAGCUGACUGGUUUUCAUGACUCUUUAUUUUGUAUACAGGCACUCCUUGCUGAUUUUGAAGUCUCUGAAGGCAUAUAUUCUCGAGCUCGCAUUGAAGAUACUGAUUCAGUAUGUCUAUGGCUGGGAGCAAAUGUUAUGUUGGAGUAUUCAUGUGAAGAGGACCCGAGUUUAAGCAAUGUCCCUCUCUCUCCAAUAAUGAUGUCAAGUAUCUUAUUUAUUGCAUAAAUUUAUGUUACAGGCCACACCCCGUCUACAAAAGAACUUAGAAAAUGCUAAAGCAAGUUUAGAAGUUCUUGUUGCUGAUCUACAAUUCUUAAGGGAGCAAGUAACAAUCACGUGGGUAAGUCAGAAUUAUUUGGAACUUGGAGGUCCUUGUUUAUUUCAAGCCGUUUACUAUGUCAGUUUUGGCUAAGUCUAUUGGGGUCGAACCACUGUUGUUCUAAAGUUUCUAACUGGCGUGAGGCUAUAAAUUGGGAGGACAUGUUAAUUGGUGAUAAGUUGGAGUGUGGUAGGUUUGCACGAAUGUGAACUUGAAAAAAUUCAAAGCUUGUUGUAGGACCAUAUCCUUUAGUUUAUCAUGGCAAUUAGGUUGGUGGCCCUGGGAAAUUUUCCAUUUUUUUGGGAGGGUGAAACAGCCCUUGAGAGGUGAAUUUUUAUUUGGCAGGUUACGAUUGCUCGUGUGUAUAAUUGGGAUGUUCACCAAAAGAGAAUCCGUCAAGCUGGUGUUCCUGCCAAAGACCUUUAAAGGAGUCUUUUCAACUCGGAUCAUGGUAGGAGGAUGCAUACUCCCGAAUGAGCGUAUGACUUUGAUCUCCCCAUUUUCGAUUAGGUGAAUGAAUUAUGUACUGCUCUACGAUCACAAUGGUUAAGACCGACUAUGGUUAAGACCGACUACAAGUGAUUUUGGUUAGGUUGAGUUAGAUUUACUGCAUUACACAAAGCUUGUCAUGUAAACUAUUUAGAUUGAGAACCUCUUGGGCUUGAAUUUUCACUUAUUGUGUGCAGUGUGCUAGUUUUGAGUUAAUGUUGGAUCCAUCAAUGUUUCGUGGUUUCACCUUGACUAUGUAUGUUUAGUAAGAACCAAUUUAAAUUUGAAUUCGGGGGAGAAACAUGGGCCUGCCUGGGGUCCACUGUGGAAUACGUGUCAGCAGGAGUGUUUUUGGAUCAAGUGACUUAAUGCUGUAAUUUGGUUGGUCUCUUGUUGUCAGAUCUUGAAGAUUUCCAUUAUAUUAGAGCAAUGCAGGUACAAUCUUCAAGAUCUUCAAGAUCUUGAAGAUUUCCAUUACAUAUAUCACUAAAAUCGACUUUUUUGCGACUUUUAAGUAUUUAAUGUAAGUACAUUACUAAGUCAAAUUUUCAAUUUGAGCCAAUACAGUAGUGCCAAGCUCUAAGUUCAACUCCUUUUAGAUAUUCGAUGCUCGAAACUCCCCUCAAAUCAUAGAGUAUUAAAAUUUUGGCUUGAGCUUCACCAAACCAGAAUCGAGAUAUUCAAGUUCAAGCCGGCUCGAAACAAUCAAAUUAAAUAAUGGGCUUGAGGUCAAGCUCAUUAACUUCAAAUUUUAUCCUCUACAUUUAUGUGCUUUAGGUAUACUACAUUUUCAAAUGUCUUCCCCUCUAUUUUCGUGAUUAUCAAUUAUUUUCUGAACAAAAUAAUAGAAAUUGGAUUGGAAUUGUGAUUCUCUCGAGGUUGAUCUUGACUCGAUGAAAUUCUUGGCGUAACUCCAGUCUAAGCUUGACUCAAAACCAGACUAGUUGAUUUCAAUUAAUUAUUAAGUCAAGCUUCAAUUAGUCUAAGCUCGACUCGAAACUAGACCGGUCGAUUUCAACUAAUUAUUAAGUCGAGCUUGAAUUAAUCCUAAGUUGGACUCAACUUCUACCCUACUGCUAGGCUCGUAAAGUCCAAUAUAUGUAUGAGGACUUUCAUGGGCCAAAUAGUAUAUCCGAUAUUGAACUCCACAUUAUGUGAUGCAAGCCCUCCCUUGGUAGGAGGUUCUCACACAUCUCCCCGAAGAGUUAUGACCUCUAAAUGAAUGUGAAUUUCUAGAGAAGUUUAUGGGAAAAAAAGUAUAUGAUCACAUUUCAAUGGAGGCAAUUAAAAGUCGCAAUGAGACAAUAUUUUUUUUCCAUGUAGAAAGAUGUGUAUAUUUAUUAUGUACACUAAUUAUUCCUACGAUCAUAAAUAUACCAAGAUGAUGGAAUGUAAAAGGCCAUUAGUGAAUUUGGGAAAAUUUGUUUGUUUUCUCGAACAGUCUAUUAAUGUUACGUCAUGCAUUACAAUCGAUCUACCACUCUUGAAAGCAGAAGGCAACUAGGAGCCAAAUUCACAUUUCACAAUUUUUUCAUGGCAAAAGAUAAAAGAUUAGUAAGUGGAAUAAAGGCCUGAAUCAAUUGAUCUUGCAAAUUAGUGCGAAUAUGUAUUAAGUAUUAGAAGAUCUGCUUUGUUGGGCUUAGCAAAAGCAAAAUGAAACUUCCGCUUCGGCUGAGGAAAAGCUAAUCCUCAUGAUUUUUUUUUUUUUUUUUGUGGUUGAAUUCCUUCUAAAUUUAAUGAGCAAAACAAAAACAAUUGUGCGUGGUUGUAUAGUAAAAGUUCCACCGUGAAAGUAAGCAAUAAUUUUGCUGCAAUGAUUUUGGGGUGAACAUUAUCUUGUUUGCUAGCACCGGAGACCUAAUAGCAUAGUAUAAACAAGCGAUAAUUUUGCUGCAGUGAUUGGACGGUGAAUAGUUUAUUGCACAUGCUGCCAUCUUCUUUUGGUGGUUUUGUUCUUAUUCUAACAGGUCGACCCCAUGGCAGUCAACUUCUUUUGUAUCUUCGCUAUGGCGUGAUUGGUAGGAGCUGGCUUUUCAGAGUUGGUGGGCUCCUUAAUUUCGGAAAUGAUUUUCUCCAUUACUGAAACAUAUUCAUGUGGUGAUUGCCAGCAACAAGGUGGGGCUGCUGCAAGAGAUUUUUGUUGCAAGAAUGACGCAUUUGAUGAUUUGUCUAAUGUUGUUUGUGAUCUUGCAGUGAUUUGGGCAUAAUGGCCGUUUAACCAAUUCCGGACUGAUUCUUUAGAAGUUUGUAUCGUCAAAGAGCACAUAUAGCAAAGUUUAUCCCGACUCUUGCAAUUUAUGCAUUCUUACCAUAAAAGCCUGCAUUUAUUUCCUGAGUUACACACAUUUCCUUAAUGAGUAAUGACCAAGCCUCACCUCCCCAUGACAAAAAAGUUGGUGGAGAAAUCUAUCUUGUAUAUAACUAAAUUCACCAAAUUUUCACUAAAAAGACAUAAUUGCUUCAAAUCAUUCAAUUGCAAUUUAAUCUUUUUUAAUUGAUAGCCCAAAAUUCAUUAACAUUUUUUUUUUAGUUUUUCUAUUUCAAUGUAGGAUUUAGUUACCAUAAUUAAGAAUUAUGAAUUUCACAUGUCUAGUUUUUCUUUAUUAUAGGUAUUUCAAAUGUAUUUAAAACACCAUUUCUUUUUUCACUGUUAGAUUUUUCUUCCAUAAAAAUUAGUUGUCUCAAAAAGAAAUUUCCAAGAAACCUAGUAUGUCAAGCAAAUUUAAGGAUGAACCUACAAAAAAUUAUUAUAUAAAUAAUUUUUUGACACAUUUACAAAUUUUCAAUUUUGUUGUGCAUAUCACUAUCAAACUCCUUCUUUUAUCAUUUUACCAAAUAAAAUUCCUUCUUAUCAGUUCUCUUCUCAACAUACAUACAUACAUGCAUGCAUGGAAAUUUAUCAGAUCUUCUAUAUAUAUAUAUAUAUAUUUAUAAAUGAUUGGAUAAAUCAAGAAGGACUAGCAAAGAUUUUGAACUUAUUUCAAAAUGAAGAUUCAAAGUGUUAGAUCAAAAUCUUGAAUUUCUUGAAUUUAUCUGACAAAUUUAGAUUGAUCAUCAAAAGGGCCUUUAAAUUUUUGUUAUCAAUCAAGAAGGACUAGCAAGGAUUUUAAUAGUGCAUUACAUUUCAAUACAAUACUUAUCACAUAUAAAAUUAUUGUUUGGUCUGAUGAAGGAAAAAUUGAUCAUGCCUCUUAGUGCGAGAUUGGAUUAAAUAUAAGGAGGUCUGCUUUUUUGGGCUUAGCAAAAGUAGAAUGGUAUUUUGGCUCCAGCCGACAAACCCCUCAUCCUUCUGAAUUGAAUGAGCAAAACAAAAGCAAUAGCGCGUGAUUGUACGGUAAAAGUUCUACCAUGAAAGUAAGCAAUAAUUUUGCUGCAAUAAUCUGAUGGUGAACAGUAUAUUGUCUGCUAGUACUGGAGGCCUACUGGCAUAGUGAAAGUAAGCAAUAAUUUUGCUGCAGUGAUUGGACGGUGACCAGUAUUAUUGCACAUGCUGCUACAAUUUCUGGCAAGUAUCUUCUCUUGGAGAUUUUGUCCUUCUAACAGGUUGACCCCAUUCCAGUCAUCUUCUUUUGUCUCCAUUAUGAUGUGAUUGGUGGGAGCUAGCUUUUCACUGUUGGUGGACCCUUUAAUUUCAUAAAUGAUUUUAUUCAUUACUGCAACAUAUUCAUGUGGUAGUUGUGCAGUAGCAAUGUGGCUUGUUUCAAUAUAUAAAUGUAUAGAACAUCAGAUAAGUUUAUUUCCUCUCCCGCAAUUUCUGCAUUCUUACCAUAAAGGCCUAUAUUUAUCUAUUUCCCGAGUUACGCACAUUUUCUUGAUGAGUGAUGAUGACUAAGCCUCACCCAGCUUACGGCAAAAAGUUGAUGGAGAAAUCCAUUUCAUGUAUAACUAAAUUCACCCAAUUUUCACUAAAAAUAUCAAAGUGCACCAAAUCGUUCAAUUGCAAUUUAAUUGGUAGCCCCAAAUUCAUGGAUUUUUUUUUUUAGAUUUUCUAUUUUAAUGUAGGAUUCAAUUAUCAUAAUUAAAAAUUUCACAUACCUAUUAUUUUAAUAUUUUUAUUGAAGGUAUUUCAAAUAUAUUGAAAACGCCAUUUCUAUUUUCACUGUUAGAUUUCCAAGAAUCCUAGUUCUUUUUAACGUUGUUGAGAAAAUUUAAGGAUAAGAUGUUAGAUAGAUAUAAAAAUAUAUAUGUUAUUUAGAUUGUUUUAACACAUAUACUUCUUUACAAAUUUUCAAUUUUCUUGUGCAUAUCACCAUUAAACACCUUACCGUUCGACUGAAGAAAAUUCCUUCUUAUGGGUUCUCUUCUACCACACAUAAUCGGAUGAUCGGAUAAAGAAACCCUCUUUAGGAUUUUUAGAUUUUCCAAAAUAAGAUCACAAUUAUAUUUUCCAAUGGAAAAAUUUAAAGAUGAAAUUUAAUUAAAUUAAAAACUACACAAAAUAAGAAAAUCUUUUAAAAUGUUGAUGAAAUCUCGUUAUUUUGAAUUGACAAAAAUUAAUAUCAUUGACGUAGUAUGUACGAAAAAAUAUUUUGAUACUUCAUUAUGCACAAAGGUUUUAGUAUAUUCCUAGAUAUUCCACAAUACCUAAUAUCUAUGUAAAAGCAUCUCGCCAAUAUUAAGGGUGAAAGAUAAGUUCUUUAAAAAGACUUGAUAUAUAUUUUAGACGAAUGAAAUCAGAAAAUAAAUAAUUCAUCAAGAAAGUGAGUUUUUGAGAUAAGAGAGAGAAAGACUAAGAAAAAUAAAACGCGUGGAGUGCAUAAUUAUGGUAAUUAGAAAAAGUAGGAAAAGAAACAAUGUGAUCAUCACUUUAAAUUGCAAUUAAAUGAUUGAAGGCAGUUUAGUCUUUCUAGUGUAAAUGUGGUGGAUUCGAUCUAGCGCUGUCCAAAAUUUGAUGAGGAAAUUAAAGUUACAAUGAGAUAAUAUUUUCUCUUUCAUAUAGAAAGAACGUAAGCUCUUAUGCACACUAUUUAUUCCUUCAUCAUCAAUACUAGCAAAGAUUUUGAACUUAUUUCUAAAUGAAGAUUCAAAGUGUUAGAUCAAAAUCUUGAAUUUCUUGAAUUUAACUAUCAAAUUUAGAUUGAUUAUCAAAAGGGCCUUUAAAUUUUUUUUUAUUGAUCAAGAAGGACUAGCAAGGAUUUUAAUAGUGCAUUACAUUUCAAUACAAUACUUAUCACAUAUAAAAUUAUUGUUCGGUCUGAUGAAGGAUAAAUUGAUCAUGCCUCUUAGUGCGAGAUUGGAUUAAAUAUAAGGAGAUCUGCUUUUUUGGGCUUAGCGAAAGUAGAAUGGUAUUCUGGCUCCAGCCGACAAAAGGUAAUCCUUCUGAAUUGAAUGAGCAAAACAAAAGCAAUAGUGCGUGAUUGUACGGUAAAAGUUCUACCGUGAAAGUAAGCAAUAAUUUUGCUGCAAUAAUCUGAUGGUGAACAGUAUCGUGUCUGCUAGUACCGGAGGUCUGCUAGCAUAGUGAAAGUAAGCAAUAAUUCUGCUGCAGCGAUUGGACGGUGACCAGUAUUAUUGCACAUGCUGCUACAAUUUCUGGCCAGUAUCUUCUCUUGGUGAUUUUGUCCUUCUAACAGGUUGACCCCAUUCUAGUCAUCUUCUUUUGUCUCCAUUAUGAUGUGAUUGGUGGGAGCUAGCUUUUCACUGUUGGUGGACCCCUUAAUUUCAGAAAUGAUUUUAUUUAUUACUGCAACAUAUUCAUGUGGUGGUUGUGCAGUAGCAAUGUGGCUUGUUGCAAGAGCUUUUUUGUGCAAGAAUGAUGCAUUUGAUGAUCCGGCUACUAUUAUUUGUGAUCUUGUGGUGAUUUAAGUUUUUCAGUUGUUUAACCAAUUCCUGACUAAUUCUUCGGAAGUUUGUAUCUUCAAGGUUUAUUUCCUCUCCCGCAAUUUCCGCAUUCUUACCAUAAAUUCCUAUAUUUAUCUAUUUCCCGAGUUACGCACAUUUUCUUGAUGAGUGAUGAUGACUAAGCCUCACCCAGCUUACGGCAAAAAGUUGAUGGAGAAAUCCAUUUCCUGUAUAACUAAAUUCACCCAAUUUUCACUAAAAAGAUCAAAGUGCACCAAAUCAUUCAAUUGCAAUUUAAUUGGUAGCCCCAAAUUCAUGGAAUUUUUAUUUUGUUUUUCUAUAUUAAUGUAGGAUUCAAUUACCAUAAUUAAAAAUUUCACAUGUCUAUUUUUUAAAUUUUUUAUUGAAGGUAUUUCAAAUAUAUUGAAAAUGCCAUUUCUUUUUUCACUGUUAGAUUUCCAAGAAUCCUAGUUCUUUUUAACGUUGUUGAGAAAAUUUAAGGAUAAAUUGUCAGAUAGAAUAUAAAAUAUAUAUAUAUAUAUAUAUAUAUAUAUAUAUAUAUAUGUUACUUAGAUUGUUUUAACACAUAUACUUAUUUACAAAUUUUCAAUUUUCUUGUGCUUAUCACCAUCAAACACCUUACCGUUCGACUGAAGAAAAUUCCUUCUUAUGGGUUCUCUUCUACCACACAUAAUCGGAUGAUCGGAUAAAGAAACCCUCUUUAGGAUUUGAAGAUUUUCCAAAAUAAGAUCACAAUUAUAUUUUCCAAUGGAAAAAUUUAAAGAUGAAAUUUAAUUAAAUUAAAAACUACACAAAAUAAGAAAAUCUUUUAAAAUGUUGAUGAAAUCUCGUUAUUUUGAAUUGACAAAAAUUAAUAUCAUUGACGAAGUAUGUACGAAUAAAAUAUCUUGAUACUUCAUUAUGCACAAAGGUUUUAGUAUAUUCCUAGAUAUUCCACAAUGCCUAAUAUCUAUGUAAAAGCAUCUCGCCAAUAGUAAGGGUAAAAGAUAAGUUCUUUAAAAAGACUUGAUAUAUAUUUUAGACUAAAGAAAUAAAAAAAUAAAUAAUUCACCAAGAAAGUGAGUUUUUGAGAUAAGAGAGAGAAAGACUAAGAAAAAUAAAACGCGUGGAAUGCAUAAUUAUGGUAAUUAGAAAAUGUAGGAAAAUAAACAAUGUGAUCGUCACUUUAAAUUGCAACUUUAAAUUGCAAUUAAAUGAUUGAAGGCAGUUUAGUCUUUCUAGUGUAAAUGUGGUGGAUUCGAUCUAGAGCUGUCCCAAAAUUUGAUGGGGAAAUUAAAGUUACAAUGAGAUAAUAUUUCUCUUUCAUAUAGAAAGAAUGUCAGUUCUUAUGCACAUAGAAAGAAUGUCAGCUCUUAUGCACACUAUUUAUUCCUUCAUCAUCAAUAUACCGAGAUGAUAAAGUGCAGAGGUCAUCAGUAGAUUUAGAAAAAUUCCAUGUGAUUUCACCAACAAUUGGCUUUUAACAGUUUAUCAUGCGUUAUGGUGGAUCUACGAUUCUCGAGUGCAGAAGGCGACUCUGUGCUGAUUUCGCAUUCACAAUUUUGCAAUGACAAGGAAAAGAGUAGUCAAUGGAACAAAGGCAACAUUGAUCAUUUGGCUUAGCAAAAGCAUAAUGGAAGUCUGGCUCCGGCUGAGAAAAGCUAACCAUUUUUAAGUUAAGGAGCAGAAGAAAAGCAAUUACAAUCUACUUUUUUCUAGACUAGAAAUCGAGGACAAUAUUUCUCACCAAAAACAAAACGGACAAAAGGAUUAAAGGGGAUCCAUCAUGCUUCCUCAGAGGUCACGCCAAAUCGUCUGUUUAUGGAGCUAGACCACUUACAUCAUCUUAUGUUAUUAUAAUUCUAUAUGUGUCUAGAAGGAAAAAUGCAUUAAGACAAGCGUCUCGACUGGGAUCCCAUGAUUUGUGCAAUGAUUGAAAUGCAUAAUUUGAAUUAAAAUACAAAUAUGUGAUAACAAAAAUCAGAUGCAAUUCUAAAUGAUUUGCGAGCCUAUUCCCUCACUUUUUGUUUCUCAAAUUUAGGCACCUGUACGAGUAGCUUAAUUUUUUCGUGAAAUUAAUCGUGAAUAUCGACAAAACAUUUUAAAUUUCGGUGUGCUCAUAUGUGAAGUGAGUCUCUGUACAAUCACAUAAUAUUAGAUUUCAAACUUGGUGCCCACCUUAAAAAGGACAUGAUCACAUUUUGUGUAUGUGCGUUCGUGAAUAAUCUGCAAAAAUGGAGAGUAAAUCUAGACCUCAUUCAAUGGAACUAGAGAAAGGUUCAACGCCUUCGAUUCAUUAGAGACGUCAUCAUUGAUUCAUUAGCAAAAAGUAGUUGAUUUAACCAUGAUUAAGUUAAAAUUUUGGGCUUGGCACUUAUAAGAAAGAAAAUUUUGCCCAUAAAAAUUGAAAAAAUGAAAUAAAAACCUUUGGUCGUCACUUGGAUGUUUCUACGAUCUUUCCAAAAAGCAUUCUAGGAGGGCCUGCAAUUGUUAAAUUACAAAAUAAUGGAUCUCCACUGUGAAAACAAAGCUUUUUCAAGAUUUUACAAAUUGCUACAGUUGCAUUAUGACAGGUAUCGAUCCAUCAACUAAUCAUAAAAUGGAAAUAGUAUUUGCAGACCAAAUGUGAUCACAUCCAUUGAUGUUUAGGUCAUCCAUGUAUAAUUUAUGUGAUUAAUGAUUUUGUGAUGGACCCGAUAUAUGUGGAUCAGAGUAAUGGCAAGUCUUAACCCAAUGAAGUCUAUAUGAGUUGGGAGAGAGAGUGAACUCCCUUAAGAAACAAAGAUGAACUUAAAUUCUCUUUGCUUAAAAUAUACGGGAGUCUAUCCUCAAUUCUAUGUCAUACCCUCUUGUGAAAGCACUCUUGUGAACGCAAAAGCAAAAGCGAAAGCACUGAAGUAUGUUUGUCUGGUCAAUUUUUUGUCAGACCCUCUUGUGUAAGCAAAAGCAAAAGCAAAAGCAAAAGCAAAAGCAAAAGCACUGAAGUAUGUUUGUCUAGUCAAUUCGUUUGCACAUAGCCAAAUUCGACAUCAAACAGGCUCGUUUGUUCACGCACAACGUGUUUUGCAAUUUCAGGAUCAGGACCUGGAAAAUGCCAAGAAACUCAGGUUGAUAUCAUCAAAAAGCAUAAAGACCCUCAUUCAAGAUUAAAAAUGUUUCGAAAAUCUCAACUUUGUUGAUCUCCUUGUGGAGGAGGAGCUGUACUUUCUUCGCAAUUUCCACAAAAGAAUCAGCUAAAGUCUCCCUCUUAGGACCCUUUUAGCUCAACGAAAGGGAUCUAUUUUGUACAUGUAAUUUGCAAAGCAAAACUCAAAUUGUGUAAAAGAUUAUCAUUAGCAUGGACCUAAAAUUAAAGAAUAUAGAAAACUUUAAUCAAUAUCUUUCAAUUUUUUGAACCAUUAGGUGAAAUUGAAGUGCAUAGACUUUGAAGAAGGUCAGCCAAAUAAAAUUGCCCAAUCUAUUAUGUAGAGUUAAACUGAAGCUGAAAGAGUGGUUACUCCUAUACUGGUCACGCCAUACUUCUCUAUAGGUCUAUACUUAUGACGUGACAUAACAGUUAGCAUUGUGUUGCCAUGUGGUCCAAUGACCUUACAAAUUAUUUUUGUCUUCUUGUAAUCAUGUGUUAUUUUCUAGUGCUAUUUAUAGAUAACAUCAACAUUUAAUCAACUUCAAAUACUAGAAAAACUAAUUAUAUCUAGAGGUAGGCUUAGGCAAAACAAUAGAUUUAAACUUAGCCGAAGUGAUUGAAUUAAACAAUGAAUAGAAUGGAUAUGUGUUUCAUAAGUAGUACAUACUCCAGUAAUUGUCAUCUUCCAUGGAGCAUCCACUUUUUUUUUUCUUUUUUUUUUUUCUGGAAAUCUUGAAAAUUAAUGUUACACUUUUUUUAACUAAAUUUGAUCGAACUUGGUCCAGCAUACCUUUUCUGUACAAUGGACAAUCGAACCCAUUUUUCCCCCACGGAAGCUGGUGACUUCAAUUUUGCUAAAAUGCAAAUUCACCUCGGAUUGUGGCUUUUGGGUGGUUGGGUCGGAUUGAACUUGGCAAAAAGUGAUGAUAUUUUUGUUAUAAAAAUUCCGAUCAUUGUGAUUUUUAUGGUGUUGGAAAGUUUAUUAUUUAAUUUUUAAGAUGAAAUUAAUCGAUUGGAUAAAAUCAUAAAGUUUCCAACACUUCAUGAUCGGACAGUUGUGUUUGGAAAAACUUGACGUCUUAAAAUCCAGUUGUUCAAUUUGGGCAAAUUGGGUAUCUUGAAAAAGCUUUUGACAAGUACAACUCAAUUAUACCCUUUCACUGAACUUUUAAUUGAACUUUUAAUGAGGUUUACCUCUCGGUCAACUUUGCUAUGGCAUUGGAGGGUCGCUCGUGUCUUUAGUGACCUUUCGCAUGUGUUCAAUGAUGCAAUGGAGGCUCUGUCCACCGGUGAUUAUCUAUCGAGCAAUUGAGCUUCGCUAUUUCUAUUCCUUAUUUGAUGGAGUUAGCCAACAACGAGCACGACCAUUUUACGGUCUAUUCGUCAUAGCCGAAAUAAUAUAUUCUGGAGUUCUACUGUUCUUUUGGUCUUUACUAUGUUGGAUCCAAAUUGAAUGUGAAAGAGCUUGGACUUCUGCUUCUAACGUAUUAUGAAAACUUUUGGUCUUGAUGAAUCGUGUUAUGUCUGAGAAAUCUUGGCGAUAGUGAGGACUUGGCUACAUAAUCCGUAUGGUACAUAUUUUCCUUGAUAUGAUGAGGAAUUGGCCACGGACAAAGAUGCCAACCUCAUCUAGCAGACUAUCCACAACCAUCUGGUACCUAAUAUGCACAAAUGAAAAAGCGCCUUUGAGCUCUCCGAGCACAUCAACGGGGGCAACAAAAGAUUAUUAAUUAUUCUUUAUUAAUGAAUCUCAAUCUUUCUCAACUACAUAGACUUUACAUUUUUUUAUAGCCGUGUCUUCCUCCUAUCUUAUCUGUCGCUUGGCACAGAGCUACGUACCGUAAGCUCGUAACUAAGUAGGGCAUUAAAUUUGUCGAAUGUUCUUGCUCAGUCAGACCAGUAGAAUGAGCUACGACCCUUAAAUUCAUCCUCAACUAGCGUGCGCCCUUUCUCAGGUUCAAAGGGACUCCCCGUCGUCAAGAUCUAGCUAGGAACAAAGGUUCUCUCUCAUUUCGAAGCCGCAAAAACGCUCAUUUCGUUUCAUGCUUGUAUAGCCAAAGCAAAAAGUAAAGAGCCUACGUAAUGACCCCGUUUCAGACACGUGGAAUACAAAGGCUGAAAUUAUCUGGGACCCACAAGCGUAACUAUCCCACGUCGGGACGUGAAAGUCCAAAAUUACCCACCGCAGGCAGGAAAUGGGAAAUAUUAAAAGCUUUUUUUUUUUAUAUGAAUGGAUGAAGAGAGGAGGGGGAAAACAAGCAUUUUAGAAAUGUAAGUCCCAUGUCAACUGAUUAUAUUUUAACAUCUUGACCAAAUUGGUCUUGAUGGGUUAUCAACACUGUGAGCCUCCGUUAUAUCCCACUCGAUGUGAAGGAGUAUAAGAGGAAGGGUGCUUUGGUCAUGUGAAAGCAACGAUCCAAUUUCAAGAUUCAAAACAUCACAAUUUUAGCACAGGGAUGUCCGACCGAGUAGCAACUACUUCUUAACCUUCUGGGCAUCAGGGAUAUAGCUAAUGAAUUAAUUACACAAUAAAAUCCAAAUGAAUUAUGACGCUUAGCAUAAUAUAAGAAGUUAUAACUCGUUAUGAUAUGAUAAUCUCUCUUUCAAUGGAUCUUGAAGUUAUCUAAUCAUGAAAAUUAUUUACCGGUUUUGAUGUUUCAAUUUGAAAGCAUUAAAGCGAAAAGGACGGCUUUUUAGAGUCCUAACAAAUAAUUUCUUUUUAAUAAUUGAGAAUAGAAAUCAAUAAUCCGAGAAAUUUUCCUUAAUGAAACAAACCAUCGUUUUUUCAUGUUCUUCUCUCCUCCCUUGGCCCCUUCCCCUACUCCACUGACGUCACUUCAGUGCAAGCUUCGACAGCCUUUGGCAGCUUUCUAGCUCAAGGAAGGCGGCCAGUACAUGAUCAUGAAAUCUUUAAAAAGGGAAACAUUCCAUCAAAUUUCAAUUUGUUGAGUUCUUUAACCCCGUGGUCUGUGUGAUCGUAAAACCAGAGUCCUAUCAUCUCUCGAAUUGUUGAUAUGAAUGCCAAGUACCAAAAUAUGACUCCACACUUUAUUCAAUAUAAUGACCAGGUACAAGUUACAACAAAACUAUUGGACUGCUCGAGUUUUAGCCAAAGCUACUCUCCAGGGCCGUAUCGAUUGGUUGAAAGGCCUAAAAGAGAACGUUGUUAUAGGAGGGAUGAUACCCGUUGGUACCGGAUUCAAAGGAUUAGUGCAUCGUCCAAGGCAACAUAAGAAGACAUUUGCCGGAAACCAUGAAAUGAGUGGAAUCGGUAGACCAAUUCUUGCCAAUGUUAUUUUGAACAAGUUGUCUUUAGUUUUAAGGUGUAGUUUCCUCAAACCAUCCCAACAUGAUGGUCUUGUGUACUUGCAAAAACGAUUGUUAUUAAGUCUUGAUUUAAGAUUAACCAACUUGAUCAAAAAACACUUUGUAACAGAAGAGUCCUCAUUAUAUGAAGCACCAUUGCCCACAAGGACCAUGAGAAUGAUUCCUUGAAAGCAAGAUGAAUUUCAGCUCAAAACUUGAUAAAAUUUAAACUCAAUUUGAACUUAACCUUCACGCGACUUCAUCUACCAAGCAUGAGCUCCCAAAAGUUGCUGAGAGAUGGAGCAAAUAUCCUCAAGUCUCGCACCAAAGUUCCCGCGGAACAGCGAUGCACCACCCUUUUUUCCUCACUUUUUUGAAUGGGUGGAUUCCACGUGGCAAACUUAGAGUCGUUAACUUUUCUUUUAUGAAGAAGAGUGGUCGGCCACUUGAAAAAUUUGCAAUUUGGUCUGUGGGGGGAUCCAAUUUUUUUAGGGUUUUUUUAAUUUUUGUCCGGUCAACUUUAUCUCAGAUGCGUAGGCAAUCCAUCGUAUCUUUGGUUUGAUUUAUUGGGCGAUGAGAAGAGUGAGCUGAGGUAAAUCCCUCGGUGGCUUGUGAUAAUUCGAACCGAAUUGACAUCGAUCCAACCUAGUUAAUCCCUUAAUGCCACGGUCUGCAUUAGAAAGUAUAAUACGUUCACAAUAAUUACGAUGAGAUAUGAUUGAAGUUGAUCAAGCAAAUGUGCGUUUGGUAAUAUUUCUAUUUAGGAGAAUAAUUUCUUCUUAGAAAUAAUCUUUUUAUAUUUCUAUUUCCUGAAAUAAUUUUUGAAUAAACGAAUGCGUUUAGUAACUAUACAAAAUUUCUAUUGUCGAAAUAGAAAAAGAUUAGGAAUGUGUUUGUACAAAUUAGGAAUUUUUCUAUAAUGUAGAAUUUCUUUUAAUUUUUUAAUAAUUGUUUUAGAUUUUUUUUUCCCUCUCUUCUUCUUCUUGCUCCUCCUCUAGCCGAUAGUGGCGGUGUUUGACGAGCAGUGGCGACCAGUGACCUGUAGCGAUGGCAGCUGGCGGAUAGCAGGGGGGCGGUGGGUUGUGAGGUAGAAGAAGAAAAGGAAAAAAAGAAAAUAAAGAAAAUAACUUAUUUGUAAAAAUUGUUUCCAAAAAUAAGAAGUUAUUUUUUUUUCUAUUUCUUAUUUCUAUUUCAAAUCUAUUUUCUGACUACUUUUCUAUUCCAGGAAAUUAUAAAAUUAGUUGAUGUUACCAAACGAAUUUAUAUUAUUAUUUUGUUCCGGAAAACAAAAGAACAAAAGACUAGAGAAAUUGGCAAGUUACCAUGCAAACCCCAAGGAACCAUAGAAGGGAAAUAGUUGCAUGGUUCAUGGUCUAUGGACCAUAUGCUGUAAUUUAUAUAACUAAUGAUUUUAAUAGACCGCAUUUAUGGGACCUGAGUACUGGCAAGUCUAAUCUAACGAAGCCUAUUUGAGUUAGGAGAGAGAAUGAACUUCCUUAAGAAACACUGAAACAGAAAUGAACCUGCCUUUUCUCUUUGCUUAUGAUGUACACAAGUCAAUCUUCAAAUCUUUGUCCAACCCUCUUGUGAAGGCAAAGGAGAAAGCACCGAAGUAUGUCUUGUCUAGUCAAUUUACUCGUUAUGCAGUGGUCUGCACAUGGUCAAAUUGCGCGUCAAAUAGGCUAGUAAUUCGUGUGUUCACACAAGUACACACAAAGAUGUCAACACUUACAAGUUCCGUUUGGAAAUUGGCAACCCACUCGCAAGACCGGCAAAGCGCGUUUUGAAAUUUCGGCCCUGGAAAGUACCAGGAAACUCAGGUUGAUAUUAUAAAAGAAAAUCAUACAGCUCACGCCUUUGAGAAUAAAUAUUAAAUAUCUCAACUUUGUUGGAAUCAUCGUGAAGGAGGAACCACAUUUUCUUCGCAAUUUCCAUUAAAAAACAAUGUCGAAUUAAGCGGACAUGAUUUCAAUGCCAAAUCAACCAGUAAACAAACAAUAGAGACGAAUCAGAAAAAAUCAACAUUUGAUUUGAAUAUCAGCGUCGGUGUACAAUUUCAAUCGGCGAGCAAUUUCAUUUUGUCAUCGUUCAAUCUAGCAUUGAAGUGCAAUCAUAACAUGCAAUCCUAGUCUAUUUUCAGCUUCAUGUAACUUUAUGGCAAUAGCAAAUAAUAUCGAGUAUAUGAAUGGCUUUAUGAAGGAAGGCUGCAGGUGGCUUCCAGGCAAAUGGCACAUAGUACCAAAGUAAUAGCAAGCGGAACUCAUUAUAACUUGUCCAGAUACAUCCAACAUCUAACCGUUCAGCAACACGCAACUUAUACUUCCGACGCCACCUCCUCCCCUUCGACGACUUUCAUCAACUUAGCCUGAAUGCUUUUGUUUGCUUAUGAAGGAAGGUCGCUGGUGCAUUACAGUGCCUGUUACUCUAGACACAGCUCGCCCGGUCUCUACUCUGUGAACAACCAAUUAUACUUUCGAUUGGUAUUGCGGGUAUAAGGCAGCAUGCGAUUGAUAAAGUUGGAUUAUGGGUGCAUUUAUUUUAUGAAAAAAUGAAUAAUUUAAAAAAUAAUUUUCUAAAAAAGAUUGUUUAUAUCGCUCAAUAUAAUUAGUCAAUGAAAAUAUUUUUCAUUCAUUAAUUUUUAUAAGUGAUAUAAGUGUUCAUUUUUUAGAAAAAAAUAUAUUUUAUAUCAUCUAUUUUUCGCAAAACAAACGGAGCUUAAGUUAAAAGUCAAUGUUCUAAGGCAGUUAAGUGGUUCAAUUCAUAAGAAAUUAACAUUGUGCAUUCUAAGUUGCAAUAUGUCAGUGGAUUUCCUCUUAAUGAGAUGAUAUAAGUUCCUCUGUUUUUGUAAUGAGCUCUCAUGCAAUAAUUAUCCUUCUUGUAGAUUCUGAGUUGAUUUUUUUUUUUUUGUUUUUUUUGUUUUUGUUUUUUGCCUGUGAUGUUUUUUCAGUUGAAGAAACAAUUAACUACAAAUAUUCAAUAGUCGCUGGCAUGUUCAUGGUUUUAAUGAUUACUGACGCUCUUUUCUGUGGCAUUUCUUUUCACUCUACUAAAAGAUUUACCUACCAAUGUUCAAAUGUAUAAAUUACGGUAGUGCGAAGCUCGAGCUCAACUCCUAUUAGAUACUAGAUGCUCGGAACUCCACUCGAACCAUGGAGUAUUCAAUUUCCAGCUUGAGCUUGACCAGAAAAAAAUGGAGAUAUCAAGCUCAAGUAGACUCGACACAAUCAUGUUAUAAAAUGAGUUCAAGCUCAAGCUCAAUAUGUUCAAAUAUUAUCCUUUUCAUUUAUGUAAUUAUAUAUGUAUAUCACAACUUUUAAAUAUCUUGCCCUUUAUUUUCCAUAGCUAUCAAAUAUUUAACUGAACAAAAUAAUAGAAAGUUGAUUAAUAUGGCGAGUCUCUCAAACAGAAUAUAAUGAGCUCGAUUUUUUUUUUUUUUUUGGGGUCAUGAAUAAAAUUCUCGUUGAUAGAUUAAGAUUUGUUUGGCUUAAGGAAAGCAAAAUGGAAGUUUGCCUCCAGCAGAGAAAAACUAAUCCUUUUUAAAAUAUAUAUAUAUAUAUAUAUAUAUAUAUAUAUAUAUAUAUAUAAUUAGCAGAACAAAAGCAAUUGAAAUAUGCUUUUUCUAGCCUAGAAAUAAAUGAAAAAAAUCCUCAUUCCAGAAAACAAAACAGACAAAGAAGAAUGAAGGGGAUUUAUUAUGCUUCCUUUGCGGUCACACCAAAUUUGAGUGGACCUCACAAACCAAUUGAAAUCAUCUCUUUUAUAAAUCAUACUACAUAAAUAAUCUAAUGUUAUUACAAUUCAAUGUAUGUCUAAAUGAUAAUGCACUAAGAAAAGCAUCUUGAUUGGGAUCCAAUGAAUUACACCAUGAUUGAAUUGCCUAGUUCGAAUUAGAAACAAAUCCAGGGGCUUUUGUCUUUGCUUAGAACAUACGCAAGUUCAUCGUCAAGUCUUUGCCCAACCUGCUUGUUAAGGCAAUGAAAAAGCACUAAAGUACGUUUAUCUAGUCAAUUUGCUUAGCAUGCGCUGGUAUGCACACAUCCAAAUUUCACAUCAAAUAGACUUGGCAACUCACCCACAAGACCGGCACAACGUGUUUGGCCCAGGGAAAAUACAAGGAAACAUGGGUCGAUCAUUAAAAAAAGAAAACAAAAAAAAAGCAUAAAGAUACUCAUUCGAGAAUAAAAUGUUUCAAAAAUCUCAACUUCGUUCGCAUCAUUGUCAGGGAGGAACCAUAUUAUCUUUGCACUUUCCAUCAAAAAUCAGCUAAAUUCAGUGAGGACUCUUUUGCUCAUUGAAAGUGAUUUAUUUUGUAAACAUAGUUUGCAAAGCAAAACUCAAAUUGCGUGAAAGAUUAAAAUGAGCAUCGACUUGAAAUUAAAGAAUAUAGAAAACUUUAACAAUGUCUUCUAAAUUUUUGAAUAAGUAAGUCCAUUUAAAGUGUGGAAACUUUUAAGUAGGUUGGCCAACUAAAAUUGCAAAGUAAAAAAUCUAGGAAGGGCACGUUUUGGAAAUUUUUUUGGAGUCCGUUCACGGGUUCUGAAUAUUAAGUAUGAAUCAUAGUUAAUAUUUUGUGAUCUAUACUCAAAUACACCCCUUGCCUAUGGUAGUGAGGGCCAGGACCCUCACUUGUGGUGGGGAUCUUAUGAUCUAUGUCCAAAUUGUAAUACUAUAAGAUAGCAAAGCAUAUUGGCUGGUCUCUUAAAAUAUGUUUUCCAAGGCAUCCCGCUCAACUACUUCUCCAGUAUGCUGCUUAGCUCAUGGGGUUGAGAAUAUAAUGUUCUUUAAUUGUUCACCUUCCAUAAAAUCAAAUUAAAAAAAUCAAAAUCUUGUCCCGAUAAUAAGGGUUAUCGGUUAAGACAGUUUUUGUCUUCAAGACUUAGUCGUAACCUGUGGAUUUUUUUGGAUAGAGUUCAAGAGAGCCAAUACGAAAUGUAAGCAACACCUCAUAAUGGGGUUACAUGUGUCUGCCUAGCCAUAGGCUAAACUCUCUUGGUGAUUCAUGAAAUGCUUGAUUCAAUGGUAAUAUUUCGUUCAUAAUGCAAAGAUGUGCAAUCAUCAAAUUUCAUAUCGUAAGUCAACAUUCAGAAAUUCAAUCAAUAACAUUCAAUCACUGGAUGUCGAAUUUUUCAAACAAAAAAAUGGAGUCGGUAUUAUCUAAAAGUCGUUUCUUUAUAGUAUUUGAGAGUAAUUAUUUGAAAAUUAUCACAUAGAGCCUCGGCCCACACAUCGAUGAUGUUUGAGGACUCGUCUUGGACCAUUUGCCUUAGCCGCCCAUUUGGUGCGAGUUUUUUUUUUUUUUGAACGAAAGCCCAUAUUUCAUUAAUCCGAAUAACCCAUAGAGGCCGUUGCAAGAGUGUCCGCGCAUAACAGAUUCAAGAGAGGAGAGGGCAAACGAAGGGCCCAACUAGAAGUCAAGCUAGUGCCCGUAUGGGCCCUACAAACCCAGUCAGCGACGGUAUUCGCCUCUCUACAGCAAAACCCUAACGUAAGAUUGGAAAAAAGGGUUAGAAGGAAGGCAGCCUCUGCGAAGAGAGAUCAAUCUCGCCACGGCGGCUGAGAGCGACGAUUCAACGUUUCCACGACAGUGAGGUUGUCUGAUUCAACGACUAUUUGAGAGUAAUUAUUUGAAAAUUAUCACACAGAGCCUCGGCCCACACAUCGAUGAUGUUUGAGGACUCGUCUUGGACCAUUUGCCUUAGCCGCCCAUUUGGUGCGAGUUUUUUUUUUUUUUUUGAACGAAAGCCCAUAUUUCAUUAAUCCGAAUAACCCAUAGAGGCCGCUGCAAGAGUGUCCGCGCAUAACAGAUUCAAGAGAGGAGAGGGCAAACGAAGGGCCCAACUAGAAGUCAAGCUAGUGCCCGUAUGGGCCCUACAAACCCAGUCAGCGACGGUAUUCGCCUCUCUACAGCAAAACCCUAACGUAAGAUUGGAAAAAAGGGUUAGAAGGAAGGCAGCCUCUGCGAAGAGAGAUCAAUCUCGCCACGGCGGCUGAGAGCGACGAUUCAACGUUUCCACGACAGUGAGGUUGUCUGAUUCAACGACUAUUGCUGCAGUUUGAAGCCCUUGAUGCAGAAGAUGGCGGAGCGAGAAAGAUAGGGCUUGGAUCUCAACGUGAAGAGCGGAGACAGCCACAACGCUAAAAGAGAAGCCAUCGGUAAGUCGGCCUUGAUGAUCCCUACAAAUGCAAGCGAUCGUACCAUGGUUGCUACCUUGAUGAAAAGAUCCAUCGAUAUUAACCUUCAAAACUCCGAGAUCUGGGGGACGCCAUAGAUGGGAUCUGUUUCUAAUCGAACUCCUUUGAUGCAGAUAAGGAGAUGAAGAUAAGCGAUCGACUUGAGCGUGAGUCAGUGCCGCUUCUACAACCUGUGUUGGAUUGGGAUAAGUACCUCGGAAGAUGAAGGCAUUCCGAGCACGCCAGAUCUGCCACAGAAUAUUAGAAAUAAAGGCCAGCCGAGGUAAGCGAUGUCCUUCUCCAAUCGUGGCCACAAUCCACGAGUCUAGACGUUGAAUGUGAGUGGGAAGGACUGAAACCCCGAUCUGGGAAUGAUUCCACACCUGUUGAGUCCACGAACAGAGUAAGAAUAAAUGUUCUUAUGUUUCUGGAGUCUUACUUUUGCAUAAUGUGCAGCAAGGAUUGUCUAAUAUGUGUCUUCGAUACAGGUUUUCUCGUGUGGCCAAAGCAUUGCUACAGAUGGACCAGAGGAAGACUCGGAUCUUGGGUGCAGUAGGCAUCUUCCAGAGGGUACGCCAUAACCAGGUAGGAAGUUGGUAUGAUGUAGAAGCAUUUGAAGUUGAUGUACCUGAUUGUGUCUGAAUAAGUGCAUGAUAUGCUGAUUUGACCGUGAAUGUUCCCUGUUUGGUUGCUGUCCAUAUAAGUGCAUCUGAAGUGAAGUUAGGCCGAAGUUGAAUGUCUGUGAUCUGUUGAAUGAUUGGCAUGUCGAAAAAUCUAUAUAAUAAAUCAAUCUUCCAUGAACUGGUGGUCUGGUCAAUAAGAUCAGCAACUAGUGUAGGUUCUUCAGGGGCUUUAGGUCCACCUAGAAUUCCCAUAGGAAGCCAUCGGUCUUCUCUGAUAUUAAUGCAUGUGCCAUCUCCCACAGACCAAGUAAUGUGUGAUAAAAUUGCAUUCCUCCCACAUAAUAAGCUCUACCAGCCCCAUGAGGGCCGAGUGCCUUUGUUUGCUUUUAAAAAAGUGGAAGAAUGGAAAUAUAAGCCCCUAAAAAACUUACUCCAUAAAGAUAAUGGCUGAUGCAGUAGACGCCAAGCCUGCUUACCAAGCAUGGCGUGAUUAAAACUCACCAAAUCACGAAAACCCAAUCCGCCUAGUUCUUUUCUUUUCUGAAGAUUUUUCCAACUCUGCCAGGGAAUUCCAGAUCUACUUGUAUCAUUACUCCACCAGAAUUUUGCCAUUCUUUUCUUUAAAAGGGUCUUUUUAACUCAUCGAGGAAGGCCGCCGGUAACUUCCAGACAAAUGGAACAAAAUAUCCUAGUAAUGGCGAGUGGAAUGCGUCGAAACAUUCAAAGAACAUGCAAUCAUAUAAUAUAAUUCCGAGACGACCUCUUCGUCUUCGAAGACUUACACCAAUUAUUUCCUCAAACUUAGCUUUCUAUUUGAUGCUGAGUUUGAAUGGUGUUUUUUUUUUUUUUUAAUUAACUGAUGAAGGAAGGCCCCAGGUAACUUCCAGGCAAGUGGCACACGAUAACAAAGGAAUGGCAAGUGGAAAAUAUAUACUAAGUUGUCCAAUACGUCCAACAUCUAACUGAACAAAAUAAGAGAAACCUUCUGGCUAAAAAAUAAAAAUAAAAACUUGAUUAAUAUCCCGAGCCUCUUAAGCAGAGUAUAAAUGAGCUUGUUUUCUUUCUGUUCAUGAAUAAAAUUCUAAUUGAAAUAUUUAAGAUUGUGCUAACACGGAGCACAAAAAUUGGCCUUUUACUGAUGCAUCAUGCUAGUAGGUGGAAUACAAGCAAGAAUUAAUUGAUCAUGCCAAUUAGCGUGAAUCUAGAUCGAACGUAAGAAGAUAUGCUUUGUUUUGCUUAGCAGAAUGGAAGUUUGGCUCCAGCUGAGAAAAGUUAAUCCUUUUUUAAUUUAAUUAGCAUAACAAAAGCAAUUGAAAUAUGCUUUUUCUAGCCUAGAAAUAAAGGAAGAGAUUCCUCCUUCCAAAAACAACAUAGACGAAAAGAUCAAAGGGGAUCAUUGAUUAUGCUUCCUUUGUGGUCAUGCCAAAUUUGAGUGGACCUGACUGGCCAAUUGAAAUAAUCUCUUUUAUGAAUCGUACUGCAUAAAUCAUCUUAUGUUAUUAUAAUCUUAUGAAUGUCUAAUUGAAAAUGCCCUAGCAAAAGCAUCUCAAUUGGCAUCUAGUGAUUCAUGCCAUGAUUGAAUUGCAUAGUUCGAAUUGGAAACAAAUCUGUGGCCUUUCGUCUUUUCUUAGAACAUAAGUAGGUCCAUCUUCAAGUCUUUGUCCGACCCUCUUGUGAAGGCAAAGAAAAAGCACUAAAGUGUAUUUAUCUAGUCAAUUCACUUAGUAUGCGUUGGUCUACAUAUAGCCAAAUUCCAAGUAGACUUGUGUUUGUUGACUCGUUUUCCUUGAUAAUCUAAACGCCAAAAAAAUCGAAAAAUAUAAUAUCGGAAAUAUGUUUUCCGCCAAACAUAUUUGGAGAAUGGCAACCCACUAGCAAGAACGGCAAAGCGUGUUUAGAAACCAGCAAGCUUGGGUUGAUAUCAUAAAAAAAUCUUAAAAGUCACACCUUUGAGAUUAAAAUGUUUGAAAAAUUUCAACUUUGUUGGAGUCAUUGUGAAAGAGGAGCCACGUUUUCUUCGCAAUUUCCAUAUAAAACGUCCAAUUAAGCAGACAUGAAUCCAAUGCGAAAUCAAUUAAUAAACACGCAACAUGGAUGAAUCAAAUCCCGAUAGAAUCUCCAUUUGAUUGUAGUAUCAGCAUGCAGUUUUUAGCGAGUAAUUUCAAUCGGCGAGGAAUUUCAUUUUGUCAUCGUUCAAUCUAGUAUUGUAGUGCAAUCAUAAUGUGCAAUCUUAGUCUAUAUUCAUUUUCAUGUAACUUUAUCGCAAUAGCAAAUAAUUUCGAAGUUACCAUGCAAUCUCUAGUCAGCAUAUGAUUUUAUAGCAGCCCAAAAUUUUCAAGACAAAUGUGUAUGUUCAUAGGGUCGUUAUAGGGGGUUUUGGAAGUCUAAUUGAGGGGAGCCUUACACAACUACAACUAUUGUAUAAAAAUUCAAUCCGAUAAUUACUUAUUUUACGUCAAGCAACUUGAAUUAGUGUCCUGGACAAAGUAACACAGUAAUGGCGAGAGGAGCACGUGACUGUUCCUCCUAAGACUUUCGUUAAUUAUUUCUUCAACUAGUGGGUGCGAGUCUGAUUUUUUUUUUUUCCUUUUCUUUUUUUAUAUACAUGAAGGAAGGCCGCAGGUGAGUUCCAGGCAAAUGGAGCUUAGUAACAAUGUAAUAAUAAAAUAUAUUUCUGAGAUCACGUCCGACGACUGAUGACUUCCAUCCAUUCUUUACUCAACUUAGCCUCCUAUUUAGUGCGAUCCGUAUGGCCCUUCUUUAAGCUAAUGAAGGAAGGCUGCAAGUGACUUCCAGGCAAAGGAUUAUUUCCUCAACCGAGCGAUCUCACUCUGUUUGCGUGGGGGCUUUUAGGCAAAGGAGCAAACUCGACAAGGUAAGGGAAGUUUCAUUAGAUGUUCGUGUAUUACAAAGGAUAGAGGGGAAGAGCUUCAUUUUUUAAUUGGUCUGUUAUACUUGUUUCCGAGACCAAACAGACUUGCCUCUUCAUAGGCUCGUUUCCACUGCCGUUCUUCAGUUAAUUUCUCUGAAUAAACAACGAGAGUAAAAUGAGUUCAAAAUGGACGACGUGGUGCAUGUCUCUUCUUAUGAAUAGCUCACAGGUCCUGUUUUAGGAGUUUAUAACAAAGCGUUGUAUUAAUUUUGUUGAUACGGCUGAAAUUGCUUUUAUUCUGUUCCGUCUUUAUAGUUAUCAUUGAUUGUUCAAAUUUAUUGUAUGAGUAUCUACACAUGAUAAUAUAGAUUUACAUGUUUAAGAAAUAAAAAAUGAAAAUUUAUUGGAAGACAUCAUUUUUAUUAAAAGAAAGAAGUUACCAGUGAUAGGUGUUAGGCAAAACUUAGGCAAAACUAGCUUAACCAAGUUCUUGCAUCCAAAACCUCUGGUUCACCAAAGUGGGGCGAGUUCCUAAAAUAGGACCUGUGAGCUAUAAUAGGUUAGUGGCAACUCUGAUUAAAAUUCGACCAUUUAAUAAAAGAGAAAUCAAGUUGUGGUUGGUGGGGUUUGGAAGAACUGUACAUUGCAUAAGCACCACGUUGAGAGAGUUAUAUGUCUCCGCCUAAUGAUUCAUUAAAUUCUUUCAUAGUUCACCUCGGCAAGAUCAUGAUAAUGUGCAUAUUGAUGUAGUUCAAAUGUAAUAUUUCAUUCAUAAUGCAUAGACAUGUAAUUAUAAAAUUUCAUAUUGCAGAUCAACAUUCGAAAAAGUCAUGUUUUUUUUUUUAGUAUCAUACACGGAGCAUAAGUUCAUGAACUAACGACAUUUGUUAUCCGCCAUUACCCAUAGUUGCCCAAUUGGUGCGAAUCUCAAUUAGUUUUUUGAAUUUAUGAAGGAAGGACACAGGUGACUUCCAGGCAAACGGAACAUAACAUCAAAGUAAUGGCAAGUGGAACAUGUAUUAACUUGUCCAAUACGUCCAACAUAUAUCUAACUAACAUGCAAUAUAAUAUAUUAAGUUCUCCAAUAAGUCCAACAUCUAACUAACAUGAAAUAAUAUAAUGCAACAGUCCAAAAUGUUCAACAUCUGACCAACAUGCAGUAAUAAAAUAUUUCUGAGAUGACCUUCUGCUCUUUGAAGACUUUUGUCAAUUAUUUCCUCAAUUUAGCCUCCUAUUUGAUGCGAGUCUGAAUGUUUCUUCAAGUUUAUUUUUUAACUUAAGAAGGAAGGCCGCAGGCUACUUCCAGGCAAAUGUAAGAUGAUAACAAAGUUAUGGAAAGUGGAACAGAUGUUAGGUUGUCCAAUACGUCCAACAUCUAAAGAACAUGCAAUCAUAUGAUAUAUUUCCGAAACGACCUCCUCGUCCUCGAAGACUUUCGCCAUUUAUUUCCUCAACGUAGCCUCCUCUUUGGUGCUCAGUCUUGUUUUUUUUUUCCCCGAUGAAGUAAGGCCCCCGGGUAACUUCCAGGCAAGUGGAAGACUAUAAGAAAGUAAUGGCAGGUGGAAAAUAUAAAAAGUUGUCCAAUACGUCAAACAUCUAACUAACAUGCAAUAAUCUAAUAUAUCUUCGAGACCACCUCGUGGUCUUCAAAAACUUUCGCCAAUUAUUUCCUCAACUUAGCCUCCUCUUUCGCGCUUAGUCUGAAUGGUAUUUAUUUAUUGAUGAAAAAGGCCCCUGGAAACUUCUAGGCUAGAACAUGAUAACAAAAUAAUGACAAGUGGAAAAUAUAUUAAGUUGUCUAAUACAUCUAACAUCUAACCGAACAAAAUAAUAGAAAUUUGAUUAAUAUCGCGAGUCUCUCAAACAAAGUAUUAAUGAGUUUGAUUUUGAUUUUGAUUUUUUUUUGUUUUAUGAAUAAAAUUCUAAUUGAAAGAUUUUAGAUUAUGCUAACACCAAGCACAAACAAUUAGCUUUUUACCGGUAUAUCAUGUGUGGUAAGUGGAAUAAAGGCAAGAAUCAACUGAUCAUGCCGAUUUGCUUAAUUAGAGAUUGAAAGUAAGAAGAUUCGCUUUGUUUGGCUUAGCAAAAUGGAAAUUUGGCUCCGCUAAGAAAAGCUAAUCCUUUUUUAAUUUAGUUAGCAGAAUGAAAGCAAAUCUUCUUUUUCUAGCCUAGAAAUAAAGGAAGAGAUUUCCUUUCUGAUCGCAAAGCACUUCAAACGCGCGACUCCGGCAGUCUCUUUUCCCCCAUGGUGCGGUUACCCUCCUAAAUGACCAAACUGCCCUCACUUCUUGACGAAUUUCUAUAAAAAAAAAUACCCGGACUCUGAAAAAUCCCCUCUUCUUCCCUCAGUCUGUCCCCUCCAAUCGGUCAUCAAGCCUCCGCCACCUCGCCGCUGCGUCGCCGUGGACGUCGUAUCCCCUUCCCGUGCCGUCACCCCUUGUCGUCGAGCCGCCCCCGGCCAUCGCCUGGGCCGACCGUUUCGCGUCCCGUCCCGGCCAAGCCACCAUCUCUGUCCCCCGACUCUCUCUCCUCGAGGCAGCCUCGCUCUGUCUAUUGGCGGCCGUGGGCAACACCAGAUCUGAGGUCACCCGAAGCCGACGAGGCCGGAUCUGGGCUGGCGAGAUUGGAAGCGAUGGUCCUCCACUCCCCACUCAUUGCUUGAAGGUGAAAACUGAUGCACAGCUCUCUCUCUCUCUCUCUCUCUCUCUCUCUCUCCCCUUCCGUGUUUCCUCUUCGAAGCAAUUAUUUUGUCGAUCUGAAUGGUUUUUUCACUUGCGAAGGAAGGCCGCAGGUGACUUCCAGGCGAAACGCAGCGAAAGNNNNNNNNNNNNNNNNNNNNNNNNNNNNNNNNNNNNNNNNNNNNNNNNNNNNNNNNNNNNNNNNNNNNNNNNNNNNNNNNNNNNNNNNNNNNNNNNNNNNNNNNNNNNNNNNNNNNNNNNNNNNNNNNNNNNNNNNNNNNNNNNNNNNNNNNNNNNNNNNNNNNNNNNNNNNNNNNNNNNNNNNNNNNNNNNNNNNNNNNNNNNNNNNNNNNNNNNNNNNNNNNNNNNNNNNNNNNNNNNNNNNNNNNNNNNNNNNNNNNNNNNNNNNNNNGCAGGGAUCCGUGCUUUCAAAGACAACGAAGAGCUCCGAUUUGGCGAAGAGAUCGAAGGUGGCCUCUUGCAGGCGAUCAAUGACUCCAGAAUUUACAUCCUGAUUUUCUCCCAGGACUACGCAUCAAGUAAGUGGUGCCUCCGUGAACUGGCACGCAUAGUGGAGCUAUCAAGAGCUGACGAUGAGAAAGUGAUCCUCCCUAUAUUUUACAAUGUGGACGUGGAUGAUGUCAAGCUUAAGACUAAGUUAUAUCGGAAAGCCCUUCGGAAGCACAAGAGAGAAUAUGGGAAAGAUCUAGCAAAGAAGUGGAAGAAGGCUUUAAGAGAGGUUGCCAGAAUUAGAGGAAGGAAUCUAAAAGAUCACGGGUAUUAUUUGCUUAUCCAUUGACUUUAUUUUCUUUGUUGAAAUUUUCGAUUUCUCAUUCCUUUAAAGAAUAGUUCUUCGAUUUGCUGCUGGCAAACCUUAUGCAACAUAUGGUUGGAUUUGACGCAAUGAGGGAGCUAGAAAUUUUGCUCAGAGGGCAAGGCUUCUUGCACAAAUUGACUUUUCACUUUUAAUAUCAAGUUUUUAUAACAAUUAAAGUUAAGGCAUAGAAACUUAAUUAAUUAAUCUAUAAUGUCGAAAAAGCAAGAUAUUCAUGAAGAUCUAAGAUGUGAUAAUAUAGUAAGACCGUAUAUUUGUGAAAAAUAAAAAUAAAAAUCUAAGUUUCUUAACUUCAAUUGCAUUGCGUAUAUGAAUUUAAGGACUUUUGGUGUAAUUUUCCUUGACCCUAUGCCUAUAAUGUUUUCCUGAAAAAUUAAAUUGAGUUUGAUGUUAGAUCUUUUCUGUUUUUGUUACAUUAAGGAAACAUAGAGAAAUUAUAGCAUAGACUUAGUCUAUCACAGUCUAUAAGAUAUCCAAAAACUUACGGCCAAGAGGGAAAAACCGAUCCUUGUGGUUUUGGUUUCAGCCCUAGGGAAAACAGCAGCUUGAAAUAACCGGCUAAUUACGGUCGCACCACCGAGUUACACAAAAAUAACGGAGAUUUUUAUGAUGAUAGUUUUAUAAUCCCAUAAGAGGAUACUAUAGGUCAUGGUUUUUCUAUUUGGUUUGAGUAUACUNNNNNNNNNNNNNNNNNNNNNNNNNNNNNNNNNNNNNNNNNNNNNNNNNNNNNNNNNNNNNNNNNNNNNNNNNNNNNNNNNNNNNNNNNNNNNNNNNNNNNNNNNNNNNNNNNNNNNNNNNNNNNNNNNNNNNNNNNNNNNNNNNNNNNNNNNNNNNNNNNNNNNNNNNNNNNNNNNNNNNNNNNNNNNNNNNNNNNNNNNNNNNNNNNNNNNNNNNNNNNNNNNNNNNNNNNNNNNNNNNNNNNNNNNNNNNNNNNNNNNNNNNNNNNNNNNNNNNNNNNNNNNNNNNNNNNNNNNNNNNNNNNNNNNNNNNNNNNNNNNNNNNNNNNNNNNNNNNNNNNNNNNNNNNNNNNNNNNNNNNNNNNNNNNNNNNNNNNNNNNNNNNNNNNNNNNNNNNNNNNNNNNNNNNNNNNNNNNNNNNNNNNNNNNNNNNNNNNNNNNNNNNNNNNNNNNNNNNNNNNNNNNNNNNNNNNNNNNNNNNNNNNNNNNNNNNNNNNNNNNNNNNNNNNNNNNNNNNNNNNNNNNNNNNNNNNNNNNNNNNNNNNNNNNNNNNNNNNNNNNNNNNNNNNNNNNNNNNNNNNNNNNNNNNNNNNNNNNNNNNNNNNNNNNNNNNNNNNNNNNNNNNNNNNNNNNNNNNNNNNNNNNNNNNNNNNNNNNNNNNNNNNNNNNNNNNNNNNNNNNNNNNNNNNNNNNNNNNNNNNNNNNNNNNNNNNNNNNNNNNNNNNNNNNNNNNNNNNNNNNNNNNNNNNNNNNNNNNNNNNNNNNNNNNNNNNNNNNNNNNNNNNNNNNNNNNNNNNNNNNNNNNNNNNNNNNNNNNNNNNNNNNNNNNNNNNNNNNNNNNNNNNNNNNNNNNNNNNNNNNNNNNNNNNNNNNNNNNNNNNNNNNNNNNNNNNNNNNNNNNNNNNNNNNNNNNNNNNNNNNNNNNNNNNNNNNNNNNNNNNNNNNNNNNNNNNNNNNNNNNNNNNNNNNNNNNNNNNNNNNNNNNNNNNNNNNNNNNNNNNNNNNNNNNNNNNNNNNNNNNNNNNNNNNNNNNNNNNNNNNNNNNNNNNNNNNNNNNNNNNNNNNNNNNNNNNNNNNNNNNNNNNNNNNNNNNNNNNNNNNNNNNNNNNNNNNNNNNNNNNNNNNNNNNNNNNNNNNNNNNNNNNNNNNNNNNNNNNNNNNNNNNNNNNNNNNNNNNNNNNNNNNNNNNNNNNNNNNNNNNNNNNNNNNNNNNNNNNNNNNNNNNNNNNNNNNNNNNNNNNNNNNNNNNNNNNNNNNNNNNNNNNNNNNNNNNNNNNNNNNNNNNNNNNNNNNNNNNNNNNNNNNNNNNNNNNNNNNNNNNNNNNNNNNNNNNNNNNNNNNNNNNNNNNNNNNNNNNNNNNNNNNNNNNNNNNNNNNNNNNNNNNNNNNNNNNNNNNNNNNNNNNNNNNNNNNNNNNNNNNNNNNNNNNNNNNNNNNNNNNNNNNNNNNNNNNNNNNNNNNNNNNNNNNNNNNNNNNNNNNNNNNNNNNNNNNNNNNNNNNNNNNNNNNNNNNNNNNNNNNNNNNNNNNNNNNNNNNNNNNNNNNNNNNNNNNNNNNNNNNNNNNNNNNNNNNNNNNNNNNNNNNNNNNNNNNNNNNNNNNNNNNNNNNNNNNNNNNNNNNNNNNNNNNNNNNNNNNNNNNNNNNNNNNNNNNNNNNNNNNNNNNNNNNNNNNNNNNNNNNNNNNNNNNNNNNNNNNNNNNNNNNNNNNNNNNNNNNNNNNNNNNNNNNNNNNNNNNNNNNNNNNNNNNNNNNNNNNNNNNNNNNNNNNNNNNNNNNNNNNNNNNNNNNNNNNNNNNNNNNNNNNNNNNNNNNNNNNNNNNNNNNNNNNNNNNNNNNNNNNNNNNNNNNNNNNNNNNNNNNNNNNNNNNNNNNNNNNNNNNNNNNNNNNNNNNNNNNNNNNNNNNNNNNNNNNNNNNNNNNNNNNNNNNNNNNNNNNNNNNNNNNNNNNNNNNNNNNNNNNNNNNNNNNNNNNNNNNNNNNNNNNNNNNNNNNNNNNNNNNNNNNNNNNNNNNNNNNNNNNNNNNNNNNNNNNNNNNNNNNNNNNNNNNNNNNNNNNNNNNNNNNNNNNNNNNNNNNNNNNNNNNNNNNNNNNNNNNNNNNNNNNNNNNNNNNNNNNNNNNNNNNNNNNNNNNNNNNNNNNNNNNNNNNNNNNNNNNNNNNNNNNNNNNNNNNNNNNNNNNNNNNNNNNNNNNNNNNNNNNNNNNNNNNNNNNNNNNNNNNNNNNNNNNNNNNNNNNNNNNNNNNNNNNNNNNNNNNNNNNNNNNNNNNNNNNNNNNNNNNNNNNNNNNNNNNNNNNNNNNNNNNNNNNNNNNNNNNNNNNNNNNNNNNNNNNNNNNNNNNNNNNNNNNNNNNNNNNNNNNNNNNNNNNNNNNNNNNNNNNNNNNNNNNNNNNNNNNNNNNNNNNNNNNNNNNNNNNNNNNNNNNNNNNNNNNNNNNNNNNNNNNNNNNNNNNNNNNNNNNNNNNNNNNNNNNNNNNNNNNNNNNNNNNNNNNNNNNNNNNNNNNNNNNNNNNNNNNNNNNNNNNNNNNNNNNNNNNNNNNNNNNNNNNNNNNNNNNNNNNNNNNNNNNNNNNNNNNNNNNNNNNNNNNNNNNNNNNNNNNNNNNNNNNNNNNNNNNNNNNNNNNNNNNNNNNNNNNNNNNNNNNNNNNNNNNNNNNNNNNNNNNNNNNNNNNNNNNNNNNNNNNNNNNNNNNNNNNNNNNNNNNNNNNNNNNNNNNNNNNNNNNNNNNNNNNNNNNNNNNNNNNNNNNNNNNNNNNNNNNNNNNNNNNNNNNNNNNNNNNNNNNNNNNNNNNNNNNNNNNNNNNNNNNNNNNNNNNNNNNNNNNNNNNNNNNNNNNNNNNNNNNNNNNNNNNNNNNNNNNNNNNNNNNNNNNNNNNNNNNNNNNNNNNNNNNNNNNNNNNNNNNNNNNNNNNNNNNNNNNNNNNNNNNNNNNNNNNNNNNNNNNNNNNNNNNNNNNNNNNNNNNNNNNNNNNNNNNNNNNNNNNNNNNNNNNNNNNNNNNNNNNNNNNNNNNNNNNNNNNNNNNNNNNNNNNNNNNNNNNNNNNNNNNNNNNNNNNNNNNNNNNNNNNNNNNNNNNNNNNNNNNNNNNNNNNNNNNNNNNNNNNNNNNNNNNNNNNNNNNNNNNNNNNNNNNNNNNNNNNNNNNNNNNNNNNNNNNNNNNNNNNNNNNNNNNNNNNNNNNNNNNNNNNNNNNNNNNNNNNNNNNNNNNNNNNNNNNNNNNNNNNNNNNNNNNNNNNNNNNNNNNNNNNNNNNNNNNNNNNNNNNNNNNNNNNNNNNNNNNNNNNNNNNNNNNNNNNNNNNNNNNNNNNNNNNNNNNNNNNNNNNNNNNNNNNNNNNNNNNNNNNNNNNNNNNNNNNNNNNNNNNNNNNNNNNNNNNNNNNNNNNNNNNNNNNNNNNNNNNNNNNNNNNNNNNNNNNNNNNNNNNNNNNNNNNNNNNNNNNNNNNNNNNNNNNNNNNNNNNNNNNNNNNNNNNNNNNNNNNNNNNNNNNNNNNNNNNNNNNNNNNNNNNNNNCCGGCCCUUCGCCGCGGCGGUGGGGGUGGCGGCUGAGGGCUUGUCCUUGAGCCGCCUCCCCCCCUUUCCUUUAUUUAAUUUUUUUUAAAUUAUUAUUUUUUAAUAUUUUAACUAAAUUUAAAUUUAAUUUAAUUAAUUAUUUUAUUAUUUUUUUACCACGUCAGCCCAAAACGAUGCCAUUUUUGCAUUAUUUGGCCACGUCAGCAUGCAAAACGGCAUCGUUUUGGGCUCAGUUCGUCAGAAAAAUGUCAUGUCGACGUUUUGGCCGAACUUUGGCCGGAGUGGCACUCAAGUGAUCCGUUUUUCUCGAAUGUGAUACUUAAGUGUACCUUUCGUAAGUUAUGAUACUUAAGUGUCUUUUUGUGCAAAGUUAUGGCACUUGAAGCGUUUUUUUACCGAUAGUUUUUUUAUAAACCCUAGCCGUUACUCUCUGCUUACUUACAUUCUUCUUCAUUACACCUUACCGUUUCUAUCUUUCGUUAAACGCAUUAAUAGUUUCAAUCCUCGAGAACGGCUAGCCUAUUACUGCCCAUGCCCAACUUGUGUCGUGCAACAUUCCCAGGGAGGCAAUUGUUUUGAGAAAAAAUUUCCUCAAAAAAAUUGCCUCAUCCAAGGUAGGCCACUGCGGGGCGCAGAUUUCCCAUGCUCCAUGCCCAUCCAUAAUCUUAAAGUUAUCGGUUUUUAUAUGAAAUUAUCAACUUUAAUUUGUGUCUUACCAACCUCUUUUUCCAUUGUUUUUCAACUAGUUUUAGCUUACCGGCUUUUGUGUGAAUCAUUACUAAGUUUAUUAGAUUGUUUGCCAAUUUACAACUUCUGUACAACUUACCAUAUUGUUUACUCCACAUUUCAAAAUUACCAAAUCUUGUACCGAAUUACUCUAAUAUGAUUGUCAUAUUUACUAGUCUCUAAUUAAGUUAAUAACUAGUUUAAGCUACCCAUUCUAUUUGAGCUACUUAUCAGUAUUUAUAUUUAUUUCAAACUACCANNNNNNNNNNNNNNNNNNNNNNNNNNNNNNNNNNNNNNNNNNNNNNNNNNNNNNNNNNNNNNNNNNNNNNNNNNNNNNNNNNNNNNNNNNNNNNNNNNNNCUGUUGUUAAAUUACCAAUCCUAAGUUGAGUUACUCACCAAUUUAUUCCUAUUAAAGUAUCAACUAGUUUGCCGUUACCAAUAUUAUAAAAAGAACGGGUAACCUAAAAUUAUUUCUAACUUAUUUGGAGAAAUGUUUGUUGGUAACUUGAAUCGAGGUUGAUAUAUAUUCCAGAUAUUCUUCCUCAUUUUCGAUUAGUAUUCUACUUGAUCGGUACGUUAAGAAAAAUGCUUUUGAGAUAGUAUUCUUGUUUCCGAUAUUCAAGGCAACUGCGAGUGAGAUUUUUUCUUUUCCGUUAACCUUCAAACUCAUCCCUAUCGCUUGAAGAGAUUAUCAAGAUCGAGUUUAGCGAGGACUUGAUAUUUAACCAAACUUCUAGAGAUCUUGCUAUUAGCUGUGUGCGACGAGAAGAAACCAACCGUUGUGAAAAAGUAUAAAAUGAAGUGGAGGCAUAAUUAUCGAAUUAGUUCUAAAUUUAUUGUGCAUGAUAUUUGAGUACUAGACAUUUUAAUUUUGUCGAUGUGGUCAUAAGUAUUUGCGUGAAAUUUUCAUGUAAUCUUUCUGCCCAAUUGCCGCGAGAAAUUACUAACAUGACGUCCAUUCAUCGUCAUUGUUGUACGUGGCUAGUUGACGUGGACAAUUUUACUUGAAAUGACAUCCUGCAUAGAUUGCCACUUCAGCAAUUUUCGGUGGACAUUGACUGUAAAGACGACAUUGAAAUUUUGUAUAGAAGGUUUAGGGUAAUAUUAUUGAAAUUGAAAAGUUUAUGACUGAAUUUACAUUCGUAUAAUAAAUUUAUAUUAAUUUCAUAAGUUUCCCAUAAAAUGGAACAAAGCCCACAACCUAUUCCAACACAACGGCUCAUAGCACUAGUUAGUCACAAUUUGCCAGAGUGACUUCUAGUCGAAGCCCAAUCAGACCCUUGUCACAAAAUAAUCUUUUCCCAUCAUUGACUAAACCAAAGGAACUUGAAAGCAUUAGCUUUCAACCAUGAAUAAAGUCCCCUCUCCUCCUCCUCUCUUGAAAAACAUCUGUUUUUCUUUAUUUUGGUUUUAUGUUUUCAAAUGGCUCACAGCUUGAAAGAUCGCUUUUCUGUGUUGGUUUCUUUUAAAGCAAAUUAUUUUCAACUUGAUGAUAACCUUCUAGUGCCAUGUAAUGUGUGCACAGUUUCCAUGUAUAUGGUUUAUCGAUCUGAGAUGAUUGCAUGUCAUGCAUGUGGCAGCCUAUAUGAACUUAUGAAUCUCACAGUCAAAGAGGUUUCUAGUUUGUUAUGGACAAGAAGGACAGAUGUGCCUGAUCAUUUGGUGGGAAUUAAAGAUCGAAUGGAUGAGAUUAUGAAGCGGUUAGAUCUAGAAGCUUUUGAUGUACGAUUCAUGGUGAUUUAUGGUAUGGGUGGCAUCGGAAAGACAACAUUGGCUGAGGCUGUCUUCAGACAAAUCUCCCCUCAGUUUCAAAGACAUUGCUGCUUUCUUAAGGAUGUUCGGACUCAUGAUAUAAUAAACUUACAAAAGAAAUUGUUGUCAGACAUUUUCCAUUUGAGUUGCCCAAACCUAUCCUUCAUUGAUGAAGGAGCUCACAUGAUCCAGACGAGAUUUCAUGACAAGAAAGUUCUCAUUGUUCUUGAUGACAUUGACAAUCGAGACCAAAUCAUGAGACUUGCUGGUGAGCCCAACUGGUUUGGUGAGGGUAGUAGAAUCAUCAUAACAACUAGGAAUAUUGAAUUCCUAGUAAAGGAAGGUGAGGAUGACAAUGUCCUAGCCUCUAUUAGCGGACAAUUUUCAUUCUACAAUAUGCCAGUGAUGAAUUUGCACGAUGCUUUUCAACUUUUCUAUGAGCGUGCCUUGGGAUGUGCUGAGCCUUCAACUAAUUACAUGGAUAUUGCAUAUAAGCUAAUCAAUGUGCUAGGAGGACUUCCAUUGGCUCUCAAUGUCGUAGGUUCUAUGCUCCGUGGAAAAUGCCGAAGAACAUGGGAAGACACCCUACGUAAGUUAAAGAACGUGAUGAAUGAGGAUGUCAAGAAGAAGCUAAUGAUAAGCUACGAAGCAUUGGAGCCUAAUCAACAACAAAUUUAUCUUGAUAUCGCAUGUUUCUACUUCAACAAAGAGAAAACAACUGCAGUUAUAUAUUGGGAUACGAUUUUUGGGUAUUCGACCGAAAUCGAGUUGAAUAUCCUCAAACACAUGUCUCUGAUAAAAAUAUCCAACGAUAAUAAACUAUGGAUGCAUGACCAACUUAGAGACCUUGGAAGGAGUAUCGUCCAUCCAGAAAGUGGCGAAAUCUGUAUGAAGGGUAGCAGAUUGUGGUCUCCAAAGGAUGCCUUUCAUGUAGUGCAGACAGGAACGGUAAUCUUUACCUCUACAUGUUUUCCAAUACAUCCAUUAGUGUCAUCACCUUUUUAUCUAAUUUCAAGUCAAACUUACAUAUGUACUCAUUGGUUGCUACUUUUAUUUUCUAGGGAACCAGAGACAUAGUGAUGCUUAAUCUUGGUACACCUAGCCCGAAUAAGACAUAUAGAUUUAAGCGCAAGCAAUUUGUGCACUUGGUCAACCUUAGGUUCCUUCAAUUGGACCAUGGAAAUUUUGAAGGAGACUUUAAGAAUGUUUUCUUUAAUCUGACAUGGCUCUCUUGGAGUAAUUGCCCUUCAAAAUUUCGAGCUAGCAACUUUGGGUUGAAGAACUUAAAGAUUCUCAUGUUAUCUGGGAAUAACAUUACUGAAGAUUGGGGAGGAUGGUGUCAAAUCAUGGUAUGAUCUCACGACAUCCUUUUGCAUUAUAUUUACUCUUACCUCUUUUCUGAGUGUCUACUCAAUUACUUUAUAGGUAGCAAAACAAUUGAAAAUCCUACAGCUCGAGGACUGUCCAUUCCUUAGAAAGAUGCCCAAGUUCUCCAUAUUCUCGCAGCUAGAGAAAUUGAUUCUUAGAUGCGUUCAACUAAGAAAGAUCGACAAGUCCAUUGGCAAUCUACAACAUCUUGAUUACCUAGAGAUAAAGAGUGAAGCUAUUGAGUCGCCACCGGAGUCCAUCGGCGAUCUAAAAUCUUUGACAGUGCUAAGAAUAGAUCGGACACCCUCAAUGAAGCUUCACUCGAUUGGCAAUUUAGCAAAGGUGAAGUCCCUAAUCUUGCCAUGCAAGGAACUUCAAAAGCUUCCCGACUCUAUCGGACAAUUGGACUCAUUACUUGAGCUAGAUGUCGAAUAUUUAAAAAUCAGUGAAUUACCUCAUUCUAUUGGAAAUCUUGAAAGGUUAAAAGUUUUAUGCAUUCGAAAUUUCUAUCUAGAAAAGCUACCAGACUCGAUUGGGAGGCUCCAAUCAUUGGUCAAGUUGAAUUUGAGAGAUUCAAGAAUCGGGAGCUUACCUGAUUGUAUUGGAAAUCUCAAAAAGUUGAAGGUACUAAAUCUCCAUGAUAGUUGCAUAAGUGAACUUCCAAAAACAAUAGGAAUGUUGGAAAAUCUAGAAGUGUUAGAUGCCUGCUCUAAACAUCUGGUGAGGGACAUUCCAAGUGAAAUUGGAGCACUAUCCUCAUUGAAAAAUCUAUACUUAGGCAACGGUCGCUUUAGUGGAUUGCCCACAACGAUCAAUCAACUUACAAAUCUCCAACAACUUUUUUUAGGGCACUGUAAUUCAAUCCAACAGCUACCGGAGCUUCCCAAGAGUCUAACGUCUUUAACCCUUACCAUGAUCCCCGAGUGCUCAAACCUAACCAAUUUAGUUGACCUUACAAUAAUGGGAUAUUCAAUUGAAGAACCCAACAUAGAGGGGAUUGUGAGACUACCUGCUCUGAAACGACUGACCCUCCGCGUUGGAAAAAUGGCCUUGCCUCCAACAGAUUUCAGUUCCCUCUCUCAGCUACAAACCCUCAUCAUAAAUUAUGCUGAGCUCCAAUCUCUUAUCAGGCUCCCAUCUAGCCUUCGAUAUUUGUCGUUAUGCGAUGUCCAGUCACCGAUAGAUUGGUCAAUCUUUUCCAACUUCGAGAAUUUUUUGAAUGUGACUAUUGAUAGAUAUUUACUGAGAGAUAUUCGAUUCGAGGUACUUGGAGAGCUACGGAAAUUCAAUAGCUUGCGGAUGUCCGACUAUCCAUUGCUCAAGACACUGCUCGUUCUGCCUGGUCUGAAGGAGAUCAAGCUUUUGUUCCUGGAGCGAUUUCCUCUGCUAACUGAGAUUCAGGGUUUGGGAGAAUUAAAAUCAUUGCGGGGUUUGUAUUUCUUGAAAUGCAAUUCCAUCAAAAGCUUAAACGAAUCUGAUCUUUCUAAUUUACAGAAUCUGAAAAUUUUGUCGUUCUGUUUAUGUGAAUCAUUGGAGAGGGUGCUGGGUGUGCCAAAAUCUUGUCGAUGCAUAGUCGAUGGUUGCCCGAGGUUCAAUAGAGAUGGAUAAGAUAUGUAUCAUUUGUUUGGCAAAGAUAGUCGAUGAUGGUAAGUUCAUAGAACUAGAGUUUGUUUUUUGCUGCGUCCUGUUUUGUGAGUUUUCUUUCAGCUAAGCUUUCAUCUUAGUUCUAGAACCACCACUUGUAUUUGUUCAUCCUCUUAUCUCUGAGCAAAAUUCCUUUUUUGUAUGUCAUGAACAUGCAGUACUUUCACUUGCCUCCACGAUGGUGAUGCUUAGCUGGUUUAUGUUGCGCAUCAGCAUAAUGUUGGGGUUGACAUGCUUGGUAGCACGUAACUUGCUUAGAUAGUAAGCACACUGAAGAUGCUAACAAAUGCUAGGUUUUGUUGAAAGGCAGAUGUGGUUGAGAGUACCGGUCAUACCUUAUGGAAUGUUUUUUCAAUUUCACUACAGUACAUUCAUGAUUUGUGAGGAAUGAAAUAAAAGAAUUCCAUUGUGCAAUCUUGUAUUAUACUUUAUUGUUUCCGGACAUUUCAUAUUUUUGUGCUUUCUUCUAUUGCUUUUGUCUGUAUUUAAUAGAGUCUCUUCAGGUAUCUAGUAGUCGAAAUAGGAUAACUAGCAGUAGCAAUGAGGAUCCUCCCAUAACCACUAAAGUGGCCAAGUUAAAACGGUUGAUGAGUUUCUAAAGCAUGAAUGAGAGGAUCGUCUAUGGCUGUUUGAUUAAGAGAAAGAUUAAAGAUGUGAAAUAUUUGGAGGUUUUCUCUACUAAAAAUUUGGAAGUGGUGAUCAAAUGUCCACUGGAUUCUCUAUUUUGCACAUUGAUGGCAUUGAUUUUGUCAGCAAAAGGGAGAAAUUUUGAAUAUUCGACGAAAUUGAUUUCAUUGCUCCAAAGAGAAAUAAUAAGGGUUUCACUGGCCAUGUCAUCAAUCAAGUCAGUUUCUUGCAUUCAUAGCACUUAUAAGGUGGUCAAGUGACAUAUAUUCAAUGGUAUGACUCACUAAUGGUUAAUUCAAUGGUGCAGUUUUUACUAUAUUAGAUGGUGUUGAAGUUUUAACCAGUCCAUUGCCGUUCACACAAUCAAGGUAAUGAUUUCAUCUUACAUGGUAACAAAAGUGCACUCUUCCAAUUGCACACUACCUGUAAACUACUAUUUGAAGUUGCACAGCCAUUAUGAAUGCUUUGGCAAAUAUUUUCCACCGAGCAUUUACCAUGGAGACUAUGUUAUUAACCUUUAAGGCGGACUGUAAAAUGCUAGACUUGACUUUUACUUGGUUUAGAACUGUUUAACUCCAUAUACACGUUAUUGGAUAAACUACAUAUGCAUCAAAGAAGGUAACAAAAGAUGGGAUUGCAUAAUUUUUCAGUUGCUGAAGUAGCGUGCAAGAAGUGUAUUAAGCUAGACUUGUGCCUCUACAACACCAUCAAUGGAUUUUGAUAGUCUUGUGACAUCAAGCAUAGGGUGAUUUCUCAUAUCUGUCAUGACAUCUUUGUGGCAUGAGGUGGUCUUUGGUUUUCCUUAGGAGUCAUGAGUUCAUCUAUAUCAUAAUAACUCCAAUUCACUUUCCUUUCUUGGGAUCCUGUUUCUUUAUUUUGUAGUUGUCCAAUUAUGUGCUUUUAGUUCUAAUCGAGUUGCAUUUGGUGUGAAGUAGUAGACCAGGACUUACUUGAUGGUGCACUUCUGAGACCUGGCAGGCUUGAACACUUCUGUUCUGUGAUUUUUCUUCAAUACAGGAGAGGCUGGAUAUCCUUUAAUUUUUAUCAAGGAAGGUAAAAAAUUAGCAUCCAUCCAUCUGCCAGCACUUGCUUUUAGUUUAUUUCAUCUCUGACAUGGUUCGAAAUAGGUUGUAGGGAUUGAAAUUUACAAGAUUACUUUGUUAAAGAACAUCAUAUUUGCAUAACUUUUUGAGAGGAUGCAUCGGAAAAAUUACAUAUGAACAGAGAAUUGUUAAAAAAAGAAAAAAUAGGGAGAGCUAGAAACAGAGUCAAUUUGAGCAGCUGAAGAUCCUGUUUAGAACUCGAGGCAUCUGACACAGUACUUUUAGAAGAAAACGUUGUAAAAGGCAUUGUGGGUUGGAUUUACAACCCGCUUGGGUGAGGCCUAGGUAAGUUUAGAUGUGCAAUGGUAAAUCACUUUCAACCUCGGACCUUGAAACUGAGAUCUGACACCUACUGGUGUUGCUCAGACAAAAAUGAAAAGGCCUUUACAGCUUUUUUUUAUGAAACAGGACUAGGACUUACCUUUGGGUAUCAUUUCGUAUAAACCUUUCAAAGACAUUGUCAUCCCUCUCUUUUUCUUUUCUUGAGACUAAUUAGGAACAUGUUGUGCGAAUUCAUUUAAUCCUAUUACAACAGUUCAGCAUAAUCAGGCAGUUAAAAUGGCAACAAUGGGCGCCGCUGAAGUUUUGCUAAUUGUCUGCUUCAAUGCCCUCAUGCAGCUUCCUUUGGCCAGUGACGUGGACUUGGGUGCUACACGAAUCGAUCUAAUCAUAAUCAACUAUUCUUGAAGCUCUGCUUCCAGAAGCACAGCUGCAAGCCGAGAGAGUUCUCAAGCGCGGGAAAGAUAGUUAUAACGGACUCUCUUCUGAAGUUCGCUGCUUCAAAGGCGAGCUCGUCAAUCUCAGAUGCCGAGAAGAGAAGACUCCACAAAAGUUCUCUUCACUCUUUGAAUUCUAUCAUCUUUACCCAAAACUACAAAUUGUGCAUCUCCAAUCAAAAAAUUCAACUGGGGAAUUUGACAGUUGCUUAUGACGCAUCUUUGUACGUCAGUAGAUCAUUGAUCAGCAUACCUCCUCCGAAUAGUCUACCCAGCCUCGUAGUUUAUUCGUCUAUUAAUUUUUGUGAGUCCAAUAAUGUCAAACAGCUUAAUCCUUGCCAACAACAUUUUCAUCCGCAUGUCUAUAAUAUUCGUCUUGGCCAGUAAAUCAAUAAGAUGGCACGCUCAGGUUGGUUUUUCAGUUUGCAGUCUGAAAAUUCAAACAGUGAGCAGUUGCUGGGGCGAUCCCUUUGCAUUUUAGAAAAUCGAAGAAAUGAGGAUGAAAAGAUUGCCUUUUCACAGCAGCUACUAUUUCCACGGCUUCUUUGGCUUUGAGCAUCUUAUUCAAAGUGAGGAGACAAUGCUUACCACUUAGCAAUAAUCGACGAAAGCUGUGGAACCCCAUCUUUGUAUCCUUUCAUCUCUGGUUGUAAUAAGCUUCUGCCUCUACCCAAAUGUUGUUCAUUUGAGUGGCGAGGGACAUCAGCCUGAGUACUCCUAGCCGCGUAGAACAAUCUCUUCGAUGGGUCAAUGGCAUGGUGCACCAUCUAUUUUCAAAAAACUUCAUAUCAGAAAAAUUCUAAUGUAAUCAUCUGCACUAUAACGCUACUUUGUUCGCUGUUGAUAUGAUAUUUCAAGAUGCAAUUCAUAAGUAUUGUCAUAGUGAGUCUUUAUGUGAAUAUGCUUUUUUUUUUCUUGUUCUUGGCUUGAAAGAGUCUUUAUGAAACUAUUGUCUAAAGGAAGUAAUUCAAAUAAAUCAUGAAUAUAUCAAGGCACAAGAGCAUAGGUGACCGGCUUAAAAAUGAGGCAUCGCGAAAUGGAGAGAUCACUUUUUUACUGAUUUCAUCGAAUUAAUCUUUUAUAAUUGGGAAAAGUGGUCCAUUUCUUCUAACUGGUCAAUUAGUGUAGAUUUCAUUGGUGGUCAAUGCACUAGAAGAAAUUGAACCGAAGGGAUCACUUGGCCACUUAAUCACUAUUUUUAUCAACCGCAGAAAAUAUGUCAGUUAAAGCCGAAACCUUAAACUCAUUAAAAAAUUUAGUGAGAGGUCCAAUAUCCCACAAAGCUUAUGGGCCGACUAAAUAAAGUAAUUUUGGCCCAAAUAAAUUAAGAUAUGUAAACGGUUAUAUAACGCAUCAACUAUUUGAUGUCAAAUUGUACUCUUGCCUUUUUGACCAAAAAAAAACUGUACUAUUGCCUUAGUGCAUUACCUUAGAUUGGGGAGCAAAAGGAGGAGAGGCCAAAAAAGAGAAACAAUAUAUUUGUAUGAUGUUGAAUUUAUGGAGGAUAAACAAAAUAUUACAAAAUGCUUGAAGCAAAUAAUAGCUUGACUUGCUUAAGUCAAUUAGUCAGUUUAAAAUAUCCUUGCUAUUGACAAUAAUUAACGUUCAAAUAUUUUCAUCAUGUAUUUCGUUCGUUCAUUUUUGUAAAUAAUCAUAUUUAGAAAAAUAUUUUUCAAAUAAUUUAUUUUUCGCAAAACAAACGGACACUAAUACAUGAAUUGAUGCCCCAUGUUUCUGUAAUUUUUUUUUUUUGGGACAUCAUAUGAUGAUGAAAAGGGCUGUUGGAUUGGCAGCAGUAGUUGUUCAAGUCAAGCUUUGUUGAUAAUGACAUGACGUUUGCUUUUCUUGAAGAAAACAUCCUUUGGUGUAUACUCUCGUAAAUUUUCUCAACUUUGACCGGACGGAGUUCCAUAUUGGAGGCAGAGAGUGCAAAGAAAUUUGCGAGAUGAUAUGAUGAUGAAGAGCCAAAAAGCUGAAGUCAAAGGUGCUUUAUUUGGCAUUUUGCCUUUUUGAAUGUUUAGCCGCCUAAAAUGCAGCUAGUUGUAACUUAAUCGAGUUAAUAGCCUUUCUUUUUCUUUUUAAACAUAACAAACCUAUAACAAACUGUGUAUUUUGACAUGAUUGUAUAGACUCACUUUACCACUUAUGUGAUUGAUGAAAAUAAUCGCAUCGCAAGAUUAAUGUGAGGGCUGUGGAUCUUUUUCAUCUCCUAUGUAAAUAACUGCAACCUUUCGAAUGUAUGUUUUAUUUAUGACAAUCAUUUCUGCAAAUGACGGGAGCCCAAAUUGCAAUCGAGUCCGAUUGGGCUUUGUGUGGAGCUAAGGCGCCAAAUAAAAUAAUCUCUUUUGUGAAUUUUUCAGUCGUUGCCUUCGUGUGGUCCUCGAUGUAUGCUCCCUAGUGGCCUGAACAACCGGCCUAUUACUUCUAUUGGCUAUAAGGAGUCACUAUUUCUUCAUUUAGAAAUAAAAUAGGCUUACAAACAAAUAUGAUUGAUGUAAGUAGAAUUAUAAACUCUGGUGAAUGUUCAUUCCCUUCGUUGCUCCAUGUGGGUCUUUCGUUUUAGACGUAGUCGCCACUCUACAGGCCAAGAAGGGUUCUGGUGAGGUUCGUUGUCUCACGCAACUCGUACUUCUGAUUAUGUGAACUAGAUUAUGUGGGAAUUUCCAUUUAUCUUCCACUAGUUGAUAGGGAAGUGGUGGUUAUUUGCUUUUUAACAACAACCUGUGGAUUUCAGUAAUUUAGUUGAGGGGUACGCAAUUGAUUGACAACCUUGUGUUGAAAUUGCAAGGCUUUGAAUCUUAAAAUGAUUGCAGUUUCUCUCUCUCUCUCUCUACACACGCAAACACACGCAAACACAAGUACUACUGUGUCCUGUCUCCAUCUUUCUUUGCACUGAGGUUUACUCCAUUAAAUAGGCUAUGACCCUUGACCCUCUGACAGUACAUAAACAAAGGUGUGAUAUUUCUCUCAAUAUGAAAAUCCAGGGUUUGAAUUGAUCAAUCAUUUCAAAUGGGGACACCUUGAUGCAACAAUUACUUCACCACUCCAUUCCACCAAAACGAUACACUCUUGUUUCCUCUCUCGUUUUUUGAUAUGUAAACCUGCAUAAUGACUGAAGCAAAUUGGCUUAUUUGCUAUAGCAAAAUGACCUGUGAUUGAGGAUGCCAUUAUAUGUGUGCACAAUCAUGUGUUUCAGUAAGAUUGAAUCAUGGCCUCAGAACUGGAAUUUAAAGCUGAACGCUUUUCGGUGCGUGUAUUUUAACUGAGGAUACUUAAUGGGUAUCUGUCAGACUCAUGCUGUUGACUGUUGAGGCUGUUCACAAAGUAAACUUAUUAUCACGUAACCAGAUCAUAUUUUCUCAAUCUGGAGUUCUUUGUAUUGUCUUAGAAUUGACCAAUGUUUUCCUUUGCAGUUUCUGUUUUUCAUCUGGAAUCCUCGACUGUCUAUCAUUCAAUAUGUGUGUGUGUAUGUAAACUAAUUUUUUCUCAUAAACUUGUUAUCCUAAAAAAUAUUAUCUUAAAAAAUCUUCUUGCUCCUUGAUGCUCUUUUAGCUAAUCAUAUCACCCCUUUCUAUCUUUACAAAGCAAAUGGAGGAUAGCCUAGUUUAAUUCUUGGGAAAAUGUAACAAAUGGUCCCUAUACUAUUACUUAAUGUGUAAUUUGGUCCCUGAACUUUCAAUCGGCUCAAUUUGAUUCUUGAACUAUUGAUAAAUGUCUGAUUUGGUCCCUGAAUUUUCAAUCGACUCAAUUUGGUCCCUGAACUAUUUGAUAAAUGUCUGAUUUGGUCCUUGAACUUUCGAUCGGCUCAAUUUGGUCCCUGAAUUAUUGAUAAAUGUUUGAUUUAGUCCUUAGUUACUGUUUUUCCUUUUUUUUUUUUUUUUUUAACUUCUUCUCUCUUCCCUCCGCCGGCUCCGGCGAGGGUUGCCCUCGCCAGCUGGCCCUCGCCGGUCGCAGGCGAGGGCGGCCCUUGCCGGCUGGCCCUCGUCAGAUGCAGGCGAGGGCGGCCCUCGCCGGCGUUGAGCGAGGGAGCCCCUCACCCGGCUCGCCCGACGCCGGCGAGGGGCUCCCUCANNNNNNNNNNNNNNNNNNNNNNNNNNNNNNNNNNNNNNNNNNNNNNNNNNNNNNNNNNNNNNNNNNNNNNNNNNNNNNNNNNNNNNNNNNNNNNNNNNNNNNNNNNNNNNNNNAUCGUUUCACGAGUAAGACAUCAACCACUUCCACUCUCUAUUUACGUUGACCAUAUGCCGGGUUCGUAUGUAUCAUCUAGCUUGAUUAGGAUAUUAUGAUCACGCAAAACUCGCGCUCGAGCCCAAAGUUAAAACUCUUGCCAAAAAGGUCCCCUGGGCUGUUUAUGUAAAUGUCUGAGGCAGUCCCUGCGACUUUCAAUUGGCUCAAUGAGGUCCCUGAACUACUGAUAAAUAUUAGACUUAGUUCCAUGUUACGUUUCUCCUUGUCAAGAUGAUUUGUACAAAAAGUCACCUUCUCAAUUUUGCUAAUGAGGUGUGAGGGAUCCCUCCUACCAGGACCGGCGACGGCGACCCUAACCCAACACCAGGGAGGGUCGCCCUCGCCUGUGUCCGGCGAGGGCGACCCUCACUGGAGCUGGCUUCCCUUCGCUGGAGCCGGCGGAGGGAAGAGAGAAGAAGCAAAAAAGAUUAAAAAAAUUUAAAAAUUUAAAUUUAAAAAAAAUAAAAAUAAAAAAGGAAAAACAGUAACAAGGACUAAAUCGAAUAUUUAUCAAUAGUUCAGGGACCAAAUUGAGCCAAUUGAAAGUUCAGGGACUAAAUCAGACAUUUAUCAAAUAGUUCAGGGACCUUUUGGCUUGAGUUUUCACUUUGUGUUCGGUGCGCUAGUUUUGGGUUAAUGUUAGGUCCAUCUAUUUGGUGUCGUUUCACCUUGACUAUGUAUGUUUAGUGAGGACCAAUUUAAAUUUGAAUUCAGGGGGAAAAACAUGGGCCUGCCUGAGUUCCACUGUGGAAUACAUGUCAACAAGAGUGUUUUUGGAUCAAGUGACUUAGUGCUGUAAUUUGGUGGGUCUCUUGUUGUAAGAUCUUAGAGAUUCCUAUUAUAUUAGAGCAAUGCAGGAAUAGUCUGGUUACAAAGUCCGUGCCAUGAUAAUAUGUAUAUAUAUUACUAAAAUUAACUUUUUGCAACUUUUAAGUAUGUAACGUAAGUACAUUACAAAAUCAAAAUUUUGAUUCAAGUCAAUACAGUAGUGCUAAGCUCGAGGUCAACUCCCUUUAGAUAUUCGAUGCUCAAAACUCCCCUCAAAUCAUGGAGUAUUAAAUUUUUGGCUCGAGCUUCACCAGAACAGAAUCAAGAUAUUCAACAUCAGGUAGACUCUAUAAUCAAAUUAAAAAAUGGUCUUGUGCGCAAGCUCAAUAACUUAAAAUAUUAUCCUCUACAUUUAUGUUCUUUAGGUAUACUACAAUUUUCAAAUAUCUUCUACUCUAUUUUCGUAACCAUCAAUUAUUUUCUGAACAAAAUGAUAGAAAUUGGAUUAGAAUUGCGAGUCUCUCAAACAAUGUCCUCGUAAGCUUGAUCUUGACUUGAUGAAAUACUUGGUGUAGCUCCUGUGUAAGCUCAACUUGAAACGAGACCAAUCAAUUUCAACUAAUUAUUAAGUCAAGCUUGAAUUAGUCCUAAGUUGGAUUCAACUUCACCCCCUAGUGCUAGGCCCGCAAAGUCUGAUAUAUGCAUGAGGACUUCUAUGGGCCAAAUGGUAUAUCAGACAUUGAAUUCCAUGUUAUGUGAUGUAAGCUCUUCCUUGGUAGGAGGGUCAUGCACAUCUCCCCGGUGUGUUAUAACUUCUAAAUAAACGUGAAUUUCUAGAGAAGUUGAUGGAAAAAAAGUAUAUGAUCAAAAUUCAAUGGGACAAUUAAAAGUCACAAUGGGAUAAUAUUUUUGUUUCUAUGUAGAAGGAAUGUAUAUUUACUAUGCAUGCUAAUUAUUCCUAUGAUUAUGAAUAUACCAAGAUGAUCAAACGUAGAAGGCCAUCACUAAAAUUAGGAAAAUUUGUGUUUUUUCUCAAAACAAUCUAUAAACGGUACUUCAUGCAUUACAAUCGAUCUAUGACUCUUCAAAGCAGAGGCAACCUAGAGUCAAAUUCACAUUUCACAACCUUUUCAUGACAAAAGAAAAAAUAUUAGUAAGUGGAAUAAAGGCAAGUAUCAAUUGAUCAUGCCAAUUAGUGCGAAUUGGGAUUAAAUAUUAGAAGAUCUGCUUUCUUUGGGUCACCGAAAGCAGUAUGGAAUUCUAGCCCCAACUGAGAAAAGCUAAUCCUUCUUAAUUUAAUGAGCAAAAAAAAAGCAAUCAAAAUAUGCUUUUCUAGCCUAGAAAUGAUGGAAGAGAUUCCUCCCCAAAAACAAAACAAAGAAAGAGAUUAAAUGGGAUCCAUCAUUAUGCUUCCUUUAUGGUCACGCCAGAUUUGAGCGGCGCUAAGUGGCCAAUUAAAAUCAUCUUUUUUAUAAUGGGAUCCAUUAUAAAGUUAUUAUAAUGUAACUUUGUCUAAAAGCAAAAGUACUAGAAAAAGCAUCUCUAUUGGGAUCCCUUGAUUCACGCCAAAAAAGUCAUAUUCGAGUUCAUUUGAUUUGUGGGCCUUGUUUGUCUCAUUUCUUGUUUCCAAAAUUGAGGCGCGUGUACAAGAAGCCUCAUUUUUUUCUUUUUUGUGAAGUUAAUUGCUGAUAUCAAUAAAAUAUUUAACAUAUAUAUUUACUUUAUUGUUAGAAUAUUCAAAUAUUCUACAAGCUUUUAUCUAAUAAUUUAAAUUUUCAUAAUAGUUUGCAGUAGUCUCAUAAAAUUUUAUGUUUACAUCUAUAACAUAUAUUGGCUUAGCUAAAGUAGAAUGGAAUUCUUGCUCCAGUUGAGAAAAGCUCAUCCUUCUUAACUUAAUGAGCAAAACAAAAGCAAUCAAAAUCUGCUUUUCUAGCCUAGAAAUGAAGGAAGAGAUUCCUCCGCAAAAACAAAACAAAGAAAGAGAUUAAAGGUGAUCCAUUAUGCUUCCUUUGUGGUCACAAGAGAUUUGAGUGGAGCUAAGUGACCACUUAAAAUCAUCUUAUUCAUAAUAUUAUUAUGAUUAAUUUUGUCUAAAAGCAAAGCACUAGAACAAGCAUCUCGAUAGGGAUCCCUUGAUUUACGCCAAAGAAGUUAAACACAAUUUCAUUGGGAGAAUUACCAAAAAAGUCCUAAACUUAUUGCAAUUGUACCAAUUUAGUUCAAAAAUUUUUUUUAGACAAAUUUAGUCCUAAACCUUUUACAAUUGUGCCAAUUUAGUCCAUCCGGCCAAAAUUGGCUGGCUGGCGUUGACAUGGACACUGGCCAUCCGACGAAUGCUAAUGUGGAAUUUUUUAAAUUUUUUAAAAAAUUUCGAAUUUUUAAAUAUAUUUUUUGAAUUUUUAAAUAUAUUUUUUGAAUUUUUAGAUAUUUUUCAAAUUUUUUAAUUCUUUUUUUUCCCAUCAUCUUCUUCACCUCUUGGCUGGCUACAGGUGAGGGCCGGCGAAGGCAAGGCCCCACCAGAUCCAGUGAGCUCGGCCCUUGCCAAAUCCGAUAAGGCCUCGCCCAGCCAAGCGAGGGUCGACCUUGCCAGCCACUGGCGAGGCGACCUCGCUUGCCGUCCACAAUGCAGUAGCAAUCAAAAGCCGCGAGCUCGCUCGCACUCCGGAGGCGCAAUUGCAAGGCACGGAUUGAGGUGGAGAGAGAGAACGGUUCCGAGCAAGCGGCGAGGCAACCUCCUCAACUGGAGAAUCUACGAGUGACUGUCCCUUUCUCUCUCUCGUUUGAAGUGACCGAGCGGCGGUGACAUAGCUGACGGCGACAGGGNNNNNNNNNNNNNNNNNNNNNNNNNNNNNNNNNNNNNNNNNNNNNNNNNNNNNNNNNNNNNNNNNNNNNNNNNNNNNNNNNNNNNNNNNNNNNNNNNNNNNNNNNNNNNNNNNNNNNNNNNNNNNNNNNNNNNNNNNNNNNNNNNNNNNNNNNNNNNNNNNNNNNNNNNNNNNNNNNNNNNNNNNNNNNNNNNNGGCAUCGGGAGUUCAGGCAGUGUCGAUGGCGCUCCUUCUGCUAGGAUCUAGCCCCUUCUCUAGUUUCUCUCCUCUCUCCGGUCCAUCUUCGCAAAUCUGGAACUCCCUUGCCCAGAACUCGCUUGACCGUCAUCUCGCAACUUCACACGUGGCACACUAUAGCCGAAUAUAGACAGAGAAGGCAAAUUAAAUCACCGAUACGUUAUGGUUAUACAUAUAUUGCUUAUGUAUUGACUGUAGGUGAUGAGGUGGAGAGAGAUGAGCCUUCGUAUUACUUGAGGCGAUGGCUAGUUUGAAGUCGUCAUAAUGGCUAGGGGUUAUGAGUGAAAAUAUGGAAUCACUCUAUCGAAAUUAGACAUGAGAGCUGGUCAAGUACCCAAGAGCCAAAAGAUUGUCGAAAGUAAAUUGGUCUUCAAACGGAAAUAGGGCAUUCUCGUUGUUGAGGCAAUGAGGUAUAAGGUGAGACUUGUGGCAAAAGGGUAUACACAGCGUGAGGGCAUUGACUAUAAUGAGGUGUUCUCUCCUAUGGCAAGACAUACUUCUAUUCAUGUUUUACUUGCCUUAGUUGCUUCGCAGGAUCUCAAGUUAGAGCAACUAGAUGUGAAAACUACGUUUCUUCACGGUGAGUUAGAGGAGUAGAUUUACAUGAGGCAACCAGAGAGAUUUGCUAUUCCGAGUAAAGAAGAUCAUAUUUACUUGUUAAAGAAAUCUUUGUAUUGGCUGAAAUAGUCUCCUAGGCAGUGGUAUAAACAUCUUGAUGCUUUCAUGGCUAGUGAAAACUAUUCAAAAAGUCAGUUGGAUAGCUUUGUUUACUAUAGGAGAUUGGAGAAUGGUUAUUUGAUUUAUCUACUCUUAUAUGUUGAUGAUAUGUUGAUAGAAGUUAUGAAUAUGCCUUAUAUUGAUGUGCUAAAGAGGCGGUUAAAUGUUGAUUUUUUUAGAUGAAAGAUUUUGGUGCUGUAAAGAAAAUUUUGGGUAUGGAGAUUUUGCAUGACAGGACUGCAUGAGUUUUAUGUCUAUUUCAAAAGAAAUAUAUUGAGAAGAUCAUAACACGUUUUAAUAUGCAAUCAGCAAAAUCUAUAAGUAAACCUUUAGAGAAGCACUUUAAAAUUUCAGAUAAAUUAUCACCGCAGACUGAGAAGGAGGAGGAGCAUAUGUCUCGUGUUCCUUAUUCUAGUAAUGUUGGUAGUAUUAUGUAUGUUAUGAUGUGCACUAGGUCUGAUAUUUCACAAGCUGUGAGCAUAAUUAGUCGCUACAUGAAGCGUUCUGGUAAAGCUCAUUGGGAAGCUGUGAAGUGGAUUCUCAAAUAUUUAAAGAAGACAACAGACGUGGGUAUAGUAUACCGGAGGGACAACAAUGGCAAUGAGACCACUGGUUUUGUGUAUUCAGAUCACGCUGGUGACUUGGAUGAUCGCAGAUCUUUAAUAGGGUACGUGUUUACGCAAGCCAAUGGUGUAGUUAGUUGGAAAGCAUCCUUACAGGAUCACAUUGCCUUGUCUUCGACUGAGGUAGAGUACAUAGCACUAACCUUUGUAGCGAAGGAGGCGAUAUGAUUACAAAGUUUGCUCUUAGGCUUUGGGUUAGAAUAGAAAAGUGUGGAUAUACACUGCGAUAACCAAGGUGCGAUAUAUUUGACGUAUAAUCCAAUUUAUCAUGAGUGAAUGAAGCAUAUCAACAUCAAGUACCACUUCAUCGAAGAUGUCUUAGCUAAAUGUAAUGUUACUAUUAAAAAGAUUGUUACAGCAGAUAAACUCAACAGACAUGAUGACUAAGUNNNNNNNNNNNNNNNNNNNNNNNNNNNNNNNNNNNNNNNNNNNNNNNNNNNNNNNNNNNNNNNNNNNNNNNNNNNNNNNNNNNNNNNNNNNNNNNNNNNNAGUAAAAAAAAAAAUAUUCCAGAAUGACAACGUUUGCUCUUGAGACUUCGUCAAUAUUCUUCAACUAGCCUUCUAUUUGGCGGCGAGGUCUGAAUGCUUAAUUUUUUAUUUAUUUUUUAACUUGUGAAGGAAGGCCGCAAGUAAUUUCCAGGCAAACGUAGUGGAAGUGAAGUCAUCUCACUCUGUUUCUUUAUCAAGUUGUUAUAAGAUGAAGAUAUGACAAGUGAUAGCUUGACUAUAUAGAAUUGUGCCUUACACAGGACAACUUGUGUUUAUGCGUGUGAAAAUUACAUAUGAGCUAUCUGUUUCCAUAUGAUGAAUUACAUGCUUCCAUAUACUCUCAAUCAUGUUGCACUUCAGCUAAAAUAAAGAUACCUGAGACGACCUCUUCCUCUUCGAAGUCUUUGAUCAAUUAUUGCCUCAACCUCCUAUUUUGUGCGAGUCUAAAUGGUCUUUUUUACAGGCGAAUGUAGCGGAAGUAAGCGAGCGAUCUCACUCUGUUGCUUUUUGUCAGGUUGUUACAAGGAUCGGACUCAAUUCAGAGAUCAAUAGCCAUUGUCCUCACGGAAUGAAGAGAAAGAGGGAGAGAAAAGAAAUGGAAAUGGAAAUGGCAGCUCCAACAAGCAGCAGCCAUGAUGACAGGUCAAGGAGGGGCUAUGAGGUGUUCCUCAACUUCAGAGGGCCUGACACCCGCUUAACCAUCAUUGAUUCUCUCUACAAUGACAUGAUCCGCACGGGGAUUUGCACUUUCAAAGACAAUGAAGAGCUUCGAUUUGGUGAAGAGAUUGAAGGCAGCCUCUUGCAAGCGAUCAAUGAAUCCAGAAUUUACAUCCCAAUUUUUUCCAAAAACUACGCUUCAAGUAAGUGGUGUCUCCAUGAGCUGGCACGCAUAGUGGAGUUAUCGAAAGAUAAUGAUGAGAAAGUGAUUCUCCCUAUCUUCUAUGAUGUGGAUGUGGAUGAUAUCAAGCUUAAGACUAAUUUAUAUUGGAAAGCCCUCCAAAAGUACAAGAGUGACUCAGAGAAGGAUUUAGUAAAGAAGUGGAAGAAGGCUUUGAGAGCAGUUGCCAGAAUUUAAGGAAGAAUCUAAAAGAUCAUGGGUAUUGUUUGCUUCUCCAUAACUUUAUUUUCUUAUUGACAUUUUCAAUUUUUUUUUCCUCUAAAGAAUAAUUAGAUUCAGGUUGCUGCUGUCCAACCUUAUGUAAUGUAUGGUUGGAUUUGACGCAAUGGGGAGCUAGAAAUUUUGCUCAGAUGGCGAGGUUUCUUGCACAAAUUGAAUUUUCACUUUUAAUACUAAGUUUUGAUAACAAUUAAGUUAAGGUAUAUCAACUUAAUUAAUUAAUCUAUAAUGCCAAAAAACCAAGAUAUCCAUGAAGAUCUAAGAUUCGAAAAAAUAGUAAGACCAUAUAAGUGUGAAAAAAAUAAAUUAAGUUUCUUAACUUCAAUUGCAUUCCAUACAUAAAGUUAAGAGAUAUGUGCAUUGAAAGUCCUAAAACUUAUCACAAAAGUACAAUCGAAUCUUAAAACCUGCAAAAAAUGCAAUCAAGUUCUAAAACCCGUCGAAUUGGUUCAAUUGAAUCCUUCAGUUAAUUCCAUUCAAUUAGCUAACAGAAAAUACUAACAUGUCUUAUUUUGUUUUUUUAUUAGACACGUGCCCAUGACAUGGUGCUCACCAAGUGCCACAUUAGAAAAAAAUUAAAAAUUACAAGCAAAAUUAGAUUAAAAUAUAAAAAGCUAUAAAUUUUUAAUAAAAAAAAAAACUCACCCCACGGCUUGGUCAAGCCCUUGCUGGUGGCCACUGCCACAACCACUGGGAGGGGUUUUGGUGGAGGUCACCUAGGCCUUUGUCGGCCUUGGGCGAGGCCUUGGCAUGCCCAGAUGAGGGUCCCCAAGCUUUGAGAAGGCCUAGGGCUGCCUUAGCCACAACUUGAUUUUUUUUUUAAAUUUAUCUUUUUUUUAAUUUAAUUUUGUUUGUAUUCUUUAAAUUUUAUUCCUGAUGUGGCACUUGGUGGGUGCAACAUCAUCGCCACAUGUCUUAAGAAAAUAAUAAAAUAAGACAUGCCAAUAUUUUCAGUUAGCUUAAUUGAACGGAGGUAACAGAAUGACUCAAUUGAACUAAGGGUGCGUUUGGGAACUAUUUUUGGGGAAAGUCCUUGGGAAAAUGCAAAGACCUUGGAGUUAAAGGUGCUUUUUAAAAUGCAAUUGUGUUUGGUAAAUUGUACUUUGAAAGCCCCUUUUGUGAAGUACUUUUAACAAAAUAGUGUUUGGGGAAUUGCAUUUACAAAGAUCUUUGUGAUAAAAAAAAAAAUUGGCAAAAGAAAAAUUUAAAAAAAUUGACCGGCAAGGGCAGCGACCGCCGGCGACCUCCGGCGACCUCCGACUACCUCCGGCGACCUCGGAUAUGAGGCGGUGAGGCCGCGCGAUGCCGUCGCGACCUCCGGCGACCCCGGAUCUGGGGCGGCGAGGUCGUGCGACGCCGCCUCGACCUCAGGCGACCCCGGAUCUGGGGCGGCGAGGUCGCGCGACGCCGCCUCGACCUCCGGCGACCUCGAUCCGGGGCGUCGAAGUCACGGCAGGACCUCGCCGCCCCAGAUCUGGGUCCCGGCGGCGUCGCGCGACCUCGCCGCCCCCGGAUUUGGGGCGGCGAGGUCGCGGGAUGUCGCAUGGCGCCACCGCGACCCAGAUCCGUGGGCGGCGAGGCGCGACCCAGAUCUGGUCGCCGCUCGAGCCUCCAGCACCAGAUCUGGUCGCGACCAGACCUGCAACUAGGUGGGUCGCGCGGCCCCGGUGAGCUCCGUGCGGAGGUCGCAGUGCGGCAGGCGACGGUCGCCGGCGACCGCGUGCCUUUUGGCCACCAGAUCUGCGACUUGUGGAGGUCGCCCGAAGCUUCGAUGAAGAUCACGUAGGUCAUGGCGUCUCUCUACACCUGGAGAAGAUGAACAGUGCUCGACAAGGGCACGCAUCCGGAAAAUCCAAAAAUUCGUGAGGAUAAUUUUGGAAAAAAAAAAGUAUGAACAGUGCGGGCGUGGCAUGCCGAAAAUGCCGAAAGCCCAAGGCAGGUCUCCCCCUGCCUUGGGCUUUCAGCCUUCACAAGGCUGGCAUUUGGAGAAGGUGGGUUCAAAGUUUUUUGCCAAACAGGCUGGCAUUUGCCCAAGUAUCUUUAGCCCUCCAAAGGGCUUUGGGAAGUGGUUCCCAAACGGACCCUAAUUUGAUAAGUUUUAAGGCUUGAUUACGCUUUUUGCAAGUUUUAGGACUCGAUUCUCUUUUCACGACAAGUUUUAGGACUUCUAGUAAACUUAUUUGCUAAAGUUAAGGACUUUUGAUGCAAUUUUCCCAACCCUAUGCCUGCAAUGUUUUCUUGUCCUUUUGUUAUGCUAAUGAAAGCUGAAGAAGAAUCGGCCCAAAAUAAGAGUGGUCGAUAACGAGCUUCUUUAUGUGUUCCGAGCCAUUAAUGGCCGGUGUUAGUUAAUAGUUGUUAGUUUUGAUGUGCGUUAUUUAUUUAUUUAUUUAAUUUUGGUCCAAGUGUUUGAUGACGUAAAAAUGUGCGGGAAUAAAAAGAAAUUAUAGCAUAGACUAAGUCUUUGCAAUAUCCAAAAAUCCACGCGGCCAAGAGGAAGAAACCGAUCCUUGUGGAUUCCUUUUCGGCCCUAGGGAAUCCAUAUGCCUUGCUACUGUUUUGCUCGAGGUAACCGGCUAAUUAUGGUCACACCCCUGAGUUACACAAAAAUAACAGAGCUUCUUCAUAAUGAUAGUUUUACAUGCCCAUAAGAGGAAGCUAUAGGUCAUGGUUUUCCUAUUUGGUCUGAAUAUACAGGACCGAACACUAAAAAGAUCUUUGCAUGACAUUAUCCAAAAGAGCAAAAAUAAAAAUGAUUUCUGCAUGUGUUAGACGUUCAAUCUUCUAGUACACAUCUUAUCGCAUCUUAAUUAGUUUGUGAAGAACUGACUUAGAUUUAGUUGUAUUAUCAAUCUUGGGCUUUUACUUUCGUCAUAGUGGGGCAAGGGUCAUUGGCGUCUCUAGUGGCCAAUUGUGCAUAGACAAAAUCUACAGCCUUAAACUGAACAUUCUUCUACGAGUGAUCUAAAGUUUGCCAAUAUUGGACCCGUUUCUAUCUAGUAAAAAGUGAAAAAAAAAAAUUGGUUAUUGCCCUUGCUUUAACCAUGGACCUAUUCAUGGCCCCAGGUCUUAAUUAACCAAAAAUUCAAUUAAGGGACUUCUAGGUAGUUCUAGUUACGGAUAGAGAAAUCUAGGAACCUCUAGAAAAUGGAUAAGAAAUUUAAUCAUUUUAAUUACCUUGAGAUAUGUAACUACUCUCUACCCUAGUUUGUGAUAGUUUUUCUAUAAACCCUAGUCGUUAUUCUAUGCUUACUUUCAUCUUUCUUCAUUAAACCGUACUGUUUCCGUCAUUCAUUAAACACAGUAAAGGUGCGGUUAGUUCAGCAUUUGGAAAGUUCAUUGGGAAAAUGCAAAGCCCUUUAGCCUAAAGGACUUUGAAGGAAAUGCAAAGACUGUUUGGUAAAUUCUGCUUUGAAAAGCAACUUUGAGAUAAAUGUUAUUUGGUAGAAAACACAUUUGCAAAGCCCCUUUGGUGAUUAAUCUAAAAUUUUUAAUUUUUUUUGGUGAAAUAAAUAGUUUUAUUUUAAUUUGUUUAAAAAUUAAAAAAUAAUUUUUGCGAUUUUUUUAAUUUAUAUUUGACAAAAAUGUUAAAGAUGUUGUGUAAACAAUUUUAUUAAAAUUAAAAUUCUUUUUUUUUUUGCUAAAAAAAAUCAAAUGGGAAAAAUUUACUUACUCUCUUUCUCAAUUACAAUAAGAAUACUUUCAUUAUAAUAAAAAAAAAUGAUGACAUAUGCUUUGAGGAAAGAAGCUCAUUAUCCUUAAAAAUUACAAAUAUCCUUAAUUACUUCCUAAAAGAUCACGUAAACAUGCCAUAUCAGAUGCUAUAUCAUCAUUUGAAGCAUUACCCUCUCAAUUGACAUCAUUAGGAUCCGUUGUAUAUAAAUUGGGAUCCAAAUCCACUCUAGCAAAAUGUGCAUCAUUCAAGGCAUUUCUUCAUUUCUUUUAAAUCAAAUAACUUUAAACAUGAUGAUAAACUUCUAGUGCCAUGAAAUGCGUGCAAAUUUUCCAUAUAUGUGGUUUUUGAAUCUGAGAUGGUUGCAUAUUUUGUGGCAGCCUAGAUGAACUUAAGAAUCUCACGAUCAAGGAGGUUUCUAAUUUGUUAUGGACAAGACGGACAGACAUGCCUGAUCAUUCGGUGGGAAUUAAGGAUCGGAUGGAUGAAAUUAUGGAGCAGUUAGAUCUAGUAGCAUUUGAUGUGAGAUUCAUCGCAAUUCAUGGUAUGGGUGGUAUUGGAAAGACAACAUUGGCCAAGGCUGUCUUUAGGCAAAUCUCCCCUCAGUUUUCGGGUCAUUGUUGUUUUCUUAAAGAUGUCCGGACUCAAGAUAUACUAAAUUUACAAAAAAAAUUGUUGUUUGAUGUCCUCAAACUCAGUUGUAUAAACCUCUCCUUCAUUGAUGAAGGGGCUCACCUGAUCAAGACGAGGUUCCAUGGGAAGAAAGUUCUCAUUGUUCUUGAUGACAUUGACAACCGAGACCAAAUCAUGAGACUUGUUGGUAAGCCAAAUUGGUAUGGUGAGGGUAGUAGAAUCAUCAUAACAACAAGGAAUAUUGAAUUCCUAGUAAAGGAAGGUGAAGAUCACAAUGCUCCAAUCUCAGAUACUACACAUUUUUCAUUCUACACUAUGCCGGAGAUGAAUUGGGGUGAUGCUCUUAAACUUUUUUGUGAGCAUGCCUUGGGAUGUGUCAAGCCUCCAGAUGUUUACAUUGAUAUUUCAGAAAAGGUAAUCAAUGCACUUGGAAGACUUACAUUGGCUCUCGAUGUCGUAGGUUCCACACUCCGUGGAAAAUGCCAAAAUACAUGGAAAAAUGUUCUAUCUAAGUUAAAGAAUGUGAUGAACGAGGAUGUCAAGAAGAAGUUGAUGAUAAGCUAUGAAGCAUUGGACCCUAAUCAGCAACAGAUAUAUCUUGAUAUUGCAUGUUUCUUCAUUAAUCAAGAGAAAACAACUGCAAUUAAAUAUUGGGACACAGUUUUUAGGUAUCCCACCAAAAUCGAAGUCAAUAUCCUCACACGUAUGUCUCUAACAAAGAUCAUAGACUACGAUGAAUUAUGGAUGCAUGACCAACUUAGAGACCUCGGGCGAGAUAUUGUCCACCGGGAAAGUUGCAACAUACGUUUAAGGGGUAGUAGACUCUGGUUACCCAAGGACGCCUUCCAUUUGGUGCAAAGAAAAAAGGUAAGUUCUACCUCUUAAAGUUUUCCUCUCUUUCCAUUAGUAUCAUUACCUUUUAAAUCUAACGUCAACUCAAAUUGACACAUGCAUUCAUUGGUUGCUACUUUCACUUCUAGGGAACCAAGAACAUAGUGGCACUUAAUCUUGGUACACCUAAACCGGAUGCAACGUAUAGAUUUAAUCACAAGGAAUUUGCAAGGAUGGUCAAUCUUAGAUUCCUUCAAUUGGACCAUGGAAACUUCCAAGGAGACUUUAAGGAUCAUUUUUCCGAGUUAAGAUGGCUCUCUUGGCACAAUUGCCCAUCCAAAUUCCUUGCUACCAACUUUGGGUUGGAGAACCUAGCAGUUCUUGAGCUUUCUGGGAAUAAUAUUACUAAAGAUUGGGGAGGAUGGCGUCAAAUCAUGGUAUGAUUUCAUGACAUACUUUUGCAUUACCUUUACUUUUUUUCUUUUCUAAGUUUCAGCUUAAUUGCUUUAUAGGUAGCAAAGUAGUUGAAAGUCCUAAAACUCCUGGAUUGUCCAUUACUUAGAAAGACACCAAAGUUCUCUGCAAUCUCUAGAUUAGAGAGAUUAAUCCUUAGAUACAAGCAACUUGGAAAGAUCGACAAGUCCAUCGGUGUUUUACAACAUCUUGAUUACUUAGAAAUAUUUUCUCAAGAACUUUCAGUGUUGCCUCACUCGAUUGGUGAUCUAGUGAAUGUGAAGCAUAUAAUCUUGUCAUGUUGGGAAUUGCAAAAGCUCCCUAAUUCUAUUGGACAAUUGGAGUCACUACUUGAGUUGAAUGUCAGACAUACAAGUGUGAGAGAAUUACCUUAUUCCAUUAGGAACUUAGGAAGGUUGGAAAUUUUUAUGAUCCCAAAUGGCUAUUUAAAAAAGCUACCAGACUCAUUUGGGAGGCUCCAAUCAUUGGUCAAGUUGGAUUUGAGUCUUUCACGCAUCAGGAGCUUACCUGAUUGUAUUGGAAAUCUCAAAAGGUUGAAGGCACUAAAUCUAGAUCAUAGCCGCAUAAUUGAACUUCCGAAAACUAUAGGAACAUUGGAAAAAUUGGAAGAGUUGAGUGCCUCAUGUGAACACCUGGAGGGGGAAAUUCCAAGUGAAAUUGGGGCACUAUCCUCAUUGAAAAUUCUAGAUUUAUCGGGUGGCUGUUUUAGUGGAUUGCCGACAACUAUCAAUCGGCUUACAAAUCUCCAAAAACUUAAUUUAUGGGACUGUAGGUCAAUUCAACAAUUGCCAGAGCUUCCUAAGAGUCUAAGGUCGUUAAGCUUUUCAUUGGACUCAUUGACUACAAUCCCUGACUUCUCCAACCUAACCAAUUUAGUUCAUCUUGAUAUAAUUGGAACAAAAGUACAAGAACCCAACAUAGAGGGGCUUUUGAGAGCAAGUGCUCUAAGAAAGUUGACCCUGUGGGUUGGAAAAAUGACCUUGCCUCCUACUGAUUUGAGUUCCCUCAUUCAGUUACAAGAACUCUUUGUAAGUUAUGCCAACCCCCGAUCUCUUAUCGGGCUUCCAUCCAGCCUUCAACAGUUGACUUUAGUCGAUGUCCAAUCACCAAUAGAUUGGUCGCUCUUUUCCAACUUGGAGAAUUUGUCAAGAUUGAUUAUUGAGAGAUAUUCGUUAGGCGAGAUUCAUUUCGAUGGGUUUGGAAAGCUACAAAAUUUCAAUGAAUUGAUGAUAUUCGACUGUCCAUUGCUUAAGACUCUGCCCAUUCUGCCUUGUAUGAAAAAGAUUCAGCAUUUGUACCUGCGCCAAUUCCCUCACCUAAUUGAGAUUCAGGGUUUGGGAGAAUUGAAAUCAUUGCGGACACUAUGGAUUUGGAACUGUAAUUCCAUCAAAAGCUUAAAUGAAUAUGAUCUGUCUACUUUACAUAAUCUAAAAAGAUUGGAUUUCAAUUGGUGUGAAUCACUGGAGAGCAUGUUGGGUGUGCCAAAAUCUUGCGACCUCACUGUAAGUUACUGCCCAAGGUUCAACAAAGAUGAAUGAGGUAUGUAUCAUUUGUUUACUAAGACUUUGCUUAAUUAAAAGAUUUAGGUGACUCACCUGCUUUGCUCAAUUCAUGAAAAUUGUCAAUAUGGAAACUUCUCAUAGGUUAUCAUGGUGAGAAAAAUGAAUGAAUAUAGUUAGUCCCUUUGAUCCAUAAAAGUAUAUAAGUAAUGUCAAGUAGACUAGACAAAAUUAGUGUUUUUUUUGUCAGCAUACAAAAUUAGGUUUUUUUUUUUUUGGUCAGAAACAGGAAAUUAUAUUGGAGAGGUAAACCCAUUACAAUUGGCAGCUAAAGCAUCCAUGCAAAUGAGACCUAUCAAAUAAAACGGGGGAAAAAUGGCCCAACAUUGGAUAGAGGAAGAACGAUCAUGGGCCUUUGUAGCCCAGUCAGCAGCAACAUUGGCCUCCCUUCUGCAGUGCCCUAGCGAGAGAUUAGGAAAACUCGAGAGCAAGGAGGCAGCUUCAAGGAAGAGAGGCCGAUCCUCCCAUGGCGGCUUGCGGCGACGAUUCAGGAUCUCAACCACCAGGAAGUUGUCUAAUUCAAGGAGAAGCGAAGCAUUGGAGAAGCCAUGGCAUUGCAGAUGCUGAAGAGAUAAAGACAGCUUGGAUCUCGGCUUGAAAGGCAGAAGAUGCAGCAAAAUGUUUCGAAAAUCCAUCGGUAAGUCUUACGUGAUGAUCCCUGCAUACACACGCCAUUGAGCCUUCUCUCGAGCCGAGUUGAUAAGACCCACCUACAUUAAACUUCAAGGUACCUCGAUAUGGGGGCUUCCAAAGGGUUCCCCUACUCAGUAACGAACGCCCCUUAUUCGUCAGCGAUGAAGCCAUCAGAUGAGCGACAUUAGAAUAAGCCAGUGCAACCUCAGCCACCCGAAAUGGUCGAAGGCCUUCUCGUCGAAAAAUAAAACCAUUUCGAGCACACCAAAUCUGCCAAAGAAUUGAGACCAAAGUCUCCAAACCAGGUAAGAAAGAUCUAGACUGAACUAGUUGGACUAUCCGUUCAUCUAUUCUAUGAAGCUGCAUAGGUGAAAUCUGAAUGUUGAAGCUGGGGUGCGCCCAGACCCUUUUAGUCCACGGACAUAAUAAAAACAGAUGUUCAAGAGUUUCAGGGAGAUUCUAAUCACAAAGUAGACAACACGGGUUGUUAAUAAUAUGUCCCUGAAAUAAAUUAGCCCUUGUAGCAAGAGCAUUCUGACAAAGCGACCAUAGGAAGGCUCGAAUUUUUGGGGGGGAAUGCAUUUUCCAGAUUCUUUUCCAUAACCAACUUGGAUUCUGAUAAGAUGAGGAAGUGGUACUUACUGUCUGGUGUGUUGCUGUUGUUUUGAAUGAAAGAUAAGCAGAUUUAAUAGUGAAAUAACCAUCUUUGGUAGCAGUCCAAAUAAUCUGAUCUCUGGUAGAAAGUGGUCGCAGAGGGAUAGUGGCGAUCUGGUCUAUAACCUGAUUGUCAAAGAAUUUGUGUAACAAGCUGGCAUUCCUAGUAUUGGUGGAUUGAUCAAUAAGAUCAGCUACCAAAAUAGGUUCUUCACGGAUUGAAGGGCCACUUAAGAUUCCAAUAGGGAGCCAAGGAUCAUCAUGUAUUCUGAUUGAUUUACCAUCACCUAUAGACCAACGUAUGUUGGGUAGGAUGGCAUCCCGACCAAGCAGAAGACUCUGCUAGCCCCAAGAUGGGCGAGAGCCUUUGUCAGCAUUUAGAAAAGACUUGGAAUGAAAAUACAAUCCUUUGAAAAAUUUGCUCCAAAGAGAUAAAGGCUGAUAAAGUAAACACCAAGCCUGCUUAGCCAACAUUGCUCUAUUAAAAUGUAGAAGAUCUCUAAAUUUCAAAACAUCCCAACUCCACCAAUGUAUUCCUGAUUUAUUUUGAUCAUUCGGCCACCAAAAUCUGGCUACGCUUUUCUCGAUAGAUCUACAAAUAGACACAAGCAACUUGAAGGUAGACAUUGCAUAAUGAGGAAUAGCCUGGAUAACAGUUUUGAGUAGGAUCUCUUUCCCACCCUUUGAAAUCAGAUUAGCUUUCCAACUCUCCAAUUUAGAUUGAACUCGGCUCAAUAUCCAUGAAAACAUGUCUUUUUUAGAACGUCCUCAAUCAGAAGGUAUCCCUAAGUAUUUUCCACAUUUGUUCAGAAUAGGAACCCGGAGCUCCGAAGCCAAAUUUUGCUGCAAACUAACUGGGCAAUCUUUUCCAAAGUAGAUACCAAAUUUAUUACGAUUAAUUUCCUACCCUGUUGCUAGACAAUACUGCUCUAAUAUAUUCGAUAGAUUCUAGCAUUCAUUAACAGUACCAUCAAGAAAGAAUAUGGCAUCAUCCGCAAAAAAACAAAUGAGUUAAAGAAAGGCACCACCUGUUAAGUUCAAUACCUUUAAGAUGUUCCAAGUUGACAGCUUUCUUAAUAAGUGUAGAAAGGAUAUUAGCCAACAUAAUAAACAGAUAAGGGGAGAGAGGAUCACCUUGUCUAAGACCUCUAAAAGGGUAGAAAUAGCUAAGAUGUUCUCCAUUCGGUUUAACACAGGAUGUUUGAGUUGAAAUACAUUGCAUAGUCCACUUCACCCAAGUAGGAUGAAAACCCAGUUUAAGGAGAUAAUCUUGGAGAAAAUCCCAUUCAACCCUGUCAUACGUUUUCCUCAUAUCCACUUUCAGAACUGCUUGAUAAGUACACCUUCCUUUCUUGAUUCAAAGCUGGUGUAGAACUUCCUAGACAAGUAAAACAUUAUCCUGAAUUUGUCUACCCCCCACAAAAGCAGACCGUUCCUCUGAGAUAAGGUCUGGUAAGAUGGGUUUUAGACGAUUUGCAAUGAUUUUAGAUAUGACUUUAUAAGCAUGAUUGCACAGACUGAUAGGACGAUACUGAUCAAGGCUUUCUGGGUGAGGAAUCUUAGAAAUCAAAGCUAUCAAAGUUCUGUUUAAAGAAGAGGGCAUAACACCAGUAGUAAAGAACUCAUUAACAACUUCAAAGAGAUCAUAUUUAAUAAUGUCCCAGUUCGUCUGAUAAAAUAAAUCAUUAAGACCAUCAGGGCCCAGAGCUUUGGCUGCUCCUAAUUGAAAGGUUGCCUGCUAUACCUCUUCCAGGGUAACAACAACAGUUAAACUAGUGUUCAUCUCUUGUGUUACCAAAGGAGUGCACUGAUCUAAGAUAGGAGCAUAAUUGCGACAUCCUAUUGAGGUAUAUAAGCGUGAGAAGAAAUCUGUCACCAUCUCCUUUAUUCUUGUAGGAUCCCGCACCCAAAAGUUAUCGUCAUUCUUAAGCAUAGUAAUACGAUUACGCUGACGACACUAAACAGUUGUUGCAUGAAAAAAACUAGCGUUCUUGUCUCCCCAUUUCAGCCAAUUAAGUCUGGAACGGAUAGCCCAAUAUUGUUCUUUACGACUCCACACCCUCUGCAGUUCUUCCUUCAAAGUUUUAAUCUUAGUGUGAUCAUAAAAGACAUUCUGUUGAUUAGUAAAGUGCUGCAGCUGGAGCUGCAAAUCAUUAGCCCUGAGUCUAUUAUUAGAGAAUUUAGAGUGACUCCACUUUGUUAAAGCAUAAGAAACUGCUUGAAUCUUAUGAUUGAAAGAUGCAUUCAUGCUGCGAACAGAAUUCCAUGAAGUAUUAAUAAUAUCCCGACACUCCACAUCCUGAUUCCAAUAAGAUUCAUACUUAAAGUAGUGUUGUCUAGAACCAACCACUGGUGAAGUGUUAAGGAUAAGAGGACUAUGGUCAGAACCAAUAGCAGGUAAAGCAUAAACCUCAGCUUUAGGAAAAAGUAAUCUCCAAUCCAGUGAGCACAGGGCUCGAUCUAGGCACUCCUUUAUUAACGCAUCCCCCUGAUGAUUGUUUAUCCACGUAAAUGCACAACCCUUAGCUUCAAUAGGCAUUAAAGAACAGUCAUUGAGAACAUAUUGAAAAGAAGCCAACCGAUUAAAAUCAACUGGUCUACCUUCGUUCUUUUUCCAGUGAAAAAGAAUCUCAUUGAAAUCAUCGAUGUAGGCCCAAGGAAGAGUAUUUGCAGGGCUGAUGUUAAUGAGAUCCUGCCAAACCUCAAGUCUCAAACGAGCAACAGCAGGGGCAUGAAGACACGUGAGGCGCCAGGUAAUGCUUUCUACAUCAUCUAUACACAUCAUAUCGAAGUAAUCCAGAGUUGAACACACAAAAGAAAGACAAACAGAAUCAUUCCAUAAAACUACUAAACCCCCUGCCAAACCAACUAGGUUGUAAACACGUAGAAGCAAAAAACGCAACCGAAUUUGCAACUGGCUAAGGACAGCUUCGCAAUUUUUAGUUUCCAUAAAAAAUAAGAGAUCAAGUUUUUCCUUAACUACCAGAGCCUUUAGUGCUUGAACUGUCAGGGUAUUACCCAAACCCUGACAGUUCCAACUGAUCAUUUUCAUUUGUGACAAGGGGGCUAUUAAGGGCUAGCCACCCAUGCCCAACUUCCAUCUCCAGGAGCUUGCUCAAUGGGAGUGUCCAACAGUAAAGAUUCAUCUAGAUCAUCUGGUGUUGCACUGCGCAUAUCAUAUGGGUUAUACCUCUUAAGUUUCUUAACAGGGCCAACUUUUGUUAUAUGGUGAGAGCUCUUCAGCCUUUUGUCCUGAGUGACACUGCUUGUAUUAAACUGAACACCCUUCUGCUUUGCUGAUGCAGGAAUCAAAGCAAUGUGAGAAUCUUUGCCUAGAUGCGAGGACACCAGCACUGGAGGAGCUAGAGGAUGUGAUGCAGGAGGAAUAUCAAUCAAUAAAGGCUGCAACAAGGGAGAGGCUUCAGAGGUAGGAAUUGGCGGCAAUAAAGGAAGGGGUUGAGCAACUGUAGGGGGAGUUUCAGGUACCACUUCUUCCACUAUGUCCUCCAUCUCUGUCAUUUCAUAAUAAAGUUUACAGUACGGACUAUGUUCCAUAAGCUUAGCGCGCAGCCAUUGUCCAUACGACAACUUGUCCUCCCCAGUUAAUACAUCAACAUCAACAGGUUUAUCGAUACAUGAGGUGGCAUAAUGCCCUAACUUCCCACAUAGAUAAUAGUAAUGGGCAAGACGUUCAUACCUAAAAUCCAACCAAAUAGUCUUAUUAUUAAUGCUAAUCGAACGACCUGUCUGCAGAGGAUGCUGAAAGUCAAUUUCAACACGUGCACGCCCUGAUCUCAUGGUAAACGUGUCUUGACCAUCAGCCCUUACUUCCAAAACUUUCCCAACUGUCAUAACUGCUUUUCUAAUAAGCUGUCCUGUGCACAAUUCCAGGGGAAGGCCAAACACUUGCACCCAAAAAGUGCAAGUUGAGAAAUCAUAGCAAUGCAGCGGUGUGUUGGGAAUCCAAGCCUUAAAGACCACCAAUCGACUAGAAAAGACCCAAGGUCCCCCCACUAAAAUCCUCUAUUUAUCAGUAUAUAAUUUAAAUUUCGUCGCAUAGAGACCAUCCUCUCUCUGAGAGAUGUCCACCUGUUCUGUACGCCAAACCCUUUUCAUAGUACUCUGGAAAGCCUAGAAGUUUAUAGGAGAAUCAAUGAAUACCUUACCAAUCAGAGUUAAACGGCACUCAUUCAAUUUCGCAGGAGUAGGCACAUCGUUCUAGACCUCCAAAUCAUGAGGCGAGCACAAUCUUCCCAAGCUUGGGUAUGCAUGUGCCAUAUGAGGGGAAUUGGCUUCAUCUGCAUGUGCCAUAUCUACUCUGGAUAGAGUAAGGAGCAAAACCAAACAAUCAAAGAGAAAAUCAGCAACUAGGAAAGCUUGGGUAUGCGAGAAAGGCCAAAUAGAACAGUCGAUAGACCCAAAUGAGGAUUAGAAUCACACAUGCAAGCAACCUAAUGGGAGUCCGGAGAGAGAGAAGCAUAGUGAAGCAGAGGCGAAAGGUAGAGAAUGAGAGGCGAAGGAGCAGAGAGUUGGAGGCGGAAAGAUUACAAAGUACGGACAGGCAUCGAGAAUAACAGCUGAUAGAAAAGAGAAUCCAUCGAGGAAAACCAGAUGAAACAAGAAGAUUAGGGUUUAAGAUGCCAUUGAACCGAAGAAGGAAGCUCUGCAUGCGCAAGAGAAAAAGCUAUCCUUGAUGGAUAGAGAGAAAAUUCAGUCCUCAAAUUUUUAGUUUUACAAAAUUAGGUUUGAGAAGAGGUAUUUUGAACAAUCAAUUAACUCAAUUUUCCUCUACAUCAAUUCUCUUUGAUGUUCAUCUCCAAAAGAGAGUAAAACUACAAUUUUCUUCUCUAUUUGUUUGCUAUUGGUUCAUUCUUGCUCAUCUUAAAUUACAAUCAAGAAAGAUGUUUCAAUUUGCCUGAUAAGUCAUUUACUUUCUUGAAUUCUUAUUUGUUAUGCGGAUGACAGGUCAUUUCUUUUUCCUUUGCUGUUUUAAGCUCGGUUUGGCAAUUUGAUGACUUGACUUUUUAAUGAAUUAAUUAAGGCAAAUGCAAUAACCUAGGUUUCUCCUUUUUUGUAUCACCUUUGUUUCUUGUAGUUUCGAAGAUUGAGCAAGGACACUGCCAGUUUUACUUCACUUUUGAUGUCAAUGGUUAUAAUUGCAAUUUCAAGCAUUCCCAUUAUUAAAGUUGAAAUUCUACUUCUCCAACAAUAAUUAUUACCUUUGUUCAUCUAUUUAUGCAGAGUUCCGGAAUGCAAUCAACUAUUCAUGUUGAAUGUCUUCAAGUGUAAUGGUUGGGGAUCUAUAUGAGCAACAAUUAUUACCAGUCGAACAAUUUCUGGCUAAGAGUUGUGUCAUGCUUAGGCAUUCAAUGGCAUAAUGUACUAACCUUACCAUUUGUUUGCAUAAGUACUAUUUUCACUCAUAAUUAGCUUAAUCAAAGUACCUUAUAUUUUUUUUUCAUAGAUCUUGGUCAAUUAGUCAAGUUCGGGGGACAGAAAUUUGAAAGAUCCAUGACUUCCUCUCAUAUUCUUGCGUGUGCUUCUAUUGGCAUCCAAAAUUUGCUUGUUGGGCUUCGAAAAUAGAAGAGAGUAAAGUAUGCCCGACACACAAGAAUUCAUGGGGAGUGAGCUAAAACGCCAAUAGGCGACAACAAAGAUUUCGAACAGUUUGACAUUAGAACUUGCCGAGGCAAGCGAGACAACAAAGGAAGAAGUUACGAGAAUUGGUACCAGUGAAAAUAUCAACAAGGCAGAGUAGUUAUCGAUAAGGAGCCAAAGCUUCCGAAACAUCUUGAAUAUCGAAAUGAUAACCGCUAAAGAUCAUUUACCCAUAAAUUGCCACUAUAAAUGGCACGUCUCAAUCCUCCGACCACAUGCCCAUUCCUCUUGGUCGAUAUAAUUGCGACGUCCCAAGACGCAUGACUGACCCAUUCGUUUUAAUGCACAUGCGGAAACGAUUAAUAAAUCCCCAGACAACAACAAGAUGGGAUAGAAAAGUAGGGCCCAUUUUUCACAAAAUACAUUUUUAUAAAAAUACAGGUUUAUACACAGCAGCCUACAAAAAGGAAUUGAUUUUCAUCAAAAGAGAAUUGUCCUAUGACUAACUAGUCAGACAAGAUCACCGAUUCUUCGGGCUUCACCUUCUAAACUCUGGGCUUCGGGUCCUCCACCGCUAUCAACUAAGGACCUGAAAAUAUUAUCCCACAAUGGGGUGAGAUGACGUCUCAGCAGGUUCAACCUCCUAAAACCCGACUAGGAAGAAAAUAUGCCCAAAGGGCUACCUAAGCACAAUCAUGAGUCAGAGGACUUAUCUUGGCCUCUCUUCCUUGCAAGUCAAUAUAAUUCAAACAACCAUCCAAUCAUCAAUUCCCAAAUCACUUUACCCAACCAGAUUGAAUCAUUGAUUAAUCGACUCAAUUGAUUACAUGUCAUUGAGAUCAUUCCCCAAUCAUCUUAAUCAAUAUUAUCUAUAAAGUCCGAUCAUAAUCUAGGACUACUUACUUUAAGCCAAUAAUAGAUAAUAUAUUAUACUGAGAUAAUAUAUUAUACAUAUGCUCGCCAGAAGUUGCCUCAAAUAUUGAUAUAGUAUAUUAUAUAUUCUCGCUAGAAGUUGUUAGAUAUAUUUUCAUAGUAUACUGAUAAUAAUAAUGCUUACUAGAAGCUGCUAGAUAUACUCUCAUAGUAUGCUGAAAAUAAUCAUGCUCACCAAAAGCUGCUAGACAUACUCUCAUAGUAUGCUAAAAAUAAUCAUUUAAUCAAACCACAAUUUUUAUCCUUCCCGAUAAAAAUAUUCAUGUGUGGAUACACGAUCGGCUUUAGCCAAAAAUAUAAUAUUUUCAUCUUUGAAAAUUCCACUAAUUUUAAUGGUCCACAAACUCAUUUUUAGCGCUAUAAACCGACGCUCUGUGAUUUUCCAAUUAAUUACUGAAAUUAAAUAAUUUUAUGAAUAAAUUCCCAAAAGCACAAUUCACACACAAUCAGCACAAAAUAACAGUCAAAUAAAUAAACAUAUUACACCAUUACAGUUAGCAUAAAAUUUCGGUCACCGGUUAUUCCGAUCUAAUUUUCGAAAAAUAAUUAAUUAAUUAAUCAAUUAUGGAAAAUAAUUAAUAAAUGCAAUAAAUAGUAACUUAGGCCCGUAAACCCUAAUUGGAAGCCGAGACGAGCUCGGAAAAUUUCCGAACCACUCUAGAUACCAGAGCUUGUCUAGGCCCUAAUUGCACUAAAUUAUCCACCUAAUAUGCAUUGAUAAUUAAAUAAUUUACUAAACCGUUCUAAUUAUGCACUAAAUCAAGCUUAAUCUAAACUAAUCAACCCUUAAACAUCAUUAACUUAAUAAGUGACGAUUAGUGAGUUAAACUUACCUAAUUAACGAUUCGCUUGGAUCAAAACGAUGGGGACGUGGCGAGGAACGAAAAGCUCCAAAGCGGUGACGUCAACGGGGCAUGGAUCGGGCCUGAAAAUUGGCCUGAGGAAGCCAAUGACACUACUGGACUUGGUUGAGCUUCAUGAGGGCUUGCAGCUUCAAGCGGGCUGAUUUCGAUGGAAGAAAGGGCAGCAAGGAGUCAACGCCGAAAGUUGCUACAGCUGACUUCGGUUGAACACUUGCUGGGGACGUCUCGACUGCUGGCGUGGACUGGAGAAGAAAACCAAAAUUGCAGAAGCCGGAGUGGUGAGGAGAUGGGCGGCUGGCCGAAGGAAAGAGAGGGGUCGAGGGGGGUGUGUCGGCCAAAAGAAAAGAGAGGAUAAAUAUGACCAAAAGUCAAAGAAAUGGGAAACGUGAGUGGAAAAAAUGGCAGAGGGCUGUCGGCGGUUUUCGGGGGGAAUUCGUGCGAGAGAGAGAGAGAGAGAGAGAGAGAGAGAGAGGAAAAAGGAAGGGGGCAUGCGGGCAAGGGGGAGAAGGAAAAAUAAAAAUUAAAUUAAAUUCCUAAAAUCAAAAUUUCUUGGUCCCACUUGCUCUUGUUUAAUUCAAUUUGGUCCCCAAAAAUUCCCAUGCUAAAGUAUAUGAUCCUCACUUGCUUUCUUGUAUCAAAUUUCCUUCAAAUUGAGAGUGCUAGUAUGAACACCUAGUGUGGUGAAUAUGUGUUUAAAAUAAAUCUUGGCAAAUAUAUGCGGAAUAAAAUAAACUUCAAACAAAUGAGUUAGGGAAGAGAAUAAGAACACAGAAAUUAUAGUGGUUCGUCUUAAUCCAAGCCUACGUCCACUCUCCCACGCUAACAGCCUUCUUGGCUGGAUUCCACUAUGCAAUCAACAAGAGAUUACAACUUCGAGUGCAAACACUUAGUAGUAGAUCACACUAUCUCACUAAGUCACUCCUUUAGUAUUUCUCUCAUGAUCACAAACAUUUAAGCUCUCCAAAGACAAGUGUAUGAUCGAAGGUCGCUCAGACUUUGGAAUUAUAAAUUCUACGCUCUAUCUCUUACUUGCUCAUCAGUCCAUGAUCUCCUUAAAUACUCCUCCACUUCCAAACUACCCGUUGGACAGUAUCCCGGAGAAUCGUCUUCCAAUAUACUCAUUGGACAGCUCUGUAUCUAGAAGAUUUGGUAGCUGUUGAGUGACAAAGGUAGAAUCCCAAAUUGAUUCCGAUCGCCCAUACAAACGAAAUCUUGGUUUCCAUAAGUAAAGCUUCUUCGUAUCGAAAGUUCUUGUCUUCAAGAUCCAAUCGUCAAUCAAAUAGAUUGAGUCAAUCAAAUCAAUCUUGAUGUGGAAUCCAAACCAGAUCACUAGCCGUUAUAUGAUUGGGCUUGAAUUACGUUCUUUUGAAUCUGGAUGUAAAGUCUGAUAGCAAUAGACUUUAUAAUCUGAGUCUGAGUGCAAAUAGACUUUAAAAUCUAUGUCUGAACAUAUUCUGCUUCUGAACAGUUUUAGCUUUAAGGUUUAAAUAUCCAAUUCAACUUCAGUAUAGAGUCUGUCUUCUGGUUCAGCUUCAGCAUAGAGUCUAUCUUCUGGUUCUUCAUUCACGUUCAGUCUGGAAUUUGUCAGAAUAAGCAGACUUCUGAUGUAGAACAGACUUUGACACUAAAGUCUAGCAGUCUUCAAACUUUGACACAGAAGUUUGGAAAUCUUCAUAAUAUACUUUAGACAUAUGUUAUGUUCAGUCUUCUGGCCGUCUUCUGACUUUGAUAAUAUCAUUUACAUGUUCUAUUAUCUGCAUGGUCUAUUACUUAACCAUUAAACAUGUUAGUAGCCUUUGAUUUAUUUUGUCAUCUUCAAAACAUCAUAAAAGGCCCGAAUUAUUCAAUUGAAAACGAGAUUCAAAAUCCAAGAUGUCACAAUAAAUAGCCGAAGAGGUAUCAAUAGAAAGGACCUUUUCCCAAAUCAACAAUCGAUCAUCUACUUUCAAUUGCUUUGUUUCUUUUAUUGAACUUUUAAUUUGAAUUGUAGUUUUACUUUUCUCCUUUUUUUCCUGCAUUUAUGUUUGCCUGUAAUUUAGAUCAGUUGCUUCCUUUCCGGCAUGACACAAAACCCAUAUUAAAUAAUAAAGUCGAAACUUUGCCCCUUUGGUGAAAGAUUUUGUCGAGGGAAGUUUCCUUGACAAACAUCUUUUUGGCAUGCCCAGUGGGACCAUUGUGUUCCGUUCAUAGGAAGGGUUAAUGGCAAAAACAAGAAAUUAGGAGAGUCACUCCUCGACCAUCAAGGGUAAUUUGUCACCGCAGCACGUUGGAGAGAGAACCACCUGUUCCAAGAUUUCUAGUUAAAAUGUAGACUCUAUUAAUGGUGUCAACAUGGGCAAUCAUUCUAGAGACAUUUCAUGAGAAUUAUCUGAAGAUCAGAGAGUUGGCCCUUAAUUCAAUGGUAAUGGUCACCAUGAGAAGGAUGUUCGAAGAGCAACAAAAUGAUAUAGCCAAUCGUAUAGCAAAAUGUCUCUGGUGAUGGAGACAUAUUUAUAAUAUAUGUAAGAUAAUUAGGUCGUGGUACUUUCAAUCGUGAUUUAAAUUUUUUUUCCCUGGACAUUUCUAUCUUCUUCUUCAUUCAUUGUCUUGUUUACCAAACUUCACGAUGAUCAUUAUUACUAUUUUAUCUUCGUCAAAAUUUUAGUGGACACAAAUUUCUCAGUAAAGUUUGAUAGACAACCUAUCCGAAGUAUGGGUAAAUGCAUUAGUUAUACAGAACAAAAAAUCGAAAGUGAAUUACCCAAACAAAGCACACAAUUAAGAUAGACCAAAAGACGCUUUCGUUGCAUGCACAAUAGACGACACAGAGGAUGUCUCUUCUAUAAAUAUCUUCGGUGAUUCAAAAUCACCAAUUGUCUAGCACGAUGUAGGACGUGAUGAAAUUGCUUAAAAGAUGUGCAUUGAGGAAAAUGUUAGAGCUAGAAACAUGCGAGUCUCUUGGAGACAAAGUCGGCGAUCGAAUUGUAGUAACAAGAGAUCCAAUCUGGGACUUGAAGGCCAAGCAGGCGGGUAUGUCAUGCGUGGAUUGGUAGGUCAUAUCUUGAAGUACGGUUGUGAGGAUUCAUUCUUCUUAUGUUUCUCAAUUUCACUCUUCAAGUUUCACACAUUAUCGAUGAAUGCAAAAUAUGUAGCAAAUGAAAAUAUUAAAUUUAGCCAGGUGAGUAUUGGAGUGCCUAAAUUUCAAAUAUCUUUUUUCUUUCCCUUUUGAAUUUUGAGAUGUCAUUAAUGAUGAAUCAGUUCUAAGAGAUUAACUACUUUUGGAAUUAGCUUGUUUGGCUCUGUAGGCUUUAGAGGAAAAUAUCAAGGGAAGAAAUAAGAUGAUUAAUUACACGGAAAUAACUAUCACAUCUUGCUAGGUGAGUAUAAGGGUGUCUACAUAUCAAAUCAUCUUUUUGUAUCUAUAGAAUUUUGACAAGCUGUCGACGAUGGAUGAGAUGAUUUAGUAGUUUACCUAGUUCGGCAGUUGGAAGGGUUAAAACCCCUCCUUGAAACUAGCAUACUAGACAUGUAAGCUCUCUGAUGACUCUUUUUCAAUGAGCAGUCUCAUUGCAUUGAGCUCAACUUGACCCCUGUCUUACUCUUGAAGUUUUGCCUUAGUGUCGCAGACAUCCCUAUCCAAGCUUGAGCACAAUAUCGUAUGCUUUGGUCAUAGCUCACCCACGCUUAAAGAAAUAUGGGAUCAGAGACAUAAAUAAAAGCCGACAUUCCCACUCUUAAAGUCAUGCAAGAUCAACAGCCCAUACAUAGGCAAGUGAGAACAGUUAAAUAUUUGAAACCCAAUAUUGCUACCUUGGCCUCUAACACCACUAUAGAUAGCCUCCACGAUAUUAUUAGCUUUGGUCGUUGCUAUUGAUGCUCAAAUUUUUAUCAACAUUUUAGGUAUCCAUUUAUUUUACAAAAAUCUGAAAAUUUAUUAAAAAAUAUAAUAAGAAAAAAUGAUAUUUAAAAAAAAAAAACGAAAUGAAGUCGUGUGGGCCGGCCCUUAGCAAAGUUUUCAGCCUUCUAAGCCCCCUCCCCUCCAUUAGUCCAGCCCAUUUCUUUUAAUUCUUUGGGCCCAUCUCUUCAUUUCCUUUUUAGCCCAUCUCCUUUUGUCUUUCCUUGGCCCAUCAUAGAACCAAACAAAAAGAAAGCCCAGCCUCAGCCUCCCUCUUCCCUCACGCGCUCCCCCUCAACUUCCCUAGCGAGCACAGCGUCUGUGACGCAAGGAAGAAAGACGGGCCAAGCGUGCGUGCGUCUGUGAGCGAAGGAGGCGCGACAAGCCGUGACGAGAGAUGAGCCAGCACCUUCUUCUAGGACCGUCUGGCUGGCGUGCGAGGGAAAUAACAGAAAGAUUCGAUCGCUGAGGCGAGGGGAGCGUGCUGAUCCGAGAGGAAAUGAUGAGAUAGGAGCUGCUCGCCUCAAGAGGAUCCUGUUCGCAUAACAGGAGGAGGAGAGACGCCGCCGGUUUUCGGAGAGGGCGGCCGUUGAAGAGUCAAGUUGCAGAGAGAUCGGCUGAAGAGAGAUUCACGGGAGAGAAAGAGAGCCGAGAGUGAGAAGGAGAGGAUGCUGGACGCACGCUUGAAAAGAGGAUUUGGCCAUUGAAGAGCUCGGCUGAAGGGAACCAAGGAGGAUAAGGAAUCGGCACUACCCCUGCCAGGUCGUUUCUAUUCCGAUCGACCUUUAGAGUCGAUUAGGUGUUCAGAAUCUCCUCAUCGCUCUGCUCCAUCGUUCGGGAUCUGUGUCCAUCCACCUUCGAACCGAGAUAUAGGAGAGUGAAGUUGUCUGAAGCGGGCUCGUGAGUUUCGUUUCAGUCGAAGGGAGAAUCCUCGGGAUUUUAUUGAUCUCGAUUGGUUGAAGUUAAAAAAUGGGUCUCGCCGAGAGUCCUUCGCGACCUGUUUGAUGUUUUGUCUAGAUGUCUUCAACGUUGAUUUGUUCCUGCCUGUUACUGGUCAAUCCGUCAGCAUUUUAGUAUGAGUAUGGGGUUAUUAUUAUGUUCAGAAGCCCUUUUGCCUUGUCGUCAGGCUUCUCCCCAAAGGAAAAUGGACUAUUUUCCGAUAAAAAAAGAAGAAGAAAAGCAUGCGCAUAGCAAUAAUCAAUGUUGGAAACUAAUGCGAUUGGUGAACUUUUGGGCUUCAAAUGGAAGCUUUGCAUAAGAUAUAAUUUGAUUCAUCGAGAUGGAAGUGUCGGUUUUUUUUUUUUUUUUUUGCCCCACCGUGAGAAACUGCCAAAAAAGCAAUGAAUAUGUGAAGAUAAAUAGUGGGAAUUGCACCUUAAAUUGAUGUUGCAGAUAAAGUCAUAAAUUAAGUACAUGUGUAUAUUCUGACAAAAAAAAAAAGUACACGUGUCUAUUAAAAUUUCAAAAUAAUCUGAAAUUGAUUCCGAAAAUAUCCCACUACGAUGUUUCUGUUUUGUAUAUAUAUCUAUAAACUUCAAAUUGCGCAAUAGAUUAAUGUUAAUACUGACUACAAAAGCUGUGGCAUGUUGAAAUUUUUUAUAAUUAUCUGGAGAAAUUUUUUGACAUCAUUUUUAAUCUCCUUGGUCAUUUAUGCAAAAAUGAAAAAUUCAAACCAUUAACUGCUCUAGUAGUUUAUGAAUGAGAUAUAUUAGAUUUUAUGCAUGAAAUAUGUAUUGGUUCAAAAUUUUUACAUUUAAUGACGAGAACACGAGCAAAAGUAAAAUACGAUUUAAGGGGCAUUCGUGUGUUUCAAUUCUAACUUGAUUAAUUUAUUGCAGGUUAUAUCUUCAACACUCAAAAAUAAAAUACAACUAAAUUUAAAUAGGACACAUUCCAUAUUGUAUUUUGAACUAUUUUGCUAUAUUUAAAUAAUGGUUAAUAUAUUAAAAAAACCCCAAAUCGGUACACUUAUGACAGAUCUACCCACCGUUAGUUUGGGUAGAUUUUGCCAUUAACUUUGAUGACGUGGUUGCUCACGUGGCAAGCCAUGUGGAAAUAACUUAAUUUUUUUCAAAAUAAAAUAAUAAUAACUUUGUAACAGUGAAGGAAAAACAAAAAGAUAUCUUAAAAAGCCCUAAUAAAUUCUCAUUUCUCACGCCUUCUUCAGGUACCUCAUGUUCUCUCUUCUCUCUUCGUUAUAACAUAUAAAAAAAGAAAAAAACCCUAACAACAAAUUAAGUUCAGUUCAUGACAAACGCUCUUCUUUCCUGAGGUGAUUUAUAGGGCGUGGUUCCGGUCGAAGUUCAAUGAGUUCGUUCGGUCACUCAUCGGGGUCGUGGUGUCAGCGCAGGCCAAGGAGACUCAAAGUGAGUGAAUUGCUCCCGGGCGUGGAAAGUUUGAGUUUUUAAGUAGGAGUGCCUUUGGUUUAUCCUGUGAUUGGUGAGUGGAAUUGUGGUGUUAUGUCAUUUGAGGACCAAUGUGCCGGAUUUGCACUUGAGUGGUUUCAUGUUAUCAAGGUAGGAAAACAAGAGCUCUCUAUUCCACGUCGUGUUCGAGCUCUAUGUUUCUAAUGACCUCCUCUCUUUCAUUUUUGUUGGAUCUUUAAGUCAUAUUCUUCUAAUCGUGGUUGCUUCGCUUGUUUUUUGUUUGUGACAAACUUGGCUUUAUGUUUAUAUGUCUCAACCCCACAUGGUUUACUGCUUGUCCGCAAUCUGUUUGUAUGAUUACAUAUUACUCUUGCUUUGUUGGUCAUUUGUGUUAGUUCAUGUCCUUAUUAGUAUUACAUAGUCUUUCAUACCUUGAAUCAUAAGUGUGUCAAAAUUUUGACAUGAAACUUGUAUGUGAAUGGUACGAUUGACUCAUACAUCACAUGCUCGUUGAAAUGCCAGAACCAAAAUCAUUUAUGUUUGUCACUGAUUUCAGGUGUACUUUGAGUGUGAUUCUACAUGUCUUAUGAGAUUUCAUAAAUAUGCUUAGUCCCUAAAGAGCACAUACAUUUGAAUAUUAUAAUAUUAUGCUGCUUUAGUACAUGGAUAAUAUACAUAUCUACAUGGAUAAUUUUGAUUAAGGUUUCAAGGUUCGAUUUUGCAGCAGAAACAAGUUAUAUUCUGUAUCUCAAUCAUUACUUUGAAUAGAAUACAAGGCAGCUUUUCUCUGGUCCUCCUAGUCCAGGGCGACUCGCACAGCCAAGCUUUGCCCUGUACAUGAACCGGGUUAUCCCUUAGGAUCAUUACAAUCAAUUAAUUGAUAUUAAAGAAGCUGAUAUGAUAGUCACGGUACAAUGACAAGCUUUUUUCCUUUUGUGAACUCUUUUGGUCAUUGAAAUUAUACAAGGACACACACUUAUGUGUACCCAUAUAUUAUUUUGAAUAGUGACUUGAGCUCAGUUAACCCCACUUAACGAGAUUGAAAUUCUUGUUUGCUUAAUAAAUAAGGUGGGAUAGAUGUCAAUUGGCAAUUCGUAAAGCUGAUGUUUGCUUGUGAAACAUAAAAUGAUUACCUUCUUAGUAUCUUUUGCCACUUAUUAUGCAAUUUGUUACAUAACCUAGAGUAUCUAACUAGUACUGUAGAUAUGUGUCAAUCUGAGUGCCUAAUGUAAGCAAGUAGUUGGCAGGUGUGAUUGUCCAAUUUCUUGUUCCUUUAAUAUCAAGAUUUCCAGAGUUUUAUCAGCAUAGUUUGGUUAACCUUGUUGCAGGUUUUUGCUAUGACUGAAAUAACUUUGGGUCUCUUUCUAGACGUAGGUGCCUCAUAUUUCCUAUCAAGGCUUCCAAGCAUCUUGUUUGGCGAACUCGAUUUUGUCAUUUCAUGUCAAACUUGAUCAUCCCAUCUUUGCUAGUUAUUUGUGAGAGGUUUUUAUAAACUAAUUGGUUUGCUUGUUGUUCCCUUGCAGAUGUUUAACGAAUUUACUAUUGGACUUCACCUAGGUGGAGUUAUGGAGUUUGGAGACAUCACAAAGUACAUAGGCUACCAUGUAGAAUAUCUCCAUCGUUGUAAGUCGAUGGUGGUGAACUAUAAUGCAAUUGUUAAGGCUAUUCUUGAUCUAGGAUACUCAGUUAAAAAGUUGUGGUAUGCAACUCCUGGGGAUUCCUUGAGAAGUGGUCUUGUGCAGAUUGUUGGUGAUGAACAAGUGUUAGAAUUGGUGGGUCUAGGAUCAAGUUUUGGUGUUAUUGAAGUAUAUAUUGAAGGAGCUGCUCUUGGUGAUGAUAGUGGUUCUUCUACUAGUGGUCAUAAUAGAGAGAGUGAUAGUUAUAGAGAUAGUGAACUAGAGCAAGAUCUUGAUACAUUAUCUUUAAGUGAUGAUGACUACAUUCUCGGUGGUGGUAACGAGGAUUUCUUUCUUGCUAGGCAAAUAAGAAGAGAGGCUGAUGCUGCUGCUAUUACUAAUACAGUUGCCGUUAACAUUCCUAAAAAUGAGGAUGGGGGUGAAAAUGAUGGAGACACUGAUCUAGAAGAAGGAGAUGAGAAUUUGAGCCCUCCUAACUCUGAUGGAGAUGAAGAAGUCUGUGACCAAAGAAGAUCAAAAACCAUUAGAUAUGACCCCAAAUCUGAUCAUAAAGACAUACAAUUUAAAGUAGGAAUGAGAUUUGUCUCACGUGCUCAAUUAAAGAAAGCUGUGCAACUUUAUGCAAUCAUAAACAGAUUUAACAUUGGAUGGAAGAAGAGUGAAGCGAAAAAAAAAGAAGGAAGGAUGGUAGGUGUGAGAGUGGCUUUGAAUGGAGAGUUUAUGCUAGUUGGACGCAGAGUGAGAAGACCUCAAAGAAUGCANNNNNNNNNNNNNNNNNNNNNNNNNNNNNNNNNNNNNNNNNNNNNNNNNNNNNNNNNNNNNNNNNNNNNNNNNNNNNNNNNNNNNNNNNNNNNNNNNNNNUCACAAACCUCCGAGCUUCUGGCUCUCCACGCUCCGGGCAUCUCGAAACUCCCGAGGACCCUCCAGCAUUCAGCCAUUUAAGGCCACUAGGCAUCCGGCAUUUACACUCCCUAGCCAGGCAUCCCGACACUCCCGGGGCAUCGUCAGCUUACACCCCCAAUGGCCUUCUCACUUAUCUUAGUUCACAUUUUCAAUUAUAGCUUAAUCUCAACAUGGCAUAUGAUGUGAUGGUAAACAAGAUCAUUUUCAUCUUUUGAUUCUUAUAUGCAUUUUCAAUCAUCAUCAUACAUGCAGCAAGAUACAGCCACUUAUGAAAUACAAUCCAUGGGGUCCAUACAACUUAGAAUAAUCCAUAUAUCAUGUCUUUUUUUUUUUUGAAAUUUACCAAAUUCCAGCUUUCACAAUUUCGGAAAACAUAUAAAUUAAAUAUCCAUAUGAUCUUCAAAAAUCAUACAAUCAGAGCAUGUAAUAGACAAGGCAUAAAGGUAGCAAUUUCAUGAAAGAAACAUGCCCAAAAGAGUUUCACACAAGAAGAUAUAGCUCGCACAAUACAUCAUGCAAAAUUCGGAUAAAAUCAGAUUGCGCAGUUCUUGAAAUAUUUCAAUUAAAAUACCCGAAUCACCUCAAAAAAUUAUGAACUUUUACCAAGUUAUAGUCAAGACCCUAAGGUAUAUUUUUCAUACAGACAUCUAAGCCAUAUUCACUCUAGAUAAUUAACUAUAGACGGUCGAAGCUCCUGUUCCUAGUACCGAACAGUCCAGUUUAGCUGUUUCCAAAAAAUCGAGGUUUCGCCUACUUAUCUUUCUUCAUUUCCUCUGAAAUUUUAAUAUUUUUUUGCCUCAAGAGGUCCCCUACAACUUUAAUUAAGGGAUCUCGGUGAGAUUCUCAAAGGAUAGUCACCAUAUAGUCCACGAAGUCUCGGGAGUCCAGUACCGUACUUCCAGAUCUGCCGUCUUCAAAAGAAAAUCGUUUCACUAGGCUACACUUGCUCGUUUUACCUCAAAUUUGAUUAUGUUAAUCGUCAGGAUGUUCUCUACAACGUUUUUGAAGAAAUAAAAGUGAGAUUCGCGGUAAAAAGUGACAUGCAACACACAAAACCACCAAGAGGUCAACAAAACAGUUUCAGAUCUAGCGUUUUCGUAGAGGAAGGGUUUCACCCCUUAAAACGCAGCCAUUUUGUCUCAAAUUUUAUUAUGUUAUACUUUGAGAUGUUGCCUACAACUUUAGUGAAGAAGUCGAAGCCAAAAUCUGACUCAAACCACGUAUGCAAGCCUUUACAACGUUCGGGGUCAGGCGACACACUCGAAAACAGCAUGCUAUUUCAAAAACAACACACCCUAGCUUCGGUUUCUCAUACCCUAAACAUCCGAGAUUUACCACCACUCAACACACAUGCAAGAGACAACAUGCAAGAGCAGAAUAUGGAUCCCAACUUGCCUUCAAAUCGAGUAACAACGGCACACGGACGGCGAUGGACGAGCGGAUGGACGGGCAACAAACGAGCGGACCUCCCGUUCGCGCGGCUUCUCCCUUUCUCUCUUGGGUUCCUCACUCUCUUGUAAACCUCUCUCUCUCUCACUUGGGCUUAGCGGACAGCCCCUAAACCGGGCCACUCUCUCCCUUUUUAUUCCCCCUUAUCACAAUCAUUAGUCAUCAUGAGAUGCCUCCCACAAUGGCCAAUGGAUGGAGUCCCCUUUUUGCCACUUGGCAAGACCCAUGCAUAAUGGGCUUGGAAGUGGGCUGGCCACUCCCCCUCUCCUUGGUCGAUGGCAGCCCUCUCCAUGGGCUUCAUGGGCCGGCCUUUUGGCCCAUCAAAGGUCUACACUCUUGGGCCUAAGACCCAAGCCUAAUUAAAUCAAAUUUCAACCCCUUUUUAAAUACUAAUUAAAUCCUUAUUGAACCAAAGUACUAUAGUGUAUAAAUUAAAUAACUAUACACUUGAAAUCACAAAUCCAUAGAUUCUAACCGACAAUACAUAUGGCCAAAUAUAGAUCAUUCUUUUCCAAAAUUUAUCCAUUAAAUUUGGCCAUAGUCCUUAAUACAAGACAUUAAUUUGAGCACCCCUAAUGACCGGUAAGGAAUUCUAGGAUGCCACAAUAUAAUACGUUCAAAAGAUUCUAUGUGUGCUUCAAAGAAUUGAAAGAGGGUUUUCUAGCAGGUUGUAGAUGAGUAAUUGGAUUGGAUGGAUGCUUUACGAAGACUUUAGUUAGGGGGAUGUUACUUUGUGCUAUUGGUAGAGAUGGAAACAACCAAAUGUUUCCAAUUGCAUGGACUGUUAUUGAAGCUGAGACUGAAGAAUCUUGGACUUGGUUCCUUGAGCUACUAGUGAAAGACUUGAAUGUGGGACAAGGUCUUGGCUGGACCUUUAUGAGCGAUCAACAGAAGGUAAGAUUGCACACAAGCUUUGCUAAUAAAAGUAUUUGUUGUUUGUAAACUAACUUAUUUUCAUGUCAAAUAACGUGUUACAGGGCCUACUCAAUGCAAUUUCUAAACUCUCUCCACGAGCAAAGCAUAGAAAUUGUGCUCAGCACAUUUAUGCCAACUGGAAAAAAUUAUACAAGGGAGAAACAUUUAGGAAUUGCUUUUGGAGAGCUGCAUAUUCUACAUACAAGGCCGAUUUCAAUAUGGCAGUAAAAGAUAUGAAGAAAGAGUCUGUUCAUGCAUAUGAAGACUUCAGGAGACAGGGUCCAUAACACUUUUGCAGCGCAUUCAUCAAGUGUGGACAAAAUUGCAAUGCUAUCGAGAACAGUUUGAGCGAGACGUUCAACACAUAUAUAUAUGCAGAGAAAGGGAAUUUCUCAUUGUUGAUAUGUUAGAGGGCAUAAGAAAAUUACUUAUGGUAAGAAUGUAUGAGAAAAGCCAAUUGAUGGUUGGUUUAAGAGAUGAGAUUUGUCCAAGAAUCGUAUUGAAGAUUGAGGAGGAAAAGAUGAAGUCUAGGUUUUGCAUUCCAAAGCCAUCUACAGCUUCCAGAUUUGAAGUUAAAGUGAAUAAUGAUACUUUUAUGGUUGAUCUUAAUAAGAAGACAUAUACUUGCAGACAGUGGGAUAAAUAGGGGAUACCGUGCAACCAUGCUAUCUUGUGCAUCAACUUCAUGAAGUGUAACUUAAAUGAUUAUGUAGCUGAUUGUUUCAAGAAAGUUGUGUACGAGCGUUGCUAUCGAUUUGCAUUACCCACCUUGAAUGGAAAGAAAAUGUGGCUAGCGACUAAUGACGAGCCUUUAUUGCCUCCGCCAUUCAAAAAGCUUCUAGGGAGGCCCAAGAAAGAUAGGAAGAGGCCCAAUGGUGAGAAGAAAAAGGAUGAGAAAAGCAAAAGAGUGAGGAAGCCAAGGGUCACCAACACUAAUCCUACUAAAAUAUCAAAAUCUUGUAUUACCAUGAAAUGCUCCAAUAGUCAUGGUACUAGACACAACAAGACAACAUGCCCCCAACCUCCAGCACCUAUCCAGAUUAAACUACCUGUAAGGAAAUUUAAACAUAAAUGUGAAACAUUUUCCCUUAGAAUACCUUAUAUAUGUCUAUUAUACAGGGCAAAAGAGGUAGGCCAAGGAAGCAUCCAAGCAACUAACCAUUAAAGGAGAGGCAUUGAACAAACAAAGUGAAAGUACCUCAGCUAAAUCUAUAACAGGACAAUCAAAUAUUGUCAAUUCUAAGAAGAGAAUGGUGAGGAGUCUACAAGUAGAUUUCAUAUGGUUUUUGAUAAUACCAAAGUAAAAUGUUAAUAUGGUUUGUCUUCUUAUAGGUUUUACAAGGAUAUGGAUUUUACAUAUUUGAAGCCACUAGAAACUCAUAUUUGAGCGUGAAGAUUUUAUUUUGUUAAGCAUUUUUUAAUCCACUAUGAUUAGCAUAAUAAGAUUAUGUUUUCCCCUCAAUUUUCAGAUGCUUGGGAGUAACAUAGUUCAAGAAAUUCGUCAAGGUGGUGCAAAUCAUACGAUGGAUCUUUCAAGCCAAGUUUCUGGACCUCCUCAAAUUGAACAAUCUCAAAGUGAAGUAGGGCAAUGAACCUGUAGGAGAGUUGGAUUUUGGGUGUAAACUUUGUCAUGUAAAGCUUGUUUUGUAAAGCUUGCCCUGUAAAGCUUGAUUUGUAAAGCUUUGUUUUUUUUUUUUUUGAUAGUAUUUGAUAUAGAACAUGCUUUUGGACAUCUAUCGUCUGGUGUGGAUUUGCCUUUUGGCUAGUUGGUUGGUUGGUGUUUGGGGUAAAGGCUACUUUGUAAAGCUUGUUCAAGUUUAGUAUGAAGGCUCUUUUAUAAAGCUAUUUCAAAGAUAUAUUGAUAUGUGGCUUUAGUUUCGUUCUCUCCAUUUUGUGUAGUUGAUGUUAUUUGCAUUUUGAUGAUGAAUUUGGUUGAUUGCAUAUGGCUUGUAUGCUGGAAGGCUCUCUCUCUCUCUCUCUCUCUCUCUCUCUCUCUCUCUCUCUCUCUCUCUCUCUCUAUGCCUAUUCUGAUUAAAAGUAUAUUGCUUCUAGCUCAUUAUGAAUAGCACUUCUUAUGUAUAUGUGCACAAGUAAUCUGUCCAUCUUUUAGUUAAUGGGCAUCCUCUCGGCACAAGAAUGAAGUGCACAUUUGGUAGUCUUUGAAUGGUUUUAUAAUAAUGAUUCCAAUAAAAAGAAAAAAAAAAUCAAGUAUUAAUGAUAUGGAGGCAAUGUUAGAGUAAUCCGGAAAAUAAAAUUGAUUGGACAUCACAACUCGGUCAAAUUUGGGAAAAUUGAAAGAGGGUAAAUGUGCCGUACGUGUACCAAUUUUGGUUUUCUAUGAUCGGAAAAAUUAAUUUAGAGUAAAUUUAUCAUAAAUAUACCAGUUUGGGGUAAAAUUGUCAUAAAUAUACUAGUUUAUGGUUUUUAAUGGUAUUAAACUUAUGAAUUUCCACAUGGCUUGCCACGUUAGCAAAGUUAACAACAAAAUCGAAUGGAAGCUAACGGAGGGUAGAUUUGUCACAUGUAUAUCAAUUNNNNNNNNNNNNNNNNNNNNNNNNNNNNNNNNNNNNNNNNNNNNNNNNNNNNNNNNNNNNNNNNNNNNNNNNNNNNNNNNNNNNNNNNNNNNNNNNNNNNNNNNNNNNNNNNNNNNNNNNNNNNNNNNNNNNNNNNNNNNNNNNNNNNNNNNNNNNNNNNNNNNNNNNNNNNNNNNNNNNNNNNNNNNNNNNNNNNNNNNNNNNNNNNNNNNNNNNNNNNNNNNNNNNNNNNNNNNNNNNNNNNNNNNNNNNNNNNNNNNNNNNNNNNNNNNNNNNNNNNNNNNNNNNNNNNNNNNNNNNNNNNNNNNNNNNNNNNNNNNNNNNNNNNNNNNNNNNNNNNNNNNNNNNNNNNNNNNNNNNNNNNNNNNNNNNNNNNNNNNNNNNNNNNNNNNNNNNNNNNNNNNNNNNNNNNNNNNNNNNNNNNNNNNNNNNNNNNNNNNNNNNNNNNNNNNNNNNNNNNNNNNNNNNNNNNNNNNNNNNNNNNNNNNNNNNNNNNNNNNNNNNNNNNNNNNNNNNNNNNNNNNNNNNNNNNNNNNNNNNNNNNNNNNNNNNNNNNNNNNNNNNNNNNNNNNNNNNNNNNNNNNNNNNNNNNNNNNNNNNNNNNNNNNNNNNNNNNNNNNNNNNNNNNNNNNNNNNNNNNNNNNNNNNNNNNNNNNNNNNNNNNNNNNNNNNNNNNNNNNNNNNNNNNNNNNNNNNNNNNNNNNNNNNNNNNNNNNNNNNNNNNNNNNNNNNNNNNNNNNNNNNNNNNNNNNNNNNNNNNNNNNNNNNNNNNNNNNNNNNNNNNNNNNNNNNNNNNNNNNNNNNNNNNNNNNNNNNNNNNNNNNNNNNNNNNNNNNNNNNNNNNNNNNNNNNNNNNNNNNNNNNNNNNNNNNNNNNNNNNNNNNNNNNNNNNNNNNNNNNNNNNNNNNNNNNNNNNNNNNNNNNNNNNNNNNNNNNNNNNNNNNNNNNNNNNNNNNNNNNNNNNNNNNNNNNNNNNNNNNNNNNNNNNNNNNNNNNNNNNNNNNNNNNNNNNNNNNNNNNNNNNNNNNNNNNNNNNNNNNNNNNNNNNNNNNNNNNNNNNNNNNNNNNNNNNNNNNNNNNNNNNNNNNNNNNNNNNNNNNNNNNNNNNNNNNNNNNNNNNNNNNNNNNNNNNNNNNNNNNNNNNNNNNNNNNNNNNNNNNNNNNNNNNNNNNNNNNNNNNNNNNNNNNNNNNNNNNNNNNNNNNNNNNNNNNNNNNNNNNNNNNNNNNNNNNNNNNNNNNNNNNNNNNNNNNNNNNNNNNNNNNNNNNNNNNNNNNNNNNNNNNNNNNNNNNNNNNNNNNNNNNNNNNNNNNNNNNNNNNNNNNNNNNNNNNNNNNNNNNNNNNNNNNNNNNNNNNNNNNNNNNNNNNNNNNNNNNNNNNNNNNNNNNNNNNNNNNNNNNNNNNNNNNNNNNNNNNNNNNNNNNNNNNNNNNNNNNNNNNNNNNNNNNNNNNNNNNNNNNNNNNNNNNNNNNNNNNNNNNNNNNNNNNNNNNNNNNNNNNNNNNNNNNNNNNNNNNNNNNNNNNNNNNNNNNNNNNNNNNNNNNNNNNNNNNNNNNNNNNNNNNNNNNNNNNNNNNNNNNNNNNNNNNNNNNNNNNNNNNNNNNNNNNNNNNNNNNNNNNNNNNNNNNNNNNNNNNNNNNNNNNNNNNNNNNNNNNNNNNNNNNNNNNNNNNNNNNNNNNNNNNNNNNNNNNNNNNNNNNNNNNNNNNNNNNNNNNNNNNNNNNNNNNNNNNNNNNNNNNNNNNNNNNNNNNNNNNNNNNNNNNNNNNNNNNNNNNNNNNNNNNNNNNNNNNNNNNNNNNNNNNNNNNNNNNNNNNNNNNNNNNNNNNNNNNNNNNNNNNNNNNNNNNNNNNNNNNNNNNNNNNNNNNNNNNNNNNNNNNNNNNNNNNNNNNNNNNNNNNNNNNNNNNNNNNNNNNNNNNNNNNNNNNNNNNNNNNNNNNNNNNNNNNNNNNNNNNNNNNNNNNNNNNNNNNNNNNNNNNNNNNNNNNNNNNNNNNNNNNNNNNNNNNNNNNNNNNNNNNNNNNNNNNNNNNNNNNNNNNNNNNNNNNNNNNNNNNNNNNNNNNNNNNNNNNNNNNNNNNNNNNNNNNNNNNNNNNNNNNNNNNNNNNNNNNNNNNNNNNNNNNNNNNNNNNNNNNNNNNNNNNNNNNNNNNNNNNNNNNNNNNNNNNNNNNNNNNNNNNNNNNNNNNNNNNNNNNNNNNNNNNNNNNNNNNNNNNNNNNNNNNNNNNNNNNNNNNNNNNNNNNNNNNNNNNNNNNNNNNNNNNNNNNNNNNNNNNNNNNNNNNNNNNNNNNNNNNNNNNNNNNNNNNNNNNNNNNNNNNNNNNNNNNNNNNNNNNNNNNNNNNNNNNNNNNNNNNNNNNNNNNNNNNNNNNNNNNNNNNNNNNNNNNNNNNNNNNNNNNNNNNNNNNNNNNNNNNNNNNNNNNNNNNNNNNNNNNNNNNNNNNNNNNNNNNNNNNNNNNNNNNNNNNNNNNNNNNNNNNNNNNNNNNNNNNNNNNNNNNNNNNNNNNNNNNNNNNNNNNNNNNNNNNNNNNNNNNNNNNNNNNNNNNNNNNNNNNNNNNNNNNNNNNNNNNNNNNNNNNNNNNNNNNNNNNNNNNNNNNNNNNNNNNNNNNNNNNNNNNNNNNNNNNNNNNNNNNNNNNNNNNNNNNNNNNNNNNNNNNNNNNNNNNNNNNNNNNNNNNNNNNNNNNNNNNNNNNNNNNNNNNNNNNNNNNNNNNNNNNNNNNNNNNNNNNNNNNNNNNNNNNNNNNNNNNNNNNNNNNNNNNNNNNNNNNNNNNNNNNNNNNNNNNNNNNNNNNNNNNNNNNNNNNNNNNNNNNNNNNNNNNNNNNNNNNNNNNNNNNNNNNNNNNNNNNNNNNNNNNNNNNNNNNNNNNNNNNNNNNNNNNNNNNNNNNNNNNNNNNNNNNNNNNNNNNNNNNNNNNNNNNNNNNNNNNNNNNNNNNNNNNNNNNNNNNNNNNNNNNNNNNNNNNNNNNNNNNNNNNNNNNNNNNNNNNNNNNNNNNNNNNNNNNNNNNNNNNNNNNNNNNNNNNNNNNNNNNNNNNNNNNNNNNNNNNNNNNNNNNNNNNNNNNNNNNNNNNNNNNNNNNNNNNNNNNNNNNNNNNNNNNNNNNNNNNNNNNNNNNNNNNNNNNNNNNNNNNNNNNNNNNNNNNNNNNNNNNNNNNNNNNNNNNNNNNNNNNNNNNNNNNNNUAUUUAUGUUUAGUAAAUGGGUUUAGACCUAACUCUAUGGAUCAUAAAUGGGUUUAAUGUGGGUGUUAAAUGGGUUCUCAACUUAUUUAGACUAAACUUACUCCUAUGACUCUCUUUUCACUCUCUCUUACCUUCACUUGAUCUCACGUUCAUUUAUUCUAUGCUUUCACUUUAGUUUGGGUAUGAAUUUUCCCAAUUUGAGUUAAAUAUAUAAGUAUUUUAACAUUAUGGGUUGUGUAUGGAUCACUAUAUUUGUGUUGUAUGAAAAUGAGCUAAAAAGGUUAAAUUGAUCAAUUUACGUAGGACCAUUUUUUACUCAGCUUGAACCAAAUCCGACUCGACCUAACCUAAUCCACCCAUUUGACAAAUUUAGUUAGUGAUUGCUUUCUGCCCAAAAGUGGGCCUCCAUUGGGAAAAAAAACUUCACAAAUUCUCUAUAAACUAGAGCUCCCUUCUCUCAUUUUCAGCAUUCAUCACUCUCUCCCAAAUUCUCAUUCUUUUACAAAUUUGUAAUUUCUCGCAAAUUUGCACUUCCUAUAUAUGAAUUACUUCAUUCAAUCUUGUAAUGGAUCCCAACCGCUUCUCAAAUGGCGAUUAAGGAUCUCCGAGCUUGAGGUGGCACUUCGAUUCCUACACUAAUCCCGAGAUGCAACGCACUCCCUAUGUGCCUGGUUCACCCAAGAAACAGCAACAAAUGCAGGACACUGACGGCAUGAUAGAAAGACUGGAUGAUUCAAAAUUCAUGUCGCGCAAACCCCUACCUCAACCUCAAAGAUCAACAAACUACAAUCAAUGUCGCGCAACCUUCGAGGUGAAGAUCAUCCAUUCUUUGGUGGACAUUAAAAAUCGAUAGGGUAAUGAUAAGUGUUGGGAAAACUUCCUAUGAUAUUUUGAUGAUUUCAAAACUAUCAUUGGUUUAAUAUCUACCACAUGAUUGUAGAUGUUCAUCAUGAUCAAUUGAUGAUAAUUUUAUGAUGAACUGAUCAUAUCAAUGGUGUAAAGCUUAGUGAUGGACAUGCACAAAGAUGUAGGCCUUGACAAAAGGAGAACAAGUUAGAUAUCACAAGCGGUUCAUAAGGACUUGGAGGGACCAAGAUAAGGUGAUCAUCACCCUAAAGCCUUUGGAUACUGGUAUGCUCAGGAAGACCAUUGGAUAAUGAAAUGCAAGUUGUUCCGCGAAGAAUACAAUUGAUAUCAUCAACAGAAUAUUAACAAGGGCAUGUGCUAAUAACAAGUGAUGACCAGCAAUUGAUGAUACAAUGUCAAUUCCUAGAAGGCGUUGUUCAAUAAUCCAUCCUAGGUUGACCGUUGAAUUGGAAGAAAAUAGUUGUUAACAAAGUCGGGAAUUCGUGGCGAGAGGACUAAAAGCAAGUGAGGACAUCUUUGGCACUUUUGGUCAGUGUGUUAGACUAUAUAUUUGAUGGAUCAGUAUAACAAACUUCAUUUCAGAAACUUUUCUUUUGCCGGCAGGAGCAAACUGUAUGGGCAGCUGAACGCUGACAUUUGCUACAACCAACUCCCAACGCCUCUUCAACUCUUCAGAAGCAUCUUCAACGGUUGGAUUAGAGGGGGAACGCCUAUAUAAAGAGGAUCAAAACAGCUAGAAGUGGUGGCUACCGAACCUUGAAUGCCGGUGAAGAAUGCCUAAGGAUGGAGGAGCCACCGUUUGGACACCAAGAGGAGAGGACACCGCUGAGCAAGGCCAAUACGAGCCUAGAGAGGUUCACAAUUUGAGAGCUCCUGAAUGAGUUGUGUUUCCAUUAUGGCUGGCCAUAGAAGGUUUAUGAAGCCUCCACAGGUCCUAAUUGAGUUAGCAUUAGGACUGGACGGGAUGGAGCUUACAAUCGGUUAAACAACGAGACUAAGAUGACUUCAAAAUGGACGACGUAGAUGGGGUGAGGAGAGAUGAAGAGGGGUGGUUGGCAGUUGGAUUAAGGGUAAGCGUUUGAUGCGAUAACAGCUAUUGAAACAAAAUGCUAUGUUAUCCACUCGAUCUAACUUUGGAUGAUUUCUCACAAUUUGGAAUCAUGGCUGAUUUCUCAAAACUUUGGGAUUAUCGCUUAACUCACUGUUUGGACCCUAAAAUUUCAACAAUCUUGGAGAGCAUGUUCCAUGGCUCAUUGAACUAAACUUGACCUUGUGGCCGUUAGCAAUUUGAUUCUAGGCCCACAUUGCCUCUCAAACUCGGGAUUGAGCACUAAAAAGGUUGGAAAUUUACGUUCUAGCUUAAUUUCUAUGCUUGAGCUCCAAAAAUCUUGCGAAUGUCAAUUUAAGCACGUUUCUUCACCAUGAUUGCCCAUUUAAGCUCACUUCUCUCAUGGCAAGUUGGAUUUUGAAGUUCUAUCUCAUGCCAAGUCACUUCUUGAGGUCGCCUCUAGUUCCCUGUAUAUGUGUCAGUACUGAAGUGUAAAUUAUGCAACAUUGAUAUAUUUGUUUAAAGUGCGAUUUGAUCCCUAAUUUCUGAUUUAAUGAAUGACUAAUCCAUUAGCCAAAAUUAGGUGUCAAUGAUUGGGAAUGGAUCGGAUGCCCAUUGUUCAGACUAUGGGCAUCCAGCCCACUUUUGGUCUAUUUGAGACUCUCCAGGUCGGUCCUCCAUGGUCCCUUUGCUCUGUGUUCACUCUAGGAUUGUCGAGGCAUGCUUUAGGUCCCCUUUUUAAGCUUGGGGAUUGUAGCAUCCCGAACCCUUCGUCGAUCGCUACAAGCUCUGGUGUUACACUUUAUUACCUUUCUUUCUUUCGAACAAGCGUCCUAAUUUGCAGACACAUUUUUUUUUUUAAACGAUCGGUCCCAAUGCGACUCAUAGCGGAAGCAAAUUAAACAUCACCAUCUAUCCCCCUACCAAUCCAUGAUACAAAUACACACCAGCUAAACAUCAGGAUUUUAUAAACAAACAUCGACACAUUAUUUACAUAUUCUUUUAGGAUGGGACUUCCUUUUUCUCGGGUCGAUACAAAACAAGAAAAGCUAGGACUCUGCCAUGUCUUGCCUAAAAUCUCAAAAAGAAACACCCUUGACCCUCAACAUCAUACGAGCGCAAACCCCCAUCGAAAGUGUCGAUUAUCUACAUCAAAAAGAGAUCCAGCUCCUACUCAUCGCGCGCAGGUCUCACACCCAACCCGGUGCAUCAGGUGGUGGCGGCGGCAGCAUCCCUCGCAUAGCUCCAUCCCAUCGAACGUGCACAGAAAUGAACUCUUGUAUGAUAGGGCCCUCAACCAGGCCGAUAUCAUACAUCACUAGACAUCGCACUCGGAUAAAAGUUAGUCCGGGAACAGAGGGACAAUCUAUCUCCGCACACUCAACCUCUACAUCAGACGGUAGACCAUAGAAUACCCCCCGCGAGACGGCAGGAAGCGGCAUACUGCUAAUCUGAAAUGUUAUCCCCAAAAGGGGUGAGUACAACCACUCAGCAGAUAGGGAAAUCCAAUAACAACUCAAUGCAUCAUGCAAAUUACACAUGCAUAGCAGGCACUACUUACCUUGAAGCCAGGCACACACUAUCAUGCAUCAUCACAUCACAUCACAUAUCAUCAUCAUCAUCAUCAUCAUGCAUAUCAUCAUGCAUAUCAUAUCAUAUCAUGGGGUGAUCAUCAUAUCACAUCACAUAUUAUCAUCAUCAUCAUCAUCAAUCUCAUCAUCAACCCUUCGGGCAGAAACCUCCGACAGGGCUCCCGGCAAACUCAGCCAUCCCAUGGCCACCGGGCUUCCGGCCCCCCACAUUCCGGGCAUCUCGCAUCUCAACUAGCAUCACGAGGCAUUCCCUUCGGGCCGAAACCUCCGACAGGGCUUCCGGCCUUUACCCUUCUAGCCAGGCAUCCCGCACCCAAAUCCUGGCAUCGCGAGGAACCUCCGGGCAUGUAUCCAAGAUACAACCGGACAUCCGGCCCUCCCACAUUCCGGGCAUCCUGAAUCUCCCAGGGAAUUCCGGCAAUGUAUCUAUACAUUCCGGCCAUCAUCCUCCACCACAACCACUUCCUCAUUUACCAUCAUCCACAUAUACCAUUUCUUUAUCUCAAUUUAACAUGGCAAUUGGCAUGGUAUCAAACAAAUCACACUUGACAUGGAAUUCACACUUGCAUCUCAAUUCAUAUGUCAUACACAUGCCAAAACUUUAUCCCAUACACAUCUCAAUUCAAUACAUGUACAAGGACCAUGUCAUACGCAUACCAAGACUUUAUCACAUAUACAUCUCAAUCCAAUACAUGUGCAAAGACCUCAUCACACAUAUGCCACACAAAUAGAAUUGAAUCCAUGGCCAAAUAAAAAUCCAUUUUAUUUUAUUAUUUUAUUAUUUUAUUAUUAUAUUAUUAUAUUAUUAUAUAUAUUUAUUUUCAUAAAUAAGUAUUAAAUUUAAUAUCUAUGAUUUUCCCAAAAUCAUAAUAUUCAAAAUAUCACUAAACAAAUCAAUAUGAUCACAAUUUCAUACAAAAUUCAUCGCCAAAUUGAAUUUCUCAUAACUUCACAAUUUCCACAAAAUAGCACAUGAUAUUCGGAUAAUGACCAGAAUUGCACAGUUUCCAAAUAAAUUCGAUUAAAAUACUCAUAUGGCCUUCAAAAAUUACAAAAUUUUACAGGGUGAUAGCCAACACAUUUUCGUGCACUUUUCGUGAAGAACUCUAAGCCAAAUUCUUUUUAGAUUAGUUUAUAUAACCCCACGAAACCUCUGGAACCACUACCGCGUCGUCCAGAAUACACUUCUUCGAAAUUUUUAGAUUUCACCCAUCUAUUCUCUUUCGUUUCCUCUGAAAUUUGAGUAUGUUAUGUAUCAAGUUGUCCUUUACAAGUUUCAUGAAGAGAUCUAGGUCAAAUAACCAAAGUAUGGUCACCAUUUAAGUCCAUGAAGUCUUGGGUGUCUCGGAACACAUCACCAGAAUCAUCAUCUCCAAGAUCUAGCCGAUUUACUAGGCUAUACUUGUUCAUUUCUCUUAAAAUUUGAGAAUGUUGUAGUUUAAGGUGUUACCUACAACUUUCAUGAAGACAUCAAAGUCAGAUUUUCAUCACAAACCAACAUGCAACCAAGAAUCCAACAAGAAGUCAGUGAAAACAUCACAGAUCUGGGGUCUCCGUAUAACAAGGCUUUAACCCCUCAAAUCUUCAUCAUUUUUCACGAAAUUUCUGUAUGUUAUACUAAAAGAUGUUAGCUACAACUUUCAUGAAGACAUCAAAGCCAAAAUCUGACUCCAAACACACAUGGAAGCUCUAACAAGCUACUGACUUCCACAAACCGAACAAGAACAGUCACACGGUUUGAAAACAACCAACCCUACCUCUGUUUCUCGCACAAAUCACACCUAAAAUCGAACAUGCAACCACCAAAACAAACAUGCAAGAGAAGUUACUGACUCCACUUGCCUCUAGGAUGAACAACGACGGCGUACGGACGGCGGGACACGGCGAUUGGAUGGUGAACGAACGGCGGCUCCCUCGGCUCCGCCUCCUUCCCCUCUCGGUUUCUCCCUUUCUCUCGAACUCUCUCUCCCUCUCGCACUCUCUCUCGGCCAAAUGAAGAAAGAACCGGCCACUCUCCCUUCUCUCUCCCUUUUUAUAUCACCAUCUUCUCAUGAUUAGCAAUCAUGAGAUUGCCUACAAACCACCCAAUGCAUGCUCUUGCCCCUUGCCACUUGUCAUUUUUAUUUUUGAAUUUGAUUGGGCUUGGGCUUUUGGAGUUGGGCCAUACGGCCACUCCCCUUGGGCUGGUUGAGCUCCCUCUUGGGCCGACUAGCUUGGCCCACCAAGCUUUAGGCUAAUGGGCCCAAGGCCCAUUCCAAGAAUUAACCUCUUUUUCCCUUCUUUUUUCUUUGAAAUUCUCCUAUAAAUAUUUCUAAAUUUCAAUUUUCAAUCUUGGCCAAAGUCUUAGGAUAUUUUUUUGCUCAUUGAAAUUUAAAUCACACAGCCAAGCAUAGAUUAUUAAUCUAUUAAAUUUAAAUUUCCACAAUCAUAAGCACAAAUCAUCAAAUUAAAAGACUAAUGGCUAAAACAUAAGCCAUGGAAAUUGUGCCACCUAAUUAAAGACUUUAACACACCUUAAGGCUUGGCUUUGAAUUUCUGGGAUGCCACAGGGAUAGGCCGAAUGUGUGUUUUUCGUAGACAGAUGAAAAUGGAGAUGUCGAAUAGUCAUCAGUCUCGCCAAUGCCAUCUUCCGACUCAGAGUUUAGAUGACGUCUCUUUCUUAUUAUAGUCGAGCAUUUAAAUUUAGUUUUAUUUUUUUUCUCAUAUAUAGAUAAUCUCUUCGUAUUAAUAUACAUACACAUAUAUAAAGUAUAAAAGAAGCAUUUUUAAUGCGUGUCGGCUUUUUCGCAGUACAAUAUAGGAUGAGAUUAAUUUUGACUAUUGUUAGUAGCAUCAUAAUGCAUUUAGGAUUAAUCUCUCAUUACAAAGAUUAAAAAAUUUUCAUUUAUUAAACUUGUGCAUGUCUCUUCUUAUGAAUAGCUCAAGUCCUGUUUUAGGAGUUUAUAGCAAAGCGUUGAACUAAUUUUGUUUGAUACGGCUGAAAUUGCUUUUAUUCUUUUCCAGUCUUUAUAUUUAUCAUUGAUUGAGUAUCUAUAGAUUUACAUGUUUAAGAAAUAAAAAAUGAAAAUAUAUUGGAAGAAAUAAUUUUUAUUAAAAGAAAAAAGUUACUAGUGAUAGGUGCUAGGCAAAACUACCUUAACCAAGUUCUUGCAUCUAAAACCUAUGGUUCACCAAAGUGGGGCAAGCGCCUAUGCCUUACUUGGCUCACAACUGCCCUAUAAUAGGUUAGUGGCAACUGUUAUUAAAAUUCGACCAUUUAAUAAAAAAGAAAUCAAGUUGUGGUUGGCGGGGUUUGGAAGAACUGUACAUUGCAUAAGCACCACGUUGUAAGAGAGUUAUAUGUCUCCGCCUAACAAUUCAUUAAAUUCUUUCAAAGUUCAUAUUGGCAAGAUAGUGAUAAUGUACAUAUUGAUGUAGUUCAAAUGUAAUUUUCAUUCAUAAUGCAUAGACAUGUAAUUAUAAAAUUUCAUAUUGCAGAACAACAUUCGAAAAAGUUACGUUUUUUACAGUAUCAUAUACGGAGCAUAAGUUCAUGAACUAACGACAUUCGAGGACUCUACUUGUCCGCCAUUACCCUUAGCUGCCCAAUUGGUGCGAAUCUCAAUUAGUCUUUUGAAUUUAUGAAGGAAGGCUGCAGGUGACUUCCAGGCAAAUGGAACAUAACAACAGAGUAAUGGCAAGUGGAACAUGUAUUAACUUGUCCAAUACGUCCAACAUAGAUCUAACUAACAUGUAAUAUAAUAUAUUAAGUUCUCCAAUAAGUCCAACAUCUAAUUGACAUACAAUGCUUAAUCUCUUCCAACUAGCACAGAUAUCCAUCACUGAAAUCCUCUCGUCAUGUAGAGCUUUGUCUACCUUUUAUGGGUAGUUUUCUUCUGGCUUCUUCCCUUUAACCCUAAUUGUCAUCCAUAAUCUCCUUCUUCCUGUCCAUCUACCCUUCAUCGCUCCAUCCCUUUGCCUUUAUCGGAUGAUUUUGUUCUUCAUUAUCUUCAAUGUCGUCCAUCCAACAAGAUAUCAACCAUCAGUUCCUGCUGGUCUAAGGGCUUGCAUGUCAUCCUACUCUUUUGCACAAAGUACAUGCUGUUUCUAUGGCUUUAAAAGGUUGGAGUUGCUCAAAAUUUCAACUUGAAGACUUGCAGGUUAAUGCCUUACACCAACAGCUUGAAGAGAUCACCAAUCGACCAUAUAUCAACAGCCAUGAUAAAGAAGCAGCUUCUCUUAUCCGGGAUGAAAUUUGUAGAAUAUGGCAGCAAGAAGAACAAUUUUGGGCCUGCGGUCCAGAAUCAAUUGGUUGCGAUAGGGAGAUAAGAAUACUAAAUUUUUUCACGCAACCACCAUCCAAAGACGCCAACGGAAUAGGAUAACUAUGAUACAGGAUGUUAAUCAGGAAUGGGUGCGGGAUCCUCAAACACUAAAGGAGAUGACGACUGCUUUCUUUUCCAAUUUAUAUACAUCAGAGGGGUAUAGAGACUACAACCCUAUUUUGAAUCAAUGCCCCACAGUUGUCACUCCAAAAAUGAAUAACCAAUUAACUGCUUUUGUCAAUCUUGAAGAGGUGCGCUGGUCAGCUUUCCAGUUGGGGGUCUCUAAAGUUCCAAGCUCGGACGAUUUGAGUGGUCUUUUUUAUUAGACGAAUUGGGAUAUUAUUAAGGAUGAUCUUCUGAGGACAGUGCAAGAUUUCUUUAAUUCAGAAGUGCUGCCCUACAAUCUAAAUAGAACCAUUAUUGCUUUGGUUCCCAAAACCAAUCACCUUGAAUGAAUGGAUCAGUACAGGUCCAUUAGUCUAUGCAACUACGCAUACAAAAUCAUCUCUAAAGUUAUUGUUAAUCGCCUAAAACCAUGGGUUCCUGAUCUAAUCUUUAAGGAACAGGAUGCCUUUGUGAGUGGACGGCAGAUCCAAGACAAUAUUUUGAUCGUUUAGGAAGUUCUGCAUCAAUUCAAGACAAGGAAGUGGAAGCGAAAGUACAAGGUACUAAUUAAGACAGACAUGCAAAAGGCAUAUGAUAGAGUUGAGUGGGAUUUCCUCAAAGACUAUUUGAUAAAAUUGGGUUUUCAUCAACGAUGGGUUUUAUGGGUGAUGCAAUGCAUAACUACCCCAUCCUUCAGUGUACGUUUUAACGGCGAACUACUACCUUAUUUUCAGCCAUCGAGGGGACUCCGUCAAGGUGACCCACUAUCCCCUUACAUUUUCAUAUUAGUGGUGAACGUUCUUUCCACUUUAAUUUCCCAAGCAAUUGAAGGAGGCCAUCUUAAAGGGAUCAAGCUAGCCAGGUCAUGUCUGACUCUCUCACACUUAUUUUUCGCAGAUGACUCAGUCUUUUUUUCUAGAUGGUACACUCACUGAAUGCCAGAACCUUGCUAAUAUCUUGAAUCAGUAUUGCCUUGCCACAGGAAAGAUCAUCAACAUAAAUAAAUAUGGAAUGUUUUGCAGUAAAUAUUGUCCUUUGAGAUUGCAGGAAAAUUUAGCAAGGGAAUUUCAAAUUCCGGUGUUGCAAAGAUAUGGCAAAUACUUGGGUAUACCUUCGGACUGGGGACGAUCAAAAUGAGAGAUGUUUUCUUGGAUCUUAGCAAGAGUAAAUGCAAAACUGGAAGGUUGGAAAGAACGACUAUUAUCUAAAGGGGGUAAAUAAAUCCUACUUAAAUCUGUUGUGCAAGCUAUUCCACAAUAUGCAAUGUCUAUCUUCAAGCUUCCUCUAUCUCUUUGUAAAGGGUUUGAACAAUGAAUUUCCAGCUUUUGGUGGAGGAACAAUAAGAGUAGAACAGGGGUGCAUUGGUAGAAAUGGGAUGAACUAAAAAUCAGCAAACUCAAUGGGGGUCUUGGCUUUCGAGACCUAAUAGCUUUUAAUAAGGCAAUGCUUGGUAAGCAAGCAUGGCAAUUAAUUCAUCAACCUCUCUCUUUAUGGAGUCAGAUCUUUAAGGGGCUUUAUUUUCCUACACAAGACUUCCUAAUAGCAGAUAAAGGGUAUUGCCCGUCCUGGGGCUAGCAGAGCCUUCUUAUUGGUAGAGAGGCAAUUACACCUAAUAUGAGAUGGUCUGUUGGUGAUGGCCAAAAAAUCAAAAUACGAGAGGAUCGAUGGUUAUCUAUUGGAACUAUAGCAAGACCAGCUGCACGAGAGGUGUCAUGCCUCGAACCUCGAGACACGUGAAACAACCCGCCAUGGUCAUGUAAAUGCGACAUUCCCAGGUAGUGUCGCCGACCCCAAUAUUAAAUUAUUAAAUUAUUAUGCGCAUACAGAACGUGUUAAGAAAUCCCCUGACAAAAGCAUAUGGGAUAGGACAACAGGAAAAAUAAAUUCAAAAUCAAACACACUUUCAUACAUCAUCAUCAAUCCAGGGUUUACAUACACCAACAGGAUCCAGAGACUAUAUGCACCAAAAAUGGGUCAGAGUUUAUGUGCAUCAAAAAGGGUCAGGAGCGCUCUCGGUCGUCUGGUCCAUCUCCGUCGGCAUGCCAUUCAUCUCCAGGGUACCGCCAUCUACGGUCCUAUAAUAUUUUUCCCCAAACCGGGAUGAGACUUUGUCUCAACAAGUUCACCCCUCCUAAACCCCUAUUAGAAAGCAAAUACACCCCAAAGUGGUCUAGCCACACAGCACAGAAGACUUACCUCACCUUCUUGCCUUCCUGCAGGUUAGUACAAUUCAUAUCACUCAAACACCAGUAAUGAUAAGAAUGUAAGCCAUCUGAACACAAUCAAUUUCACUUAAUUUCACAAUCACAGCAAGCAUUCCAUGUCAUCAUUAUCCAUUGCCACACAAGGGCACAGUCUACUCGCAGGUCGGCUAACUACUAACAUUACAGCAUUUCUAGAAUAAUAAAGGUCCAGUUGGUCUCGCCACUACUGCAACCAAGCCAUGUCAUUCUAUCGACGGCAUUUCUAGAAGAAUAAAGGUCCAGUCGGUCUCGCCACUACUGCGACCAAGCCACGUCAUUCUAUCGACGGCAUUUCUAGAAGAAUAAUGGUCCAGUCGGUCUUGCCACUACUGCGACCAAGCCACGUCAUUCUAUCGAUGGCAUUUCUAGAAGAAUAAAGGUCCAGUCGGUCUCGCCACUACUGCGACCAAGCCACGUCAUUCUAUCGACGGCAUUUCUAGAAGAAUAAUGGUCCAGUCGGUCUCGCCACUACUGCGACCAAGCCACGUCAUUCUAUUGACGGCAUUUCUAGAAGAAUAAAGGUCCAGUCGGUCUCGCCACUAUUGCAACCAAGCCACGUCAUUCUAUCGACGGCAUUUCUAGAAGAAUAAUGGUCCAGUCGGUCUCGCCACUACUGCGACCAAGCUUUUCAACCAACACACAACAAUUCAAAAUCGACCCCUAUACACUUUACAUGGGAAUUUCUAAAUAUUAACCCUUCAAAAUUCGAUUUCGGUGUCAAACCCGACACGUGGGAAUUUCUGAAUAAAAUUCCUAGUUUUCACAAUCAACAUUCAAUUUGCAAUAUUCACUCAUCAAAUUCAGAUUCUAAACACACAGCAGCGAUCGGCACGAAAUUCUGAGCAAUUAGGAUCAAAAAUAAUUUUUCGAGUUUUUUUUAAUAUUUUAAUGAAUUUCGGAAUAUGAAAUAUUAUUAAAUAAACCAACAAUUUCGAAGCAUUUAUUUAAAUCAUAAAUAAAUUCCUUUAAGUCACAUCAAGGUUUAUUUUAAAAUAAACCCAUUUAACCUUUAAACUAAACACACUUUACUUUAAUUAAUCACCUCAAAUUAAUCCACAACUAAAUAAACUAAUCUAGCCACCUAAUCUCUCCCAACUUAAGCUAAACACACUUAAGGCAUCAUUAACUCGCUAAUCACAGUUUAGUGAGGUAAACUCACCGGAAUCGCUUUCCGAUGAGUCUCCGGCGAAGAGCACAACGACGCCGAUGACAAACUGAGCUUUGAAGGGUGACGGAACGGCGGCUGAACGGGCGGAGGAAGACCGGCGGAGGCGGCUAGGUCUUGGGACGGCAGCUCACAGCAAUGGACGGCGGUGAAGGAGGCUCCAGCGACUAUGAACAGCUGCUACCUUGGAGAGAUGACAACUCGGGAUGCUUGGCGGACGGAAACGAGGCAGCUCGGCGCGGAACGAGAUGGCGACGCUGCGGGCUCAGGCGAACGGCGAGCAACGGGCACGUGGGCGAGAUGGUGGCCGGCCGAGCGAGAAGUCGAGCGGCGAGGAUGGGCGGUCGAAGGGGGGUGGUUCCGCUGGUUUUUCCUUCCUCUCUCUCUCUCCUCCAAAUUCCAAAAGGAAGAAGAUGAUGGGGACAAGGGGGAAGUGACAUCCCACCUUUCCAAGAUCUCAUCCCCACCUUCCACUUGUCACAACCCUAGCCCAUCUUGCUCCAUCCAUGACAUCACAUGUGAUGUCAUCAUCCACUAACUCCAACCUCCACAACUUUAGUCCAAUAGGUUCAAUUUCAUUUUCCGCCGGGGUCCAAGUUAUUGUACAUUCAAUUUCUUCAAUUUCCAUCAAUUCUCUUGCAAUUGAGUCCAAAUUAAAGUCCGUGAAUUAAUCCAAUGUCCCUAAUAAGCUUUGCGACACCCCAUGACUUCCAAUUUCAGAAUUCGAUUUCAAUUUCACGGUUAAUUUCACUCUGGUGCGAUUUCAGCGCGCCUAAUCCAUUGAGUAGCUUUUAGGGAAGUUUUCUUAAAUCCGACCUGAGGGUGAUCAGUCCCCAAGUCUGACGUGGUAAAAUUCCUUAAUUACUUCACUCAAUAGACUAGUUCUCUCGUGAGUAGCCAACUCUGAGAGACGAACUACAUGCACAGAUGAAUUGCCCGACUCAAUUGACUGAAAAUAAAAUUGAGAAAAUCGAGAUGUCACGACUCCUCCCCUCUUAUAAAAAUUUCGUCCUCGAAAUUUAAAUCAUUACAUAUUUGAAGCAAGAAGGUAAGGGUACAAUUCUCUCAUCGAAUCCUCGGUUUCCCAAGUUGCUCCUUCAAUGCCGUGGUGUUGCCAGACCACUUUGACCAUUGGGAUGGUCUUGGUGCGCAGAACUUGCUUCUUCCGAUCCACAAUCUAAACUGGGCUUUCAACGUACAACCCCUUGUCGUCCACAUCUAAUUCCUCGAAAUUUAAAAUGUGAGUCGGGCCAGGUUCAUACCUCCUCAACAUUGACACGUGAAAGACAUUGUGCACCUGUGACAACUUUGGUGGCAAUGCAAGACGAUGCGCUAGUGUCCCUAUUCUUUCCAAAAUCUCGAAGGGACCUACGUACCUCGGACUUAGUUUCCCCUUUUUGCCAAAGCGGGAAGUACCUCUUACCGGUGACACCUUCAAGAAGACGUGCUCACCAACUUGGAAUUCCAAUAGCCUCCGACGCUUAUCGGUAUAACUUUUCUGUUGACUUUGAGCGGUCUUUAGUCUGUCUCUAAUAACUGCGACUGCCUCCACCAACUGCUGAACUAACUCUGGACCGGUGAUCUUUCUUUCUCCGACCUCCUCCCAACACACUGGUGUCCUGCACGCUCUGCCAUACAACGCUUCGAAAGGAGCCAUCUGAAUACUCUGCUGAUAACUGUUGUUGUAGGCAAACUCGACCAGAUGAAGCUGUUCCUCCCAACUUCCUUUGAAGUCCAAGACACAAGCUCGCAGCAUGUCCUCAAGAGUCUGAAUUGUCCUCUCAGACUGGCCAUCAGUCUGCGGGUGAUAGGCCGUACUGUACUGCAGCUUCGUUCCUAAAGCAGAUUGCAAGCUCUUCCAAAAAGCGGCGGUGAACCUCAGGUCUCUGUCUGAAGUAAUUGUAACCAGCACUCCAUGCAUACGAACUAUCUGACAUACAUACAAAUCUGCGAGUCUAUCCAAACUCAAGUCCCUUCGAACUGCAAUGAAGUGUGCCGAUUUUGUCAGUCUGUUAACUACUACCCAAAUCAAAUCAUUUCCUCUCUGGCUCCUCGGUAAUCCCGUCACGAAGUCCAUCGUGAUAUGCUCCCAUUUCCACUCUAGGAUCUCAAGGGGUUGCAGAAGUCCUCCCGGUUUGCAAUGCUGAGCUUUCACUUGCUGACACGUCAAACACUUGGCAACAUGCUUGGUGAUAUCCACCUUCAUGCCACACCACCAGUAGUGUUGAUGCAGAUUCUGAUACAUCUUAGUACUACCAGGAUGGAUGCUGUAACUGCUACGAUGCGCUUCUGAUAAAAUCUCCUCCCUAAGCUCCACAUCGUCAGGCACAACCAACCGUCCUUGGAACCUCAGCGUUCCAUCUUCAGAAAUCUGGAAGUCAGCUUUUCCUCUUCUCUGAAUCCUCUUGUACGAUUUUCUGAAUAUCCGGAUCUGUUUGCUGAAGCGUCCUAAUUCUGACCUGUACUUUUGGCUCAAUUCUGAGGGUGGCCAUAAGGUUCGAAAGGUGGCCUACUUCAAACUUGAAACCCAAAUCUUGUGCUCCCUCAAGUAGACUCCAUUCCUUGAGUACCAUUUGUGCAACAGAAGACUUCCUACUCAAUGCAUCGGUGACCUUGUUCGCCCUUCCAGGAUGAUACAAAAUCUCACAGUCAUAGUCCUUUAAGAGCUCCAUCCAUCGACGUUGUCUCAUAUUCAACUCCCUUCUGAGAAAAAUAAGUACUUGAGACUCUGAUGGUCAAUGAAGAUCUAGAAUCUUUCUCCACACAAAUAAUGCCUCCAAAUAUUUAGGGCAAAGAUGAUCGCUGCAAGCUCCAAGUCAUGCGUCGGAUAAUUCAACUCGUGAGGUCUCAAUUGACAAGACGCAUAUGCAACAACCCUACCAUGCUGCAUCAACACGCAACCCAAUCCUUUAAACGACGCAUCACUGUAGACCUCAAACCCUCCCGGACCAGAUGGAAUAGUAAGCACAGGUGCAAUAGUUAGCUUAUGCUUAAGCUCUUGGAAACUACUCUCGCACUUAUCCGUCCACAUGAAUUUUUCUUCCUUCUUCAACAGUCUCAUCAUCGGCGAUGCUAACCUUGAAAACCCUUCCACAAACCAUCUGUAAUACCCUGCUAAACCCAGAAAACUUCUUAUCUCUAUCACUGUAGUCGGUCUCGACCAGUUGAUCACUGCUUCAAUCUUGGCUGGGUCCACUGAGAUUCCUUCUCCAGAGAUAACAUGACCUAGGAACCCCACACGAGUUAGCCAAAACUCGCACUUACUGAACUUAGUAUACAACUCAUGAUCUCUCAAAGUUUGAAGCACUAUUCUUAAGUGUCUCUCAUGCUCCUCAAUACUCCUUGAGUACACCAGGAUGUCGUCGAUGAAGACAAUUACGAACUAAUCUAAAUACUCUCUGAACACCCGGUUCAUCAGGUCCAUGAAAGCAGCUGGGGCAUUCGUCAACCCAAACGGCAUCACAGUAAACUCGUAAUGGCCGUAUCGAGUGCAAAACGCCGACUUUGGUAUAUCUUCCUUCUUGAUUCUUAGUUGAUGAUCCCCCGUCCUCAAGUCGAUCUUAGAAAAUAUCGACGCUCCUUGAAGCUUAUCAAACAAAUCAUCAAUCCUUGGCAACGGAUACUUGUUCUUAAUUGUCACUCGGUUGAGUUGUCGGUAGUCGAUGCACAAGCCGUAACAAACCAUCCUUCUUCUUCACAAACAACACCGGUGCUCCCCAAGGUGAUGCACUUGGACGUAUAAAUCCUUUAUCCAACAACUCUUGCAUUUGCACCUUUAGUUCCUUAAGCUUUGACAAGGCCAUCCGGUAAGGAGCUUUGGAGAUAGGCUCGGUCCCUAGAGCUAACUCAAUUACAAACUCUACCUCUCUUUCCGACGGCAAACCCGGUAAUUCUUUCGGGAACACAUCUGGGAAUUCUUGCACCACUGGAAUGUCUUCUAUCUUCGACUCCUCUACUGUCAUGUCCAUGACAGUCGCCAGGUAACCUUGGCAACCCUUGUCUAGUAAGCGAGUUGCCUUGAGCGAUGAGAUUAAAGAAAUUGAGGGUCCUCCCCAACUCCCUACGAAUUCGAAACUCUCACCCUCUAAUGGGUUAAACUGAAUCGCCUUGCAAUAACAGUCCAUCUUGGCUCUUGCUUGGUAAGCCAAUCCAUGCCAAUUAUCAUAUCAAAAUCAUACAUAGCUAAGACUAUCAAGUCUAUCCUCCCCUCUCGCUCACAAAUCAUUAACUUGCAACCAAGGCAACCUACUGUAGCUAACACUUUAUCUUUCAACAAAGUAGAUAUACUAACCACAGACUCCAACAAUUCAGGAAUUAAUUCUACCAAUUUAACAAAUCUUUCAGUUAUAAACGAAUGCGAAGCUCCAGGAUCAAAUAAAGCAUAAGCAGGAUGGUCGUUCAGCAAGACCAUACCUGUGACCACAUUAGGCGCAUCCUCCGCCUGUCCUCUGGUGAGCGCAUAAGUCCUUCCCUGAGCUGGAGGUCGGUUCAAUCCACCCUGCGGCAUGAUAUACGACGCAACUCCUCUGUUCUGACCCCCUGGUGGCGGCGGUGGCAACUAAUGCUGCCCCAUCUGAUUCCUGGGGAAAUAUCGGGCUAUAUGACCCUGCUGGCCACACUUAUAACAGGCGCCCGUCCUAGGAGGACACGGGGCUGGACCAUGUCGUCUUCCACAUAGACGAGACACACCAUUCAAUCUCAGCGCCGGCUUUCCUAUCCCACCCUUCUUGCUGGGUGGAACAGGGUACCUUCCUCCAGGCAUCGACCUCUUCCCAAACCGAUUAUCGCCUCUGUUUGAAUUAAACCGCGACCCAGAUGUGGCAGCUCUCUCAUUCUAGUCUUUCUUGAUCAGCUAUGCCCACCUAUAGAGGUCAUUGUACUCCUUCAGGUCUAGGGGUACCAACAAACUCCUCACCUCCGGUCGGAAUCCAUCUCUAAACCUUCGAGCUCGGUCUAACGGUCACUGGACCAACUCAGGGGCAUACUGCGAUAGUUCAGCGAACUUCGCUUCAUAUUGGUCAACUGACAUGGUACCUUCACGAAGGCGCUGAAACUCCGCCAUCUUCACCUCUCUGGCACAAUCAGAAAAGUAUUUCUCAUUGAAGGCUUCAAGAAAAGCAUUCCACUCCAGAACCACACCUUCAGGGAAUACUAUCCUUUUGUUAGUCUUCCACCAGGUAGCUGUGGUCCCCCUCAACUGAUAGGCUGCCAGGACGACCUUUUCUGCUUCAGUGCACAACAGUAACUCAAAUGCGUUCUCUAACUCCAAGAUCCAUAGUGCUGCUGCUUCGGGAUCUUCUACUCCCGUGAAUGUUGGUGGAUUCAACCUCAGAAAGUGCUGUACAAACUUCUGCCUAGGCCUCUCAGCGGCCACAUUCUCAGGUGGAAUUUCCUCAAGUUCCUCUUUUGGUUUGACAACCGGUGCGGCGGAAGUUGCAGCGGCAGUAGCAGUGGUAUUGGCAGCAUUGGCGAUGUUCAAUGCGGUGGCGAUAGUAGCGGCUUACUGAUCCCAUCCUGUCUCCCCAUUGCCCUCGAGCAUCUGCAUGAUCCCCAAUAAAUCUCGGAUCCCUCUGGGGCUGCUGCACCAUCUGGCGGCAAAAGCCUGUACCACUUGCACUGGUCUCGGCCUACGCUCCUCUCAGGGCCCCACGGGCACCACCCCCUCAAGGAAGACCCCCCACAAAACACGGGGCCUGCUGCUCUCUUCCUAGCAGCCCUCGGCUCUCGGUCACUCAUGCUACAGGCUCAAUAUAGAUGCCUAUUGGCAAAUUCCAAUACCAAAUUAGAAUUUGAGUAACCUUUCCAACCAAGCUAACAAACAACUAACAAUCACACGCAUUAGGAUAUGGAAAGUUCUUCCUACUAACUAUCCCAUGACUCAUCGCCCCUUAUCACUCCAUACACAACCAUGCUCUAAUACCACUUAAACCGGGUUGUCACGCCCCGAACCCCGAGACACGUGAAACAACCCGCCAUGGUCAUGUAAAUGCGACAUUCCCAGGUAGUGUCGCCAACCCCAAUAUUAAAUUAUUAAAUUAUUAUGCGCAUACGGAACGUGUUAAGAAAUCCCCUGACAAAAGCAUACAGGAUAGGACAACAGGAAAAAUAAAUUCAAAAUCAAACACACUUUCAUACAUCAUCAUCAAUCCAGGGUUUACAUACACCAACAGGAUCCAGAGACUAUAUGCACCAAAAAUGGGUCAGAGUUUAUGUGCAUCAAAAGGGUCAGGAGCACUCUCGGUCAUCUGGUCCAUCUACGUCGGCAUGCCAUUCAUCUCCGGGGUACUGCCAUCUACGGUCCUGUAAUAUUUUUCCCCAAACCGGGAUGAGACUUUGUCUCAGCAAGUUCACCCCUCCUAAACCCCUAUUAGAAAGCAAAUACACCCCAAAGUGGUGUCGAGCCACACAGCACAGAAGACUUACCUCACCUUCUUGCCUUCCUGCAGGUUAGUACAAUUCAUAUCACUCAAGCACCAGUAAUGAUAAGAAUGUAAGCCAUCGGAACACAAUCAAUUUCACUUAAUUUCACAAUCACAGCAAGCAUUCCAUGUCAUCAUUAUCCACUGCCACACAAGGGCACAGUCUACUCGCAGGUCGGCUAACUACUAACAUUAUAGCAUUUCUAGAAUAAUAAAGGUCCAGUCGGUCUCGCCACUACUGCGACCAAGCCACGUCAUUCUAUCGACAGCAUUUCUAGAAGAAUAAAGGUCCACUCGGUCUCGCCACUACUGCGACCAAGCCACGUCAUUCUAUCGACGGCAUUUCUAGAAGAAUAAUGGUCCAGUCGGUCUCGCCCCUACUGUGACCAAGCCACGUCAUUCUAUCGACAGCAUUUCUAGAAGAAUAAAGGUCUAGUCGAUCUCGCCACUACUGCGACCAAGCCACGUCAUUCUAUCGACGGCAUUUCUAGAAGAAUAAAAGUCCAGUCGGUCUCACCACUACUGCGACCAAGCCAUGUCAUUUUAUCGACGGCAUUUCUAGAAGAAUAAAGGUCCAGUUGGUCUCGCCACUACUGCGACCAAGCCACGUCAUUCUAUCGACGGCAUUUCUAAAAGAAUAAUGGUCCAGUCGGUCUCGCCACUACUGCGACCAAGCUUUUCAACCAACACACGACAAUUCAAAAUCGACCCCUAUACACUUUACAUGGGAAUUUCUGAAUAUUAACCCUUCAAAAUUCGAUUUCGGUGUUAAACCCGACAUGUGGGAAUUUCUGAAUAAAAUUCCUAUUUUUCACAAUCAACAUUCAAUUUGCAAUAUUCACUCAUCAAAUUCAAAUUCUAAACACACAGCAGCGAUCGGCACGAAAUUCUGAGCAAUUAGGAUCAAAAAUAAAUUUUCGAGUUUUUUUUUUAAUAUUUUAAUGAAUUUCGGAAUAUGAAAUAUUAUUAAAUAAACCAACAAUUUCGAAGCAUUUAUUUAAAUCAUAAAUAAAUUCCUUUAAGUCACAUCAAGGUUUAUUUUAAAAUAAACCCAUUUAACCUUUAAACUAAACACACUUUACUUUAAUUAAUCACCUCAAAUUAAUCCACAACUAAAUAAACUAAUCUAGCCACCUAAUCUCUCCCAACUUAAGCUAAACACACUUAAGGCAUCAUUAACUCGCUAAUCACAGUUUAGUGAGGUAAACUCACCGGAAUCGCUUUCCGAUGAGUCUCCGGCGAAGAGCACAACGACGCCGAUGACAAACUGAGCUUUGAAGGGUGACGGAACGGCGGCUGAACGGGCGGAGGAAGACCGGCGGAGGCGGCUAGGUCUUGGGACGGCAGCUCACAGCAAUGGACGGCGGUGAAGGAGGCUCCAGCGACUAUGAACAGCUGCUACCUUGGAGAGAUGACAACUCGGGAUGCUUGGUGGACGGAAACGAGGCAGCUCGGCGCGGAACGGGACGGUGACGUUGCGGGCUCAUGCGAACGGCCAGCAACGAGCACGUGGGCGAGACGGUGGCCGGCCGAGUGAGAAGUCGAGCGGCGAGGAUGGGCGGUCGAAGGGGGGCGGUUUCGCUGGUUUUUCCUUCCUCUCUCUCUCUCCUCCAAAUUCCAAAAGGAAGAAGAUGAUGGGGACAAGGGGGAAGUGACAUCCCACCUUUCCAAGAUCUCAUCCCCACCUUCCACUUGUCACAACCCUAGCCCAUCUUGCUCCAUCCAUGACAUCACAUGUGAUGUCAUCAUCCACUAACUCCAACCUGCCACAACUUUAGUCCAAUAGGUUCAAUUUCAUUUUCCGCCGGGGUCCAAGUUCUUGUGCAUUCAAUUUCUUCAAUUUCCAUCAAUUCUCUUCCAAUUGAGUCCAAAUUAAAGUCCAUGAAUUAAUCCAAUGUCCCUAAUAAGCUUUGUGACACCCCAUGAUUUCCAAUUUUAGAAUUCGAUUUCAAUUUCACGGUUAAUUUCACUCUGGUGCAAUUUCUGCGCGCCUAAUCCACUGAGUAGCUUUUAGGGAAGUUUUGUUGCAUUCGACCUGAGGGUGAUCAGUCCACAAGUCUGACGCGGUAAAAUUCCUUAAUUACUUCACUCAAUAGACUAGUUCUCUCGUGAGUGGCCAACUCUGAGAGAUGAACUACAUGCACAGAUGAAUUACCCGACUCAAUUGACUAAAAAUAAAAUUGAGAAAAUCGGGAUGUCACAAGAGGAGCCACAGUUAGUGGUUGAUCUUAUUGACCCUUACCACCAAUCCUGGAACCUCGCUCUUCUCAAGCAGUUUUAUGAUGAUCUAGUCAUCAAUGAAAUACUUUGAAUACCUCUAAGACCACAUUCUGCUUCUGACCAGUUAGUUUGGACAACCAUAAGGAAUGGUAUUCAUAUGGUGACAAGUAAUUACCAUCCUAUCAUCAACACAGCAAUCAACAGCAGAAAUAAUGAAGCCUCUACAUCAUUCUAGCCUCCUAGAAUACUCUGGCGACAUAUAUGGACUAUGCAAACAGCACCAAAAAUCCGCUUAUUCUUAUGGUCAGUAUGCCAAAACUCACUUGCAACAAAAGCAAAUUUGUUUCAUAGACACAUCACUCCUGAUCCUAUUUGUCAUCUCUGCAAUCAACAUGAAAAAGAAACCCUAGAACAUUUAUUUUUCUAUUGUUCAUGGACUAGGGAAGUCUAGAGCCAUCCUAAUAUAAAUGUUAUGAUCACACCUCAUUCCAUUCAUUGCCUCGACGCAUGGAUCACAACAAGGGUUGCAGCUUAGAAUACAUUACCUGGACUAGAGAAUAUUGCGCAUGUUUUAUGGCAGAUCUGGCAUGGCCGCAAUAACUUUAUCUUCAGACAUCAGCAACCAGAUCCCAACAUCGCUGUUGAAGACACCAUUACACAAACCCAGAUCUACAAAGUUUCCGCCCCUAGGCGUCAGCAAACAGAGCUUUCUGCUCUCAACACCAAACACUUAUGGAGACCCCUUGAUCGUGGCACCCUGAAAUGUAAUAUAGAUGGGGCUUACAAGCCAAGCAGUCACACAUGAUCUAUGGCAUGCAUCAUUCGAGAUUACAAGGGCAUACUUACUGAUGUUUUUACCGAAGAAUUUCCAGCAAGCUCUGUGCUUCAAUCGGAGGUACAGGCGCUCAGCUUUAUGCUCCGCCAUCUGCUGCAUGAGGGCCUCAACAACAAACUUCUAAAUCGGACUACCUACUCUUGAUCGAAAUGGUGAAUGAGAGAAGAACGCCGCUGUGGGAAGCACACGUGCUGUUCGCUGAGGUAAACGAUUUGCUAUCCUCUUACCCUAAUUUGCAGCUUCAAUACUGUAGACAGGAGGCCAAUGCAGUGGUGGAUUGGGCUACUAAGGUCCAUGGUAGAUCGGAUAUGGCCCGUAACUGGAAUAUUUCCCCCCUUUCUUUCUACUGGACCUAGUAUACGCCGAUGCAGUAUCUUCUGGUUGUAAUCUUUCGAUGUUUUAAUAUAUCGUAUCUUUCGACCCAAAAAAAACAACUGACAUAUAAUAAUAUAAUGCAACAGUCCAAAAUGUCCAACAUCUGACCAACAUGCAGUAAUAAAAUAUUCCUAGACGAACUCCUGCUCUUUGAAGACUUUUGUCAAUUAUUUCCUCAAUGUAGCCUCCCAUUUGAUGCGAGUCUGAAUGUUUUUUUAAGUUUAUUUUUUAACUUAUGAAGGAAAGCCUCAGGCUCCUUCCAGGCAAAUGGAAGAUGAUAACAAAGUAAUGGAAAGUGGAACAGAUGUUAGGUUGUCCAAUACGUCCAACAUCUAAAGAAUAUGCAAUCAUAUGAUAUAUUUCCGAAACGACCUCCUCGUCUUCGAAGACUUUCGCCAUUUAUUUCCUCAACGUAGCCUCCUCUUUGGUGCUCAGUCUGAUUUGCUUUUUUUCCCCUAUGAAGUAAGGCCCCGGGGAACUUCCAAGCAAGUGGAAGACUAUAAGAAAGUAAUGGCAGGUGGAAAAUAUAAAAAGCUGUCCAAUACGUCAAACAUCUAAUUAACAUGCAAUAAUCUAAUAUAUCUUCGAGACCACCUCGUGGUCUUCAAAAACUUUCGCCAAUUAUUUCCUCAACUUAGCCUCCUCUUUCGCGCUUAGUCUGAAUGGUAUUUAUUUAUUGAUGAAAAAGGCCCCUAGUAGCUUCUAGGCAAGAACAUGAUAACAAAAUAAUGACUAGUGGAAAAUAUAUUAAGUUGUCCAAUACGUCUAACAUCUAACUAAACAAAAUAAUAGAAAUUUGAUGGCAGAAAAACAACCCAAGUGCCAUAACUUGGCACGAGAGGACACUUAAGUGCCAUAACUUCAAAAUGAUAUACUUAAGUGCCAGUUUCAAACUUAAAUGGAACACUUACGUGCCACUCCGGAGAAAAUCCGGCCAAAUGGCUGACACGGCAAUUUUCCGGCGAGUUUGGUCCAAAACGGCGUCGUUUUGCAAGCUGACGUGGCGAGAAAAUGCAAAAAAGACGUCAUUUCAUGUUUGAUGUGUAAAUAAUAAUAUAAAAAUUAAUUAAAUUAAAUUAAAACAAUUUUAUUUAAAAUAUUCUAAAAAUUUAAAAACUAAAAAUUUUAAAAAAUAAAAUAAAAUAAGGGGGGGAGGCUGAAGGGAGCGGCUGAGGGCUGAGCCCUCGCUGGAUUUAGGCAAGGGCCGCGACCCUUGCCCCAGAUCUAGGCGAGGGCUCGCGGCCCUCGCCACUGGUCGGCCGGGGGCCGGCGACCCCGAUCGACCCUCCCCCCUCUGUCGCCGACCCUUCCUGGCAACGGCGGCGAGGGCUUAGCUCUCAGCCGCCCCCUUUGACCUUCCCCCCCUUUUUAUUUUAUAAUUUUUAAAUUUUUUUUAGUUUUCGUUUUAAAAUGUUUGGAAUAUUUUUAAAAAAAUUGUUGAAAUUUAAUUUAAUUAAUUUUUAUAUUAUUAUUUACACAUCAGACAUGAAACGGCGUCGUUUUUGCAUUUUCUCAUCAUGUUAGAGUGCAAAACGACGCCGUUUUGGACCAAACUCAUCGGAAAAUUGCCACGUCAGCCAUUUAGCCAGAUUUUCGCCGAAGUGGCACCUAUGUGUUCCAUUUAAGUUCGAAACUGGCACUUAAGUGUACCAUUUUGAAGUUAUAGCACUUAAGUGUCCUCCCGUGCCAAAUUAUGGCACUCCAAGUAUCCCAAACUCGAAAUUUGAUUAAUAUCGUGAGUCUCUCAAGCAGAGUAUUAGUGAGCUUAAUUUUAAUCUUGAUUUAGAUAUGAAUAAAAUUCUAAUUGAGAGAUUUUAGAUUAUGCUAACACCAAGCACAAACAAUUGGCUUUUUACCGGUACAUCAUGCGUGGUAAGUGGAAUAAAGGCAAGAAUCAACUGAUCAUGCCAAUUUGCUUGAUUCCAGACUGAAAGUAAGAAGAUUCACUUUGUUUGGCUUAGCAAAAUGGAAGUUUGGCUCCGCUGAGAAAAGCUAAUCAUUUUUUAAUUUAAUUAGUAGAAUGAAAGCAACUCUUCUUUUUCUAGCCUAGAAAUAAAGGAAGAGAUUUCUCAUCCCAAAAACAAAACAGACAAAAAGAUCAAAGGGGAUCAUCCAUUAUGCUUCCUUUGUGAUCACGCCAAAUUUGAGUGGACCUACCGCACCAAUUGAAAUUAUCUCUUUUAAGAAGGGUUAAUACCGCGAAAAACUCUAAACUAGUACAUCUGUAACAAAUUUACCCAAAACUAAUUUUUUGACCAUGAAAAACCCCAAACUGGUACACAUGUGACAAAUUUACCCCGAUUGACCGUAAAAAAUCAUAAACUGAUACAUUUAUGACAAAUUUACUCCAAACUAAUUUAUUCGACAGCAAAAAAUUCCAAAUUGAUAAAUUUGGAACAAAUAUACCCUAUGCUAAAUUGGAUUAAUACCACAAAAAAAUCACAAAAAUUGUAAACUGUGACAAGCGGAGCGUAAAAUCCCAAAUUGGUAUACCAAUCAACUGUCAUGUGUCAUUUAACUUAAUAAUUUGACAGUAAAAUUUAACGAAAACCAACAAAGGGUAAAUUUGUCACAAAUGUACCAGUUUGGGAUAAAUUUGUUAAAGGUAUACUGGUUUGGGGUUUUUAGUGGUCGAAAAAAUAAUUUGGGGUAAAUUUGUCAUAGGUAUACCAGUUUGGGGUUUUUCAAGAUGUUAACCCUUUUAAGAAUCAUGCUACAUAAUCAUUUUAUAUUAUUAUAAUCUUAUGAAUGUCUAACUGGAAAUGCACUAAGAAAAGCAUCUUAAUUAGCAUCCCAUGAUUCACGCCAUGAUUGAAUUGAAUAGUUUCAAUUAGAAAUAAAUCCGUGACCUUUCUUCUUUGCUUAGAACACACGCAAGUCCAUCGUCAAGUCUUUGUCCGACCCUCUUGUGAAGGCAAAGAAAAAGCACUAAAGUACAUUUGUCUAGUCAAUCAGUUUGGUAUGUGUUGAUCUGCAUAUACUGUUCUAAGUUAGGAAUAAGAAUGAAUUCUUGAUACUGGUUUUCUUAGGGUAUACCUAAUAUCUUGGGCCGUUGAAAAGGAAAAUUUAUGUUUGAUUUCAACAAAAUGCUAGAAGACUCCAUGUAAAAGAAAAGAGGAAAUUAUACUUCUAGACAUGCACCAAUUACAAAGCAAACCCAGUCACAAAAAUUGGAGAGAAAAAGUUGCAUCAUGGCAUUUCAACUUGAGAUGGUAAGGUCACAAACCUAAGGAGGGUGGAUGAUAGGAGAUGAAAGGGGCCUAGUUGUUCUAGUAAAUUGGAAAUGCUGAUAAGAUGAAUUUUGCUGAUAUCGAGAAAAAAAUCAACAGUCUUGUAAAGAAGGCAAAUGAACACUUCUCGAGAAUUGGUACAUAAGCUCGAGAGCCGGGUCCUGAUGGUUUUAGUGGUCUCUUUUAUCAACAUCACUGGGAUUUCUUUGAAGAUCAGGUAUUUCUACAGUGCAGCUAUUUUUUCAAUCUGGUACCUGUCUCCGGAGCUAAACCGCACCAAUCUAACACUAGCGACCAGUACCAUCCUAUCAGUCUUUGCAACUAUGCGUACAAGAUAAUAUCCAAGGUGCUAGCCAACAGACUGAAACCUUUUCUUCCUAAUCUCGUCUCAAAAGAACAAAGUGCUUUUGUAAGCAGACGUCAAAUACAGGACAAUAUUUUAAUUGUACAGGAAGUACUUCAUCAACUCAAGACGAAAAAACGAAAGUGAAAAUUUCAAGCUAUUGUCAAAAUGGACAUGAAAAAGGCCUAUGAUCGUGUUGAAUGGGACUUUCUCAGAGAUUAUCUACUUAGGAUAGGCUUUCACUCCACAUGGGUACAAUGGGUUAUGCAGUGCAUCACUACGGCAUCCAUCAGCAUCAAAUUUAAUGGGGAACAACUGAACUACUUCCAUCCGACGCGUGGCCUUCGACAGGGAGAUCCUCUUUCCCCUUAUCUGUUUAUUCUAUUGGCAAAUGUGUUGACUACCCUUAUUCACCAAGCUGUUCAGAUGGGAAACUUAAAAGGUAUACAGCUUAACAGGUGGUGUCCCACUCCGACUCAUUUGUUUUUUGCUGACGACGCUAUUUUCUUCCUAGAUGGGUCAGUAUUGGAAUGCCAAGAACUAGCCAAUAUCCUCAAUCAGUAUUAUCUUGCAACGAGACAAGCAAUUAAUAGAAAUAAGUCUAGUAUCUUUUUCAGCAAACCUUGCCCAGAUGUUCUUAAAAUUAGAUUGGCAUAGGAACUCAAAAUCCCCGUGCUGGACAAGACUGGUAAAUACCUAGGUAUCCCGUCGGAUUGGGGAAGAUCUAAACGUGAUAUGUUUGCGUGGAUUCUAGGGAAAGUCAAUGCUAAGCUUGAUGGAUGGAAAUAAAAUCUUAUGUCGAAAGAUGGAAAGGAGAUUCUGAUCAAAAGUGUUGUACAGGCGAUCCCCCAAUAUGCUAUGUCAAUUUUUAAAAUCCCUGUUUCACUUUGCAAAAGUAUUGAAAGAAAGAUUGCGCGCUUUUGGUGGCAAAAUGAUAGUAAAAGAGCAGGAAUACACUGGAAGAGUUGGGAGGCACUGAAGAUUAGGAAGGAAUUGGGAGGACUUGGGUUUAGAGACCUUGUCGACUUUAAUAAAGCUAUGUUGGGUAAACUGGCCUGGUGACUACUUCAACAACCUACUUCAUUAUGGGCUACUUUAUUUAAAGGCUUGUAUUACCCUGACUAGGAUUUCUUAAAGGCCUUAUCGAGUUCUAAGCCUUCUUGGGGUUGGCGGAGUCUCCUGGCAGGGCGGGACAAUAUAUCAUCAAAAAUCCAAUGGUCGAUAGGAGAUGGCACUAAACUAAAGAUUCGAGAAGACUAUUGGCUUCCGACAGGUAAGUUAAGAGGAAAUGCAACUGUAGACGAACCUGAGAGAGUUGCUGAUCUGAUUGUUCCAGAAUCAAAUCAAUGGAAUAGGCCGUUACUAGAUCAUCUCUUUGAUGUUGAGACCAUUGCUGAAAUUCUGAAGAUUCCUAUCAGACCUCAGUAUAUGACUGAUCAUAUCACUUGGCCGUGCACAGCUAGUGGUAAGUAUAUUGUUAAAAGUGCUUAUAGUUUUCUUCGAUAGGAUCAAAAUACUUCUAUGCAAAACAGAGCUUCCUCAUCCUAUCAACCACCACCGAGCCUCUGGAAAAACUCUGGAAACUUCAGAUCCCCCCCCCCCCAAACUUAAAUUUUUCCUUUGGUCCUUACACCAAAAUGCACUGCCCACUAAAGACAAUCUAUUCCGCAAAAAAAUUUGUGCUAAUCCUAUCUUCUCCCUCUAUUCAACUUAACAACCAGAAAUCCUAGAACACUUAUUUUUACUAUGUCCAUGGACAUCACAAAUGUGGUCUCAUCCCCAAAUCAAUAUACCAAUUCUUCCCACCGAAAUUCACCGAAUAGAUGAAUGGCUAGCAAGUCAUAUGAAUGCAGGGCAGAGUGUACCUGGCAUGGAGUUUCUUGCCAAUCUAGUAUGGCAAAUAUGGAAAUCGCGCAAAAGAUUCAUCUUUUGCCAGCAGACUCCUAAUCCUCUUCAAAUUGUCACAAUCGCAACUGAACAAGCUCGACUGGCCCACGAUGUUUUGUCUCAUGUUCCAAUGGAUGGCUUAAGUUGCAGAGAUCUCCAUUCUCGCAUAGACAGCUCGAUACGAUCAGCAGCACAGUUGCCUACCGUGGUAUCGACCAACGGAGAUUCGGCUGCCUCAACGCGACGAGAACCUGAUCCAGGUUCAGCUUGGAGAGGCCCCCGGAUCCAGGUGCCCUAAUCCAACAAGUGGGCUAGGGUACAGUGGAAGGUGGGCUAGGGUACAGUGCAAGGCCCUCGAAUCCAACAAGUUCAGCCCAGCUCACGUGGAGUCAAGCCCACGCUAGUGAGACCAACCUGUUUGCGACCCAUCUCCAGCAAAUUCAGCCCAGCAUUUUCAGUUUCUCGAGCCCAGCAAAGCCCAAAAGUCCAGCAGUUUAGCCCAUUAGAAGAAGGCCCAAUCGCAGCCAAGCCCAAGUCAAAGAAUGAGCCCAGUCCAGUGCAAGAACAAAUCUUAGUUGGGAUGAGAUUUGUUGGACUCAAGUUUAAGGCUCGGUCAAAGCCCGCCGGUGUUGUCGAAAGUCCGAUUUCAACCGCUGUCGCGUCGUCGUCACCGUGUCCCGGUCCCCACUUUUAAUCAAGUGAGUAAUCUCACUAAUCCUUGCUUAGUAGACUAAUGAUGCUUAUAAUUAAGUGCAAUUAGGUGGUUAGAUUAGAGUAGAUUAGUGAUUAUUAGAUAAUUGUGAUGCAUGUUAGGCAAUUGAAUUGUGCAAUUAGCAAGUAAAGACGUACUACUAUUUAUUGAAUGCAUCUCGGGAUUUUACCCAACCCUUCGUGGGCUUCAAUUAGGCAUUACGGGCCUAAAUUGGAUUUUUAGUAUUUAUUUAUUAAUUUUCGAAAGUAAUUUUAUUUAUUUUUUGGAAAUUAGGCUGGGAUAAUCGACAAUCGAAAUUUCGUGCUGAUUGUUGUGGUGCAGUCCAUUUAUUUAUUUGAGCUCUACGUUGUGCUGAAUUGAAUUAAUUGUGUAAUUUGAUUGAUUGAAAUUGAGUGAAAUUGAAUAUUUGAUUGGUAGUUGGCUGAGUAUGGGUAUAUAGUACCAGUUACAUUGAUGGGCUAUAUAGUAAAGAGGAUGGUGAGAGCUAAUUGAGAAUAUUAUUGGUUGAGACCAAUCAGGUAUGAUAUUAUUGGAUACACGUGGUUCGGUGAUUAGAAGUAUCACUGGCGAAAAUGGCGCCUUAAAGAACGCACAUGAAUGACUUAUAGACAAAUGUGGUUCAGUGAUUAAGGAAAUAUCACUGGUGAAAACGAUGCCUUAAAGAACUCACGAUGUUGUCUAUAGCCGAUGUCACCUUGGCAAAAAUGGCGCCCUAGAAAGGACACGUGGUUCGGUGAUCGAGGCUAUCACUGGUGAAAACGGCACCUUAAAGAACGCACGGUGUCGGUGAUCGGUAUGUCAUUGGCGAAAACGACGCCCGAGAAACACAUGUGAUUUGGUGAAUGAGUACACCACUGGGAAAUCGUGGUAUGAGUGGGAAUGACCUAGAAAUGGUCUGGCUGACAUGUAAUUGACUUAGUCGAUUGACCAGUGCUUGAUCGGAUGUCGUGAAUUGUUUGAAUAUCUAUGUUUAAUCUUAAUUUGUAGGUGGAAUCUGAGGCCAAGGUAAGUCCUCUAACCCGUGCGUAUAUAGGCAGCCCAGUUAGCGUAUUGGUUUCCUAAUUGAGUCUUAGUGAGGUAGAACUCGCUGAGACAUAGUCUCAUCCCGGUUGUGGGACAACAUUUCUGGCCAUAGAUGAGCCUGUGGAGGAAGAACCAGAAGAGGACGAUGAGCCAGUAAAAGAUGAAGAACUUGAAGGAUGUGAGCUUAGUGAAGAAGAGUCAUAAGAGGAUCAAGAUGAUCCUAAGUACGACCCGAAUGAUGACUGAGAUCCCAUCCUCUUUUGUGAAUUUUGUCUAAAUGUGAAUAGUGUGAAACCAGAAUGUUAUGAAUAGUCUUGUGAAUAGACUUUAAGUUAUGCCAUGUAUAAAAGUUUAGUUGUGGAUUUCAAUAUGAAAAAUAUGACCCUGCUUUUCUAUCCCAUUGUUUAAUUGUCUGGGAAUUUAUAACUGCUUCUGCAUGUGCAAACAGUUAAAUGAAAGGGUCGGCGAUACAUAGUCUUGGGAUAUCGCAUUCUAAAAUCGACCAAUAAAGAAGGAUGAGUGCGUUCCCAAGGAUCGGGGCGUGACAAGAAUUCUCCCAUAACCAAUGAAGAGCCAAGUUAAAACGGUUCUUGAGUUUUCUCACGCAUGAAUGAGAGAAUCCUCUAUGAAGAUUAAGAGAAAGAUUAAGAUGUAAGAUAUUUGAAGUUUUCCUCUACUAGAAAUUUGAAAUUUGUGGUCAAAUGUCUACUGGAUCAUCUGUUCUACACAUUGAUAGCAUUGAUUUUGUGAACAAACUAGAGAAAUUUUGAAUAUUUGAGAGUAAUGGCAAUUUUAAAAUUACAAGUCUGGAUAUAUUCUCAGAGGCAGCAACUAUAGCAUAUUGCCUUCUCUUUUUUCAUGAAUUUGAUUCCAUUGUGCCGAAGAGGGGGCAUGAUAAUAUGGGGGUCACUGACCAUGUCAUCAAUCAGUUAGUUUCUUGCAUUCAAUGACACUUAUAAAGUGGUCAUGUGAAAUAUAGUUGAUGGCAUGACUUACUAAUAGUAUGUCAUUCAUUGGUGCAGUUUUUUUACUGAAUCAGGUGGUGUUGAAGUUUUAAGUGGUGUGUUUGUGUCAGCAAGGACAAGGUAAUAAUUUCAUCUUACAUGGUAACAAAAAGUACUCUGUUUACAUAGCACACUAACUAUAAACUACUGUUGGAAAUUGCAUGGCCAUUAUGAAUGCUUUGCUAAAAAAAUUUCUAUAAAGCAUUUAAUAUGGAGACUACGUAAUAACCUUCAAGGCAAACUAUUAAAUGCUAGACAUGACUUUUCCUUGAUUUAGAAUUGUUUAACUUCGAAUACACAGUAUUGGAUAAACUACAUAUGUAUCAAAGAAGGUAACAAACGACAGGAUUGCUUGAAUUACUUUUCAGUUGUUGAAGUAGCUUACAAGAAGUGUAUUAAAUUGGACUUGAGCCUCUUCAACAGCAUCAACGGUUGUUGAUCAUUUCAAUUUUAAGUGUGCCAAAAUCUUGUGAACUCAUCAUCAUUGACUGCCUGAAGCUCAAUAGAGAUGGAUAAGGUAUGUAUCAUUUGAUUGGCAAAGAUAGUCGAUGAUGGCAAGUCCAUAGAACUAGAGUUCAUUUUUUGUUGCAUCCUGUUUUGUGAGUUUUCUUUCAACUAAGCUUUCAUCUUAGUUCUAGAACCACCGCUUGCAUUUGUUCAUCCUCUUAUCUCUGAGCAAAAUUCCUUUUUUGCAUGUCAUGAACAUGCGGUACUUUCACUUGCCUCCACUGUGGUGAUGGUUUGCUGGUUUAUGUUGCACAUCAGCAUAAUGUUGGGGUUGACAUGCUUCGGAGAAUGUAACUUGCUUAGAUAGUAAUCACACUGAAGAUGCUAACAAAUGCUAGGUUUUUUUGAAAGGUAGAGGUGGUUGAGAGUACUAGUCAUACCUUAUGUGGAGUUUUUUCAAUUUCACUAUAGAACAAUCAUGAUUUGUGAGGAAUGAAAUAAAGGAAUUAACUCCUCGUUAGUGAAAGUGUGAAUUGUUGAUACCUUUUAUGAUGUAUGAGUUAUUUAGUUACUUCCUUCAUGAAGAAUUGGAGGUGCUUUUGUAGUUACUUUUGAACUUACAUUUUGUUUGUCUGUCUCGUUGUUAUUCGUUCAUUCCCUUCCAUCUUAAAUUACCAAACACAGUUGGGGAAGAUGUUGCAAUUCACCAAAUAAGGCAUUUACAUUCUUGAAUUCUUUUUGAUGUGCCGAUGGCAUGUCUUUUUCUGAAUCCUUUGCUGUUUUGAGCUGGGUAUGGGAAUUGGAUGACUCCUACUCAUCGAUGAAUUCAAUGAGGCAAAUGCAAUAACUCGUGUUUCUCACUUUUUAAUCAUCUUUGUUUCCUACAGUUCUAGAGAUUGAGCAAGGAUUAUCUGAUGUUGCACAAUCAAAGAUUAUUGUAAGCUUUACUCCACAUUCGAUGCCCAUGAUUAUAGUUGCAAUUUUGUAGUAUUCCCAUUCUUAAAGUUAAAAUUAUGCUUCCCUAGCAAUAGCUGUAAGGUUUCUUCAUCUAUUUCUGCAUAGUCUUAAAAAUGCAAUAAACUACUCAUGCUAAAAUGUCUCCAGUUGUAAUGGCUGGGGAUCUAUAUGAAGUUGCUAACUAGGCAAACUUUUUCUAACUAAUAGUCCUAUUUUGCUUAGGCAUUCGAUGGCUUAAUGUGCUAAGUAUUAACCUCAGCUUUCGUUUACUGAAGUACUUAUUUUUAGUACUCAUGAUUAGCUUAAUCAAAGUACAUCAUUUAUUUCAUAGAUCUUGAUUAAGUCAGUCAAGUAGUAGACGUGUUUGGGAAUUGAAACUUGAAAGAUCUGCAACUUCCUUUCAUAUUCUUGAGUGUGCUUCCCACAUACUUCAUGCUGUCUGAUCAUUUAAUUCACUUUAUCUUGCUGGAUGAGGGAUUUGUUAUGUUGUUAAAAAAUGGAGGUUUUCCUCAUACUCAAAAUGUGCAAGGAUCCUAUUAUUAUUCUAUGAGUGUCUUUCUUGAACAAGUAUCCGGACAAGCAAUACUUAUCUAUGCAGUCUAUUCCCAAGUGUAUGUUCUCCAUUAAGUGCUUUACUUUUCAUGUAACAUCAAAGUCAUCUUUUUAUGAUAAGCUAUCUAAACCUUCUUUUGCAGAUUGACAAUCAAGUGAAGGGAGCUGUUGGUCAUGUUCAGUAGAAUCUUCAAUGAGAUGAUGGGUUUACUUGAGAUUGUGGGGCUUAACUACCUAUUAUUGUUUCCCUAAUGCAUUCUGCAUUCUUCUGAGUGAGGUAGAUUAUGCAUGGAUUUUGUUCAAUAAAGCUUGUAUAAUUGCAUUGGUUGUGCCCGAGCUAUAGCUAUUGUCUAUUCUUUCGGGUGACUCAUAACACCUUUCCUCAUCUUGCUCUCCUUCUAUCUCUCUCUAAAAUGUGGUUAUUGUUAACUUGUUAAAUAAACCUAUUUCUUCUCCGCGUCUAUUGUGGCAUCCUGAAAUUCCUUGCUAGCCAUUAGGGGUGCUCCAGUUAACAUCUUGUAUUGAAAUCUAUGGCCGAGUUAAAAUGGAUAGAUGUUGGAAGAGGAUGGCUUAUCCCUGGCCAUGUGCAUCAUGAAUUAGAAUCCAUAGAAUUGUAAUUCUAAGUGUUUAGUUAUUAAAUUUUACCCUAUGGUAUUUUAGUUUAAUAGGAUUUAAUUAGUACUUAAAAGGGAGAUUAAGAUUCAAUUGAAUUAGGUUGGGCCUUAGGCCCAAUGGCUUAAGCUUUUGGAGGGCCGAAUGGUCGGCCCAUUGGAGCCAAGGAGGGGUUGUAGACCGGCCCAUUUGCUGGCCCAAAGCCCAGCCGAGAAUGAGGCCCAUCCUUGCAUGGAGAAGGCCAUGUGUCUCCCUUAAAUUGCCAAGUGUAAAUCAUGCUUUGGCUUGUGGAGAGGCAAGUGAUGAUUGCUAAUGAUGAGGAUUUGGGGAACUAAAAGGGAGAGGAAGAGAGAGAGUGGCCGGUUGAGAGCCACCGUCCAAGUGAGAAAGAGAGAGAGAGUGAAUUGCGAGAGAGAGUGAGGUCGAGAGGGAGAAGGAGUUCACCCAUCGUCGCGCGCACGCCGUCCGUCCGUCGCCGGUGUGCCGUCCCUUUUGCUGUCAUCCGUUUGGUCUUUGAGCCAAGUUGGGACUGAUUUCCACUCUUGCAUGUGUGUCUUGCAUGUGUGAUUUGUUGGUGGUAGGUUUCGGAUCAUAGGAUAGGCAAAACCGAACCUAGAAUGUGACUUGUUCAUGAGUUUGCAUGCUGUUUUCGUAUGAACCGCCUGAACCAGAAUCUUGUGAGAGCUUACAUGCAUGUUUCGAGUUGGAUUUUGACUUUGAUUCCUUCAUGAAAGUUGUAUCCAACAUUCUAAACUACAACAUACUAAAAUUUGGGACAAAAUAGUGGAGAUUUAAGGGGUCAAACCCUCAUCCUACGAAGACACUAGAUCUGGAACUGCUUUGCUGACCUUUUGAUAGUUUUGUGGGUUGCAUGUCGAUUUUUACUAAGAAUCUCUCUUCGACUUCUUCAUGAAACUUGUAGAGAACAUCCUAAAAUUUUAAAAUACUCAAAUUUGAAGUAAAAUGAGCAAGUUUAGCCUAGUGAAUCGACUUACUCUUCAAGACGGUAAAUCUGGAGAUGUGGUACAGGACACCCGAGAAUUCAUGGACCCAUAUGAUGACUAUAAUUUGGCAAUUUGACUUAGAUCCCUUAAUAAAAGUUGUAGGGGAACCUUUGAAGUAAAACAUAUCCAAAUUUCAGAGUAAACGAAGAAGAAUAAAGGGGUGAAAACUCGAUAUUUCGAAGAUACAUACACUGGACGUUUCGGUGCGAGAACCAGAAGCUUCGUACGACUAUAGAAAAUGAUCUAAAACGAAUCUGGCCUAGAGUCUUCACGAAAAACCUACUUUAGUGUCUUAACUAUAACUGGGAAAAAUUUAUAAUUUUCGGAGGUCGUUCGGAUAUUUUAAUCGAAUUAUUUCGGAAACUGUACAUUCGGUUUCUAUCCGAAAUUGCAUGCUGUAUUUGUGUGAAUUGUAUCUUCUUGUGUGGAACUCUAUUGGGCAUGUGCUUUUCAUGAAAUUGUUAUCUUAUUGUCUUGUCUAUCACAUGCCUUGAUUUCAUGAUUUUUGAGAAGCAUAUGGAUAUUUAAUUUAAAUAUUUUCUAAAAAUGGUACAUGCUGGAAUGUUGUAAAAGGCAUGAAAUAUGGACCAUUUUAAAUUGCAUGGACUCCAUGAAUUGUAUUGAUUGGAUGAUAGUGUCUUGUUGUAUGCAUGAUAAUGAAUUGAGAUGCAUGUAUGAAUUCAAUGAUGAAUAUGAUCUUGAUUGCCAUCACAUCACAUGCCAUGUUAAAAAUUGAACUAUAAUUGAAGAUGAGAAUUGAGAUAAAUGAGAAGGUCGUCAGAGGUGUGAGCCGACGAUGCCCCGGGAGUGUCGGGAUGCUUGGCUAGAAGGGUACGGCCGGUUGCCCGGUGGUCAUGAAUGGCCAGAUACCGGAGGGCCUCGGGAGUACCGAGAGGUGUCGAGAUGCCCGGAGAGUGGAGGAGCCGGAAGCUCGGCAUGGUAAUUAUGCCGAGGGAUACCUCGCGAUGCCGAUUUGGGUGCGAGAUGCCUGGCUAGAAGGGUACGGCCGGUUGCCCGGUGGCCUUAAAUGGCUGAAAACUAGAGACUCCUUGUGAUGCCAGUUGGAGUACAAGAUGCUCGGAGAGUGGGGGAGCCGGAUGGUCUGAAUUUUAUCUUGGAUACAUGUGGGAUGCAAACAUUGGUCCUGGGAAAGACAAAUGUGGCGGUCCAAGAUUAAAUUGAGAUUGAAUUAUGCAUGAGGAUAUAUGCAUGAUAUGAUGCAUGAUGAUAUAUGCAUGACAUGAUAAUGAUGUUGAAUGCAUGGAUGCAUGGUAAUGAUGAUGGUACAUGUGAUAUGGUGAUGAUGUUACAUGCAUUGAUGCAUGGUAAUGACGAUGGUACAUGUGAUAUGAUGAUGAUAUUACAUGCACGGAUGCAUGGUAAUGAUGAUGGUACAUGUGAUAUGAUGAUGAUGUUACAUGCAUGGAUGCAUGGCAAUGAUGAUGGUACAUGUGAUAUGACGAUGAUGUUAUGUGCAUGGAUGCAUGGUAAGGAUGAUACCAUAUGUGAUAUGAUGAUGAUGGUAUAUGACGUAUGAUGACAUGUGCAUGAUGCCAUGGUAUGUUUUGUAUGGAUGCCUGUAUGACAUGUGAUGCUAUGAUUGUGAUGAUUGCGUGGCUUGAUGCAUUGUGUGGUUUAUUGGUCAUUUACCUGCGGAGUGAUUGUACUCACCCCUUUGGGGACCAACAUUUCAAAUUAGCACCAUGCCGCUCCCUGCUAUCACGCGGGGCAUAUUUUAUGGCCUACCUUCGGAUGUAGAGGUUGAGUGUGAGGAGUUUGAUUGUCCCACCAUUCCUGGUCUUACGUAUAUUCGAGUGCGCGCCUUAAUGAUGUACGACGUGGGCCUGGCUGGGGGCCCUGUCAUUCAGGAGUUUAUAUCUGUCCAUGUUUGUCGAGACGCAGUGAUGCGUGGGAUGUUGCCACCGCCACUGCCUGAUGCACUAGGAUUGGUGUGAGGGCCCGUGCGUGUCAAGUAGGAGUUGAAACUUUUUGGGAUGGUUAGCCGACACUAGUGAUGGGGGAUCUUUCACAUUAGUCGUAGUGGGUCGAGAGUUUCUUUUUGGGGUUUAGGCCGAGUGUCGCUUCAUGUCCUGGCCUUUCCUUUGAUGUACCGACCCAAGGAGACCCAUCUUGGAAAAUAUGUAAAUAAAGUGUCAUGGCUUUGUGGAUAGAAAUAUGAUGUUUAGUGGUGUGCAAUUGAAUCAUGGUUGAUGGAGGGGGAGAUAGCGAUAUUAUAUUUUGCUUCCACUAAAUGAGUCGCGCUGGGACCAUUUUAAAAAAAAUGUCUAUGAUUGACGACACUUCUUCUAAGACAUGUAAUUAGGUGUAACGUUUGGUGCCUAUGGCGACCUAAGGGGGGUUCGGGGUGCCACAGUGCCCCUUUUUUGGUAUCAGAGCGAAUGGGUAUAGGUGUAGUGAUAAUGAGCCUCAUUUGGNNNNNNNNNNNNNNNNNNNNNNNNNNNNNNNNNNNNNNNNNNNNNNNNNNNNNNNNNNNNNNNNNNNNNNNNNNNNNNNNNNNNNNNNNNNNNNNNNNNNCAUGUAUAUGUUACUUAUGUAGUAGUAGUUGCUUUGAAUGGAGGUAGUGAGUCUCAGAUUAUUCCCAAGGCAAUGCUCGGAAAUUGCAGGAAAGUCAUGGUGCGAGCUAGAAGUGCUCAUCCAUCGAGGGCUGAAGCCUCUGUUGCAAGGGCUGAACCCCGAAUGGAAGACAUCCUACAGGCAUUGGCCAAUAUUGGAAAUCUGAUGGAAAGGCAGGUGCAGCAGCAACCUGGAGCAAAACGCCGUACUCAAGGACUGGUGGAACAGUUUUUGAAGCUAAAGCCACUUAAGUUCGGUGGAAUGGGAAGUCCUGAGGAGGCGGAGCAUUGGAUUGAUGGAAUGCAACAAAUUUUCAGGUUGUUGGACUGCACUGCUGCUGAGAAAAUAACUUUGGCAGAGUACCAACUGGAGGGAAAUGCAAAGUUUUGGUGGAGAGCAUCAAGGGACACAAUCUUCCCACCAGGUACUGAGGUUAAUUGGGAAGAGUUUGUGAGAGCUUUUAAUAUGAAGCAUUUUUCUGACUGUGCUAAGGAUAGGAAAAUUUAUGAGUUUGUUCAAUUAGAACAAAUGGAGCUGACGGUAGACCAGUAUGAGGCUAGAUUUUCUGAACUGUCUAGAUAUGCUCCUAGGCUAGUUGAGGAUCAAGAAGAGAAGGCUAAGAGAUUUCUGAAAGGGUUGAGGACUGAUGUCAGGAAACAACUAGUGCCUCUGAACAUAAGGGAUUAUAAUGAGAUCUAUGAAAGGGCACAGUUGGUGGAGCAGGAGUUAGUGAGGGAACAUUCAGAGAAUAAGAAACCAUUGUCCUUUGGUGAUGUGAGAAGGGGUAAGAGACCCUAUACAGGUCAAGGUCAGACCUGGGGAUCUAAGAAGAAGGGCAAUUUUGGGAACUUUGGAAGAGGCAAGGGUAGCCUGAAUUUGGGAAGGACACCUUAUCAGGAUGCGAAGUGUCGAAUGUGUAGUAGGCGACAUGGCCCAGGACCCUGCAUUGGGCAACCAAAGUGCUAUGGUUGUGGAAAGAUAGGCCAUAUUAAGAGAAACUGCCCUCAGGAGAGAUCGCACGCGAGUAUGGGCUCGGUGCAAUAGCCGCAGCAGAAUGCUGUUAGACCAAACUUACCAAGGAAUCCCUAGAGGCCACCAGCACAAGGAAGAGUGUAUGCGAUCACCCAAGAGGAAGCGGAAGCUUCCCAAAAUGUUAUCUCAGGUACGAUCCUUAUAAAUGAUAAAAAAAAAAAAAAAAGGCAUAUGCAUUGUUUGAUACGGGUGCUACGCAUUCAUUUGUCUCUGAAAGAUAUAGACAGUUGAGUAAGAUAGAAACUAUGCCUCUUGAGAUGCCUCUUUGUCUUUCUACACCUCUAAAGGUUAUGUUGUUGUCUACGCUAGUGUGUGGAAAUUGUAAGAUAGCAAUGGGGGGGAAAGGAUAUGGAAAUAGACUUAGUUGUAAUUGCCAUGUAUGAUUUUGAUGUUAUCAUAGGAAUGGACUGGUUUCGUAAGAAUCGUGCCCAAAUGGAUUGUUAUAGGAAAGUAAUCCAAUUUACCUUACCUGAUCGGUCUAGUUGUGAAUUUUUGGGAGGUCAGACCCACCUACCUAUAGCGCUUAUUUCAGCAAUAGAAGCCCGUGCGUUACUUGACAAAGGAUGUCAAGGGUACUUGGCCAUGGUUAGAGAUUAUACUAAGGAAGAGCCUAAGAUUGAUGAAAUUUGGGUAGUUAACGAAUUUCAAGAUGUAUUCCCUGAGGAAUUGCCUGGAUUGCUGCCAGAGCGAGAGAUUGAGUUUGAAAUUGAAUUAAUGCCUGGAAUAGGACCUAUAUCAAAAGCCCCAUAUAGGAUGGCCUUAGUCGAAUUGAAUGAAUUGAAAGUGCAACUACAGGAGUUGCUUGACAAAGGAUUCAUUAGACCAAGUGCUUCACCUUGGGGUGCACCGGUCUUGUUUAUGAAAAAGAAAGAUGGAUCGAUGCACUUGUGUAUUGAUUAUAGGAAGCUAAACCAGGUGACCAUUAAGAGUAAGUAUCCUUUGCCUAUAAUUGAUGACUUGUUUGACCAACUCCAGGGAAGUUCGGUCUUCUCUAAGAUUGACUUAAGGUCGGGAUACCAUCAGUUAAGAAUCAAGAAGGAGGACAUUCCUAAGACUGCGUUCAGGACUCGUUAUGGACACUACAAGUUCCUUGUUAUGCCAUUUGGAUUGACUAACGCGUCGGCUGCAUUUAUGGAUCGAAUGAAUAGGGUAUUUAAGCCUUAUCUAGACCAGUUUGUGAUCGUUUUUAUUGAUGAUAUUCUGGUAUUUUCAAAAGGGCCUAAAGAGCAUGAGCAACAUUUGAGGAUAGUUUUGCAGACCCUGAGAGAGCAUAAGUUUGUAUGCUAAGUUUAAUAAAGUGUGAGUUUUGGCUAGACCAGAUAAUAUUUUUUAGGACAUGUGGGUGUCAGGAGAAGGAAUUGCAGUAGACCCGGGCAAAAGUUGAAAUGGUAGUGAAUUGGCCGAGACCGACGACACCUACUGAAAUACAGAGUUUUCUUAGGACUGGCUGGUUAUUAUAGAAGGUUUAUUGAAGGGAUUUUCAUGACUGGGCAGGACCUUUUAACCUAAGUUGACCCGAAAGAAUGUGAAAUUUGAAUGGAAUGGGGAAUGUGAAAGGAGUUUCCAAGAGCUUAAAAGGAAAUUGACCUCGGCUCCAAUCCUGACUAUACCUACUGGACCUGAUGGUUUUACAGUGUAUAGUGAUGCAUCUCACAAAGGACUGGGAUGUGUUUUGAUGCAGCAUGGCAAGGCCGUAGCCUAUGCAUCUAGACAAUUAAAACCCCAUGAGCUGAACUACCCAACGCAUGAUUUAGAGCUAGCAACUAUAGUGUUUGCCUUGAAGAUAUGGAGACACUAUUUGUAUGUGGAGAAAUUUGAGAUUUAUAUGGACCAUAAGAGUUUGAAAUAUUUGUUCUCACAAAAGGAGUUGAACAUGAGACAAAUGAGAUGGAUGGAGUUGUUAAAGGAUUACGAUAGUGAGAUAAAAUACCAUCCAGGGAAGGCGAAUAAGGUAGCGGAUGCUUUUAGUCAUAAGUCAGCUAUGGAGAUGGCCAGUUUAAGAAUGUCAUAAUGGAGCUUGUUAAAGUCUGUUACAGACUCAGAAUUUAAAUUGAAAGUAGAUCAUCUUACUGGUAUGCUUAGUGCAUUAAGGAUUGAAUCGGAGAUUAUUUAGAAAGUUAAAAUCCUGCAAGAGUCUAACCUGAAGAUUUUGAAAAUGAAAGACACUGUGUCUUAAGGAAAAAGACUAGAAUUUCAAGUCUCUGAUGAAGGAAUAGUAAGAUGCCAAGGACGACUUUGUGUUCCAGACAAUGAAGAAUUAAAGAAGGAAAUUCUAUCGGAGGCACAUAAGAGUAAUUAUAGUAUCCAUCCAGGUAGUACAAAGAUGUACAGGAAUUUAUGCCAGCAGUUUUGGUUGAAUGGUAUGAAGGCAGAUGCAGCUAAGUACGUUUCUCAAUGUUUGAUGUGCCAACAAGUAAAAGCGGAACAUCGUAAACCCGCAGGACUCUUGAGACCAUUAGACAUACCAGAAUGGAAAUGGGAGCAUAUAACAAUGGACUUUAUACAAGGAUUACCAAGGACGUCAAGCAGUCAUGACUCUAUUUGGGUUAUAGUGGACCGUUUGACUAAAUCAGCUCAUUUCCUAGCCAUUCGCAUGGACUACCCAAUGGACAAGUAUGCGGAUCUAUAUGUAAAUCAAGUGGUACGCUUACAUGGUGUUCCGAUAACUAUUACCUCAGAUUGGGAUUCGAGAUUUACUUCGAACUUUUGGCGAAGUCUUCAAAUUACAUUAGGAACUAAACUUCAGUUUAGCACUACUUUUCAUCCCUAGACAGAUGGACAAACAGAAAGAGUAAUCCAGACAUUAGAGUAUAUGUUAAGGACUUGUGUAAUUGAUUUCAAAGGAAAUUGGGAUGAAAGAUUGCAUUUGGUAGAGUUUGCCUAUAAUAAUAGUUUUCAGAAAAGUAUAGGCAUGGCUCCUUAUGAAACAUUAUACGGAAGGAGAUGUAGGACUCCUGUCUGUUGGAAUGAAGUAGGUGAAGGGAAAUCGACAGGACCUGAUGUCACGCCCCGAUCCUCAGGCACGCACACAUUCCUUACCUUUGGUCGAUUUUAAAUUGCGAUAUCCCAGGACUAUGUAUCGCCGACCCUUUCAUUUAUAUAUGCACAUGCGGAAGCAGUUAUAAAUCCCCAAACAAUAAAAUAAUGGGAUAGAUUAGGACUAGAAAAUUUAACCUGAAAGUCAACACCCUUAUGUACAUUAGUAAUGACUCGGUCAUACAUGUACAUACACAAACCAUACUAAAAGGUUGGUUUCUACUCAUUUAGAUUCUACAGCAACAGACAUCAAGAUCCUACUUUGGAUCAUCCUCGAGGUUCUCCUUCAGAUACUCCUCUUCGAGUUCUUUCUCCUCAGGGUUUUCCUCGUCAGGUUCCUCCUCCUUAAUCUCCUCAUCCGGGUCCUGAAAUGGUUAUUCAAUAACCACUAAGACAACGUCUUAGCAAGUUCUACCCCCUAAGACUCAAUUAGUAAACUAAUACACCUUAGGGCUGCCUAUGCACAACAUGAUGCAUGAUGAUAUAUGCAUGACAUGAUGAUGAUGCUGCAUGCAUGGAUGCAUGAUAAUGAUGAUGGUACAUGUGCUAUGGUGAUGAUGUUACAUGCAUGGAUGCAUGGUAAUGAUGAUGGUACAUGUGAUGUGAUGAUGAUAUUACAUGCACGGAUGCAUGAUAAUGAUGAUGGUACAUGUGAUAUGAUGAUGAUGUUACAUGCAUGGAUGCAUGGUAAUGAUGAUGGUACAUGUGAUAUGAUAAUGAUGUUACAUACAUUGAUGCACGGCAAUGAUGAUGGUAUAUGUGAUAUGAUGAUGAUGUUAUGUGCAUGGAUGCAUGGUAAGGAUGAUGCCAUAUGUGAUAUGAUGAUGAUGGUAUAUGACGUAUGAUGACAUGUGCAUGAUGCCAUGGUAUGUUGUGUAUGGAUGCCUGUAUGACAUGUGAUGCUAUGAUUGUGAUGAUUGCGUGGCAUGAUGCAUUGUGUGGUUUAUUGUUCCUUUACCUGUUGAGUGGUUGUACUUACCUCUUCGGGGACCAACAUUUCAGAUUAACACCAUACCGCUCCCUGCUAUCACGCGGGGCAUAUUUUACGGCCUACCUUCGAAUGUAGAGGUUGAGUGCGAGGAGUUUGAUUGUCCCACCAUUCCUGGUCUUACGUAUAUUCGAGUGCACGCCUUAGUGAUGUACGACGUGGGCCUGGCUGGGGGCCUGUCAUUUAGCAGUUUAUAUCCGUCCAUGUUCGUCGAGACGGAGUGAUGCAUGGGAUGUUGCUGCCGCCACCGCCUGAUGCACCGGGAUGGGUGUGAGGGCCCGUGCGUGUCAAGUAGGAGUUGAAACUUUUGGGGAUGGUUAGCCGACACUAGUGAUGGGGGAUCUUUCACAUGAGUCGUAGUGGGUCGAGAGUUUCUUUUUGGGGUUUAGGCCGAUUGUGGCUUCAUGUCCUAGCCUUUCUUUUGAUGUACCGACACAAGGAGACCCAUCUUGGAAAAUAUGUAAAUAAAGUGUCCUGGCUUUGUCUUUUAUUAUGAUGUUCGGUGGUGUGCAAUUGUAUCAUGGUUGAUGGAGGGGGAGAUGGCGAUAUUAUAUUUUCCUUCCGCUAAAUGAGUCGUGCUGGGACCGUUAAAAAAAAAUGUUUAUGAUUUACGACACUUCUUCUAAGAGAUGCAAUUAGGUGUAACAUUUGGUGCCUGUGGCGACCUAAGGGGGGUUCGGGGUGCCACAUCUAUCAUACUUACAUUUGCUAAAGUAAAAUGUUUUUGUGCCAAUCUCCUAUAAGGAAUGGUCAAAUGUUCAUUUACAUGGAUGACUGGGUUUUGGCAAGACACACAUUGUUGGUUCUGUAAUAACAACUUGUUCUCUUCAAUCCAUAUAAGUGAAAGUGCUGAGACGUUCAAUAAGUACACUAGUACUUUUGAGCAAGUUGUAAGAGGCUUCUUUUCCACUUCACCAAUGUUGAUUGAAUUCCAUUGUGCAAUCUUGUAUUAAACUUUGUUAUUGCAAACAUUUCACAAUUUUGUGCUUUCUUUUGUUGCUUUUGUAUGCAUUUAACAAAGGUCCCUUCAUGUAUGCUAGCAAUCAAAAUCAGAUAACUAGCAUUAGCAAUAAGGAUGCUCUUGCUGCAACCAAGGUGUUCUAACUAAAUUGUUGUCAACAACAGCUCCCAUAACCAUUGAAGUGGCCAAAUUAAAAUGGUUGAUGAGUUUCCUUAUGCAUGAAUGAGAGGAUCCUCCAUGACCAUUUGGUUAAGAGAUAGAUUAUGAUGUAAAUUAUUUGAAGCUUCUCUCUAUUUGAAAUUGGUGAUCAAGUGUCUACUAGAUUUUCAAUUAUGUACAUUGAGGGCAUUGAUUUUGUUAGCAAAAUGGAAAGAUUAUGAAUAUUUGAGAGUAAUAGCAAUUAGAAAAAUGCAGUUUGGAUAUAUUCUCAAAUGCAGCAGCUACAAUAGCUUGCCUUCUCUUUUUCGAUGAAUUUGAUUCCAUUGUUAUGAAGAGGAGGCAUGAUAAUAUGGGGUCAGUAACCAUGUCGUCAAUCAAGUUAGUUUAUUACAUUCUAUAGCGCUUAGAAGGUGGUCAUAUGAAAUCUAUUUAAUUGUUUGACUCACUACCGAUAUGUUAUUAAUUGGUGCAGUUUGUUACCGAAUAAGGUGGUGUUGCAGUUUUAACCAGUGUGUUUGUGUUUGCCGAAACAAGGCAAUAAGUUCUUAUUAAAUGAUAACAAAAAGUACUCUCUUCCAAUAGCACACUAAGUGUCAACUGCUAUUGGAAAUUGCAUGGCUACUGUGAAUGGUUCAACGAACAUUUUCUACGAAGCAUUUAGUAUGGAUACUAUGUAAUAACCUUCAAGGUAGACCAAAAAAUGCUAGACGUGACUUUGCCUUGAUUUAGAACUGUUUUGCUUUAGAUACACAAUAUUGGAUAAACUACACAUGUAUCAAAAGAUGGGAUUGCAUGAAUUACUUUUCAGUUACUGAAGUAGCUUACAAGAAGUGUGUUUUGCUAGUCAUGAGCCUCUACAAUGGCAUCAACUGUCAUGCCCGAUCCUCCAAGUGCAUGCCCAUCCCUCAGUGGUCGAUUAAAUUGCGACAACCUAGGACACAUCGCCAACCCAUUCAUUUUAAUGUACAUGCGGAAGCAAAUAAUAAAUCCUCAGACAAUAGAAAGAUGGGAUAGAAAAGCAGGGCCACAAUUUUUCAAACCACAACACGCUUAUAUACAUAUCAAACUAAGUCAUAUAUAGUAUUAGCUAAUAUAUACAAGUCUACAAAAAUGGAUAGAGGGCUACAGAUCCUCUAAGCAUUCGAGUUUUCAACUAAAUACUCUGAGGACUCUGGAUCCGAAAGACUCGGGCCUACCACUAAACCACCUAGAGGGCCAGUCGUGUCCUUGCCAAAAGCGAUCUCUAGCACCGACCUAGGAAUCUCAGACUCUAAAAGGGGGCCUUCUCUAGGUCCAUCUCGCCCAUAACGAUUCCACGAUAUGAAUUGAUGGGGUACCUUUCGGUAUAGACCCUCAUCAAUUCAGACAAUGGAUCUUACAAGCUCUUAAACCCAGGCUCUUUGACUCCUAAGGAGAGGAAUCUGACAGUACUGUUCGGUAACCUUCUUCGGUUAGCCAAAACGCUCGGGAGGUACGACCAUCUAAGGACUUGUAAAUGCUAUCUCACAAUGGGGUGAGACGACAUCUCAGCAAGUUCACCCCCUAAACUCUGACUAGGAAUGAAAUACGCCUAAAGGCUACCUAUGCACACAAGAGAUAGGUUACUUACCUUUGCCUCAGUUCCUUCCUGCAAGUCAGUAUGAUUCAUAUAUUCAACGAAUCACUUCAAUUCGAAUCAAAUCAUCAAAUCAAAUCGAGUCAUCGAUCAAUCGAUCCAAUCGAUUCCAUACCAUCAACACUAUCUCUUAGUCAACCCAUUCAAUACUAUCUAUAAAGUCCGAUCACAUCAAGGACUACUCACCCUAAGCUAAAGAUAGUAUAGCUCACCAAAAGCUGAUAAUAGAUAUAGCUCACCAAAAGCUGCUGAUAGAGUAUAUAGCUCACCUUAAGUUGAUAUAUCAAGGCCCGCAGGCUAAUAUAGUAUACUAAUAAUGCUCACCAAAGCUGCGUGAUACUCAAUAUACUCACCAAAGUUGUGCGAUACUUAAUAUCUAUUGUACCCAAUAAAAUAAUCGUGUGUAGAUACACGGUCGGCCUUAGCCAAAAUACAACAAUUUCCCUUUUAUAAAAUCCCAUUAAAUAUAAUAGCUCGCAAACACAUUUUUGGCACUGUAAACCGAUGCCCAGUACUGUCUAAUUAAAUACCGAAAUUACCCUGUGGCAUCCCAAAAAUAGCUCAUGGCCAUGUGUUUUAUAAGUAUGAGUUUAUUGAUUUAUGAUUUCAAGAUUUAUGGCCAAGUGAAUAAGAAUGAUCUGGUAUUUAUAUAAAUGGAUAAUUAUUUUGUUGGAAACGCAUCCUAUGUCCAUGUGAGACCAAGGAUUUCAUUUGAUGAGGAAAUUAUGUUUUUGGCCAUGAAUUUUAUAAGUUGGAUUUUAUUAAACUAUAUUACAAAGCAUUAUGGCCAUUUAAAUUUGUAAUUUGGUACCCUGUAUAAGUGGGACUAAGAUGGAUUAUCAAAAAUAAGUAUGGGCCAUUUAAGCUUGGACUUUAGGCCCAAGUGUGUUGGGCCUAAAGUGGGCCAAGAGGCCCGGCCCAUAGAGCCCAUGGGGUUGUCAGCGCAUCGAGGGGGGAGGGGAGGAGCCGAAUGGGCUCCUCCAAGUGUCUUCGGCAAGGGAGACACUUGUCUCCUUCUUGGGAACAAGUGUCCCCCAUGCAAAAUGUGGAUGCAUGCAAGCUUUCUUUUCAACCAAAAAGGAAAAGGGGGAAGGGGGUGAUCGGUCUAGGUGCCGAGAGAGAGGAGAGAAAGAGAGGAAGAGAGAAAGGAAGGAGGAGGUUCGUCGCCGCCGUGCCCUGUCGUCGAGCCACCGUGUCCUGCCGUUCAGCUGCCAGUUGUUUGCUGGAAUUAGAGGCAAGUGAGAUCCUUGAUCUACUCUUGCAUGUUGUGCCUAGUGUGUGUGAUUGAAUGGUGACAAAUUUCGGAUGUCUAGGAUGUGAAAAAUUGAAGUUUUACGAGUGGUAUCCUAGGCUAGUAUACUGUUCUUGAGAAAACAGCUCAACCUUGGAUGUUCUAGUGACUUGCAUGUGAUGUUCAAGUUGGAUUUUGGCUUUGACGUAUAAACGAAAGUUGUUAAGGACUUCUUGGAGUAUAACAUACUCAAAUUUGGGACAAAAAAAAACAAGUAUAAGUGGGUGAAAUCGUUAUUCUUUGGAAAGACUGGAUCUGGAGAUUUUGGUACCCACCUUUGAUGAAUGCAUGGACUAUUAGACAAUCUUUUUGUUGAAAUUUCACUUCGAUUUCUUUAAAAAAAAAUAUGUAAAGGACAUCCUGAUGUUUAACAUAUCAAAAAUUUAGAGAAAACCAACAAAAAUAGGUAGGUAAAAUCGUGAUCUUUCGGAGGUAGUUAGAUCUGGAAAUUUCGGUACUAGGAACGGAAGUUUUAAUCGCCUAUAUUUAAUUACCUAGGACAAAUUGGACUUUGAUUUCUUCAUAAAAUAUCUACCUUAUGGUCUUGACUACCAUAUAGUCAAAUUGCAUAAUUUGUGAAGGUCAUAUGUGUAUUUAGUCGGAAAUGUUUCUAAAACUGUGCAAUCUGAUGUGUUCGGACUUGGUAAUGUUGCAAUGCGUGGUCUAUACCGUUUUGUAUGAAAUUCUUUCGGAAAAGUGUUCUGCAUGAAAUACAUUUAUUUAUGUCUUGCCUACAACAUAUUCAAAUUUCGUAAUUUUGAAGUUCAGUUGCCUAUCUAACCAAAAAUGUUUCAAAAACUAUGCAAGUGGAACGAACAGAAUUAGUAGUGCUCUCAUGCGUGGUUUGUAUUGAACUAUAUGGGGGUCUUUUGGUGUAGUGUUCAUUGUGAAAUAUCUGCCUCUAUUUCUUGACUAUCCCAUGUUCGAAUUUAAUAAUUUUUGAAGGUCAUUUGGGUACUUAACUAAAAAAAUUUCUAAAACUGUGCAAGCUGGAUUGUGCGAAUUUCAAAAGCUGUAAUGCAUGGACUAUUCUGCUUUGUAUGAAAUUCUGGUGGUGGUGUGUUCUUCAUGAGAUAAAUGCCUCUAGAGCUUGUCUAUGAUGUAUUAAAUUCUUAGAAAUUAUUAGGGCCAAUCACUAAAUUUUAAGAAGUAUAAAUUAAAAGAACGCAUUCUGUUUCUAAAAUAAUAGCAAUAAUCCAUGAGUUUGCCCCAUGAAUUUAUAUUGUUUUUAAGUGAUUGAAUCUUGCUGCACAUAUGAUGAUAUUUGGCAUUACAUAUAAAAAUCAAAAGCUGAAAUUGACCUUGUUGCCAUAACAUCAUAUGCCAUGUUGAUAAUGAGCCACAAAUGUGAAAAUAAAGUAUGAAAAUGAGGAUACCGUGGGUGGUGUGAGCCAAUGAUGCCCCGGGAGUGUCGAGAUGCCCUGAAUGUGGGGGUGCAGGAUGCCCAGUUGUAUUACGAUACAUGCCCGGAUGUCCUUGGGAGUUUCGAGAUGCCUGGUGGUAUACGGUACGUAAUUCCAGGGAGAAUGCCUGGUGGUAUGUUAGUACGUAAUCCCCGAAGCCCUGGAGGUGUGUGCCAGGGGGAUUCCUCGUGAUGCCAGUUGGGAUGCGAGAUGCCCGGAAUGUGGGGGUGUCGAAAGCCUCAUAGGUGUGUGCCGAGGGGAUACCUCGUGAUGUCAGUUGGGAUACGAGAUAAUCAGAAUGUAGGGGUGUCGGAUGCCCGGAGGUGUGUGCCGGAGGUUCCUCGUGAUGUCAGGUUGGACACAAGCGAUAAAUUGUGAGAUGCAAACAUUGGUCCCUGGGAAGAAAAAUUGAUGAGAUCAUUGUGAAAGAUAAGAAUUGAAAGUGAAUCAUGUGCAUGGGUGUAUGUAUAUGGCAUAAUGCAUGAUCUGCUUAUGAAAGUAAAUUGAUGCUAUUUGAUAUUGAAAAUACGAUCAUGAAAGCAUAAAUGGAUCUCAUGGUGAUGUAUGCUUGAUAGCAUGGAUAAUAUGAAUCAUGGUGAUAUAUGCACAAUGGCAUGGCGAGAUAUGCAUGACUACAUGGUGAUAUAUGCAUGAAUGCUUGAUGAUAAGUGCAUGGUGAUAUAUGCACAUAUGGCAUGGUGACAUGUGCAUGAAUGCUUGAUGAUAAGUGCAUGGUGAUAUAUACACAUAUGGCAUGGUGAUAUAUGCAUGGCUGCAAGGUAAGGUAUGCUUGAAUGCAUGAAUGAUAUGUGCUUUGUUCAUGAUACCUUGAUUGUUCUGUUUGACGCAUUUAGUAGUUUGGUGGAUCUUUACUGCUGAGUGGUUGUACUCACCCCGUUUGGGGAAUAACAUUUCAAACUAGAUAAGAUACCUAUGCUACCACUACCACCGGUAGAUGGAUUAAGUGGUUGGAUGUGACCACGAGGAGGAGGAUAGCAAAGAAAGGAACUUUUGGACGCCGACACUGAUCGAUGGACUUUAAGUAUAUGACUGUUGGAGGAGAUGUCGGUCAUCUUUUGAAGUAUAGCCGAGUAUAGAAGAUUACGGCAUUUUGAUGUACCGAUGAAUGAUGUCCAUAUGGUUUAAGUAAAUAAAAGUGUUCGGCUUUUACCUAUAAAUGUUUAGUUGGUGUGCAUCGUUUUCUAAAUAUAAAGAAAGGAGUUGUUAGAUGUGCCUCCGUAUAUGAACUGCGCAAGGGACCGAUCUAAAAGAUGUGAACCCCCAUGGUUGUAUGGAUCCACUGCAAAUUGAAAUGAUAUCAAAGUGACAUGUUAUUAGGGAAAGUGAAAGAUAAGCGAAUUGUGGCGACCCUAACGAAUUGAGAGCCGUCGAGCGGUGCCACAUACCCAAUUUUGGAAUAAAUCUCCAAAAUUACAAAUAUCACUCGAAUAGCAUAAAUUAGCAUCCAGAUAAAUAAACCAAACAUACCAUUGCAACAAGCAUGGGGGAGGCUCGGGAACGGCUUGGACUCAUGGCUGGGGAUGCUGGACCGUGGGACAAGCGGCUAGGCGCGGCUGGCGAUCGCGGGAUGCGAAGACGAUGCGGCAGAGCUCCGGCUACUCAGCGAACCUUGUGACAGGCUAGGGAGGGGUGUGCUGCUUGGUUCUUUGAAAUUUUAAAGCUUCAAGGUGUCUCUAAUGGGGAAAGCAAGGCUGAGGGAGGAAGAAAGGGGACAACUCUAGCUUGGAGAGGGCCACUUCUCAUCCAUUCUACCCUCUGUCUCCUUGAUGAGGUCCCACAUGGAUGGGCUGUCUUCCUCAGCAAUUUUUCAGCCACAAAACUCCCUUUAGAAGCCAUUAUAGUGGUCCAAAGGUUGAGGGACCAAGGGGCUACGAAUUUUGCACUUUUACACAUCAAUUCCAUUCAAUUCUCCUUCAAUUCACAUCCAAUUGAGCUCAAUUUGUUGUCCAAAAAUCCAACCAAGGUGUCCAUGAUCAAAUUGAUAUUUUUCCUCACCAAUAGAACCAACUUGCAUCCCAAAAACACGAUAAAAAAUGGUCCCCUAAAUUUUCCGAACGAAAAUGGCCCUAUUUUGAAAUUCCGCCAAAAAUCUUGAUUUGCAAAAAAAUCUUUAGAAGAUGAGUCGACAUUCCUAAAAUGACUCGUGACAUGAUAGAACUUUCAAUUUCUGAAAUCGGAUUCAAAUUCGCGGUUAAUUUCGAUCUGGUGUGAUUUUAGCGUGAUCAAGCCUACUAAGUAGCUUUUAGAAAUUUUUGGUGCAAUUAACUCAUGAUCGAAUUUAUUCCGAGUCACAAUGUACAUCUUUGACGCAUUGACGACUCUCAGUAGUCGUGAAAAUCUUGAGGUUUUAAAUGCGGAUACAGGGUACCAAAACGAUAGAAAAAUCGGCCUAGUGCCGAUCAACGAGAAUUUUCCAAUCUAGUGGAAUCACCCACACUUUGAUCACCUAUCUGAGUUAAAAUGACCUAUUUGAUCUCUUAUUAAUUUUUAAUUAUACCGUAAUGAUCUCUGCAGAUGAGCACGGUUGAGUAGUCAAUUCUUGAUCGAAUUCUCAAGUCUAUUGCAUUAAAAUUCCUUAAUGGCUUCCCUCGAUAAUCUAGUUAUCACAAAAUUCCUUAAUGGCUUCCCUCUAUAAUCUAGUUAUCUCAUGAGUGAUCAACUCAGAUAAUAGAACUAUAGGCACGUCGAUAAAAUGCCCAAUUUCUUUAAUUGAAAACAGGACUGAAAUUUCAGGAUGUCACAACUUUCCCCUCUUAUAAAAAUUUCGUAUUUGAGAUUUAAACCACUACAAUACUUUAAGUAAAAAGGUGGGGGUACAAUCGUCUCACUGAAUCCUCACUUUCCCAAGUUGCUCCUUCAGUGCGAUGGUGUUAGCAGACCACUUUAACCAACGGGAUUAUCUUGGUACACAAAUCUGUUCUUUCCAAUCCACAAUCGGAUCCGAGCUUUCAACGUACGACACUCUAUCGUCCACGUCUAAUUCCUCAAAAUUAAGCACGUGGGUCGGGUCAGGCUCAUACUUCCUCAACAUCGACAUGUGAAAGACGUCGUGCACUUACGCCAACCUUAGCGGCAAUGCAAGAUGAUACGCUAGGAUCCCGAUUCUUUCUAGAAUCUCAAAGGGACCUACGUACCUCGGACUCAGUUUUCCCUUCUUGUCGAAGUGUGAAAAACCCCUCAUUGGCGAUACCUUCAGAAAAACAUGAUCACUAACUUGGAAUUCUAAAGGUCUCUGGCGCUUAUCCGCGUAACUUUUCUAACGGCUCUGAGCGGUCUUUAGUCUGCAUCUGAUGACUGCAACUGUAUCCACCGACUGCUGAACCAACUCUAGACCUAUAAUCUUUCUUUCCCCGACUUCAUCCCAACACACUGGUAUUCUGCACGCUUUGCCAUACAACACUUCGAAAGGAGCCAUCUGAAUGCUCCGCUUGUAGUUGUUGUUGUAGGCAAACUCGACAAUAUGAAGUUGUUCCUCCCAACUUCCUUUGAAAUCCAGCACAGAAGCUCACAGCAUGUCUUUGAGGGUUUGAAUCAUCCUCUCAAACUAGCCAUCCGUCUAAGGAUGAUAUGUUGCAUUGUACUACAGCUUUGUUCCUAAGGCAAUUUGCAAACUCUUCCAAAAAGCAAUUGUGAAUCUCAGGUUUCGGUCUGAUGUUAUCGUCACUAGCACUCCAUGCAAUCGCACAAUUUGACGUACGUACAACUCUGUGUGCCUAUCCAAAUCCAGAUCCUUCUUUACAGUGAUAAAGUGGGUCAACUUCGUCAAUCUGUCGACCACUACCCAAAUGGAAUCAUUACCCCUCAGACUCCUUGGUAAGCUUGUCACCAAGUCCAUCGUGAUGUGCUCCCAUUUCCACUUGGGAAUCUCAAGAAGUUGUAGAAGUCCUCCUAGCUUACAAUGCUAUGCCUUCACUUGCUGACACGUCAGACACUUGGCGACAUGCUUGGCGAUGUCCGCCUUCAUACCAGACCACCAGUAGUAUUGAGGCAGGUUCUGAUACAUUUUCGUACUACUAGAAUGAAUGUUGUAACUACUAUGAUGAGCUUAUGAUAAUAUCUCCUCCCUAAGUUUUGCAUCUGUUGGAGAAAUCUUUCCAGAUAUUUUGAAGCUAACAAAACGUUUCUAUCAGUCUAGUCUGGAUAAAUACAGACCUUCUAUUUAGAGUCUGAAGAUUUUCAGAUCACCAGACUCAACGCUCAGGACUCAACACUCAAGACUAUUCUCAUUGACAGUUUUUUUUCUAAUCCAGUGACGAAGGCAAUCCAGAGCCGAAGUAUUUGGUUGAGGAUUUAGUCCUAUCCUCUGGAGAAGAUCUCUUGGCUGGAUAAAAAUAACGGAUUCUUUUAUUCGUAAUCAAGAUCGUUUAAAGAUCUGAUGGUCGACGAAAUAUUCUUGGAAGGUUCUAUUCUUGGAAACCAAGAUCUUGAUUGUAUGGGCGAACAGGAUUGAUGGGCUAUCAUCAGGUUCCUUUAAUAGCUCAAAUGAUCUUCUUGAUUGAUUCCAUCCAACGGGUAGAUUGGAGGAAUUCCUUUGGUAAGUGCCAACGGGUAUGAUGGCAUAAAGGAGUAUAAAAGGAAGACAUUCUAGUUGCUUUAGUGCAUGAUCGAUAGAGAAAUUCCAGAGUCUGAAGCACCUUGAUUAUUAGUUGAUACAUUUUGAGCGAAAUUGUAUACACAAAUAGUGUCUAUACUUAGUGAUACCUUGAGCGAGUGUGGUAGAUCAUCUACACCGAGAAAUCAAGGGAGAACAACGCUGUAACAUCUCUUUGUUCAUAGUGGAAUCCAGCCAAUAGGCUGUCAGUGCAGAAGAGUGGACGUAGGCUUGAAAUAAGCCGAACCACUAUAAACCGCGUGUUCAAUUUUCUCUUCUCUCAGUCUUACUUUGAUUAUUGUUUGUCUCAAAUCUAUCAAUUGUUUAGUAUUGUGCAAUUAUCGAGAAAACUCCUUUAUAUACCUAUUCACCCCCUCUAGGUACUUAUACUAGCUAUAUCAAUUGGUAUCAGAGCUCGUGUACUCACUUUGUUUUACUUCAGAGUAAAAGAUCCAUGGCUAGUAUGCUAGCACCAGGGCUGAUGGAAGGGCAAAGCAAUACCAGACCACCCUACUUUGAUGGAAAGGAUUACAACAUCUGGAAGAACAAGAUGAAAGCUUUCCUACGAUCAAAGGAUCCUUUGGAAUGGGACGUUGUAGAAAAAGGAAUUACUCCUACAGCUGCAUCAGUCUCUGAAAGAGGGAAAGAAACUGUUGAGACCAGCGGAAUGACUCAGGAAGAGAUAAUCAAGAGACAAGCACUCGAUGCAAAAGCAAUUUACUCUUUAUAUUGUGCUUUGUCACCAACUGAAUAUAACAGAAUAUCUUCUUGUGUUACAACAAAAGAAGUUUGGGACAGAUUACAUAUCACCUAUGAAGGAACAGAUCGAGUGAAGGAAACCAGAAUUAACAUUCUCCUCGGUCAAUAUGAAGCCUUCAAAAUGAAACCAGGAGAAUCUAUAAUUGACAUGUUUAGCCGUUUUACAGAUAUUGUCAAUGGUCUUGAGAAUCAAGGAUAAACAAUUUCUGAUCCCAUGAAGGUAAACAAGCUACUGCGUGGACUCUCUAAGGAUUGGAAUCAUAUAAAGACUUCAAUAAGAGAGACGCAAAGAAUUAUGCCACUAUCUGUCGACGAGCUGAUUGGAACUCUUCAGUCUUAUGAAGUGGAACGAAUUAAUGAAGAUGAAGAUCCAAAAGGUAAGAAAUCCACUGCAUUAAAAUCAAAUGAUGAUUCUAAUGAUACAGAUUCUGAAGAUGAUAUGGAUGAUGAGGAGCUUGCUCUCAUGAUAAGAAGAUUCAGAAAACUGAAUAGAAAAGGAAGAAGGUUCAACUCAAAGAAACAAAGUUUUCAAAGACAGCAGACCAAGUCCGUUGAUGAUGAGGAACCAAACAAAGAUGUAGUUUGCUUUGAAUGUAAGAAAAAGGGACACAUCAGACCCAACUGUCCUCUUUUGAAGAAGAAGAGAGGAAAAGCUGAAAAGUUUCGAAAAGCUCUCAAAGCCGAAACCUGGAGUGAUACAGGCUGCGUUUGGUUCAGCAUUUGCAAUGGGCUUUGAGUCCAAUGCAAAUGCUGAAAGCUCAAAGCUACUUGGGAAAAAUGCAAUAGUGUUUGGUAAAAAAAUUUUGCAAAUGAACUUUGUGUUGAAUGUGUGUUUGGUAAGAAUAACAUUUGCAAGGAGCUUUUGAUGGGUAUAAUGUGUAUAUAUAUAUUUUCUUUUCUUUUCUUUUCUUUUCUUUUUUUUUUUUUGAAAAAUCAGCUAAACCCUUCGCCAGCCGGCGAAGGGCUGCGGCCGCCGGCGAGCCAAAUCUAGCGCCGACGGCCGUCGACUGAGGUCGCUCGAGGUCGGGCGACCUCCGGCGAGGGUCGCGCGACCCAGCCGAGGGCCGCCGGAGGUCACCCGAACUCGGGCGACCAGGGUCGCGGUCGCGCGACCCAGGCAACCGCCGCCUAGGUCUCGUGGCCGCAGGCGAGGGUCGCGCGACCCAGGCGACCGCCACCUGGGUCGUGCGACCCUCGCCUGUGGUAGGGAAAUCCCUUAUGAUGUUUUGAAGAUGACAAAAUAAAUCAAAGGCUACUAACAUGUUUGAUGGUUGAGUAAUAGACCAUGCAGAUGUUAGAACAUGUAGAGGAUAUUAUCUAAGUCAGAAGACGGCCAGAAGACUGAACGUAACAUAUGCCUAGAGUAUAUUUUGAAGAUUUCCAGACUUCUGUGUCAAAGUCUGAAGACUGCCAGACUCAAGACUCAAAGCCUGAAGACUGCCAGACUCAAGACUCAAAGUCUGAAGGCCGCCAGACUUUAGUGUCAAAGUCUGUUCUACCUCAGAAGUCUGUCAACUCUGACUAAUUCCAGACUGAACGUGAAUGAUGAACCAGAAGACAGACUCUAUGCUCAAGCUGAACUGGGUACAGACCUUAAAGCUAAAUCUGUUCAGAAGCAGAUAUGUUCAGACCCAGAUUGUAAAGUCUACAGACCCAGAUUAUAAAGUCUACAGACUCAGAUUGUAAAGUCCACAGACCCAGAUUUUAAAGUCUACAGACUCAGAUUGUAAAGUCUAUGGCUAUCAGACUUUACAUCCAGAUUUGACAGAACGUAACUCAAGCCCAAUCAUACAACGGCUAGUGAUCUGGUUUGGAUUCCACAUCAAGAUUGAUUUGAUUGAUUCAAUCUAAUUGAUUGACAAUUGGAUGUUGAAGACAAGAACUUUCUAUACGAAGAAGCUUUACUUAUGGAAACCAAGAUUUCGUUUGUAUGGGCGAUCGGAAUCAAUUUGGGAUUUUACCUUUGUCACUCAACGGCUACCAAAUCUUCUAGAUACAGAGCUGUCCAAUGGGUAUAUUGGAAGACGAUUCUCUGGGAUGCUGUCCAACGGCUAGUUUAGAAGUGGAGGAGUAUUUAAGGAGAUUAUGGACCGAUGAGCAAGUAAGAGAUGGAGCGUAGAAUUUAUAAUUCCAAAGUCUGAGCGACCUUCGAUCAUAUACUUGUCUCUUGAGAGCUUAAACGUUUGUAAUCGUGAGAGAAAUACCAAGAGAGUGACUUAGUGAGAUAGUGUGAUCUACUACUAAGUGUUUGCACUCGAAGUUGUAAUCUCUUGUUGAUUGCAUAGUGGAAUCCAGCCAAGAAGGCUGUUAUCGUGGGAGAGUGGACGUAGGCUUGGAUUAAGCCGAACCACUAUAAAUCUUGUGUUCUUAUUCUCUUCCCUAACUCCUUUAUUUUUUUCAUACUAGCACUCUCAGCUUGCGGCCGCGAGACCCAGGCGGCGAUCGCCUGGGUCACGCAGCCCCUGGGUCGAGCGACCCUCGCCAAGGGUCGCCCGAGGUCGGGCGACCUCCGGCGGCCCUCGGCUGGGUCACGCGACCCUCGUCGAGGGUAGCCCGAGGUCAGGCGACCUCCGACGGCCCUCGGCUGGGUCGCGCGACCCUCGUCGGAGGUCGCCCGAGGUUAGGCGACCUCAGCCGACGGCCACCGGCGGCAGAUCUAGCUCGCCGGCGGCCAUCGCCCUUCGCUAGUCCGGCGAAGGCUGCUCCCUUUUCAUUUAAAAAAAAUAUAAAUACAAGGACAAUAAUGGAAAUAUGAAAAAUCAAUGAGGGUAGUUUAGGAAAGAACAAAAAAUUUUCAGCAUUUCCAAGGACUCUACUUUCAUUUGAAAGUUCCUUGGGGGGGUUGCCAAACACCCUCUCCUUGGCUAAAGGGGCUUUGGGGGCUGGAUGGGCUUUCUAAAUGCCCAUCCAAACGCACCCACAGAGUGUGAAGAAAGUGAUAAUGAAUAUGCCAACCUAUGUCUGAUGGCACAAUCAGACUCAGACUCAGAUUCUAGAUCAGACUCAGACAGUGAAUUUGAGGCAAGUAAUUUUAAAAUUCCUGUCAAAGUUUCUAAAUACAUUGAUGAACUGUGUUUUAGUCUUAAGACUUCUCUCAAAAGAAUUUCCGAACUUAAAAAGGAAAACUCGGCUCUAAAACAAAAGGAAAACGUUUUAGAAGAAAGAGUUAAAAGUUUAGACUUGAUUGUUUCCACUCUUAAAGAAAAUGAAGACAAUCUUUUGAAAGAAAAUGCCCUUUUAAAAACUGACUUAUCAAAUAUUUCAAAGAAAUUUUCAAUAGUGUCCGAAAAACUUGAAAAAAUUCUUUCAGCUCAAAGACCUUACUUCAAUAAGUCCGGUCUAGGUAUGACAGCAGAAACAAUUCCCUUGAUUGAUUUUCCUAAAGUAAAAGAAAGAAUUAAGGAAAGACCCUCGAGAGAGGCUUACAAAAAUCAUUUCAAGAAAGUUUUUGUAAAGUCUGUAGGUCGAAAUGCCCUCAGAUGUUCAAAGUGCAACAGUCCGAAUCACUUUGAAAAAGAGUCUCCUAUGGUUUGGAAACCUGUUAAGAAAGUAUGGGCUAAUACUGCUUAUCUUACUAACACCAAAGGACCCAAGAAAAUUUGGGUACUAAAGAAAGCUUGAGACUCUAUUUUAAAUGCAGGUCUCCGUCAAGAAAAAGGUAAAGUGGUAUCUUGACAGUGGAUGCUCAAGACACAUGACAGGAAACUCAAAUUGCUUCAUAAAGCUUGUUCAAGUAAAUGGUGGAAAAGUUUCAUUUGGAGGAAACAGCAAAGGAAGUAUUGUGGGAUUUGGAACAGUGAAAAUUGGAAAUCUCACAAUAAGUAAUGUUUCCCUAGUAGAAGGACUCAAUUACAAUCUUCUCAGCAUUAGCCAAUUGUAUGAUACUGGUUUUAAGAUCUUCUUUCAAGAAGGAACAUGUUCUGGAAUCAGUAAAGACUUUACUCAAUCUUUCAUGGGUCAAAGCCAUGGAAAUAUCUAUCUUCUGGAUGUGAAACCAAAUGAAUCGCAAUGCCUAAUCUCAAUUCAAGACGAAGCAAGCUUAUGGCAUAGAAAGCUUGGUCAUGUCAAUAUGAAGCAAUUAGCCAAAAUCUCAUCAAAGCAACUUGUUCGAGGUCUACCCAAAUUACCAUACCAAAAGACUGAUCCAUGCACUCCAUGUAUUCUGGGAAAGCAGGUAAGAAAUUCAUUCAAGCCAAUAAAUCAUGUCUCUACUAAUCAUGUACUAUAGUUGCUGCAUAUGGAUAUCUUCGGACCAACCAGAACCCAGAGCAUUGGAGGUAAGAAAUAUUGCCUAGUAAUUGUGGACGAUUACUCCCGCUUUACUUGGGUAUAUUUCCUUGCAAGUAAGUCCGAAACCUUCUCGUAUUUUGAAAAAUUUGCUAAAAAUUUUCAAAAUGAAAAAGGAUAUGUUAUCUCAAGUAUAAGAACAGAUCAUGGAGGUGAAUUUGAAAAUCAAGAUUUUACAAAAUUUUGCGAUAAAUUUGGCUUUCAGCAUGUGUUCUCCUCUCCAUAUACUCCUCAGCAAAAUGGAGUUGUGGAAAGAAAGAAUAGAUCUCUUCAAGAAAUGGCUAGAACUCUUUUAAUUGAAAGUAAGAUUUCUUCACGAUUUUGGGCUGAAGCUGUUUCAACAGUAUGCUAUAUCAUCAAUAGAGUUUUCUUAAGACCUAUUCUAGAGAAAACCCCUUAUGAGUUAUUCAAAGAUAAGAAGCCUAUUGUUUCAUACUUUCAUGUAUUCGAUUGCAAAUGCUUUAUAUUGAAAAAUGCAAAAGAUCAAGUUGGUAAGUUUGAAGAAAGAUCAGAUGAAGGUAUCUUCCUAGGAUAUUCUACAUCAAGCAAAGCCUACAGAGUCUAUAACAAGAAGAGUCAGUCUAUGGAGGAGUCAAUGAAUGUCAAAUUUCAAGACUCUACGCAAGAUGAAUCCAGUCAGACUCAUCAUGAAGAGUCUGAACCUGCUCCAGACCCUCCAAAGCUUACAACUCAAGAAGCAUCUUAGACUCUGGAAGACCAGCAUCAAGCUAUUCGUGAAGAUUCAAAUAAAGAAAGAGAUCAUCAACCAGACAAAUCAACCAGUAACUGGAAGCAUAAGUCCAGUCAUCCCAAAGAUCUCAUUAUCGGCGAAAUUAAUGAAGGAAUUCGCACCAGAUCCAAAAGGAGUGAAGAGUCUAGUGCUGUGGCUCUCAUUUCUGAAAUUGAACCAAAGAGCAUAGAAGAAGUUUUAUCUGAUGAAAGCUGGAUUAAAGUUAUGCAAGAAGAGCUCAGACAAUUCAACAUUAAUGAUGUCUGGGAAUUGACAUCUAAACCAAAAGGUAAAACUGUUAUUGGAGCUAAAUGGGUGUUCAGGAACAAAAUGAAUGAGAAAGGAAGAGUCGUACGAAACAAGCAAGACUCGUGGCCAAGGGAUAUACGCAAGAAGAAGGAAUAGACUAUGAUGAGACUUAUGCACCAAUAGCAAGGUUAGAAGCUAUUCGACUAUUACUUGCAUUUGCUUGUUAUAAAAAUUUCAGGUUAUUCCAAAUGGACGCCAAAAGUGCCUUCCUAAAUGGAUUUAUCCAUGAGGAAGUUUAUGUGGAACAACCACCAGGGUUUGAAGACCCAAAGAAGCCAGACUCAGUCUUCAGACUGAAAAAGGCCUUGUAUGGUUUAAAGCAAGCACCUCAAGCUUGGUACGACAGACUAAACUCAACAUUUUGAAGCUUGAGGAAGUUAAAGUCUAGAGAGUCUCCAACCCUCAGACUCCGACAUUCAUGGCUAUAGACUGUAAGUUGUUAUUAUAUUCAAUCUCGAAAAGGUACGAUCAUUAGUUCAGUUAAUUUAUAAUUUCCGUGAAAAACUGAAUCUUGUCUUUUCAAAAAGAUUAACUUCUAUUUGGCAGUUAUUGAUUUUAAAAGAGAUGUCUGUUCCUUUUCCUUUGUGCCGAUUGGUUUUUCCUUUUUAAACUGAGUUAUAUAUAUAUAUAUAUAUAUAUAUAUAUAUAUAUAUAUAUAUAUAUAUACAGUUUUUCCUCGCUUAAACUUCAAAACCCUAAAAAGGCAUUCUCUUCCCAAUUCUGUCUCUACUUCGUGUUUAGCUUCGAGAAAGUUGUCAUCUUUUCUUGGAAAAGCGAGUAAAGGAAUCUUUCAACGACAAGAAAGGAUGUCUUCCUCGAGAAAGUCUUCACGAAUCGCAAACAGGGGACCACAGAGAAUGAGGGAGGGGCUUACCCAUUUCGAUCUCACCGAAGAGGAAGAUUUACCGAGUCAGCAACAGAGCCCGAUUCACUCUCCACCACGUCACUCUUCAUCAUCUACCCCACAAGGUGCGGGUCAACAACCGGAGGAUGAAACAAUCGAGGACUCAGACCCUGUAAGAGUCCAAAAACCCUCUUUUAUUUACAAGCUCUAUCGUGCGUUGAAGAGCAUUGGGACUCCGCUAAACUAUAUAGAUGAUUUCCUUAAAGAUAAGAAUUAUGGGAAUGAGCAUAUAUUUUUGCGAUGAAUGGAGGAUUUGGGAAUUGCUCCCAAAGGAAAGGCUGAGGAAGCACUUGCAAACAUUCCAAGUGACCCUCGUGUAUCGGGACUGAAUCCGACUGACGGGAACGAUGAUGAUAAAAUGUUCAGUGAAUUUCAACCUAGAAUGGGUGUUGCUGCGAAGGUGAAGGGAAAAAGGAUGGAUUUGUUUAAAUCGAAGGAACAGGAGAAUAUGUUCUUCAGACUGUUGAAACGAGGGGUGAUAAACCCUAGGAGUGUUGAUUUCGAUUUCUUGGAUGCCAUUAAUGUGAACUUAAGGGAGAAGUUCAAUCUGCUUCAACUAGAGCAAUUUUGCUCCGAUACCACAGACGGUUAUGCGCAAUUGACAGCAUACUUCUAUUCGAAUCUUAGCUGUUUAGAUGCGAAUAGAAUAUCCUUCAGUGUUCGAGACCAAGUCUAUGAGGUAGAUGUGGACAUGUUGGCAGACAUAAUUGGAGUUGAAAGAGGACGAUAUAAACCAAUCAAGGUUUCAAUCGCUCGUACCACACUGGAACUUGUCAAAGACAGGAGUACAGAAGGAAGAGUUACCUACUCAAGAAUGCAUGCCAUCAACAUCUUGCUUCACAAAAUUGUGAUCAACUGUAUCAGGCCAAAGUCUACAUCCAAGACUGACGUGUCUAACUCCGAGGCAAAAUUGAUGUACGUGAUCAAUUCAGGGAAAAAGUUCUCUCUCCCUCACACCAUUCUCUUUCACAUGUACAGAGCAAUGGUGAAGGACAAGGGCCAAUUGCCUUAUCCAGGUCUUGUGACCAAGAUCUUCAGACACUUAAACAUUGAACCUCCACAUACUCUUUGUGUUCGACCAUGUGAUAAAAUGGUGGUGGGUUUGAAAAUGCUGACAAAAAUGCGUUUGAAAGAGCUUAAUAAGGCAAUGGAGAAGUUCAAAGUGAAGACUCCAGUAUCUUCUGCAUCAAAGAGAAAAGGGAAGGAGCCCAUGGGUGCUCCAUCCAAAAAGAUGAGAACUCUUAUCUUAAAGGAUGAAGAUGAGGAGGAAGAUCUCACUAUCUCUGCAUUGAAAAGGACCAGACGUUUUGUACCUGAAUCAACAGAACGACAGAAGAUAGGAAAAGAAGCAGAAGAAAAAGAACAGAGAGAAGAAGAGGGACAAGCAAAGAACAGAGAAGCAGAGGAGCAACAAGAGAAAGAGAAAGAAGACGAAGAGAAAGAAGCUGAAGAAGAAGGAGAAGCAGUAAAAGAAAAGUCUGCAGAUGAAGCCGCAGAGAAAGGGAAUCAAGAUGCUAAAGAGCAUGACCAUCACUCUUUACCAAUUGAGGUCCUAGAGACAGGGGGAGAUGGCGAGCAAGGAAGGACUACAUCACAUGCUGUCAACAGUGAAGGUGUGAAUCGCUCACCAGCAAAUCCAGAAGAUUUUCAGGCUUCUCAAAUGCCUGAGGAAGGACAUGAUACGUCAACACCAAAUCUGCUCGAUUACACCGAAGUUCCAUCGUCUGCCUUCACUCCAUCCAAAAGAGCAAAUGCGGGCACUCAGACGGACAAUACCGCAGAUUUUCGUCGUAUCCUUGAUGUUCUUCUGGAAAUGCAGGGUCAAAUCUAUGCUCUGGAAUGUGAACUUCAAGUCAUGAAGAAUGCUGGACAAGCAUCUUCUGUUACCCUGGCAGAUCAAAUGAAAGACCUCGCUCUUCAAAUUCAAGCCAAUGCUAAAGGAGAAGAGGUGGCUCAUCUACGGGAAGACUUGAAGAGGCUGGAAGGCAUCGUCCAGUCGAUGGGAGAUUUCCAGAUUGUGCGCGUUCCCAAGCAGACUUGACUCUUUUCUCACCUUUUUAAUGAUGACAAAAAGGGGGAGAAUUGCAAUUUGAACUCUUUUGAACUCUUUAAACUCUUUAAACUUUGACAUGUUUGAAUAUUUGAGUAUGACUUGGGUGUGAACUUGAAUUUGACUGACUUGUGUGUAGAUUUUGAUGUUUGACUAUUUGCAUUUAUAUCAAGUGUUGUUGUAUGGUUUUACUCAUGAAAGACUAACCAAUUUUCUGUGGAUGCAGAGUCUGGUUGAUUUAUUAAUCUUUAUGAGAUAGCCAUAUUGCUUGAGUAAUGUUUUGUAGGUCAAAGUUGUUCAAAUCUACAGUCAAAGUUGUUCAAAUCUACAGGAAAGUUUUGUCACCAUAAAAAAGGGGGAGAUUGUUGGAGAAAUCUUUCCAGAAUAUUUUGAAGCUGACAAAACAUUUCUAUCAGUCUAGUCUGGAUAAAUACAGACCUUCUGUUUAGAGUCUGAAGACUUUCAGAUCACCAGACUCAGCACUAAAGACUCAAGACUCAAGACUAUCCUCAUUGACAAUUUUUUUUCUAAUCUAGUGACGAAGGCAAUCCAAAUCCGAAGUAUUUGGUUGAGGAUUUAGUCCUAUCCUCUGGAGAAGAUCUCUUGGCUGGAUAAAAAUAACGGAUUCUUUUAUUCGUAAUCAAGAUCGUUUGAAGAUCUGAUGGUCGACGAAAUAUUCUUGGAAGGUUCUAUUCUUGGAAACCAAGAUCCUGAUUGUAUGGGCGAACAUGAUUGAUGGGCUAUCGUCAGGUUCCUUUAAUAGCUCGAAUGAUCUUCUUGAUUGAUUCCGUCCAACGGGUAGAUUAAAGGAACUCUUUUGGUAAGUGCCAACGGGUAUGAUGGCAUAAAGGAGUAUAAAAGGAAGACAUUCUAGUUGCUUUAGUGCAUGAUCGAUAAAGAAAUUCCAGAGUCUGAAGCACCUUGAUUAUUAGUCGAUACAUUUUGAGCGAAAUUGUAUAUACAAAGAGUGUCUAUACUUAGUGAUACCUUGAGCGAGUGUGGUAGAUCAUCUACACUGAGAAAUCAAGGGAGAACAACGCUGUAACAUCUCUUUGUUCAUAGUGGAAUCUAGCCAAUAGGCUGUCAGUGUAGAAGAGUGGACGUAGGCUUGAAAUAAGCCGAACCACUAUAAAACCGCGUGUUCAAUUUUCUAUUCUCUCAAUCUUACUUUGAUUAUUGUUUGUCUCAAAUCUAUCAAUUGUUUAGUAUUGUGCAAUUAUCGAGAAAAAUCCUUUAUAUACCUAUUCACCCCCAUCUAGGUACUUAUACUAGCUAUAUCAGCAUCGUCAGGUACACACAAUCAUCCUCGGAACCUCAGUGUUCCAUCCUCAGAAAUCUGAAAAUCAGCCUUUCUCUUAUUGGUAUUCUCUUGUAAAAUUUUUUGAACAUCUGGGUCUGUUGAUUGAAGUAUCUUGAUCCUGAUCUGCAUAUCCGGUUCAAUUCUGAGGAUGGCAAUAAGAUUCGAAAAGUGGCCUUCCUCAACUUUGAAAGCCGAAUCUUGAGCUCUCUCGAGUAAAACCCAUUCCUUAACCAUCAUCUGUGUGACUGAAUACUUCCGACUCAAAGCGUAGGCAACCUUAUUUGCCUUCCCAGGGUGAUACAAAAUAUCACAAUUGUAGUCCUUUAGAAGUUCCAUCCAACAACGCUGUCUCAUAUUCAACUCAUUCUGAGAUAAUAGAUACUUGAGACUUUGAUGAUUAGUGAAGAUGUGGAAUCUUUCUCCACACAAAUAAUGCCUCCAAAUCUUCAAAGUGAAAGUGAUUGCUACGAGUUCCAAGUCGUGCGUCAAGUAAUUUAGCUCAUGAGGCCUCAACUGGCGGGAAGGCUAGGCAACAACCUUAUCAUGUUGCAUUAGCACGCAACCCAAUCCUUUGAACGACGCAUCACAAUAAAUCUCGUAUCCUCCAAGACCAGAUGGAAUGGUCAGCAUAUGUGCAGUAGUUAGCUUCUGCUUAAGCUCUUGGAAACUAUGCUUGCACUUGUCUAUCCACACAAACUUCUCUUCUUUCUUCAAGAGUCGAGUCAACGACGACGCCAACACUGAAAAUCCUUCCACAAACCUUCUGUGGUAGCCUACUAAACCCAAAAAACUUUUGAUCUCUGACACUGUCAACAGUCUUGGCCAGUUAAUCACUACUUCAAUCUUGGACGGGUCCACGAAGAUUCCUUCACCUGAAAUCACGUGACCUAGGAUCGCAGCACAAGUCAAUCAAAACUCGCUCUUGCUAAACUUAGCGUACAAUCCAUGAAUCCUUAGGGUCUGAAGUACCAUUCUCAAAUGACUCUCAUGCUGCUCAGCACUUCUCGAAUAUACCAGAAUAUCGUCGAUGAACAUGAUCACAAACUGAUCUAGAUACUCUUUAAAUACUCGGUUCAUCAAAUGCAUAAAACCAGCUGGAGCAUUUGUCAAACCAAAUGGCAUUAUAGUGAACUCAUAAUGGCCGUAUCGAGUACAGAACACUGACUUCAGUAUAUCCUCAUUUCUGAUCCUCAGUUGAUGAUACCCCGUUCUCAAGUCGAUCUUUGAAAAUAUUGACGCUCCUUAUAACUGAUCAAACAAGUUGUCGAUCCUCCAAAGUAGAUACUUGUUCUUGAUCGUCACCUGAUUGAGUUAAUGAUAGUCGAUGCACAAGCACAACGAACCAUCUUUCUUCUUUACGAAUAAAACCAGUGCUCCCCAAAGUGAUGCACUAAGAUGUAUGAAUCCCUUAUCCAACAAUUCUUGCAUUUGCACCUUUAGUUCUUUCAACUUAGAUACGACAUCUGGUAAGGAGCCUUAGAGAUUGGCUCUAUCACGGGUGCUAACUCAAUCACAAACUUGGUCUCUCUCUCUAGCGGUAGGCUUGGCAAUUNNNNNNNNNNNNNNNNNNNNNNNNNNNNNNNNNNNNNNNNNNNNNNNNNNNNNNNNNNNNNNNNNNNNNNNNNNNNNNNNNNNNNNNNNNNNNNNNNNNNNNNNNNNNNNNNNNNNNNNNNNNNNNNNNNNNNNNNNNNNNNNNNNNNNNNNNNNNNNNNNNNNNNNNNNNNNNNNNNNNNNNNNNNNNNNNNNNNNNNNNNNNNNNNNNNNNNNNNNNNNNNNNNNNNNNNNNNNNNNNNNNNNNNNNNNNNNNNNNNNNNNNNNNNNNNNNNNNNNNNNNNNNNNNNNNNNNNNNNNNNNNNNNNNNNNNNNNNNNNNNNNNNNNNNNNNNNNNNNNNNNNNNNNNNNNNNNNNNNNNNNNNNNNNNNNNNNNNNNNNNNNNNNNNNNNNNNNNNNNNNNNNNNNNNNNNNNNNNNNNNNNNNNNNNNNNNNNNNNNNNNNNNNNNNNNNNNNNNNNNNNNNNNNNNNNNNNNNNNNNNNNNNNNNNNNNNNNNNNNNNNNNNNNNNNNNNNNNNNNNNNNNNNNNNNNNNNNNNNNNNNNNNNNNNNNNNNNNNNNNNNNNNNNNNNNNNNNNNNNNNNNNNNNNNNNNNNNNNNNNNNNNNNNNNNNNNNNNNNNNNNNNNNNNNNNNNNNNNNNNNNNNNNNNNNNNNNNNNNNNNNNNNNNNNNNNNNNNNNNNNNNNNNNNNNNNNNNNNNNNNNNNNNNNNNNNNNNNNNNNNNNNNNNNNNNNNNNNNNNNNNNNNNNNNNNNNNNNNNNNNNNNNNNNNNNNNNNNNNNNNNNNNNNNNNNNNNNNNNNNNNNNNNNNNNNNNNNNNNNNNNNNNNNNNNNNNNNNNNNNNNNNNNNNNNNNNNNNNNNNNNNNNNNNNNNNNNNNNNNNNNNNNNNNNNNNNNNNNNNNNNNNNNNNNNNNNNNNNNNNNNNNNNNNNNNNNNNNNNNNNNNNNNNNNNNNNNNNNNNNNNNNNNNNNNNNNNNNNNNNNNNNNNNNNNNNNNNNNNNNNNNNNNNNNNNNNNNNNNNNNNNNNNNNNNNNNNNNNNNNNNNNNNNNNNNNNNNNNNNNNNNNNNNNNNNNNNNNNNNNNNNNNNNNNNNNNNNNNNNNNNNNNNNNNNNNNNNNNNNNNNNNNNNNNNNNNNNNNNNNNNNNNNNNNNNNNNNNNNNNNNNNNNNNNNNNNNNNNNNNNNNNNNNNNNNNNNNNNNNNNNNNNNNNNNNNNNNNNNNNNNNNNNNNNNNNNNNNNNNNNNNNNNNNNNNNNNNNNNNNNNNNNNNNNNNNNNNNNNNNNNNNNNNNNNNNNNNNNNNNNNNNNNNNNNNNNNNNNNNNNNNNNNNNNNNNNNNNNNNNNNNNNNNNNNNNNNNNNNNNNNNNNNNNNNNNNNNNNNNNNNNNNNNNNNNNNNNNNNNNNNNNNNNNNNNNNNNNNNNNNNNNNNNNNNNNNNNNNNNNNNNNNNNNNNNNNNNNNNNNNNNNNNNNNNNNNNNNNNNNNNNNNNNNNNNNNNNNNNNNNNNNNNNNNNNNNNNNNNNNNNNNNNNNNNNNNNNNNNNNNNNNNNNNNNNNNNNNNNNNNNNNNNNNNNNNNNNNNNNNNNNNNNNNNNNNNNNNNNNNNNNNNNNNNNNNNNNNNNNNNNNNNNNNNNNNNNNNNNNNNNNNNNNNNNNNNNNNNNNNNNNNNNNNNNNNNNNNNNNNNNNNNNNNNNNNNNNNNNNNNNNNNNNNNNNNNNNNNNNNNNNNNNNNNNNNNNNNNNNNNNNNNNNNNNNNNNNNNNNNNNNNNNNNNNNNNNNNNNNNNNNNNNNNNNNNNNNNNNNNNNNNNNNNNNNNNNNNNNNNNNNNNNNNNNNNNNNNNNNNNNNNNNNNNNNNNNNNNNNNNNNNNNNNNNNNNNNNNNNNNNNNNNNNNNNNNNNNNNNNNNNNNNNNNNNNNNNNNNNNNNNNNNNNNNNNNNNNNNNNNNNNNNNNNNNNNNNNNNNNNNNNNNNNNNNNNNNNNNNNNNNNNNNNNNNNNNNNNNNNNNNNNNNNNNNNNNNNNNNNNNNNNNNNNNNNNNNNNNNNNNNNNNNNNNNNNNNNNNNNNNNNNNNNNNNNNNNNNNNNNNNNNNNNNNNNNNNNNNNNNNNNNNNNNNNNNNNNNNNNNNNNNNNNNNNNNNNNNNNNNNNNNNNNNNNNNNNNNNNNNNNNNNNNNNNNNNNNNNNNNNNNNNNNNNNNNNNNNNNNNNNNNNNNNNNNNNNNNNNNNNNNNNNNNNNNNNNNNNNNNNNNNNNNNNNNNNNNNNNNNNNNNNNNNNNNNNNNNNNNNNNNNNNNNNNNNNNNNNNNNNNNNNNNNNNNNNNNNNNNNNNNNNNNNNNNNNNNNNNNNNNNNNNNNNNNNNNNNNNNNNNNGUAUCCACAACAAUUGCCAGGUAACCCUGACAAUCCCCGUCUAACAAACAAGUUGCCUCAAGCAACGAGAUUAAAGUAAUCGAGAGUCCUCUUCGAUCCCCAACAAACUCGAAAUUUUCACCCUAUAACGGGUCAAACUGAAUCACUUUACGAUAGUAGUCCAUCUUAGCUCGUUGCUUGGUGAGUCAAUCCAUGCCAAUUAUCAAAUCAAAGUUAUACAUGGCUAGGACUAACAAGUUUAUCUUCCCCUCUCGCUCGCCAAUCACUAAAUUGCAACCACUGACCCCAACAACUCAGGACUUAAUCCUAUCAGCUUAACAUAUUGCUCAGCAACAAAAGAACGAGUCACUCCAGGGUCAAACAAAGCAUAAGCAGCAUGGUCGUUCAGCAAAACCGUACCUAUAAUCACAUCAGGCACGUCCUCUACUUGACCUCUGGUGAUGGCAUCAUACACUAUCCCUUGAGCUGGGGGUAUGUUCUGUCCACCCUACGGUGCAAACUACGGUGCUACACCCCUUAUCUAAUCUAUCAGUGGCAGCGGCAGUAACUACUGUUGUCCCCUCAAUCUUCUGGGACGAUCUCUGACCUGGUAACCCCGUUGGCCACAUUUAAAACAAGCACCCAUUCUCUGAGGGCAUGAGGUCGUAUAAUGUCGCCUUCCAUAUAAGCGACAUACAUCAUUCUGAUUUGGAACUAACUUUCCAAUUCCACCCUUCCGAUUAGGCAGAACAUGGAACCUUCCUCCGGUCAUGGGCCUCUUCCAUACCGGUUCCCAUCUCUAUUCGAAUUAAACCUCGAUCUAGACGAGACGGCUUGUUCAUUCAAACUUUUCUUUGUCAGUUGGGCUCGGUUGUAAACCUCAUGAUAGUCUUUUAGAUCGAACGGCACCAGCGGGUUUGUCAACUCUAGUCGAAGGUCAUUCCUAAACCUUCGGGCUUAGUAUUCUGGAUCCUCUAUCAAUCUCGGAGUAUAUUGAGAAAGCUCCGUAAACUUGACCUCAUAUUGGUCAACAGUCAUCAUCCCUUGGCGGAGGCGUUGAAAUUCCUUCAUCUUCUGUUCUUGGGUGCUACCCGAAAAGUAAUUGUCGUUGAAGGCUUUGAGGAAAGUGUUCCACACCGAGACUACACCUUCUAGAAAUAUUGUACCUCUGGCGGCCCUCCAUUAGGUAUUCGCAUUACUGUGCAGUUGAUAUACUACCAGGACAACUUUUUCUGCCUCAGUGUAUAUCAGAAGUGCAAAGGCCUUCUUCAGAUCUUGAAUCUAAAGUGAUGUCGUCUCUGGAUCUUCGGCAGGUUCAACUUUAGGAACUGCUCUACUAACUUAUGGAUUAGUCUCUCCCUCUCCACAACUAUGUUCCCAGCUGGAACUUCAGCGGGUGCGGCAACGGUGGCGACUUCAGCAAUGGUGGCAAUGGCAACAGCUUGAUUCUGGGCUUACUGCCCCAUCAGAUUUCUCAUCGAUUCAAGUGCUUGCAUGAUCCCUUUGAACCUAGGGUCACCAAGGGCUGUUACCCUAGCACCAACAGGAGGCGGUGCUACUCCACUAGCGCUAGCCUGAGCUAGCACUCGACCACGACCUCCUCGGAUACCGACCCUCGUCGGAGUCCUACCUCGAGUAAUAAGCCCGAUGAUCCUCUUUCUAGGAGUCCUCUGCUCCUGAUCACUCAUCUCACAGGGUCUUUAAAGAAAUUUGCUUUCCAAUUCUACACAUAAUUAGAAGCUGAGCAAUCACAAACAAACAAUCUACCAACCAACUAACACAGACAUGCACCAGCAUGAAAUAAAUGCCAUUCCUACUAACUAUUCCAUAACUUAUCGUACCUUAUCACUCCAACUAUUGACCAGCUCUGAUACCACUCUAGGCGAGGAUGUGACGUCCCGAUCCUCUGAGUGCGUGCCCAUCCCUCAGUGGUCGAUUAAAUUGACGUCCCAGGACGUGUCACGACCCAUUCAUUUUAAUGCACAUGCGAAAGCAAAUAAUAAAUCCCUAGACAGCAGAAAGAUAGGUUAAAAAAACAUGCCCACAAAUUUUUAAACCACAACACACUUAUAUACAUAUCAGACUAAGUCAUAUAUAAUAUUAGCCGAUAUAUACAAUUCUACAAAAAAGGGUAGAGGGCUAUAGAUCCUCUAAGCAUUCGAGUCUUCAACUGAAUACUCUAGGGACUAUGGAUCUGAAAUACUCGAGUCUACCAUUGAACCAUGUGGAAGGUCAGUCAUGUCCUUGCCAAAAGCAAUCUCCAGCACCGACCUAGGAAUCUCAUACUCUAAAAGGAGGCCUUCUCUAGGUCCAUCUCGCCCGUAACGAUACCAUGAUCUAAAUUGAUGGGAUACCUUCUAGGAUAGACCCUUAUAAACUCAGACAAUGGAUCUUACGAGUUCGUAGACCCAGGCUCCUUGACUCCUAAAGAAGGGAAUCUGAGAGUGCUGUUCGGUGACCUUCUUCGGUUGGCCAAAAUACUGGGGAGGUACGGCCAUCUAAGGACCUGUAAAUAUUAUCCCAUAACGGGGUGAGACGACAUCUUAGUAAGUUCACCCCCUAAACUCUUAUUAGGAAUGAAAUAUGCCUAAAGGCUACCUAUGCACACAAGAGAUAGGCUACUUACAUUUUCCUCAGUUGCUUCUUGCAAGUUAGUAUGAUUCAUAUAUUCAACGAAUCAUUUCAAUUCGAAUCAAAUCAUCAAAUCAAAUCGAGUCAUCGAUCAAUUGAUCCAAUCGAUUCCAUACCAUCAACACCAUCUCUUAGUUAACCCAUUAAAUACUAUCUAUAAAGUCCGAUCACAUCAAGGACUGCUCACCCUAAGCUGAAGAUAGAUAGUAUUGCUUAUCAAAAGCUGAUAAUAGAAUAUACUACUCACCUUAAGUUGAUACAUCAAGGGUCGCAGGCUAAUAUAGUAUACUAAUAAUGCUUACCAAAGCUGUGUGAUACUUAAUAUGCUCACCAAAGCUGUGCAUUACUUAAUAUUUAUUGUACCCGAUAAAAUAAUCGUGUGUGGGUACACAGUCGGCCUUAGCCAAUAUACAAUAAUUUCUCUUUUACAAAAUCCCACUAAAUAUAAUAGCUCACACACACAUUUUUGGCACUGUAAACCGAUGCCCGGUAUUUUCUAAUUAAAUACUGAAAUUACCCAAUUUGGAAAAAUUUCCAAAAUUACAAAUAUCACUCAAAUAGCACAAAUUAGCAUCCAGAUAAAUAAAUCAAACACACCAUUAUAAUCGACACAAAAUUCCUGUCACCGGCUAUUCCGGUAUAAUUUCUGGAAAAUAAUAAAUAAUUGAAUAAUUACCAAAAUUAAUUAAAUAAAUAACAAUAAAUACCAAAAAUACAAGCUUAGGCCGGAAUAGCCUAUUAAAUACCAAAAUGGGCCCGGAAAAUUUCCAAACCUAUCUAGAUAAAUAAUACGACAUAUCUACUUGCUAAUUACACUACUCUAACCACCUAACAUACAUAAAUGAAUAAUUAAAUUGUUAAUCCAUUCUAACUAACCACAUAAUCUCUAAUUAGCCUAAAUUAAUCAACCCUUUAAGCAUCAUUAACCCCCUAAGUAGAGUUAGCGAGUAAAAUCACUGGUUUUGAAUCCCGAUAAGUUCACAACGACGGGGAUGUGAUGGCAGGCCACAAACUCCGAAGCAAGGGCACCCUACGAGACCGGGAAGGGCUUGGAAAUGGGCCUCGAAGCCCACGGCUUCUUGCUGGACUUGGGUUCUGGUUGGUGGGCCGAGAGGUUGAGCUAGGUGGCGAAACGGCGAAGACGGGUUGGUGAGUGACUACAGCUACUAGGCAGAGGCGAAUGGCGGCCGAACGGUGGCUCAAGUGGCUAGACGGCGACUCGACAGGCACGAGGGAGGCUCAAUAAUAGCCUAGACUUGCGGCUAGGGACGCUGGAUUCCAAGAUAAGUGGCUAGGCGCCGGUCGGCGAUCAUGGGGCACGACAGCGACGCGGCAGAGCUCCGGCUGCUCGGCAAAGCUUUUGAUGGGCUAGGGAGGGGUGUGCUGCUCGGUUCUUUGAAAUUUCAGAGCUUCAAAGUGUCUUUAAUGGGGAAAGCAAGGCUGAGGGAGGAAGAAAGGGGACAACUCUAGCUUGGAAGGGGCCACUCCUCAUCCAUUCUACCCCUUUGUCUCCUUGAUGAGGUCCCACAUGGAUGGGCUGUCUUCCUCAGCAAUUUUCCAGCCACAAAACUUCAUUUAGAAGCCAUUGAAGUGGUCCAAAGGUGAGGGACCAAGGGGCUACAAAUUUUGCACUUUUACACAUCAAUUCCAUUCAAUUCUCCUUCAAUUCACAUCCAAUUGAGCUCAAUUUGUUGUCAAAAAAUCCAACCAAGGUGUACACGAUCAAAUUAACAUUUUUCAUCGCUAAUAAAACCAACUUGCAUCCCAAAAACACAAUGAAAAAUGGUCCCCUGGAUUUUCCAGACGAAAACGGCCCUAUUUUGAAAUUCCGCCAAAAAUCUCGCUUUGCAGAAAAAUGUUAAAAAAAAGAGUUGACGUUCCUAAAAUAACUUGUGACAUGAUGGAACUUUCAAUUUCUGAAAUUGGAUUCAAAUUUGCGGUUAAUUUUGAUCUAGCGCAAUUUUAGCGUUACCUAGCCUACCAGGUAGCUUUAGAAAUUUUUGAUGCAUUUGACCCAUGAUCAAUUUAUUUCGAGUCGCAAUGUACAUCUUUGACACAUUGGCGACUCUUGGUGGUAGUGAAAAUCUCGAGAUUUCAAAUGCGGACACAGGGUACCAAAAUGGCAAAAAAAUUGGCCUAGUGCCAAUUGACGAAAUUUUGCAAUCUAGUGAAAUCACCCACACUUUAAUCAUCCAUCUCAGUUGAAACAACCUAUCUCUGAUCUCUAAUCGAUUUUUAACUGUGCCAUAAUUAUCUCUGCAGAUGAGUAUGGUCGAGUAGUCAAUUCCUGGUCGAAUUCUCAAGUCUAUUGCAUUAAAAUUCUUUAAUGGCUUCCCCUAAUAAUCUAGUUAUCUCGUGAGUGAUCAGCUUAGAGAAUAGCACUAUAGGCGCGUCGAUGAAAGGCCUAAUUUAUUUAAUUGAAAACAAGAUUGAAAUUUUAGGAGGUCACAUCAACUAAUGUUGAUCGUUUGAGUCUUGUGACAUCGAGCAUAUGCUAUUUCUCAGUUAUCAUGAUAUCUUUGCCAUGUGAGGUGCUCUUUUGUUUUGCUCAAGUUUCAUGCAUCUACUAAUAAUUCUAUUCAACUUUUCUUUCUAAGGAUGCUUUUUCUUUUUAUCAUUGUCUAUUCAUGUGCUAUGAGUGCUACUUGAGUUACAUUUGAUGUGAAGCAGUAGACCGCGCUUACUUGACGCCGCACUUUUGAGACCUGGCUGGCUCAACUUAUGUUGUGCGAUUUUCCUUAUAUACAGGAGAGGCUGGAUAUUCUUACACUUCUAUCUAGGAAGGGAGAAAGUUAGCUUCCAUCCAUCUGCCAAUGCUUUUGCUUUGAGCAUUUUAUCUUUGACGUGGUCUAGAACAGGUUGUACAUAUUGAAAUUUAUGUGAUUACUUGUUAAAGAACUAUACAACCGCAAUCCUACUUUUUCCAGAAAGAUGCAUCUGAAAGAUUACAUAUGAACAAAGAAUUGCUUAAAAACAAACAAAAAGAGUUAGAAGCAGAGUCAAUUUGAGGUGCUAAAGAUCCUGUUUUGAACUUACGUCACCUGAAAGAGUGCAUUUGGUGAUUCUCAAUCCUUGCACCCCGAAUCACCCUAUGAACAUUGUAAAUUACAAGAGAACAUUGCACAAGAUGUUGCGGGGGUGGAUCUGCAACACGCUCAGGUGAGGCUCAGUUAAGUUUUGAUGUCCAAUAGUAAAUCACUUUUAACCUUGGAUUUAACAUCUACUGAUGUUGCUCAGAAAGAAAAAUGAGAAAGGCCUUUACAGUUGAUUCCAUGAAACGAGGCUAAGACUUGCCUUUGGUUAUCAUUUAGUAUAACCUUUCUAAGACAUCCUCAUCAUCUCCUUUUUCUUUCUUUUCACUAAUUAGGAAGAUGUUGGGUGGAUUCAAUUAAUUAUAUUAAUCCGAUUCUGUAUAAUUAGUCAGUAAAAGUGGCAACCAUUGGGCAACGUUGAAGUUUUGCUGAGUGUAUGCUUUAAUGCCCUUGUGCAACUUUCUUUGGCCAGUGAUGUGGACUUAGAUGCUAUAACCCAUAUGACAGAGGGAUUUAGCAGAGUGGAUCUUCAAGCUUCGCUUUCAGAUGCACAGCCUCAAGCUAUUCAUGAUCUUCUCGACAGUAGGGAGGGCGAUCAACAUAGGAGAAAGCCAAUUAUAUCCUCUGAAGUCCGUUGCUUCAAAGGCAAGGCUGUCAGUCUCAGAUGUUGAGAAGAGAAGAUUCCGUAGAAAUUUUUUUAUUCAUUGAAUUCUAUUAUUUAUCCAUGCAACAAGAAUUGUGCAUCUCCAAUCAGAGUUUCAACUCCAGAUUCUAAUAGUGGCUUAUUAUGCAUAUGUUGUAGUUAAUCCCUACAAUAAUCUCUUUUUCGUAUGGGAACACGACAUCUAUGGAACAAUUCAUCAAGUGAAUUUGCAACUUCCAGUCACAAAUUUCAAGCAGUUGCGACAUUUUGGUAGGAGCUACUAUUUUCACAGCUUCUUUGGCUUAGAGCACCGCACGAGACAAAUCAUGGGCUCAAGAUUUCGCUAUGAAGGACAAUGGAAAAUUAUGAGCCCGAGUAAUUCAAAUGAAAUCAUUUGCACUAUGUUCACGUUAUUUGUUGUCAUUGUAUAAAAGGGUUUGAUGAACUGUGCUAUGAUAUUUCAUGGCGCAAUUCAUCAGUUUAGUUAUAGUGACUUUUGUUUGUGAAUAUGCUUUUUUCUUUUGCUCUUGGCUUGAAAGAAUCUCUUUGGAACUAUUGUCAAAUCGGUGUAAAUCAAAUAAAUCAUGAAUACAUCAAGGCACGAGAUUGUAGAUGAUCGGCUUAACAAUGAGGAAAAGUGACAUGGAGAGACCACUUACAAGCUCCCUUAUCGCAAGUGAAUCUUUUUUCCUCAAAUAAAUGACAUUUACCAUGUAGAAGAUAUUUAUUCCAAAGAUAAGAUCGUUUUACUACAAGAGUGAGUAACCUAUAUAUCAAGUGAAAAAGUUAGACAGUUGAGAUUACAUUUCUACAUUUCUUUACGUAUGAUGGUGAGAGAUCUAAUAUUAUGAUGAGGUGACUUCGCUAGAAAAAGCCAUUUCAGAUAUGUUAGGUGAUAUUUCGUUUAUGGGAUAUAAUAAGAUAGGAAUGGAAUGGUUAUUCCAUAAAAUUGGAAGAGAGUGGGAUUGGGAAUGGAACAGCUAUUUUGUAAUUUGGUUUGUAGAAUGGAUUCAAAACUACUCUCUUGUUUGUUUUACCAUGAUAUGAGGGAGAAUAAGUUAAGAAUAGUAGAGAAUACCCAUAAUACCCUUUGACGAUAUAUAAUCAAAGUCUAAUUUCUUUUAUUAUCAUAUUUUCAUAGGACAUAAAUGAAAACCUGCUAUAAUUUCAAAAUACUCGCAAUGUUUUAAUUUCUACUGUAAGUAACCAUUAUUUUAUUAAUCAAUAAUAAUUAAACCAUAAUAUAAUUACUUAAUGAACUAAUUAUUAAACAAUAGUAUAAUUACUAAAUAGAUAACUUUUAUUUUUAUAUAAUAACUACCAUUCAAGUCAAGCCAAUAAAUAAGGCCAAGCUCAAGCUCAACUCCUAUUAGAUAUUCAAUGCUCGGGGUUCCUUUCUAGCUAUGGAGUAUUAAAUAUCCAGCUUUAGCUUCACUUGAAAAAAAAAAAUCUAAAUAUUCAAGCUCAAGUCGACUCGAUACAGUCUAGUCAUAAUGAGCUCGAGCUCGAGCUCAAUAGUUACAAAUAUUGUUCUCUGCUUCAUUAGAAAUGGUAUCUUUUAGACAUUGAACUCCAUGUACUGUAAGCACUUCCUUAGUUGGAAAGUGUGAUAUCCUGAUUUUUCGGGUUCUGUUUUUUAUUGAAUAAGCUGGGCUUUUCAUCAAAGCACCUAUCGUUCUAUUCUCUGAGCUAAUCACUCACGAGAUAACUAAUCUAUAUGGUGAAGCCGUUAGCGGAUUUUAAUGCAAUAGACUUGAUAAUUCGACCAAGAAUCGACUGCUCGACCGUGUUUAUCUGCAAAGGUCAAUACGGCACUGUCAAAAUUGAUCGGAGAUCGGAGAGAGGUCGGUUCGACUGAGAUAUGUGAUUAGAGUAUGGGUGAUUCCACCUAAUUGCAAAAUUCUCGUCGAGCGGCACUAAACCGAUUUUUCUGUCACUUUUGUACCAUGUGUCCAUAUUUGAAACCUCGAGAUUUUCACGACAAUCGAGAGGCGUCAAUGAGUUGAAGAUGCACAAUAUGGCUUCAAAAUAAUCGACUAUAGGUCAAUUGCAUCAAAAAUUCCUAAAAGCUACCCGGUAAGCUAAGUUACGCUAAAAUUGCGCUAGAUUGAAAUUAACCGCGAAUUUAAACUAAAUUUCAAAAUUGAAAGUUCUGUUAUGUCACGAUUCAUUUUAGGAACAUCGACUCAUCCUUCAAAGAUUUUUCUGCAAACCCAAGAUUUCGGCAAAAUUUCAAAGUGGGCCGUUUUGGACUGAGAAAAUUGGAGGACCGUUUUUUAGAGCACUGUUGGCCAUCAAGUUGGUUCAAUUGAUGAGAAAAAAUCCUAAGAGGGACGAUGGCAUCUUAGUUAAAUUUAUAGGGACUGAGUUGAGUCCAAUUGAGGGAGAAUAGAAGAAGAAUUGAAGUGGAUUUGGGGGAAAUGUGAUCAAAAUUCGUAGGCCAUGGUCCCCUCAACCUUUGGACCACUUCAAUGGCUUGCUAAGGAAGCUUUGGUGGCUGCAAAAUGGCUGAGGAAGACAACCAAAGUGGUGGGCCAAGUGCUUGAGCACAAAUUAGAUAGAAAGGAAGACUUUUGAUGCAAGUGGUCCCCCUCCAAUCUUCGGCAGCCCCUUCUUCCUCCUUGCCGCUCACUUUAUCCAUUGUUGAAGCUUUGGAAAGCUUGACAGAACUAGAGAAACCAGCCCUCACAUCUCUCUCUCUCUCCCCUCUUCAACCCCAAAGAAUUCGUAAUCUUUUCUCCCCUAUCUUCCUUCUCUACCUGUUUCUACUCUAGCUGACCUUCGUGUGAAAAAUCGACUUAAAAGUUGUCUUCCCGUAAGAAUCAACCUUCGUGCCACCCACCAUCGCACUCAGAAGGCCCAAACUAUUCAGGAGGACCCGGCCACUCGCCGAACAGAGCCACCGGCCCGGAAGAAACCGCUUGCCGGUCCAUCAGUCUGCCUGGCAACCUGCACUACUCUGCCUAUUUCACCUGUUUCAGCCAUUUUUCUUCCAUUUUGACCCUACCUCUGCCCAUCCCAACCACCAGCAGGUCCCCCUCGACCCCCAGGUGCUACCAGUCACUGGCCAACCCCUCGUCGAAACUCCGUCCAAGCCCGUUCAGCUUUGUUUCUCUUCCGGCAGUCCAAUUUUCAGUGUUUCAUUCGGAGUCCGGGUUUGUUGUUGCUAUUCCAGGCUCGGGACCACCUUGGAUCAUUGUGAUAGAGGUUCCUGAGCAUAGCCUCCGUCGUUGCCGUUGCAUUCAUGUCUCUGGCCUGUUUAACGGGUGAGUUUAGUUCCUAAUCCUUUUAUUAGUACCUAAACUUGCUUAGGAGGUUAAUUAUGCUUAAGAAUUUAUUAGAUUAGCUUAAUUAUGGAUUAUUGAUCACCUAGAAUGGUUAUAUUGGCCUUAAAAUAGAUUAUUGUUAAUCUAAUUAGUGAGAUUAGCACAUUUGAGGAUGGAUUAGUCCAAAUUAGUAGACUUUCUGCAGUUCUGAUUUAUAGACCCUCGCCGCUUGCCAUUUUUGUAGAUCGAAAUGGGUUGCGAAUUUGAAGUUGAUUCCUUCUUGAGAAAUGUUUUAGACAUCUUGAUCUACAACAUGUAUGUUUCUCAAAAUUUUUAGAGAUUUAAAAGUAUGAGAUUUAAGCUCCAUCAUUUGCAAACAGAAUCUCAGACUGUGUUGGAAUUUGUGACCUUUUGGGAUUCUAGGAGUUUUUAUCAACUCUUAGAGUUCGAAUUUCAAAAUGAUCUCUUCACAAAAGUUGUUUGUCACCUCUUGCAGUUUAACAUAGUCAAAUUUCAUAUUAAAUGGACAAGUUGUGGAUUUCUAACAAAACUGAUUUCGGAAAAUAAACUUUCUGGAAAAGGAACCAGUUUUUAUAUUGGAUUGAACGAUUUACUAGGUUUAAUGUAGAAGGAUCUAAAUUAAGGUAUCUUCAUGAACAAUGUCCAUUUAUGUGUCUUUUACAACAUAUUCAAAUUUGAGAAUUUUCUAAAUUCGGUUUAUUAGAUUUCUGGAUUUAAACUUAGAGACGUGUGAGUGGACUGUUUCUGCCGGUUAGGGCCAAUAGAAGUUUGUGAUUAUUCUUGGUGCUUUGCUUGCUUUAAUUAGUGUUUUUAAUGAAUUUUGGAUUUUAUUUAUUAGUUAUUAAAUUCUAGAAAUUUACUGUUUACGAGUUACUAUUCAUGAAACACUGUUCACGUGCACUGUUAACCCGAGAAUGAAAAGUUGUCUAAAUUCAUGUAUUUUAAUCCUAUGAAGUAAAUGAGUGUAUAAAUGCAUGGGCAUCCGCAUGAAUUGAGCGAUUUUCACAAAAGGGAAAAUAUGCCUAGUCCGAGGGACAUUGGAAAUGGACCGCCUUUAAGGGAAAAUGAUUUGAAAUUGUAUUUGCAAGCAUCAUACAUGGAUUAAAUGCUCAAAGAUAAGAAGGGAGUUUUAGUGGUGUGCUUGCAUGAUUAAGAAGUGGAAUCUGUCACCCAACGGAAGUUUGGGGGCGAUACCUGACAGGAGUCAGAAGUCGGUCGCAGUAGAUUCUAGACUGAUGUCCCUCUUUAGGAUACUAUCUGAACGGAAGUUCUAGACGAAGCCGUGCCUGACAGGGCGAGACGAAGCCUGAUCUUUUUAUCGGUAGCUCGGUGGAAGUCGGAUGAUCGAGGGCUAGGAGGUCAUUAAUAACUAGAGCACGCAUGAAUGUUAAGGUGGAUGAGCACUAAUUGGAAAGUUAGCUAUGGUCGAUAGGUCAUUAAUAACCGGAACACGCGUGAGGGUUGAGUUGGUUCGGCCUUAUUAUGGGGUAAAAUUGUGUGACGCGGUAUGAGAUGUGUAAUAACGAUUUUACCUUAUAAUCGAGACCCGUGUGAUCAAUUAAUGCAUGAUAGGUGGUGCACUAAAGUGCAAGAACAUAUGUUAAUCAUUGCAUCAUUGAUUUUGGAAAUGCAUGGGUUAAGUACAUUGUUUAUGGGAUGUACGCAUGAAAUGAUAACGUGCAAGGUAUGGCAUACCAAGUAAGGUUGCAUGUAAAUCGAUUUGUUGACUGUUGGUUGUUAGUUAUGGUAUGUUUGUGGGGUGGUUCUGGAGAGAUACCCCGAGUUGAGUUGGUGUCAUAAUCAGGGGCUUAAGGGAGGACUUGCUGAGAUUUUAAUCUCACUGGUUAUUGUAAAACCAUUUUCAGGUCCCUAAUAUGAAGAACCCAGAGCUUGAGGCGGAAAUGUCAUGAGCAUGGAUGGCUCAGUAGUUCUUCUUGGAGAUAGAUCUCUUGUACAUAGACCUUAGAGUUGGCCUCUGUGUAUAAACUAGUUUGUUUAUAAAAAGUGUUUUGGUAAAAAUGGUAUCUUGCUUUUCUAUCACAUAUUUGUGUUGUCUGAGGAUUUUAUUAUACACUUCCGAAUGUGCAAUUAAAAUGAAGGGUCGGCGAUGAGUCCUGAGACAUCGCUUUUCUAUUGACCAAGGAAGGGGUUGUUGCGUGCCUAGGGUUUGGGGCAUGACAGAAGGUUACAUACAUUUCCCCAAUGAGUGAUCACCUAGCUCAAUGGGUCGUGUAGAGUGUGAUAGUGCCUCUUCGAAAGAAUGCAUUUAUCUAGAGAAGGUGGAUGAGAAAAGUACAUGAUCAAACCUUACCGAAUUGAAGUUGCAGCGAGGUAAAAAUGUUUUUUUUUUCAUUUAGAAUAAUUCUUACUUAUUAAGCAUGCUAAUUACUCCCUACAAUCAUAAAUAUACCAAGACAAUAAAAUGUAGAGACCAUCAGUAGAUUUUAAAAUUUCCAUGGGUUUGUAAAAGCCAUUGCCUUUUAAUGGCACAUCACGCAUUACGUUUGACCAACAACUCUUAGGUGUGGAAGGUGACCUUAUGCUGAUUUCACAUUUUAUAGUUUUGCCAUGAUGAAAGAAAACGAGUGGAAAGUGGAGUAUAGGCAAAAAUCAAUUGAUCAGGCCAUGAAUUUGGAUUAAAUGUAAGAAGAUUUGCUUUGUUUGGCUUAGCAAAGCAGAAAAAUGGAAGUCUGGCCCCAAUUGAGAAAAGCUAAUCUUUUUUAUAUGAAUAGCAUAACAAAAGUCUUGCGACCUUACCACCAGCCGUGGUGGCUCCGCUGGGUAGGCUUCAGUGAUCCUUUGCGAGAGAGGGGAGAUGUUCGAAGCCCUUGCAACACAAGGAGGCUGGUGGAGUUACUUGGUGACUUACCCGGUGGCAUGGGGUGGUGGUUUCCCCAUGUUGCCCCCAGGUUCUACCCACCGGCUGUCGGCUUUCGAGGUUUCUUAGGUCGCUAAAAAAAAAAAAAGUGUUGCGACCUUCCCUUGGUAGGUAGUUGGUGGAUUACUAAGUUCAAAAACUUAGCGCAGACUCUAUCACAAGGAGGUUAAUCAUUUUAACAUGCAAAAUCUUAUUUAUUUAGGAGUAGUUGCUAAUGAGUUAUUAGUAGGCUAAUUAAAAAAAAAUCCUUUUCAAUAUGAUGAGCAAAAAAAGCAUUUAAUAUGUGAUAUUUCUAGCCUAAAGAUAAAGGAAGAGAUUUCUCACAAAACAAACAAAACAAACAAAAAGAUGAAAGGGGAUCCAUUAUUCUUUGGUCACGCCGGAUGUUGGGCAAUUUCUAUGAGAUAUUGCACUGAACUUUGAUCUAUAUGUAAAAGAACAUAGAGGAGUUGAAUGCUUUCCCUAGAAUCAUACACGGAGAUUCUGGAUUCUUUGAAAAAUAUAUAUUUAAGUUGGAAUGCAUGACAAAAUUUGAAAGCACCAACCGUGAAACUUUUCGUGUCAUGAAAAUGCCCAAAGAUAAGAUCAUUUAUGUUUUGACAUAAUUUUAGGAUGCUACUCUAAAUAAGAUUUUUAUUGCAUAUAUACGCUCUCCUAAUUCUAGGAGGGUAGCAUAUAUAUUAGAAAGCGUAAUGAACUUAGUAUAAUUAAAUUUAACAAAAUAUCACCUAAAUACAUGACAAAAGUGGAAAAGACGAGAUUAAAAAGGAAAAAUUGCAUAUAAAUUGUCAGUGGGCCGAAUUAGAUCCACAGUACGAGCAACCAAGCCUACUCUCUCUCUCUCUCUCUCAUUUUAAUUUCAAGCAUAGAAAAAUUAGGGUCUAGAUUUGUUGUUCUGCUGACAUGGUAAAUAGAGUCGCAUCGAAAAUUUCCAUAUAGGCUUAGUCUUUCAGUGCCUUUCAGCAUGUUCACUCUUUCUUUCAUUUUUUUCUUCCCUUUACAAGAGACAUGGAAUUUGAUUCAUACCUUCCAAUCAGAGAUUAUUAGGCUAGUUAUUAAGUGAGCUCCAUAAUGGAAUUGAUCCAUUUCAAGGAAUAGCUACCUCAUGAUUCAUACAUGGCGUAUUAGAGUAAUUAAAUAUUAAACUACACAUUCAUUUAAAAGCUUAAGCUUUUAGAAUAGUUGGUUGUAGUCCAACAAAAUCUCAUAUGGUAUUGGAGCUUGAGGUCCUAAGUUCGAAUUUUUUCAAACCCCAUUUGCUUCCGCAAUUAAAUUUCCACGUCUAAUACUAGGCAAAAAACCAGAUUAAGCAUAAAGGAGAGUGUUAGUAAUUAAAUAUUAAACCACUCUUUCAUCUAAAAGCUUAAACUUUUAAAAGAAGCAGUUGGCAGUGGUCACAAAAUUUCAUAGGACGUCAUAAAAAUAGAACCUUCGUCUUCGGCAUGAGUAUAUAAACUCAUUUUACCGUGGUUGGCAAUAGUUCCACAAAAUAUUACAGGACGUCAUAAAAAUAGGACCAACAUCUUCAGCAUGAGUAUAUAGACUCAUUUUACCGCUUCUAAAUGAAGGGAAUCGCUUUGCAAAAUUAGUACGAGAAAUGUGAAUUUUUGUAGUGCAAGCCUCUUCAAAGAGCACAAAUAGGCCAAGUAAUUAGAAAGUUUGUCCCAUCUAUGCAUUUUUACCGAAAAAGCCUAUAAUUGUUUCCACAAGGUUGGGAAACCCAAUUGAAAUCGGGUCCACUUGGGCUUUUACCAUAGAAAUUCGUAUUUAUAAGUGAAAACGCACUAGAAAAGCAUCUUGAUUGGAUCCCGGGAUUCCCGCAAUGAUUGAAUUCCAUAUNNNNNNNNNNNNNNNNNNNNNNNNNNNNNNNNNNNNNNNNNNNNNNNNNNNNNNNNNNNNNNNNNNNNNNNNNNNNNNNNNNNNNNNNNNNNNNNNNNNNUUGUUCUUGAGCGGAGCGGAAACACAAUGUUCCACGCGCAAGUCCUUCUCCUCUAUUGCCCUCUGUAUCACUGGCUCAAUGAGGCGGCCCCCUCAUGUGUAGCAUUAGGUAAACGCCCCUUAGGUGAGAAUAUAUGUGAGAAUUAGGGUUAGAAUAGAGACUAGAGCACUAUUUAUAGAGUUUCCAGCCAGUCCCUCUCAUUACGGGCCAGGCUCAACUCGGCCCACACUAGCUAGACCAUAUUAGACUAAUUAUGAAACAUUCUAUCUCACCUUAGACCAAACCCCGUAAAACGGUAAACGUUAAACGGUAAAUUACAAUAUCAAUUAAUAUAGUCCAUAAUUAGAAAAACUCUUACAUUCUCCCACUUGGACCAUAUUAAUUGAAAUCGUACUGUAUGUGCGCACAUUGGUCCAGAGAUAAUUCUUAAUAGUCAAUCCUAUCCCAUAAAGUCUUAAACACCGAAUCAUGGCGGUAACUGCAUGUAUACACAUAGAGCCUUCCAUGGUCACAAGUGCUCUCAACUUUAUUGAUAUGGAUUCAAUAUGAUAGUGUGGCAAAUGGAUAACAUCUCUCAUAGAGAGAUCUCAUUUGCCAGUCACCAUUCUCUUAACUUUAGGUGUCACAAAAACUUGUGCCACUAGAGAAUGCUUUAUGGUUCCAAUGAACCCACAUAUGUCUUGUCCUUACGGUUAACCUUUCUUUAUGUAUCACAAGACAUAUGCACAAGGCUAAUAACCGGAUGCUCGGAUGCCCCUAGCCUUCACUCAAGGUUUAAGUAAUACCUUGAGACUUUUAACAAUAUAUAUAUUCAACAUAAUAACAAUCCAUUCAAAAUAUUUUAUUAAAUGCAAAAGUUGACAUAUAUAUAUCAAAGUGUUACUAAAUUGUAAAAAAACAGAUGUAGACUUUAUUCAAAGAAAAAUAAAAACACAGCUCCCACUAAAUAACAGUAUCCCAAGAUGCUCCUAGGCCCAUACUAAUGACAUGUCGAUCAAAAACACACGGGCGUAGGCCUUUAGUUAGUGGGUCUACAACCAUAUCAUCUGUAUGAAUAUAAUCUACUGCAACGUCACCAUUCUGAACUGAUUCUUUUAUAGUCAAAAACUUGACCUCCAUGUGUUUAGACCCCUUUAAAAUUCUAUUGUUAUUAAUAAAUAACACUGCAGAGUUAUUAUCACAAUAUAAUUGUAUGGGUCUAUCCACAAAACCAUAAACUGAUAACUCUCUAAUGAGGUUCCGGAGCCAAAUAGCUUGAGUAGCAGCUGAAAAACAUGCUACAAACUCCGCUUGCAUGGUUAAAGAAGAUAGGGAUUUCUGUUUCUCGCUCUUCCAUGAUACUGCACCUCCUUAAAACCUUCUUGGCAGCAACCCAGUGAUCGCGUCCUGGAUUAGACUGAUAUCUGCCUAGAAGCCCUGUUGCAAAAGCAAUAUCUGGCCUAGUGCAAACUUGAGCAUACAUGAUGCUUCCAAGCACACUAACAUAAGGCAAAUCCUUCAUUUGAGCUUUCUCAAAAUCUGAAUUAGGGCAUUCUGAAAGACUCAAUUUAUCACCCUUAACAACAGGAGCAAUUCCUGAUUUGCAAUCCUGCAUAUUGAAUCUUUCUAAAAUGCGAUCAAUAUAUGCCCUCUGAGAUAAACCCAAUGAACGGCUUGAGCGAUCCCUAUGGAUCUCAAUGCCAAGAACAAAAGACGCCUCACCAAGGUCUUUCAUGUCAAAAUUUUUCGAUAACAUCCGUUUUGUCUCAUGCAGUAAACCAAUGUCACUACUAGCAAGCAAGAUAUCAUCUACAUAAAGUAUGAGAAAAAUAUAUUUCCUCCCACUGACCUUGGUGUAUAUGCACUGAUCUACGUUGUUCUCAAUAAAUCCAAAUGAAGUCACAACACUAUGAAACUUGAAAUACCACUGUCUAGAAGCUCGCUUAAGGUCAUAAAUAGACUUUUUCAAUCUACAAACAAGCUGACCUAAGUCAUCUGCUACAAAACCUUCAGGCUGCACCAUAUAAACCUCCUCAUCAAGGUCUCCAUUUAGAAAAGCAGUCUUAACAUCCAUCUGGUGUAACUCCAUAUCGUAAUAAGCUACCAAUGCUAAGAUCACUCUAAAGGAAUCUUUAGAAGAAACUGGAGAAAAUGUUGCUUCAUAAUCUAUUCCUUCUCUUUGAGUGAAACCCUUAGCUACCAGUCUGGCUUUAAACUUUUCAAUUUUUCCUUUGGAAUCCCUUUUAGUCUUGAAUACCCAUUUGCAGCCAAUAGGUUUACAACCUUCGGGCAAUUCAACAAGCUCCCAAACAACAUUGUGUUUCAUAGAUUGCAUCUCAUCUUUCAUCGCAUCUAACCACAAAUCUGAUUGAGGACAUGAGAUGGCUUCAGUAUAAGUCACGGGAUCAACAACACAGCCUAUGUCAUAAUCAUGCUCUCCCAGGUAGACUAGAUAGUCUGGUGGUAUAGCUGAACGUCUUUCUCUAGUUGAUCUUCUGAGUGGAGCUACUUUAACCUCAUUCUGAAUUUGAGGAGCUUGAGGAAUUUCAUCAGGAACUGUCUCAACAAUAGGAUCAUGAGCCACAUGAGACUCCAUAAUUGUCUGCACAGGAUGAGACAUAGAUCCAGUAAUCCCCACCAUACUAUCAUCUUCGAUAACUUGUGAGCAGCUACCCAUUUCAGCUACAUCAAAUUCUAGAAAUUUUGCAGUCUGAGAUUCCACAAUUCUUGUACCUCCAUUAGGGUUAUAAAAGCGAUACCCCUUUGAAUGGUCUGGGUAAGACACGAAGUAACAUCGAGUAGUUUUGGAAUCCAGUCCGAUCCUCUGGGUAAGACNNNNNNNNNNNNNNNNNNNNNNNNNNNNNNNNNNNNNNNNNNNNNNNNNNNNNNNNNNNNNNNNNNNNNNNNNNNNNNNNNNNNNNNNNNNNNNNNNNNNACGUAAACUGACAAUUCGUGGAUACUCGUACUCAUCAUGAGGAAUAAUAAUGAAUUCGUGGUACUGGUUUUCUCAGGGUAUACCUAAUAUCACGGGCUGUUAUACUUCUAGACAUGCACCGAUUACAGAGCAAACCCAGUCACAAAAAUUGGAGAGAAAAAGUUGCAUCACGGCAUUUCAACUUGAAAUGGUAAGGUCGCAAACCUGAGGAGGGUGGAUGAUACGAGAUGGAACCAUCAUUCAUUUGCCUUCUUUACAAGAUUAUUGAUUUCUUUCUCGAUAUCAGCAAAAUUCAUCUUAUCAGCAUUUUGAAUUUACUGGAACAACCAGUCCCCGUGUGAAAGAAAACGAAUUAACUCAAGCCACAAUUUCUCAUCAGAAUCUAUGUACCUGAUGAUCAAAAGACAAAUCCCUAAUGCCUCACUUAGAGAAAAAUAUCAUGGAAAGGACGAGGAAUUUCUAUAGCCAUUCAGUCAUUUUCUGGAGAUGAAGGGCUACACCAGUAGUUGUUUUAGGUGGGAAAAAGGGCUGCUGAUGCUAGAAGAUCGCAAGAUCAACUCAUCACUUCUCGUGUUUAAUGUCCUUGGAUGAUGGAGGCAUCCAAAAUCGAAGAACGAGAAUCGUCACUCUAAAUCCUUGAUCUCAUCCGGGUGAUUUUCUACAACUUAAGAACAACGCCGGCGGAAAUCAUAAUAUGCUUAAGAAACAUUUAUUAGAGUGCGUAAGACAGGUUUGAACCAGGAGCUUGAGCUCCAUAAAAGUCGGUGCUAAGCAAAUGAAAAGAAAAAAAAAACAAAAGAAAAAAACCUCUUUCAUCUUGGUGAGAGCAAAGGUGAAUCAAUACCUGUCAAAGUAUGAAGGUCUAUAUUCUUUAGCCCAUGUAGAGAAGAAAUAAUAAAUAAAAGAGUAAAAAAAAAAUCACAAAAAACUCCAAGCUUUGCUCAUGUGAUAUAUUUACCUCGAACUUAAUCCCAAACUUAUAUCCCUAUAAAAUAUUCAUUCCAAACUUUUUUCUAUAACACCAAAAACCCCAUACUUUUUUUCAAAAGGUGAAUGUGUCACAUAAAUAUAAAUUAAGAAUUUUUGGUAUCACAAGAAGAAGUUUGCGAUAAAUGUGCUCCACUAUUUAAAUUCAAGAUGAAUGUAUCGCAUAAAUACAAGUUUGAGAUUCUUGGUGUCAUAGAAAAAAGUUUAGGAUAAAUGAGUUACAGUGGACAUAAUUUAAGAUUUUUGGUGACAUUUAUCCAUUUCUUCUUCUCUUUGUUUUUUAAUAACAAAACAAGCACUUAAUAGCGGGCACCAGAUGCAACAUGAUUACAAGCAUGGAAUAGAGACUCGAUGCUAGAUACGUUUUAGCCUUGAGGAUCAACCGUCCUAAAUUGACUAUUCUAGUUAGUUUUUCUUUAAAUCUUGGAUGUCACAUAGGAAUUUUUAUACAAGGAACAAGCUAGGACGGUAUCAAGAUUUAAGUUAGCCAUCAAGGUUAAAUUAAAUCGUCGUUUGGAGAUAUGAUUGAAAAAAGAAAUCUGCAUAUUCUAAAAUGAAAAUAGAAUCCAAUUUAUAUAGAAAGUAGUAAGAUUCAAUUUUAUUUUAUUUUUAAAUUCUUAUCAUGCUUUUGUUAAAACUAAAAUUUGACUUCAAAUUUCAUGUGUAUUUUUCAUGUUUGAUUUGACAAAUGAUUUUACUUGGUAAUUUUAUACCUAAUGGAUAAUGAACAGAGUGUUAUACACAAUCCAAAAUUAUUGACAUUAAUAAAAAUAAAAAUGAAAAUAAACAUACUUAAAGUACAUUUAUUAACAUAUGUCCGCGUAAAGUUUGGGCAAAGUAACUAGUUUUAGUUUUAAUCCUUUCUUAUCGCAAAGCACUCCAAACACGCGACUCCGGUAAAUUUGUUCGCCCGCCGUGAGUACAUAGUGCGGUUAUCCUCCUAAAUGACCCAACUGCCCUCACUUUUUUGACGAAUUUCCUUAAAAAAAUAUCCGGGACUACGAAAAAUCCCCUACUCUUCCCUCCGCCAAUCCGUCACCGCAAGCCUCCGCCACCUCGCCGUCGCCGUCGCCGUCGCCGUCGACGUCGUAACCCCUUCCCGUGCCGUCACCCCUCGUCGUCGAGCCGCCCCCGGCCAUCGCUUGCGCUGAUCGUUUCGCGUCCCGUCUAGGCCAAGCCAUCAUCUCUCUCUCUCUCUCUCUCCUCGUGUUUCCUCUUGGAAGCAAUUAUUUUGUCAAUCUGAACGGCUUUUUCACUUAUGAAGGAAGGCCGCGGGUAACUUCUAGGCAAACGCAGCGAAAGUGAGAGAGAUCUCUCUCCGUUGCUUUAUCAGUUUGCUACGAGGAUCAGACUCGGACUUCCCCAAGUCACCGGGCAGACCCAAUUCGGAGAUCCAUCUCUGCGUCGUCCUUCCAGAAUGGAGAGAAAGAGGGAGGCAGAAGAGACGGCGACGGCAGCUGGGACAGGCAGCAGCCGUGAUGGCGGAUCGGGGAGGGGUUACGAGGUGUUCCUGAGUUUAGGGCUUUUGCUUCCGCUAGGCUGAAGGUGCUGGUGAAGGAGAUGUUUGUUGAAAUUUUGGAUUUUUUUUUUUUUUUUGUGGUCUUAAGAGUAGUAGUGGUGAUUGGUGGGAUGAUGCUUGCAGGCUGCAGCAAUACAAGCUGGUCGAGAUGAAACUCCUGGCUCAACAAAGGGAUCUUCAGGUGUGAUGUUGUAUUCUGUCCUGUCAGUUUGGCGUAAUCGCUGGCUUUCUCUAAUUCGUAUUUUUGCUGGCAAAGGUUUCCUGACUUUAUCGAUGCUAGUUUUGGGAUUUCUUAUUAUCGACAUCCCUAUAGAUGUUUGUGUAUAAUUUCUCAUUGACUGAUUCUUUUGUAUCGUUAUAUCUGCUAUUGAAUUCGCUGUUGAGUUACAUUCCGUUGUUCAUUUUCUUCGUGUGAUCACAAACAAAGACCCGGAUUCAAAUGUUCUGCUGAAUACCAUAGACAUUAUCCCUCCUGUCGGCCCUGUUCCAGCACCGGACCUUGUUUAUUUCUCUUCUUUUUCUUUGGUUUUUUUGUUAUAGUAAUGCAGUGUUGAAAUGUUGCGCAAUGGUUAACACAGAGGUGGGCGUAUGUGCAUGUGGGUAAAGAACUUUGAAGCAUUUAAGUGUGCAACCUUUUUUUUCUUUUGAUUCUUAGGAGGUGUAAAUACAUGCUAGACAUAUUGAUACCAAAGGCUUAAUCACAAUGAAUAUUUAGUUUCAGGAAAAAGAAAUGUACUAGGUUGAGACAGGCAAGUAACACAACAAGAAGCUUGUCGGUUCUGAGUUCUGUCUUCAUAGUGCAUUGUUUAUUUAGUAUCUUACUUUUUUCAUUAAUGGAAUGGGCAUGUCCUCAAUUAUGAAGGUUGCUACACUCUCUUGCAGUUUUCUUUCUCCUUAUUUCUUUUAUCUAGUUUCUGUUUUUCUAGUUCAACUUAAACCUCUUCUCAAAUUCAAGUGAGCUUUACUUUUCCUCUAAAAAAGGAUGAGAAAUUGGCUUACUGUUGCAGUUAUUGUGAUCUAAUCUAAAAUAAAAAGUUUAAACAAAUCCAGAUGGUCAGCACCUCUUGAUGUCUCACAAUGAAUUUCUCUUUACAUUGACCUGAUAGAUCCGAGUGCACGUGGUUCUUUGUUCCCACAGAACUUGAUCACUUUGUUAGUAUGUUAUUGUUACUCUGUCAGCCUGAUUGUGAGAAGAGGUUUAAGUUGUUAAUUCAAUGCUUAUAUUAAAUGCCAGGCAAAAAAUUCCUGAUAUUGAGAAGUUUUUAAACAUAGUCGCCACUCUACAGGCCAAGAAGGGUUCUGGUGAGGUUCGUUGUCUCACGCAACUCAUACUACUGACUACGUGAACAAGAUUUUGGGGAAUUUCCAUUUAUUUCCACAAGUUGAUAGGGAAGUGGUGGUUAUUUGCUUUUUAACAAGAAGCUGUGGAUUUUGGUAAUCUAGUUGAUGGUUGUCCAAUUCACAGGUAAUUAGAAUGAGAAAGAGACUUUACUUCUUAAACGCUUGCUUGGCCCAUUUAUGGAAAUGAAAAAUGUCGAUGCACAUCACUAAAUAAUAACCCUUGUUUAUGCUCUCCACGUUAGGAAAUUUUCUCAUUUAAAUGUACGGGGAACAUGCUGAUUGGGGGUUGCAUCUUGCAUGUUAUACAUUAUAAAUCUUCCUUAUACUUUAUUGCAUCAAUGGUUUGUCAUUGAAAAACGUCCGUAUUAUCUCCCAUGUUUAGCAGUCGUGCGUUAGAGGCUUUCAAUUGCUUAUCUUAAAAUGAGUAGGAAUUAUCUGCAUUUAAAAACGGAAUCACUUCAGCAGAUCUUUCUCGUCCUUUCAGAAAGCGCAAGAUUAUAGGAAGAGAUAUUGUUUUGCGUUUUAUUCUAGUUCAGAGCCUGGUUAAUGGUAUUGUGAAAACUGACAAAAGAAAGGUGGAGAUGUAUCUAAUUCUGGAGUUCUUUUCUUUUCAUUUUUUUUAAAACCGUUUCACAUUGGUUGUUAUUCUCUUUUUGCUGAACCCUUAAUGAACUCAGAACUGGUAUUAGUGUCGUAUAUAGAACAAAAUAAACAAUUCAUUUGUUUUAUGUGUCCCUUCCAUUUAAUUAGGAGAAUGCUUUCUCGCUGAUUGAAUAUCCUUCAGAAAGCAAUGGUUAUCAGGCAAACAUCUUAGUAGAGUUAUUUACAUGAAUCUAACAAACUUGUGGUAAGAAGUUAGUCUUAGAAAUUAUUAACCACAUGUGAAGUCUCAAGCCGUCCUUUCCCUUAAUUCAAGAUUUAAAGGCUCUCUUAUUUCUAUCUCUUGACUAAGAAAAAGGCUAAGAUUUGGAUUGGGUAUGAUUCAAUUCCAUGGUCACCACGUCUUAUCUGCAUCUUUUCCAGCAUAUCCAUGUCCGAAGGAGAUCCAGUCUGAGGGCAACAUAUCAGUAGGUGAUCUGAGGAUUCUCAUUGACUUUGCCAUAGCUAGUAUCUGUUCAUAUGCACCCUCCUUCUUGUUUUUGUUCUUCUAAAAGGUCGACCCCAUGUCAGUCAUCUUCUUUUGUAUCUGGUGUGAUUGGUAGGAGCCUUUCACUGUUGCUGGAGUCCUUAAUAUUGGAAUGAUAGUCUCCAUUACUGUAACAUAUUCAUGUGGUGAUAGUAUAGCCACAAGGUGGGCUGCUGCAAGAGAUUUUUGUUGCAAGAAUGACUCAUUUGAUGAUUUGGCUAAUUUUGUUCACGAUCUUGUGGUGAUUUGGGUGUUUCGGUUGUUUAACCGAUUCCUAACUGAUUCUUCAGAAGUUUGUAUCUUCAAAGAGCACGGAUAUUAAGUUUAUCCCCACUCCCGCAAUCUGUGCAUUCUUACCAUAAAAAGCCUGCAUUAAUUUCCCGGAAUUACGCUCAUCUUCUUGAUGAGUGAUGACCAAACCUCACCUGGCCCACGGCAAAAAGUUGAUGGAGAAAUCCAUCCCCUAUAAAAUUCACCCAAUCUUCACUAAAAGGACAGAAUUGCUCCAAAUCAUUCUAUUGCAAUUUAAUUGGUAGCCCCAAAUUAAUUUCAAUGGAUGACUUAGUUACCAUAAUUAAGAAUUUCAAAUGUUCAGUUUUUCGUAAUUGUAGGUAUUUCAAAUAUAUUAUUAAAAACACCAUUUCUUUAUUCAUUGUUAGAUUUUUCUUCCAUAAAAAUUAGUUUUGUGUAAAAAAGAAAUUUCCAAGAUAUCUAGUUUGUUGAGCAAAUUUAAGGAUAAAUUUUCAAGUAGAAUCUACAAAAAAAAAUGAUUAUAUAAAUAAUUUUUUAACACAAUUACUCGUUUACAAAUUUUCAAUUUCAUUGUGCAUAUCAUUAUCAAAUUCCUUAUCGUUCAAUCAAAUAAAAUUCCAUCCCAUUGGUUCUCUUCUAUAUAUAUGAAGGACUAGCAAAGAUUUUGAACUUAUUUCAAAAUAAAGAUUCAGGUGUUAGAUCAAAAUCUUGAAUUUAUCUGAUAAAUUUAGAUAAAUUAUCAAAGGGGGUCUUUUUGUUAUCAAUCAAGAAGGACUAGCAAAGAUUUUAAUAGUGUAUUACAUUUUAAUACGAUACUUAUCACAAAUAUAAUUAUUCUUCUGUCUGAUCAAGGAUUAAUUGAUCAUGCCAUUUGGUGUGACAUUGGACUAAAUAUAAGGAGAUCAGCUUUGUUGGGCUUAGCAAAAGCAAAAUGGAAUUCCACUCCAGCUGAUGAAAGCUAAUCCGUCUGAAUUUAAUGAGCAAAGCAAAAGCAAUUGUGUACAGUAAAAGUAAGUAAUAAUUUUGUUGAAUGAUAUGAAGUGAACAAUAUCUUAUUUGCCAAUACCGGAUUCCACCAGCACAGUGAAAGUAAGCAAUAAUUUUGCUUAAGCAAUAAUUCUGCUGCAGUGAUUGGACGGUAACCAGUAUUGCACAUGUCGCUACAGUUUCAGGCGACUAUCUUCCCUUGGUGAUUUUGUUCUUAUUCUAACAAGUUGACCCCUUGGCAGUCAUCUUCUUGUGUAUCUCCUCAACGGUGUGAUUGUUAGGGGCUAGCUUUUCACUGUUGGUGGACUCCUUAAUUUCGAAAAUGAUUUUUUCCAUUACUGCAAUAUAUUCAUAUGGUGAUUGUCCAGCCGCAAGGUGGCUUGCUGCAAGAGAUUUCUGUUGUAAGAAUAAUGCAUUUGAUGAUCCAACUAAUUUGUUUGUGAUCUUGUGAUGAUUUGGGCAUUUUGGUUGUUUAACCAAUUUCUAACCGAUUCUUCGAAAGUUUGCAUCUUCAAAGUUUAUUCCCCCUCCCGUAAUUUAUGCAUUCUUACCAUAAAAGCAUGCAUAUAUUUCCUGGAUUACACACAUUUUCUUGAUGUGUGAUGACCAAGCCUCGCUCGAUGGCAAAAAGUUGAUGGAGAAAUCCAUUCAUUGGAUAACUAAAUUCGCCCAAUUUUCACUUAAAAGAUAACAUUGUACCAAAUAUUCAAUUGCAAUUUAAUUGGUACCCCCAAAUUCAUAAACUUUUUUUUUCCUUUUAGUUUUUCUAUUUCAAUGUAAGAUUCAGUUGCCAUAAUUAAGAAUUUCAUAUGUCUAGUUUUUCUUUAUUGUAGGCAUUUCAAAUAUAUUAAAAACACCAUUUCUUUUAUUAACUAUUAGAUUUUUUUUUUCUAUAAAGCUUAGUUUUGUUGAAAAAAGAAAUUUCCAAGAAUCCUAGUUCUUUUACAUGUUGUCGAGGAAAAUUGAGGAUAAAUUGUCGAGUAGAAUCUAGAAAAAAUUAUUAUAUAGAUUUUUUUAACACAAUCGCUUGUUUACAAAUUUUCAAUUUUGUUUUGCACAUCAUCAUCAAACACNNNNNNNNNNNNNNNNNNNNNNNNNNNNNNNNNNNNNNNNNNNNNNNNNNNNNNNNNNNNNNNNNNNNNNNNNNNNNNNNNNNNNNNNNNNNNNNNNNNNCCAGCCCAGCCCAGCCCAGCCCAGCCCAGCCCGCACAAAGGGAUGAUCGGAUAAAAAGAAAACCCUCUUGAAGGUUUGAAGAUUUUCCAAAAUAAAAUCACAAUUACAUUCUCCAAUGGAAAAAUUUAAAGAAAAAAUUUAAUUAAAUUGAAAAGUAACAUAAAAUAAGAAACUUUUUAAAAAUGUUGAUGAAAUCUCAUUAUUUGGAAUUGACAGAAAUUAAUAUCGUUGACGAAGCAUGUACGAAAAUAAAACUAGAUGCUUCAUUAUGCACAAUGGUUUUAGUGUAUUCCUAGUUUUUUCACAACGCCUUAACAUCUGUGUAAAAGUAUCUCACCAAUAAUAAGGGCAAACGAUAAGUUCUUUAAUAUAGUAAACAAAAAGACUAAUACAUAUUUUGGACUAAUAAAAUUAAAAAAUAAAUAAUUCAUCAAGAAAGUGAACUUUUGAGAUAAGAGGGAGAAAUAAUAAAUGAGUAUUUAUUAGAGAAAUGAUGAGAAGAGACUUUCAAGGUGUUGAUCAUGUAAAAUAAUGUGUUUUUUUCUUACUAGUGGCUCUUAUAUAGAGCAUGUACUACGCUAUAGUAAUAUUUAAGGAUACACUAAAAAAAAUUCUUUAAUACACUAAGAAAAAUAAGACAUGUGGAAUGCAUAAUUAUGGCAAUUAGAAACAGUAGGGAAGGAAACAAUUUGAUUGUCACUUUAAAUUGCAAUUGAAUGGUUGAAGGCAAUUUAGCCUUUCUAGUCUAAUUAGUAAAUGGGGUGGAUUGGAUUAUAUAGGGUGGAAAUAGUGCCGCCCAAAAUUUAAAGGAGAAAUUAAAGUCACAAAUGGGAUAAUUUUUUUUUUUUCCAUAUAGAAAGAAUGUUAGCUCUUGUGCACGCUUUUUAUUCCUACGUCAUGAAUAGACCAAGAUGAUAAAGUGCAGAGGUCAUCAAUAGAUUUAGAAACAUUUCGUGAGACUUCACCAACAAUUGACUUUUAACAGUGUAUCAUGCAUUAUGGUCAAUCUGCAACUCUCGGAUACGGAAGGUGACUUUGUGCUGAUUUCACAUUCACAAUUUUGCAAUGACAAAAGAAAAAGAGUAGUCAAUGGAACAAAGGCAACAUUGAUCAUUUGGCUUAGCAAAAACAUAAAGGAAGUCUGGCUCCGGCUGAGGAAAGCUAACCCUUUUUAAGUUAAGGAGCAGAACAGAAGCAAUUACAGUCUGCUUUUUUCUAGACUAGAAAUUGAGGAAGAGAUUUCUCACCAAAAAAACAAAACGGACAAAAGGAUUAAAGGGGAUCCAUUAUACUUCCUUAGAGGUCACGCCAAAUCGUCUGUUUAUGGAGCCAGACCACUGUCAUCAUCUUAUGUUAUUAUAAUUCUAUAUAUGUCUAGAAGGAAAAAGGCAUUAAGACAAGCGUCUAGGCUGGGAUCCCGUGAUUCGUGCAAUGAUUGAAUUGCAUAAUUUGAAUUAAAAUACAGAUCUGUGAUAACAAAAGUUAGAUACAAUUCUAACUGAUUUGUGAGCCUAUUCCCUCACUUUUUGUUUUUCAAAUUUAGGCACCUGUAUGAGAAGCUUAAUUUUUACGUGAAAUUAAUCGUCAGUAUCGAUAAAACAUUUUAAAUUUAUGUGUGCGCGUAUGUGAAGUGAGUCUCUAUACAAUCGCAUAAUAUUAUAUUUUAAACUUGGUGCCCACCUUAAAAAUGACAUUAGGAAAUGAUCACAUUUUGUGUGUGUGCAUGUGUGAAUAAUCUGCAGAAAUGGAGAAUAAAUCUAGACCGCAUUCAAUGGAGCUAGAGAAAGGUUCAAUGCCUUCGAUUCAUUAGAGACGUCAUCAUCGAUCCAUUAGCAAAAAGUAGUUGAUUUAACUAUAAAAUUUUGGGCUUGGCACUUAUAAGAAAGAAAAAUUUUGCCAACAAAAAGAAGAAAAAAAAAUAAAGCUCUUUGGUCGUUACAUGGAUGUUUCUAUGAUCUUUCCAAAAGGCAUUCUAGAAGGGCCUGCAAUUGUUAAACCACAAAAUAAUGGAUCUCAACCGUGAAAACAAAGCUUUUCAAGUUUUUACGAAUUGCUAUAAUUUGCAUUAUGACAGGUAUCGAUCAAUCAACUAAUCAUAAAAUGAAAAUAGUUGCAUGGAUCGUGGUCUAUAGAACAAAUGUGAUCACAUCCAUUGAUGUUUGGGUGUUCCACGUAUAAUAUAUGUCAUAAACAAUUUUGUGAUAAAUCCGUUUAUGUGGAUCCGAGUACUGGCUAGCUAACCCAAUAAAGCCAACGUGAGUUAGGAGAGAGAAAGAGCUUCCUUAAGAAACAAAGACGAACUUGAGUUCUCUUUGCUUAUAAUAUACGCAGGUCUAUCUUCAAGUUUUUGUCCGGCCCUCUUGUGAAAGCGAAAGCAAAAGCAACAGCACUGAGGUAUGUUUGUCUAGUCAAUUCAUUUGCACAUACCCAAAUUCCACGUCAAACAGACUCCUUUGUUUAUGUGGUCACGCGCAUGCGUUUUGCAAUUUCAGGACCAGGACCUAGAAAAUACCAAGAAACUCAGGUUGAUAUCAUCAAAAAGCAAAAAGACCCUCCUUCAAGAUUAAAAAUGUUUCGAAAAUCUCAACUUUGUUGAUCUCCUUGUGGAGGAGGAACUGUACUUUCUUCGCAAUUUCCACAAAAGAAUAAGCUAAAGUCUCCCUCUUAGGACCCUUUUAGCUCAACGAAAGGUACAUGUAAUUUGCAAAGCAAAACUCAAAUUGCGUAAAAGAUUGACAUUAGCACGGACCUAAAAUUAAAGAAUAUAGAAAACUUUAAUCAAUAUCUUUCAAUUUUUUGAACCAUUAGGUGUAAUUGAAGUGCAUAGACUUCGAAGAAGGUCAGCCAAAUAAAAUUGCCCAAUCUAUUAUGUAGAGUUAAACUGAAGCUGAAAGAGUGGUUGCUCCUAUACCGGUCACGCCACACUUCUCUAUAGCUCUAUACUUAUGACGUGACAUAACACUUAGCAUUGUGUUGCCAUGUGGUCCAAUGACCUUACAAAUUAUUUAUAUGUCUUCUUGUAAUUCAUGUGUUAUUUUCUAGUGCUAUUUAUAGAAAACAUCAACAUUUAAUCAUAUUCAAAUACUAGAAAAACUGAUUAUAUCUAGAGGUAGGCUUAGGCAAAACAAUAGAUUUAAACUUAGCCGAAGUGAUUGAAUCAAACAAUGAAUAGAAUGGAUGUGUUUUAUAAGUAGUACAUACUCCAAUAAUUGUCAUCUUCCAUGGAGCAUCCACUUUUUUUUUUCCCCGGAAAUCUUGAAAAUUAAUGUUACACUUUUUUUUAACUAAAUUUGAUCGAACUUGGUCCAGCAUACUUUCUGUACAAUGGACAAUCGAACCCAUUUUCUCCCACGGAAGCUGGUGACUUCAAUUUUGCUAAAAUGCAAUUCACCUCGGAUUGUGGCUUUUGGGUGGUUGGGUCAGAUAGAUGAACUUUGCAAAAAGUGAUGAUAUUUUUGUUAUAAAAAUUCCGAUCAUUGUGAUUUUUAUGGUGUUGGAAAGCUUAUUAUUUAAUUUUUAAGAUGAAAUUAAUCGAUUGGAUAAAAUCAUAAAGUUUCCAACACCUCAUGAUCGGACAGCCAUGUUUGGAAAAACUUGACGUCUUAAGAUCAAGUUGUUCAAUUUGGGCAAAUUGGGUAUCUUGGAAAAGCUUUUGACAAGUACAACUUAAUUAUAGCCUUAACCAUUGGGAUUUGCCCUAAUGGUCACUCUUCCAACUUGGAAGAGGGAGGUGGAGGGUUCGAAUCCUCACAUUCUCAAAGGAGGUUGGGGUGGGGAUGGGUAAGUUUCACGAGUGGGUUUCGACUCCCACACACCGCAAGGAGGCAGGGCAAAAAUUUGAGAGAAUGAGUGUUAGAGUAAGAAUAAAGUAUGACCGACCGAAAAAAAAAAAAUUAUAACCUUUCAUUGAACUUUUAAUUGAACUUUUAAUGAGGUUUGCCUCUCGGUCAACUUUGCUAUGGCAUUGGAGGGUCGCUCGUGUCUUUAGUGACCUUUCGCAUGUGUUCAAUGAUGCAAUGGAGGCUCUGUCCACCAGUGAUUAUCUAUCGAGCAAUCGAGCUUCGCCAUUUCUAUUCCUUAUUUGAUGGAGUUAGCCAACAACGAGCACGGCCAUUUUAGGGUCCAAUCGUCAUAGCCGAAAUAAUAUAUUCUGGAGUUCUACUGUUCUUUUGGUCUUUACUAUAUUGGAUCCAAAUUGAAUGUGAAAGAGCUCUGACUUCUACUUCUAACAUAUUAUGAAAACUUUGGCCUUGAUGAAUUGUGUUAUGUCUGAGAAAUCUUGGCGACAGUGAGGACUUGGCUACAUAAUCUGUAUGGUACAUAUUUUCCUUGAUAUGAUGAGGAAUUGGCCACAGACAAAGAUGCCGACCUCAUCUAGCGGACUAUCCACAACCAUAUGGUACCUAAUAUGCACAAAUGAAAAAGCGCCUUUGAGCUCUCCGAGCACAUCAGCGGGGACAACAAAAGAUUAUUAAUUAUUCCUUAUUAAUUAAUCUCAUUCUUUCUUAACUACAUGGACUUUACCUUUUUUUAUAGUCGUGUCUUACUCCUAUCUUAUCUCUCACUUGGCAUAGAGCUAUGUAUCGUAGGCUCGUAACUAAGUAGGGCAUUAAAUUGGUCGAAUGUUCUUGAUCAGUCAGACCAGUGGAAUGAGCUACAUCCUCAACUAGCGUGCGCCCUUUCUCGGGUUCAAAGGGACUCCCCGUCGUCAAGAUCUAGCUAGGAACAAAGGUUCCCUGUCAUUUCGAUGCCGCAAAAACGCUUAUUUCGUUACAUGCUUGUACGGCAAAAGCAAAAGGUAAAGAGCCUACGUAAUGACCCCAUUUCAGACACGUGGAAUACAAAGGCUGAAAUUAUUUGGGACCCACAAGCGUACCUAUCCCACGUCGGGACGUGAAAGUCCAAAAUUACCGCGCACGCAGGAAAUGGGAAAUAUGAAGAGCCUUUUUUAUAUAUGUAUGGAUGAAGAGAGAACGGGGAAAAUAAGCAUUUUAGAAAUAUAAGUCCCAUGUCAACUGAUUAUAUUUGAACAUCUUGACCAAAUUGGUCUUGAUGGGUUAUCGACACUCCAUUACAUCCCACUCGUUGCGAAGGAGUAUAAAAAGAAGGGUGCUUUGGUCAUGUGAAAGCAACAGCCCAAUUUCAAGAUUCAAAACAUCACAAUUUCAGCACAGGGUUGUCUGGCCGAGUAGCAACUACAUCUAAACCCAUCUCGGUAUCAGGAAUAUAGCUAAUGAAUUAAUUACACAAUAAAAUCCAAAUGAAUUAUGAUGCUUAGCAUGAUAUAAGAAGUUAUGAUCCAUUAUGAUAUAAUAAUCUCUCUUUCGAUGGAUCUUGAAGUUAUCUAAUCAUGAAAAUUAUUUACUAGUUUCGAUGUUUCAAUUUGAAAGCAUUAAAGCGAAAAGGACGGCUUUUUAAAGUCCUAACUAAUAAUUUCUUUUUAAUAAUUGAGAAUAGAAAUUAAUAAUCCGAGAAAUUUUCCUUAAUGAAACAAACCAUCGUUUUUUCAUUUUCUUCUCUCCUCCCUUGCCCUCUUCUCCUACUCCACAGACGUCGCUUCAGUGCAAGCUUCGACAGCCUUUGGCAGCUUUCUAGCUCAAGGAAGGCGGCCAGUACAUGUGUUGAAAUCUUUAAAAAGGGAAACAUUCCAUCAAAUUUCAAUUUGUUGAGUUCUUUAACCCUGUAGUCCGUGUGCUCGUAAAACCAGAGUCCUGUAGUUUAUCAUCUCUUGAAUUGUUGAUAUGAAUGCCAAGUACCAAAAUAUGAGUCCACACUUUAUUCAAUAUCAUGACCAGGUAGAAGCCACGACAAAACUAUUGGACAUUUGCCGGAAACCAUGAAAUGAGUGGAAUCGGUAGACCAAUUCUUGCCAAUGUUAUUUUGAACAAUUUGUGUUUAGUUUUAAUGUGUAGUUUCCUCGAACCAUCCCAACAUGAUGGUCUUGUGUACUUGCAAAAACGAUUGUUAUUGAGUCUUGUUUUAAGAUUAACCAACUUGAUCAAAAAACAUUUUGUAACAGAAGAGUCCUCAUUAUAUGAAGCACCAUUGCACACAAGGACCAUGAGAAUGAUUCCUUGAAAGCAAGAUGAAUUUCAGCUCAAAACUUGAUAAAACUUAAACUCAACUUGAACUUUCUUCACGCGACUUCAUCUACCAAGCAUGAACUCCCAAAAGUUGCUGAGAGAUGGGGCAAAUAUCCUCAAGUCUCGCACGAAAGUUCCCGCGGAACAGCUAUGCUCCACCAUUUUUUCCUCACUUUUUUGACUGGGUGGAAUCCACGUGGCAAACUUAGGGUCCAUUCGUUUCACGGAAAUCCGAAAAAUAUUUUCUCAGAAGUCAUUUUUCAGGAAAAUGACAAUAUUUUCUGAUGUUCGGCUAAAAUCUGAAAAUGUUUAGGAAAAUAUUUUCCGGUGUUCGGUAAGGAAAAUAUUUUCCACUCCCCAGAUUGGUGAGCGCGAGCGUCAAGCUCGAGGCUCGCUAAAUUGACGAGCACAAGUUUGAGAUCGAUGAGCUUGAGGUUCACCUGGUCUGACGACUAGCCAAGAAAGAAUAAUAUGGGAAACAAAAAAAAAAGAGAAAGAAAAAAAAAAGAAAAUUAAAAAUAAUCCAAAUUAAAAAAAGAAAAAAGAAAAAUAAAAAAUAAUUUGAAUAAAAAAAGAAAAGAAGAAGAAGAAAUGAGAGGAGGAAGUGAGGAUUUGCAGAGGUGUGAGAUAAGAGAGAUCAAGUGAGAAAAGUGAAAAACAUUUUCCGCCAUUUUAUAAGACUUUUUUCAUUUGAUGGAAAACAUUUUCCCCAAGAAAUUCAUUUUCCGGGAAACGAACACCGGAAAAUCCAGAAAACGUUUUCCUGGAAAUUAUUUUCCACGAAAUAAACAGAGCCUUAGAGUCGUUAACUUUUCUUUUAUAAAGAAGAGUGGUCGGCCACUUGAAAAUUUUGCAAUUUGGUCUGUUGGGGGAUCCAAUUUUUUGAGGGCUUUUCUAAUAUUUGUCCAGUCAACUUUAUCUCAGAUGCUUAGGCAAUCUUUCGUAUCUUUGGUUUGAUUUACUGGGCGAUGAGAAGAGUGAGCUGAGGUAAAUCCCUCGGCGGCUUGUGAUAAUUCGAACUGAAUUGACAUCGAGCCAACCUAGUUAAUCCCUUAAUGCCACGGUCUGCAUUAGAAAGUAUAACACGUUCACAAGAAUUACAAUGAGCUAUGAUUGAAGUUGAUCAAUCAAGUGUGCAUUUAGUAAUAUUUCUAUUUAGGAUAAUAAUUUCGUUUUAGAAAUAAUUUAUUUAUAUUUUUAUUUUGUGAAAUAAUUUUUGAGUAAAAUAACACGUUUGGUAAUUAUAAAAAAAUUCUAUUCUCGAAAUAGAAAAAGAGUAGGAAUGCGUUUGGCACGACUUACGAAUAUUUUUGUAAUGUAGAAUUUCAUUUAAUUUUUAAUAUUAUUUUUAAUUUUUUCUUUGUUUUUUUCCUCUCUUCUUCUUCUUGCUCCUCCUCUAGCUGGUAGUGGCGGCGUUCGAUGAGUGGCGGCAAGCGGCGACCCGUGGCAGUGGCCGCACGAUUGGCGGCAUCUGGGGGGGGGGCCUAUGAGGAAGAAGGAGAAAAGGAAAAAAGAAGAAAGAAAAUAACUUAUUUGUAAAAAUUGUUUCUUGAAAUAAGAAGUUAUUUUUUUUUUAUUUUGUAUUUCUAUUUCAAAUCUAUUCUCUGACUACAUUUCUAUCCCGGAGAAUUAAAAAAUUAGUUGACGUUACCAAAUGGAUUUCUGUUAUUAAUUUGUUCCGGAAAACAAAAGAACAAAAGACUAGAGAAAUUGGCAAGUUACCAUGCACACCCCAAGGAACCAUAGGAGGGAAAUAGUUGCAUGGUUCAUGGUCUAUGGACCAUAUGCAAUCACAUCCAUUGAUUUUUGUAAUUUAUACAACUAAUGAUCUUAAUAGACCCGAUUUAUGGGACUUGAGUACUGGCAAGUCUAAUCUGACAAAGCCUAUUUGAGUUAGGAGAGAGAAUGAACAUCCUUAAGAAACAGAAAUGAACCUGCCUUUUCUCUUUGCUUAUGAUGUACACAAGUCAAUCUUCAAGUCUUUGUCCAACCCUCUUGUGAAGGCAAAGGAGAAAGCGCCGAAGUAUGUCUUGUCUAGUCAAUUGACUCGUUAUGCAGUGGUCUGCACAUGGUCAAAUUGCGCGUCAAGUAGGCUAGUAAUUCGUGUGUUCACACAAAUACACACAAAGAUGUCAACACUUACAAGUUCCGUUUGGAAAUUGGCAACCCACUCGCAAGACCAGCAAAGCGCGUUUUGAAAUUUCGGCCCUGGAAAGUACCAGGAAACUCAGGUUGAUAUUAUAAAAGAAAAUCAUACAGUUCACACCUCUGAGAAUAAAAUAUUUAAAAUAUCUCAACUUUGUUGGAAUCAUCGUGAAGGAGGAACCACAUUUUCUUUGCAAUUUCCAUUAGAAAAACAACGUCAAAUUAAGCAGACAUGAAUCCAAUGCCAAAUCAAGCAGUAAAUAAACAAUAGAGACGAAUCAGACAAAAUCAGCAUUUGAUUUGAAUAUCAGCAUCGGUGUACGAUUUCAAUCAGCUGAGCAAUUUCAUUUUGUCAUCGUUCAAUCUAGCAUUGAAGUGCAAUCAUAACAUGCAAUCCUAGUUUAUUUUCAGCUUCAUGUAACUUUUUGGCAAUAGCAAAUAAUAUCGAGUGUGAAUGGCUUUACGAAGGAAGGCUGCAGGUGGCUUCCAGGCAAAUGGCGCAUAGUACCAAAGAAAUAGCAAGCGGAACUCAUUUUAACUUGUCCAGAUACAUCCAACAUCUAACCGUUCAGCAACACGCAACUUAUACUUCCGACGCCACCUCCUCCCCUUCGACGACUUUCAUCAACUUAGCCUGAAUGCUUUUGUUUGCUUAUGAAGGAAGGUCGCUGGUGCAUUACAGUGCCUGUUACUCUAGACACAACUCGCCCGGUCUCUACUCUGUGAACAACCAAUUAUACUUUCGAUUGGUAUUGCAGGUAUAAGGAAGGCAGCACACGAUUGAUAAAGUUGGAUUAUGGGUGCGUUUAUUUUACGAAAAAAUGAAUAAUUUAAAAAAUAUUUUUUUAAAAAAGAUUGUUUAUAUCGCUCAAUAUAAUUAGUCGAUGAAAAAUAUUUUCAUUAUCGACAAUAAUUUAUAUCUAAAUAUUUUCGUAAAGAAUGAAAAUAUUUUUCGUUCAUUUAUUGGGAACAGAAAAGCACCCAAACGCGUUUCUGUUCCUUUUUUGUUCCCAGGAACAAAAAAACAGAAAUUUUUGUUCCUGGGAACAGAAAUAAGGUGCAGCCAUGCAGGGCCUAAGUGGUUCAAUUCAUAAGAAAUUAACAUUGUGGAUUCUAAGUUGCAAUAUGUCAGUGGAUUUCCUCUUCAUGAGAUGAUAUAAGUUCCUCUGUUUUUGUAAUGAGUUUUCAUGCAAUAAAUAUCCUUCUUGUAGAUUCUGAGUUGAAAUUUUUUUUUUUUUUUUUUUGCCUUUGAUGUUUUUUCAGUUGAAGAAACAAUUAACUACAAAUAUUCAAGAGUCCCUGGCAUGUUCAUGGUUUUAAUGAUUACUGACACUCUUUUCUGUGGCAUUUCUUUUCACUCUACUAAAAGAUUUACCUACCAAUGUUCAAAUGUAUAAAUUACGGUAGUGCGAAGCUCGAGCUCAACUCCUAUUAGACAUUAGAUGCUCGGAACUCCACUCGAACCAUGGAGUAUUCAAUUUCCAGCUUGAGCUUGACCAGAAAAAAAUGGAGAUAUCAAGCUCAAGUAGACUCGACACAAUCACGUUAUAAAAUAAAUGAGUUCAAGCUCGAGCUCAAUAUGUUCAAAUAUUAUCCUUUUCAUUUAUGUAAUUAUAUAUGUAUAUCACAACUUUUAAAUAUCUUGCCCUUCAUUUUCCAUAGCUAUCAAAUAUUUAACUGAACAAAAUAAUAGAAAGUUGAUUAAUAUGGCGAGUCUCUCAAACAGAAUAUAAUGAGCUCAAUUUUUUUUUUAUUUGGUCGUGAAUAAAAUUCUCGUUGAUAGAUUAAGAUUUGUUUGGCUUAAGGAAAGCAAAAAGGAAGUUUGCCUCCAGCAGAGAAAAACUAAUCCUUUUUAAUAUAUAUAUAUAUAUAUAUAUAUAUAUAUAUAUAUAUAUAUAUAUAAUUAGCAGAACAAAAGCAAUUGAAAUAUGCUUUUCCUAGCCUAGAAAUAAAUGAAAAAAUUCCUCAUUCCAGAAAACAAAACAGACCAAAAAGAAUAAAGGGGAUUUAUUAUGCUUCCUUUGCGGUCACGCCAAAUUUGAGUGGACCUCACAAACCAAUUGAAAUCAUCUCCUUUAUAAAUCAUACUACAUAAAUCAUCUAAUGUUAUUACAAUUUAAUGUAUGUCUAAAUGGUAAUGCACUAAGAAAAGCAUCUUGAUUGGGAUCCAAUGAUUUACACCAUGAUUGAAUUGCCUAGUUCGAAUUAGAAACAAAUCCAGGGGCUUUUGUCUUUGCUUAGAACAUACGCAAGUUCAUCGUCAAGUCUUUGUCCAACCUGCUUGUUAAGGCAAUGAAAAAGCACUAAAGUACGUUUAUCUAGUCAAUUCGCUUAGCAUGCGCUGGUAUGCACACAUCCAAAUGUCACAUCAAAUAGACUUGGCAACUCACCCACAAGACCGGCACAACGUGUUUGGCCCAGGGAAAAUACCAGGAAACGUGGGUCGAUAUCAUUAAAAAAAGAAAAGAAAAAGAAAAAGAAAAGCAUAAAGACACUCAUUCGAGAAUAAAAUGUUUCAAAAAUCUCAACUUCGUUCGGAUCAUUUUCAAGGAGGAACCAUAUUAUCUUCGCACUUUCCAUCAAGAAUCAGCUGAAGUUCAGUGAAGACUCUUUUGCUCAUUGAAAGUGAUUUAUUUUGUAAACAUAGUUUGCAAAGCAAAACUCAAAUUGCAUGAAAGAUUAAAAUGAGCAUCGACUUGAAAUUAAAGAAUACAGAAAACUUUAACAAUGUCUUCUAAAUUUUCGAAUUUAAGUCCAUUUAAAGUGUGGAAACUUCUAAGUAGGUUGGCCAACUAAAAUUGCAAAGUAAAAAAUCUAGGAAGGGCACGUUUUGGAAAUUUUUUUGGAGUCCGUUCACGGGGUCUGAAUAUUAAGUAUGAAUCAUAGUUAAUAUUUUGUGAUCUAUACUCAAAUACACCCCUUGCCUAUGGCAGUGAGGGCCAGGACCCUCACUUGUGGUUGGGAUCUUAUGAUCUAUGUCCAAAUUGUAAAACUAUAAGAUAGCAAAGCAUAUUGGCUGGUCUCUUAAAAUAUGUUUUCCAAAGCAUCCCGCUCAACAACUUCUCCAGUAUGCUGCUUAGCUCAUGGGAUUGAGAAUAUAAUGUUCUUUAAUUGUUCGCCUUCCAUAAAAUAAAAUUAAAAAAUCAAAAUCCUUGUCCUGAUAAUAAGAGUUAUCGGUUAAGACAAUUUUUCUCUUCAAGACUUAGUCAUAACCCGUGGAAUUUUUUGGAUAGUAUUUGAGAAAGUCAAUAUGAAAUGUAAGCACCACCUCACAUAGCGUUAUAUUUGUCCACCUAGCAAUAGGUUAAACUCUCUCGGCGUCCACUCCGGUAGGAUCGUGACAGUGUGCAUAUUCAAGAUAUGCUUGAUCCAAAGGUAAUGUUUCGUUCAUAAUGCAAAGGUGUGCAAUCAUCAAAUUUCAUAUCGCAAGUCAACAUUCAGAAAUUCAAUCAAUGACAUUCAAUGAAUGGCUGUCAAGUUUUUCAAACAAAGGAAUGGAGUCAGAAUUAUCUGAAAGUUGUUUCUUUGUAAUAUUUGAGAAUAAUUAUUCGAAAAUUAUCACAUAGACCCUCGGUUCACAGAUCAACGACGUUCGAGGACUCUAUUCAGACCAUUUGCCUUACAGCCAUUUGGUGCGAAUCCGAAUGGAUCUUUUUAACUUAUCAAGGAAUGCCGCAAGUAACUUCCAGACAAAUGGAACAAAAUAUCCAAGUAAUAGUCAGUGGAACAUAUAUCAAGUUGUCCAAUACGUCCAACAUUCAAAGAACAUGCAAUCAUAUAAAAUAAUUCCGAGACAACCUCCUCGUCUUCGAAGACUUACACCAAUUAUCUCCUCACACUUAGCCUCCUAUUUGGUGCUGAGUCUGAAUGAUGUUUUUUCUUCUUCUUUUUUCCUCUGAUGAAGGAUGGCCCCAGGUAACUUCCACGCAAGUAGUACAUGAUAACAAAGUAAUGGCAAGCGGAAAAUAUAUUGAGUUGUCCAAUACGUCCAACAUCAAACUGAACAAAUUAAUAGAAAUUUCUGGCCAAAAAAAUGUAAUAGAAACUUGAUUAAUAUCGCGAGUCUCUCAAACAGAUAUAAAUAAGCUCGAUUUUCUUUUUGUUCAUGAAUAAAAUUCUAAUUAAAAGAUUUGAGAUCAUGCUAACACCAAGCACAAACAAUUGGUUUUUUACCAAUACAUCACGCUAGUAGGUGGAAUAAUAGCAAGAAUCAAUUGAUCAUGCCGAUUAGCACGAAUCUAGAUUGAAAAUAAGAAGAUCUGCUUUGUUUGGCUUAGCAAAAUGGAAGUUUGGCUCAGCUUUGGCUCAGAUGAGAAAAGCUAAUCCUUUUUUAAUUUAAUUAGCGGAACAAAAGGAAUUGAAAUAUGCUUUUUCUAGCUUAGAAAUAAAGAAACAGAUUCCUCACCCCCAAAAACAAAACAGACAAAAAGAUCAAAGGGGAUCAUCAAUAAUGCUUCCUUUAUGGUCACGACAAAUUUGAGUGGACCUAAUGUGCCAAUUGAAAUAAUCUCUUUUAUGAAUCAUACUAAUUUAAUUAUCUUAUGUUAUUAUAAUCUUAGGAAUGUCUAAUUGGAAAUGCACUAGGAAAAGCAUCUCAAUUGGCAUCCCGUGAUUCACGCCAUGAUUGAAUUGCAUAGUUUGAAUUAGAAACAAUUCGUCUUUUCUUAGAACAUACGCAAGUCCAUCGUCAAGUCUUUGUCUGACCCUCUUGUGAAGGCAAAGAAAAAAGCACUAUAGUAUGUUUAUAUCGUCAAUUUGCUUAGUAUGCGUUGGUCUACAUAUAGCCCAAUUUCAGUCAUGUAGACUCUUGUGUUCGUUGACUCAUUUUCCUUAUUAAUCUAAAUGCCAAAAAAUGAGGAUAAUAUAAUAUCGGAGUAUGCUUUUCACGAAACANNNNNNNNNNNNNNNNNNNNNNNNNNNNNNNNNNNNNNNNNNNNNNNNNNNNNNNNNNNNNNNNNNNNNNNNNNNNNNNNNNNNNNNNNNNNNNNNNNNNNNNNNNNNNNNNNNNNNNNNNNNNNNNNNNNNNNNNNNNNNNNNNNNNNNNNNNNNNNNNNNNNNNNNNNNNNNNNNNNNNNNNNNNNNNNNNNNNNNNNNNNNNNNNNNNNNNNNNNNNNNNNNNNNNNNNNNNNNNNNNNNNNNNNNNNNNNNNNNNNNNNNNNNNNNNNNNNNNNNNNNNNNNNNNNNNNNNNNNNNNNNNNNNNNNNNNNNNNNNNNNNNNNNNNNNNNNNNNNNNNNNNNNNNNNNNNNNNNNNNNNNNNNNNNNNNNNNNNNNNNNNNNNNNNNNNNNNNNNNNNNNNNNNNNNNNNNNNNNNNNNNNNNNNNNNNNNNNNNNNNNNNNNNNNNNNNNNNNNNNNNNNNNNNNNNNNNNNNNNNNNNNNNNNNNNNNNNNNNNNNNNNNNNNNNNNNNNNNNNNNNNNNNNNNNNNNNNNNNNNNNNNNNNNNNNNNNNNNNNNNNNNNNNNNNNNNNNNNNNNNNNNNNNNNNNNNNNNNNNNNNNNNNNNNNNNNNNNNNNNNNNNNNNNNNNNNNNNNNNNNNNNNNNNNNNNNNNNNNNNNNNNNNNNNNNNNNNNNNNNNNNNNNNNNNNNNNNNNNNNNNNNNNNNNNNNNNNNNNNNNNNNNNNNNNNNNNNNNNNNNNNNNNNNNNNNNNNNNNNNNNNNNNNNNNNNNNNNNNNNNNNNNNNNNNNNNNNNNNNNNNNNNNNNNNNNNNNNNNNNNNNNNNNNNNNNNNNNNNNNNNNNNNNNNNNNNNNNNNNNNNNNNNNNNNNNNNNNNNNNNNNNNNNNNNNNNNNNNNNNNNNNNNNNNNNNNNNNNNNNNNNNNNNNNNNNNNNNNNNNNNNNNNNNNNNNNNNNNNNNNNNNNNNNNNNNNNNNNNNNNNNNNNNNNNNNNNNNNNNNNNNNNNNNNNNNNNNNNNNNNNNNNNNNNNNNNNNNNNNNNNNNNNNNNNNNNNNNNNNNNCAUAUAUAACGGCCAAUUAAGUGGACAUGAAUCCAAUGCGAGAUCAAUUAAUAAACAAAUGACAAAGAUGAAUCCUGACAAAAUCUACAUUUAAUUUUAGUAUCAACGUGCAAUUUUAUUUAGUAAGUGAUUUCAAUCGGCGAGGUAUUAUUUUGUCGUCAUUCAAUUUAGUAUUGUAGUGCAAUCAUAACAUACAAUCUUAGUCUAUAUUUAGUAUUGUAGUGCAAUCAUAACAUACAAUCUUAGUCUAUAUUUAGUUUCAUGUAACUUUAUGGCAAUAGUGAAUAAUUUCGAAGUUACCAUGCAAUCUCUAGUCAGCAUGUGAUUUUAUAGUAGCCCAAAAUUUUCAAGACAAGUGUUCAUAAGAUCAUUAUAGGGGAUUUUGGAAGUCUAAUUGAGGGGAGGCUUACACAACUACAACUAGUUGUACAAAAAUCCAAUCCAAUAAAUUACUUAUUUUAUGUCAAAUAACUUGAAUUAGUGUUCUGGACAUUGUAACAAAGUAAUGGCGAGAGUAGCACGUGACUUUUCCUGCCAAGACUUUCAUUAAUUAUUUCUUCAACUAGUCGGUGCGAGUCUGAAAUUUUUUUUCCCUUUUUUUUAUAUACAUGAAGGAAGGCCGCAGGUGACUUCCAGGAAAUAGAGCUUAGUAACAAUGUAAUAAUAAAAUAUAUUUCUGAGACCACGUCCAAGGACGACGACUUCCAUCAAUUCUUUCCUAUUUAGUGCGAUCCGUGUGGCCCUUCUUUUAAGCUUACGAAAGAAGGCUGCAAGUGACUUCCAGGCAAAGGAUUAUUUCCUCAACCGAGCGAUCUCACUCUGUUUGCGUGGGGGCUUUUAGGCCAAGGAGCAAACGGGAAAAGGUAAGGAAAGUUUCAUUAGAAGUUUGCGUGGGGAAGAGCUUCAUUUUUUAGUUGGACUGUUGUCUCCAAGACCAAACAGACUUGCCUAUUUGUAGGUUCGUUUCGACUGUCGUUCUUCAGUUAAUUUCUCUGAACAUUGUUUCUGCUUGUUCUUUUUGCAUGCGGAAUAUUUUAUUAGCCAUUUUUUUUAACUAUCACAAAUUAAGCUAGAGAUCGCCAACUACAACGACCAGCUAGAGACUUGAAUCUUACAGAAGUCUAGCAGUUUCUAGAAAUUUGAUCAAGACGUCCACAGCUUUAUCAAGUUGUUUCAAGGAUCAGACUCAAGACUGCCCGAGUCACCCCGCAGACUCGAUUCUGAGAUCAAUAACUCCAUCGUCCUCUCGGAAUGAACAGAAAUAGUGAGGCAGAAGAGACAGCAGCACCCGCGGCGACGGCGAUGGAGGUGGCGACAGCAGCUCUGGCAAGCGGCAGUCAUGAUGGUGGAUCAGAGAGGGGGCUGAUGGUGGUGGCGACGGCAGCUCUGACGAGCAAUAGCCAUGAUGGCAGAUUGGGGAGGACCCAUGAGGUGUUCCUGAGUUUUAGAGGGCCUGACACCCGUUUAACAAUUGCGGAUUCCCUGCACAAAGCCAUUGAACGUGCAGCAAUCCGUGUUUUCAAAGAUGACGAAGGGCUCCGAGUCGGUAAAGAGAUUGGAGGCAGUCUUAUGCAAGCAAUUAAUGAAUCUAGAAUUUACAUCCCGAUUUUCUCCAAAAACUACGCUUCAAGUAAGUGGUGCCUCCGUGAGCUUGCACACAUAAUGAAGUUAUCGAGAGACGAUACCGAGAAAGUGAUACUCCCUAUAUUCUACGACGUGGAUGCGGAUGAUGUUAAGCUUAAGACCGAAUUAUAUAGGACAGCCCUCCAAAAUCAUGAGAGUGACUCUGGGAAGGAUAUGGCAAAGCAGUGGGAGGAGGCUUUAAGAGAGGUUGCCAGAAUUAAAGGAUGGAAUCUAAAAGAUUACGGGUAUUGUUAACUUCUUCCGUUAAGUUUAUUUUCAUUUCAUCAAUUUCGAGAUUAUAUUCUAUGAUACUUUUUCCAGAGUAAUAACUUCCAGUUUGCUGUUGUCGAAUCUUAUGUGAUGUAUGGUUGGAUCGGCCGCAGUGAGGGAGGCAGAAAUUUUGCUCAGGGAGCAAGGUUUCUUGCAUAAAUUGACUUUUCACUUUUAAUCCCAAGUUUUGAUAACAAUAGUCUCAAGAUAUGUCAACUUAAUUAAUUAAUCAUUAAUGCAAAGCAAAUAUGUGUGAAAAAUAAAAAUUUAAAUCUCUUAACUUUGCAGCUCACUUUUCGGCUAGCAAAAUGCUUUUAAAAAAACUUUGGUCAUUUCUCUUGCUUUGACCUAUUCACAACCCCGGAUCGUGCUUCGGGCACCACAGGUACGGAUUUCCUUUGCCUUAUGACCAUCCUAGUUUUAAAGUUGUCAACUUUUAUAUGAAAGUACUAAUCUUAAUUUGUGUCUUACCAACUUCUUUUCGAUUAUUUUAAAAACUAAUUUUAGGUUACUAGCGUUUGUUUGAGUCAUUUACUAAGUUUAAUUGAUUGUUUGCCGAUUUACAAAUUUUAUAGAAUCUGUUAUCUCUUAUUUGAAUUGUUUACUUCACAUUUCAAAGUUACCAAUACUUGAAACAAAUUAAUAACCCUAAUACAAGUUUUGUACUAACGAAUCUCUGAUUAAGUUACUAACUAAUUUAAGUUACCCAUUCCUACGUGAACCUCUUAUCAAUAUUUAUUUUUUUGUUGAAAAUUCCACCUUUUGUAACAAACUUUUGUUAUCAACGGACCCACUUUUAUUAGCAUAGUUCACAAACAUUCUGAGGUUAGGAACUCAAUUAUCAAAUUACCAAGCAUAAUUUGAGUUACUUACCAACUUAUUCUGAUUAAAUUACCAACAAAUUUAUUGUGACUGAUGAAAUUGCUAAGUUAAACCAGUUGGUAGCUUAUUCAGAAAAAUGAUUGUUGGCAACUCAAAUGAAGGCUGAUAAAUACUCUGAAAGUGUUCCUCAUUUUCGGUUACUACCCUAUUACUCGGGUACAUUAAGAAAAACGCUUUUGAGCUUUUAUUCUCGUUUCCUAAAUUCCAGGUAACUGCCUAGUGAGAAAAUCUUUUUCUUUUAUGUCAUUCUUCAAAAUCAUCCUUAGUGGCUGAAGAGAUAAAAAAGACCGGAUUCACCGAGGAAUUCUCGUCAAAGCCCAAUUAGACCUUCGUCAUGAAAUAACCUUUUUCCUACCAUUUACCGGACCAAAGAAUCCUAACAGUAGCAGCUUUCAUUUUUCUUUUUUUAUUACUUUUUUUUGUGGCAAACGGCUCGCAGCAUGAAUGAUCACUCAUUUCAUGCUGGUUGCUUUCAAAGUCAAUUACUUUGAAUUUGAUGAUAACCUUCCAGUGACACGUUAUGCAGGCAUAGAUUCCAUAUGUGAUUUUUUUUUUUUUUAUCUGAGAUGAUUGCAUGUUAUGUAUAUGGCAGCCUAUAUAAACUUACAAACCUCGUGGUGGAAGAGGUUUCAAAUUUGCUAUGGACAAGACAGACGGACAUGUCUAAUCAUUUGGUGGGAAUUAAGGAUCGAAUGGAUCACAUUAUGAAGCUAUUAGAUGUAGGAGCUUUUGAUGUACGGUUUAUUGUGAUUCAUGGUAUGGGUGGCAUCGGAAAAACAACACUAGCCGAGGCCAUCUUCAAGCAAAUGUACCCUCAAUUUCAGGAUCAUUGUUGUUUUCUUAAAGAUGUUCGAACUCAUGAUAUAAUAGGCUUACAAAAGAAAUUGUUGUUUGAUGUUCUCAAUCUUAGUUGCACAAACCCCUUCUUCAUUGAUGAAGUGAUCAAGACAAGGUUUCUUGGCAAGAAAGUCCUCGUUGUUCUUGAUGACAUUGACAACUGGGACCAAAUCAUGAGGCUUGCAGGCGAGCCCAACUGGUUUGGUAGGGGUAGUAGAAUCAUCAUAACAACAAGAAAUAUUGAAUUCCUGGUAAAGGAAGUUGAGGAUGACAAUCUCCCAAUCUCUAAUAGUGGACAAUUUUCAUUCUACGAUAUGCCGGAGAUGAAUUCACAUGAUGCUCUUCAACUGUUUUGUGAGCGUGCCUUGGGAUGUGCCAAGCCUCCGCCUAGUUACAUGGAUAUCACAGAAAAGCUAGUCAAUGCACUAGGAGGACUUCCAUUGGCUCUCAAUGUCAUAGGUUCCACGCUCCAUGGAAAAUGCCGAAGAACAUGGGAAGACACCCUAUGUAAGUUAAAGAAGGUGAUGAAUGAGGAUGUCAGGAAGAAGUUGAUGAUAAGCUAUGAAGCAUUGGAAAAUAAUCAACAGCAAAUUUUUCUUGAUAUCGCAUGUUUCUGCUUCAACAAAGAGAAAACAACUGCAAUUAAAUAUUGGGAUUCGAUUUUUGGGUAUCCAACCGAAAUCGAGGUUAAUAUCCUUAAACGUAUGUCUCUAAUAAAAAUAUCCUACGAUAAUAAACUAUGGAUGCACGACCAACUUAGAGACCUUGGAAGGAGUAUCGUCCAUCCAGAAAGUGGUGAAAUCCAUAUGAAGGGUAGUAGAUUGUGGGCUCCCAAGGAUGCCUUCCAUGUAGUGUAGGCAGAAAUGGUAAUCUUGACCUCUAAAUGUUUUCUAGUGCAUCCAUUAGCAUCACCACCGUUUUAUCUAAUUUCAAGUCAAAGUGACAUAUGUAUUCAUUAGACGUACAGAUUUAAGCGCGAGCAAUUUAUGGGCUUGGUCAACCUUAGGUUUCUUCAAUUGGACCAUGGAAAUUUUGAAGGAGACUUUAAGAAUGUUUUCUUUAAUCUGAGAUGGCUCUCUUGGAGCAAUUGCCCUUCAAAAUUCCGAGCUAGCAACUUUGGGUUGAAGAACUUAACGAUUCUCAUGUUAUCUGGGGAUAACGUUACUGAAGAUUGGGGAGGAUGGCGUCAAAUCAAGGUAUGAUCUCAUAACAUCCUUUUGCAUUAUAUUUACUUUUCCUCUUUUCUGAAUGUCUACUCAAUUGCUUUAUAGGUAGCAGAACAAUUGAAAAUCCUACAACUCGAGGAUUGUCCAUUCCUUAUAAAGAUGCCCAAAUUCUCCACAUUCUCGCGGCUAGAGAAAUUGAUUCUUAGAUGCGUUCGACUAAGAAAGAUUGACAAGUCCAUUGGCAAUCUACAACAUCUUGAUUACCUAGAGAUAAAGAGUGAAGCUAUUGAGUCGCCACCAGAGUCCAUCAGCGGUCUCAAAUCUUUAACAGUGCUAAGAAUAGAACGAACACCCUCAAGGAAGCCUCGCUUGAUUGGCAAUUUAGCAAAGGUGAAGUCUCUAAUCUUGCCAUGCAAGGAACUUCAAAAGCUUCCCGACUCUAUCGGACAAUUGGAGUCACUACUUGAGCUAGAUGUCCAAUAUUUAAAAAUUAGUGAAUUACCUCAUUUUAUUGGAAAUCUUGAAAGGUUAAAAGUUUUACGUAUCUGGAAUUCCUAUCUAGAAAAGCUACCAGACUCAAUUGGGAGGCUCCAAUCAUUGGUCGAGUUGGAUUUGAGCCAUUCCAAAAUUGGGAGCUUACCUGAUUGUAUUGGAAAUCUCAAAAAGUUGAAGGUACUAAAUCUCAAUGAUAGUUGCAUAAGUGAACUUCCGAAAACCAUAGGAAUGUUGGAAAAUCUGGAAGAGUUAGAUGCUCGCUCUGAACAUCUAGUGGGGGAAAUUCCAAGUGAAAUCGGGGCACUAUCCUCAUUGAAAUAUCUAUCCUUAUGCAAAGGUCGCUUUAGUGGAUUGCCCACAACGAUCAAUCAGCUUACAAAUCUCCGAAUGCUUUCGUUACUGUUCUGUGAUUCUAUCCAACAGUUGCCAGAGCUUCCCAAGAGUCUAAUUUCUUUAAGCCUUCUAUCGAAUUCACUAACCACGAUCCCUAACUGCUCAAACUUAACCAGUUUAGUUGACCUUGACAUAAUUGGAUAUUCAAUUGAAGAACCCAACAUAGAGGGGAUCAUGAGACUACUUGCUCCAAAACGAAUGGCCCGCCGUGUUGGAAAAAUGGCCUUGCCUCCAACUGAUUUCAGUUCCCUCUCUCAGCUACAAAGCCUCAGCAUAAAUUAUGCUAAGCCCCAAUCUCCUAUCGGACUCCCAUCCAGCCUUCAAGAUUUGUUGUUACGUGAUGUCCAAUCACCAAUAGAUUGGUCAGUCUUUUCCAACUUGGAGAAUUUGUUGGGGCUGUCUAUUUAUAGAUAUUUGUUGAGAGAGAUUCAAUUUGAGGUGCUUGGAGAGCUACGGAAAUUCAAUAGAUUGUGGAUGUCCAACUGUCCCUUGCUUAAGACACUGCCCGUUCUACCUUGUUUGAAGGAGAUCCGGUGUUUGUCCCUGUUCCGAUUGCCUCAAUUAAUUGAGAUUCAGGGUUUGGGAGAAUUGAAAUCAUUGCAGAAUUUGUCUAUUGGGUAUUGCAAUUCAAUCAAAAUGUUAAAUGAAUCUGAUCUUUCUAAUCUACAGAAUCUGAAACGUUUGAGAUUCUAUAAAUGUGAAUCAUUAGAGAGGGUGCUGGGUGUGCCAAAAUCUUGUCAACUCGAGGUCUAUGAUUGCCCAAGGUUCAAGAGAGAUGGAUAAGAUAUGUAUCAUUUGAUUGACAAAGAUAGUUGAUGAUGGUAAGUCCAUAGAACUAGAGUUCGUUUUUUUUUUUUUUUUUUUUUUUGGUGAAAGGUAAUAGAUAUAUUGAGGAGAGGCCAAUUGUACACAAGAUCACGGCUUCAAAACUUGCACUCCAAAUGAGAAGAUCAAAAGGAGUGGAAGGAUGCCAUGAUGUAAAAGCCAUGGACACGCGGCACACACCCUACAACGCAACGCCAAAGACAAGCACGGAAUGGACAACCGGCAUUCAAAACAAAAAGCGACAGCUAGGGAGGAGAGUAGCCCAUGGCUCCAAAGCAAAGAGGCUCUGACAAGGCUACGAGUCCCCGGAGAAAAUGAUCGGAUCAAUACCCCAACUUUGUUGCAACCUUUUGUUCGUAAAAGUAUCUUCAACGUUCCUGAAUGUGAUAGCCUUGUCUUGGACCACUUUGAAAAGAUGGUUCUUCAUGGCCGGGACCGUAAGAGGCUGAUCUCUGAAGAUGAUGCUAUUCCUAUUUUUCCAAAUGAUAUGACAAAGAGCGCCGAAGGAAAAACAUCAAUGUAUUUAUAAAAAUCUUUACCCAUAAAAAAGGUAGAGGCCCAAUGUAAAUUCUCCCUCCAAGAGUUCCUUUUUUUUUGUUGUGUCUUUCCUUCAGCUAACCUUUCAUCUUGGUUCUGGAACCACCUCUUGCAUUCAUUCAUCAUGUUGUCUCUAAGGGAAAAUCCUCUUUCAUGUAUCAUAAACACGUGACACUUUGACUUGCCUACUUGACGAUGGCGAUACCUAGCUAGUUUGUGUUGCACACUAGCAUAACGUCGGGAUUGACAUGCUUCGUGGCACAUGUUUUGCUUAGAAAAAAAUCGAUAAAGUGGAGGGGAACUAUUAUAUAGUAAGCACACUAAAGAUGCUAACAAAUGCUAGGUUUUUGUUGUAAGGCUGAGUUGGUUGAGACUUGAGAAUACUGGUCUCACCUUAUGGAGUGCUUUUAAUAUCAGUAGAGAACAAUCAUGAUUUGUGAUUACUGAAAUAAAGGAAUUAAUGCUUGGGUAGUGGAAGAGUGAAUCAUUGAUACCUAUUAUGCAAUAUGAGUGAUUUAGUUAUUUCCUUCAUGAAGAAUUCGAGGUGUUUUUCUGGUUACUUCCGAACUAAAGUGGAGAAGCUUCAGGUCUUGAGUCACUGUGUGAUUUGUGAACUAUCUUUCUUCAUUCUAGUAUUUAGCCAUUUAUGUGUUAAAUUUGUGCUGCGAGACAAUUGAUAUUGGCAUAAGUUUGUCGAUAUGGUCAAGCCACUAUUUUGAUGAAGACUAGGUUUAGCUGCAUCAAGUUGUGCAUUUUGCAUUUAGUGGUGUGAGGAAAGAGCACCUUUGUGUCGUUGAAGACUAGAUUUUAUUUAUUCUUUUAGCUGACUUAUUGUAGCUUUCCUCAUCUCUCUCUCUCUCUCUCUCUCUCUCUCUCUCUCUCUCUGCUACUGUUAAGUUAUUAAAUAAACUUGUUUGAUCUUUGUAUCUAUCUAUCAUUUUUACAUUUGCUAAUAAAAUAUUUUUGCACAAGCUCCUCCGAGAUCAUAGUGAAAUGUUCUUUUACAUGGACGUCUAGGCUUUGGCAAGACAUAUUGUUGGUGCUAUAGCAAUGACUUGUUCUCUUCAAUCCAUAUCAAUAAAAGGGCGAGCUGUGGUAAAGUGAAUUGGUACUUUUGAGCAAGCUAUAAUAGGCUUCUUUUCAACUACAUGGAUGUUUAUUGAGUUCCACUGUGCAAUCUUCUAUUGAACUUUGUUAUUUCCAUACAUUUCACAAUUUUGUGCUUUCUUCUUUUGCUUUUGUAUACAUUCAAUAGAGGUCCCUUCAUCUAUGCCAACAGUUGAAAUAUGAUAACUAUCAGUAGCAAUGAGGAUCCUCUGCAGCCAAGAUGUUCUAAUUAUAUUAUUUUAAACAACAACAAUGAGGAUUCUCCCAUAAUUAAUGAAGAGGCCAAGUUAAAAUGCUUAUGGAGUUAUCUCAUGCACGAAUGAGAGAAUCCUCUAUGAAGAUUAAGAUGUAAGAUAUUUGAAGUUUUUCUCUACUAAAAAUUUGAAAUUGGUGAUCAAAUGUCUACUAGAUCAUUUGUUCUGCACAUUGACAGCAUUGAUUUUGUGAACAAACUAGAGAAGUUUUGAACAUUUGAGAGUAAUGGCAAUUAUAAAAUUAUAGGUUCGGAUAUAUUUUCAAAGGCAAUAGCUGUGGCACCUUGCCUUCUCUUUUUUCAAGAAUUUGACUCCAUUGUGCUGAAGAGAGGGCAUGAUAAUACGGGGGUCACUGACCAUGUCAUCAAUCAGUUAGUUUCUUGCAUUCAAUGGCACUUAUAAAGUGGUCAUGUGAUGGUAUGACUCACUAAUGGUAUGUUAUUCAUUGAUGCAGUUUUUUUUAUUGAAUUAGAUGGUGUUGAAGUUUUAGGCAGUGUGUUUGUGUCAGCGGGGACAAGGUAAUAAUUUCGUUUUACAUGGUAACAAAAAGUGCUCUCUUUUUAUAGCACACUAACUGUAAACUACUGUUGGAAAUUGCAUGGCCAUUAUGAAUGCUUUGCUAAAAAAUUUUCUAUGAAGCAUUUAAUAUGGAGACUAUGUAAUAACCUUCAAGGCAAACUAUUAAAUGCUAGACAUGACCUUUCCUUGAUUUGGAAUUGUUUAACUUCGGACACACAGUAUUGGAUAAACUACAUAUGUAUCAAAGAAGGUAAAAAACGGUAGCAUUGCUUGAGUUACUGUUCAGUUGUUGAAGUAGCUUAGAGGAAGUAUAUUAAACUGGUCUUGAGCCUCUUCAAUAGCAUCAACGGAUGUUGAUUGUUUCAGUUUUGUGAUAUCAAGCAUAGUGCGAUUUCUCAGUUAUAUCAUGACAUAUUUGCUGCAUGAGGUGCAAUUUUGUUUUCCUUAGGGAUCAUGGGUUCAUCUAUCUCCUAAUAAGUCUAAUUCACUUUUCUUUCUUGGGAUCCUUCCAUUUUACACUUGUCUAGUUAUGUGCUUUUAGUUCUAAUCGAGUUGCAUUUGAUGUGAAGCAAUAGACUGGACCAACUUGAUGCUGCACUUCUAAUACCUGGCAGGCUUGAAGACUUCUGCUCUGUGAAUUUUCUCCUAUACAGGACAGAUUGGAUACCUUUAAAUUUUAUGAAGGAAGGUACAAACAUACAGAAUCUAAAAACAUUGGGUUUCUAUAAGUGUGAAUCAUUAGAGAGCAUGUUGGAUGUGCCAAAAUCUUGUGAACUCACCAUACGCAAGUGCCCAAGGUUCAACAGAGAUGGAUAAGUAUUUAUCGUCUGAUUGGCAAAGAUCGUUGAUGAUAGUAGGUCUAUAGCAUCGAGCCGAUUGGAUAACAUCUUUUUGUAGCCAAUUUGCAUGCACUUGAGUCUCCAAAUACUUUGAUUGAUUAGAAGAUUUAAUUGACUGACUUGCCUUGUUCAAUUCCUGAAAUUGUCGAUACCGAAACUACUUAUGGGUUAUCAUGGAGAGAAAAGGAAAGAAUACAAUCAUUCCCUUUGAUCCAUAAAUGAUGUUUAAAUGCUGUCAGGUAUACUGACAAGGCAUACAAAAUUUGGUUUGACAAGAGGUGGUUUCCACAAUCCUCUACAUCAUCUCUCUUCAAUGUUCAUCUCCAAAAGAGAGUAAAAUUACAUUUUUCUUCUCUGUUUGUUUGCUUUUUGUUCAUUCUCUCCCAUCUUCAACUGCCAAACACAGUUAUGGAAGAUGUUGCAAUUUGCCUGACAGGGCAUUUGCAUUCUUGGAUUCUUAUUUGUUGUGUUGAUGACAUGUCCUUUUCUUUAUAUUUUUCCUUUAAUGUUUUGAGUUGAGUCUAGAAGUUUGACGACUCUGACUCAUCAAUGAAUUCAAUAAGGCAAAUGCAAUUACCUGGGUUGCUCCCUUUUGUAUCAUCUUUGUUUCUUGUAGUUCCAGAGAUUGAGCAGGAAUUACCUGAUGCUGCACAAUCAAAGAUUACAUUUUACUUACUCCUUAUUUGAUGCCCAUGGUUAUAGUUGCAAUUUUUAAGUAUUCCCAUUCUUAAAAUUGAAAUUCUGCUUCUCCAGCAAUAAUUAUAAGCUUUCUUCAUCUAUUUCUGCAGAGUCUUAAGUAUUUUUAGGAAUAACAGUUAGGAAUCUAUGUGAGCAACUUAAAGUUGCUUACUGGGCAAACUUUUUCUUGUUGAUAGUCCUAUUCUGCUUAGGCAUUCAAUGGCUUAUUGUACUAACCUUAGCUUUUAUCAACUGAAGUAGUUAUUUUCAGUACUCUUAAUUAGCUUAAUUAGAGUACAUAAUCUAUUUCAUAGAUCAUGAUUAAAUCUGUCAAGUAGUAGAUAUGUUUGGGGACUGAAACUUGAAAGAUCUGCCACUUCCUUUCAUAUUCUUGAGUGUGCUUCCCACAUACUUUAUGCUGUCUGAUUGCUUAAUUUACUUUAUCGUGCUGGAUGAGGAAUUUGUCAUUCUAUUAUUGUUUUAUGAGUGUCUUUCAUUGAGUAUCUGGACAAGCAAUACUAAUCUAUGUUGUCGGUUCACAAGUGUCUGUUUUCCAUUAAGUGCUCUACUUUUCAUGUAAAAUCAAAGUCAUCUUUUGGUGGUAAGCUGUCUAAACAUCUUUUUGUAGAUCGACAAUCCAGUGGAUGGAGCUUAUGGUUAGGCUCUACAGAAUCUCAAUGAGAGGAUCGGUUACCUGAGAUUGUGGGGUUUAACUACCUACCAUUGUUUCCCUUAUGCAAUAUUGUGAGCGAGCGAGAUUAUGCAUGGAUUUUGUUCAAGAAAGUUUAUUUAACUGCAUUAGUUUUGUCUAAGCUGUAGCGUUUGUUUAUUCUUUCUGGUGUCUUAUCACACGUUUCCUCUCUCUAUGUCUCUGUGCUUAUAAUGUGGUUAAUGUUAACUUCUAAAAUAAACUAAUUUACUUAUUUGAUCUUUGUGUCUGUUAUUCUUACAUUUGCUGAUAAAAUGUUUUUGGGCAAGCUCCUCUAAGGCCAUGGUCAAAUCUUGUUUUACAUGGACAACAGGAGCAACUUGUUCUCUUCAUUCCAUAUCUAUGAAAGGGAUGAACUGUUGAAUAAGCACAUUGGAACUUCUGAGCAACUUAUAAGAGGCUUCUUUUUAACUACACUGAUGUUGAUUGAAUUCCAUUGUGUAAUCUUACAUUAAACUUUGUUAAAUCCAGACAUUUCACAAAUUUGUGCUUUUUUUCUGUUGCUUUUGCAUGCAUUUAAUGGAGGUACCUUUUUCAACCAAAAAAAUAAAAGAAAAAUAGAGGUCCCUUCAUCUAUACUGGCAGUUAAAAUAGUUAACUAGCAACAUCAACUAGGAUCAUCCCACUGCGGCCAAGGUGUUCUUAUUAUAUCAUUUUUAACAAUAGCUACGAUGAUCCUGCCAUAACUACUGAAGUGACCAAGACAAAAAGAUCGAUGAGGGGGGCGUGCAUGUGAAUGAGAGGAUCUUCUAUGACCAUUUGAUUAAGAGAAAGAUUUCUCUUCUAGAAAUUUGAAAUUAGUGAACAAAUGUCGACUGCAUUUUCUAUUCUGCACAUUGAUGGGGUUGAUUUUGUCAGCAAACUGGAGAAAUUUAAAUAUUUGAGAGUAACGGCAACUAGAAAAUUACAAGUUCUGGAUAUCCUCGAAGGCAGCAGCUACAUCACUUGGUAAAUCUAAGUCCGUUUUGUUCUUUUUUCCACUAUAACCCUUAGUGAGGUUCGUUGUUUAGACAUAGUCGCUACCUAGCAGGCCAAGAAGGGUUUUGGUGAGGUUCAUUAUGUCACGCAACUCUUACUUCUGACUGUGUAAACUAGAUUAUGGGGGAAUCUCCUUUUCUUUUCCCAAGUUGAUGGGAAAGUGGUGGUUAUUUGCUUUUCAUAUGACAAGCUGCCCUUUCUAUGGACUCCAAUAAUAUGGUUGGGGGUACCUUGAUGGACAACCUUGUGCUGAAAGUGCGAGGUUCUUGAGAAAGUGUUGGUGCACGUCACUAAAUAGUAAGCCUUGUUUAUGCUCCCCAUGUCAGGAAAUGUUCUCAUUUAAUGGCAUGAGGAACAUGUUGAUUAGGUGUUGCAUCUUGCACGGUAUACCUUAUUCAUCGGUUUUGUCAUGGAAAAACGUUGAUAUUACCUUCCAUGUUUGGCGGUCAUGCAUUAGAUGCUUUCAAUUGGUUAUCUUAAAAUGGUUAGGACUUUUCUGCAUUUAGGCUCUAUUUAAAAAUUAAUCACUGCUGUGGAUCUUUCUCUUGUCCUUUGAGAAAAUGCAAGAGUAUAGGACGAGGUAUUGUUUUGCUUGUUAUUCUAUUUCGGAGCCUGGCUAAUAGUAUUGCAAGAAAGUAAUAAAAGAAAGGUGGAGAUGUAUCUAAUCCAGGAUUUUUUUUUUUGUGUAUUUUAAAACUGUUUCAAAAAAGUGACAAAAGAAAGGUGGAGAUGAAUCUAAUUCAGGAGUUCUUUUGUUGUCUCUUUUUUAAGAUAGUUUCAAAAAAGUGACAAAAGAAAGGUGGAGAUGUAUCUAAUUCAGGAGUUCUUUUGCUUUCUCUUUCUUAAAACUGUUUCAUAGUUGGUUGUUUUCAAUUUUUCACUGAAUACUUAAGGGAGCUCAGAGGUGCUAGUACUAUCUUUCAUGUGUCCCUUCAUUCAGAUAGGACAAUGCUUCCGUGCUGUUGUAAUAUUCUUCAGAAAGCAAUAGUUUACUUGCUAACACACCAAGUGGGAGCAAACCUUUUAAUAGAGUUAUAUAAACCAGAGUGAAUCUGACAAAGUUGAGGUAAGAAAUUAAUUGUACAAAGAGUAAACCAUAACGUCGAGAUUUGGAUUGGAUAUGACUCAAUUCCAUGGUCAACAUCUUAUCUUCAGCUCUUUGAUAGAUCCAUGUCCUGAGGAGAUUCCGUCCAACGGCAACAUAAUAGAUGGGUGACCUGAGGAUUCUCAUAGACUUUACUAUAGCUAGUAUCGAUUUGUAUGCAUCCUUCUUUUUUUCUUACUGUAUAUCGGCUACUUUUAAACACUCCCAGGGCAAUGACUUAUGUGGAAAACCUGUGGUGCCAAAUAACCAUUCGAAUAAAGUCAAUGUGGUUUUCAUCAGCCCUUGCCUUCUUUGAAUAAAGUCCUUCCCCGUCUCUUUCACUCCAGCUAACUUUUGUGCGAGAACCAAAGUUUGACAAUCUUGUUCUCGUUUGGUCACCAUUCUCUUCGCAAGUGGUAAAUUGUACAUUCCGGUACUUUUUGCCGUCAACGAAGUUUCCUGCUCACGUGCUAUUUUGUUGCAUAUCUCUGUAGUGCACAAGAAUCUGCUAGAUUUGUUCUGCACAAUUAGUCCUUAAAACACAGACAGAGCACACAAGUUGUACUAUGCCCUGCCUCCAUCUGUCUCUGCACUAAGGUUUUCUUCCUCAAAUAGGCUACAACCUUUAACUCUCUGAUAUUAUAUAAAUAAGGUGCGCUAUCUUUCUCAAUACGAAAAUCCAGGAUUUAAAUUGAUCAAUCAUUUCAAAUUGGGCCACCUUGAUGCAACCAUUACUUCACCUCACCACUCCAUUUGGCCACAAAGAUAUCCUCUUGUUUAGGGUCUAGUUUAUUUAACACUCAACUAGGAACCUGCAUACCGACUGAAGCAAACUGGCCAAUUGGAAAGAGCGCCUUAUACCAAAGUGACUCUCCCAUUUUUCGACAUUAACUUUUCCAACCUGCAAGUCUGUACUUAGAUAGCUCACUGGUUGGAUCCCAAAUUUUCUUUAAGCCCUAGAGGAAUGGUUAGAUGUGUUAUAGCAAAGUGACUUGUGAUCGAGCAUGCAUGCCAUUGUGUGUGUGCAACGGGCAUAUGUCUAUACUACUGAAAUAUUGAACCAUAGCCUCAGAUCUGGACUUUAAGAUUGAAAUUCAAGCUGAAUGCUUCUUAGUGCAUGUAUUUUAACUAAGUAUUCUUCCAAUGCAGAGUUUUUUCUCAUUUUAUCCCCUGAAGUUCUUUGUACUGUCAUUGAAACACCAAUUUUUUAGCUCACAGUUCCUCUUUUUCAUCUGGAAUGCUUGACAGUCUAUCAGUCAUCUUUCAUGUGUGAUGUGAACUAAAAUUUUUGCAUAAUCUUAUCAUGCUAGAAAUUUGCGUGUUAAAAUAUCUUCUUGCUCCUCGAUGUUCUCUUAGCUGAUCAUAUUGGUCCAUUUUUUAUCUUAACAAAGCAGGUAGAGGAUAUGGUGGUCUUAUUCUUGCCAUACUAGGAACUACUUUUGGUGCACUUGACUAAAUAUGGAAUAUUCAAUUGUCUUUUUUCCUUCGCAAAUGCACUUCCAGAAGCAAUGUUCCUAAGAAUCUAGCUAGUGCUUUAAAGAACCCAUGUUAAUCUCGAUAAUUGUGCGGUGGUUUUAGAUUUGGACACCUAAAUAUCGCCAAUAAUGUUAUGCUUUGAUGUCUGAAGGUCUAUUAGAAAGCAAUAUGGGGUGGGAUUACUGUAUUGGGCUUUAAAACCUAGGACCAUCAAAACUUCUAAGACGCAAAAGAUAAUAAUAGGUGCCAAACUGACCGGCUUUAUGGCUCUUUAUUGUGGAUGCAGGCAUUUGCUGAUUUUGAAGUCUCUGAAGGCAUUUAUUCAUGAGCUCGCAUCUAAAAUACUGAUUCGGUAUGUUUUUGGCUAAGAGCAAAUGUUAUGUUGGAGUAUUCAUGCGAAGAGGUACUUGAGUUGAAGCAAUGUCCCUUUAUCUCCAAUAAUGAUGUCAAGUAUCUUAUUUAUUGCAUUAAUUCAUGUUGCAGGCAACAACUCUUCUACAAAAGAACCUAGAAAUUGCUAAAGCAAGUUUAGAAGUUCUUGUUGCUGAUCUACAAUUCUUAAGGGACCAAGUAAUGUUUCUGACUUGCUCCUACGGAACCAAGGUCGAAAAGAUUGCAAAAAAAAAAAAAAAACAGUCAUUCACAACCACUGAUGAAGGAUUCCUCGAAAGUUAAGGAUUAGUAAUCCUUUUUAGAAAUCGAAUGGAUUCGGUCUUAUACAUACGCAAGGAAGGUAAUCAAAAAAGAAAUGAUCACACAGGUAAGUCGGAAUUUUUUGGGAACUUGAAGGUUCCUGUUUGUUUCAAGCUGUUUACUAUGUACGUUUGGGGGUAGGUCUAUUGUUGUUGAACUGCUGUUGCUGUGAUUUUUUUAACUGGUGUGAGGCUAUAUAUUGGGAAGACAUGUUAAUUUGUGACAACCAAGAGUGGAGUAAUGUCGCACUUACUUGAACUUGAAAAAUUCAAAAGUUGUUGUAGGACCGUAUUCUUUAGUUUUGCAACUCAAAUCAUGGUAGCACAAUGUGUACUUCGAGAGACUUUGUUCUCCCCAUUUUGACAAGUGAUUUUGGUUAGGUUUCGUGAGAUUUACUGCAUUAUAGCAAGCUUGCCAUGUAAAAUGAUUUUGAUUGAGAACCUCUUGGGCUUGACUUUUCACUUUUUAUGUUGUACACUAGUUUUGAGUUGAUAUAUGGUCCAUCUGUUUUGUCUCAUUUCACCUUGGUCAUGCAUGUUAGAAAGGACCAAUCUAAAUUUGAAUUUGGGGAAAAACAUGGAGAGAUGUAUUUUUUGCCCGAUAAGGCAUUUACAUUCUUGAAUUCUUAUUUGUUGUGCAGAUGAUAUGUAUUUUUCUUUUUCCUUUGCUGUUUUUAGCUGGGUCUGGGAGUUUGAUGACUGUGAUUCAUAGAUGAAUUCAAUUAGGCAAAUGCAACAACCUGGGUUGCUCCCUUUUGUAUAAUCUUUGUUUCCUGUGGUUCCAGAGAUUGAACUAGGAUUAUCUGAUGCUGCACAACCAAAGGUCACCAUAAACUAGGAUUAUGAACUAGGGAUACACAAUAUUGGAUAGACUACAUAUGUAUCAAAAAGAAGGUGACAAAAGAUGGGAUUGCAUGAAUUACUUUUUAGUUGCUGAAGUAGCUUAAAAGAAGUGUAUCAUGCUGGUAUUGAGCCUCCACAACGGCAUCAACUGAUGUUGAUCAUUUGAGUCUAGUGACAUCGAGCAUAUGCAAUUCCUUAGUCAUCAUGACAUCUUUGCUGCGUGAGGUGCUCUUUUGGUCAGUUCCCUGUCAAAGAUGAAAUGCUUUUUCUUUAUUUAAUAAUUGUCCGGUUAUGGGCUUUUAGUGCUAACUGAGUUGCAUUUGAUGUGAAGCUGUAGAACGCACUCACUUGAUGCUGCACUCCUGAGUCCUGGCUGGCUCAACAUAAAUUCUGUGAUUUUCCUUCUAUACAGGAGAGGCCAGAUAUUGUUAACAUUUAUCCAGGAAGGUAGAAACUUAGCUUACAUCCUUCUACCAAUGCCUUUUCUUUUAGCAUUUCAUCUUUGACAGGGAACUGACCAAAAAAAAAAAAAAAAUCUUUGACAGGGACUGAAACGGGUUCUAUUUGUUAAAGAACUUUAUAACUGCAAUCCUACUUUUUCAAGAAAAAUCAUCGGAAAGACUACAUAUGAAUAGAAAAAUGCUUAAAAACUAACAAAAAGAGUUAGAAACAGAGUCAAUUGAGCGGCUAAAGAUCCUGUUUAGAACUUAUGGCAUCUGAUAGAGUACAUUUGGUGAAACAUGUUAAGUUAAAAUUUAAAACCCCUUCUUCCAUGGAGUUCUCCAAAAGUCCUUCUGCUCCAAAUCAUCCUAAACAUUGUGAAGUACAAGAGAAGAUUGUAAAAGGCAUUCGUGGGUUGGAUCUGCAACCUGCUAAGGUGGGGCUCAGGCAAGUCUAAAUGUCCAAUAGUAAAUCACUUUCAACCUCGGACCUUGAGACUAGUAGAUUUAACAUAUACUGAUGUUGCUCAGAAAAGAAAAAUGAGAAAGGCCUUGACAGCUGACUCCAUGAGAUGGGACCAAGACUUUACCUUUGGUAGAUUUAAUUAUAUUAAUCCGAUUCUGUCAGAUCAGUCAGUAAAAUUGGCAACCACUGGGCAAUGCUGAAGUUUUGCUGUGUGUAUGCUCUAAUGCCCCUGUGCGGUUCCUUUGGCCAGUGAUGUGGACUUGGAUGCUAUAGCUCAUAUGACAGAAGGAUUCAGCGGAGCGGAUCUUGAAGCUUUGCUUUCGGAUGCACAGCUUCAAGCUGUUCGUGAUCUUCUCGGCAGGGGCGAGAACAAUCAGCAUGGGAAAAAGCCAAUUAUAACCGACUCUUUUGAAGUCUGUUGCUUCAAAGGCAAGGCCGUCAGUCUCAGAUGCUGAAAAGAGAGAGGCUCCGUACAAAUUCUUUUCGUUCACCAAAUUCUAUCUUCUCUCCCCAAAACUAGAACUGUGCAUCCCCUAUCAGAAUUUCAACUGUGGAUUUUGAUAGUGGCUUGUUAUGCAUCUGUUGUAGUUAAUCCUUGCAACAAUCUCAUUCUCGUAUGGGGGCGUGGCAUUUAUAGAAAAAUUCAUCAGGUGCGUUUGCAAUUUCCAGUCACAAAUUUGGAGCAGUCACGACAUUUUAGCAGCUGCCGCUAUUUCCACAGUUUCUUUGGCUUAGAGCACCGCAUUCUGAGUGAGGAGACAAAUCGUGGGCUCAAGAUUCUAUUCUGUUCACGUUAUUUGUUGUCAUUGUUUAAAAGGGUUCGAUGACCUGUGCUAUGAUAUUUCAUGGCACAAUUCAUCAGUAUAGUCAUAGCGACUUUUUUGGUGAAUAUGCUUUUUCCUUUUGCUCUUGGUUUGAAAGAAUCUCUUUGGAACUGUUGUCUAAUUGGUGUAAUUCAAAUAAAUCAUGAAUAUAUCAAGGCAGAAGAUCAUGGGUGAUCGACUAAAAAAUGAGGAAAUGUGGCAUAGAGAGACCACUCGCGAGCUCCCUUAUCGCAAAUGAAUCUUUUUACCUCAAAGAAAUGACAUUUACCAUAUAGAAGAUAUUUAUUCCAAGGAUAAGAUAUUUUUACUACAAGAAUGAGUAACCUAUAUAUCAAGUGAAAAAGUUAGACGGUUGGGAUUACAUUUCUACGUUUCUUUAUGAAUGAUGGUGAGAGAUCUAAUCUCAUGAUAAUGUGACUUCACUAGAAAAAAAACUAUCUCAAAUAUGUCAUGUGAUGUUUCGAUUGCGGGAUAUAAUAAGAUAGGAAUGGAAAAGUUAUUCCAUAAAAUUGGAAGAGAGUAGGACUAGGAAUGGAAUAGCUGAUUUGUAGUUUGGUUUGUAUAAUGGAUUCAAAAAUUCUCUGGUUUGUUUUGCCACGGUAGCAGAAAGACUAUGUUUGGAAUAGUGUACAAUACCCAAAAUACCCUUUGAUGAUAUAUAUCAAACUCUAAUUUCUUUUAUUAUCAUAUUUUCAUAGGACAUAAAUGAAAGCCUACUAUAAUUUCUAAAUAAUUGCAAUAUUUGAAUUUCUAAUGUAAGUAACCAUUAUUUUAUUAAUUGAUAUAAUUAAACCAUAAUAUUGUCACGCCCCGAUCCUCGGGCACGCACACAUCCUUCUACCUUGGUCGAUUUUAUAAUGCGAUAUCCCAGGACAAUGUAUCGCCGACCCUUUCUUUUAUUAAGUACAUGCGGAAGCAGUUAAAAUCCCCAGACAAUAAAACGAUGGGAUAGAAAAGCAAGGCCAUAUUUUUCAUAUUGAAAUUUAUAACCCAACUUUUAUACAAAACACAAACCAUAACACUUCACAACUUUUUAUUCUAAACUCUAUUCACAUCAAAAUGGAGAUAUCAAAGAAGAUAACAUCUCAGUCCACCUGGGCCGUCCUCAAGGCCCUUCUCAGGAUUAUCUUCUUCUUCCAAAAAUCCUUUUCUUCAGAUCUCACCUCCGAGUUCUCCUUCUCGGAUUCCUCCUCCUCAGCUCUUCAGCGGGGUCCUGAAAUGGUUUCCCCAAACUGGGAUGAGACUACGUCUCAGCGAGUUCUACCCCACUAAGCCCGAUUAGAAAACUAUUAUACUAAACGCUGCCUAAACACGCAUAGGGCAGAUGACUUACCUUGGCCUCUGAUCCUACCUGCAAGUCAGUACAAUUCACAAUAAACAGUCAUUUGCUUCCAACAAAUUGAACUAGUCGAUUACAUGUCAUACAAUUCAAUAUCCCCACUGUGGGAUAUUUAAAAGCUAGGCCACGUGUAUUCUCCAGGACGACCUUCCAAGUCUCCGAGUUCACGUGCCUCGAACCUUGGGCCCACGUGCAUUCUCUCAGGCGACCUUUUCGCCAAAGUGAUGCAUCAAGUCACCGAGACCACGUGCCCUUUUAGAUGCCUGUACUUAGUCACAGAGCUCCAUCAAUGCUCUCGGGCGACGAUUCGCCAAGGUGACGUACAGUGAACACUUUACUAUGCUCUCGGGCGUCUUUUUCGCCAUGGUGAUACACUGAUCACAGAGCCAACAUAAACAAUUCAAUAUGCUCUCGGGCGUCUUUUUCGCCGUGGUGAUACACUGAUCACAGAGCCAACAUAAACAAUUCAAUAUGCUCUCAGGCGAGCCAACAUACACAAUUCAAUAUGCUCUCGGGCGUCUUUUUCGCCGUGGUGAUACACUGAUCACAGAGCCAACAUACACAAUUCAAUAUGCUCUCGGGCGUCUUUUUCGCCGUGGUGAUACACUGAUCACAGAGCCAACAUAAACAAUUCAAUAUAAUCAACCACUAAACUCACGUGCAUUUUCCAGGUGAUAUUCCAAUACCCAACGAUUUCUCAAUCAAUUAAUUAAAUCAACUCAACAUAGCAUUAUCAAUGCUAGAUAACAUACUUGGCCAAUUCAAUCUCAAUCAAUUCCAAUCAAAUUAGGGUAAACCCUAAAAUAUCUCAAUUUAUUCAAUUCCAUACAACGUGGAGCUCAAAUAAAUAAACGGGCUACGCCACGACGAUCAGCAUGAGAGUUCGGUUGUCGGCCAUCAAAAUCUUAAUUUCCGAAAAAUAAAUAAUUAAUUAUUAAUUUCGAAAAUUAAUUAAUUACUAUUAAAAAUUCAAUUUAGCUCAAAAUAAAGCCCGAUUAAAUAAACGGACUUCACCACGCUCAUCAGCAUAAUUUUCCGGUUCCAUAUCAUCUCAGUUGAAUUUUCGAAAAAUAAUUAAUUAAUUAAUUAAUUUCGAAUAUUAAAUAAUUAAUAUUAAAAAUCCCAUUUAGCUCAAAUUAAAGCCCGAUUAAAUAAACGAACUUCACCACAUUCAUCAGCACAAUACUCCGGUUCCGAACCAUCUCCCUUGAAUUUUCGGAAAAUAAAUAAUUAUUAAAUUUAAUUUCGAAAAUUAAUAUUUAAAUACUAAAAAUAUCCACUUAGGCCCGAAAAGCCUAAUUGGAGCCCACUAAGGGUCGGGAAAAUUCCCGAAGCACUUCCAAUAAUUAGUAGACCACGUCUACUUGCUAAUUACACAAUCAAUUUAUCUAAAUCACAUCACAAUUGACUAAUAAUUGCUAAUUUAUUCUAAUCUAACAACCUAAACAUAAUUAAUUAAAUCUAAACCAGCUUAAAGCAUAAUUAACCACUAAUCCUGGAUUAGUGAGAUUACUCACCAAAUCGCGCGCAAAUCGGAUCAAUCCGACGGCGGCGACGCGAGGAACGAUUGUUCCCAAAGCACGGCUCGGGUUCGGAGCCGGGAAACGGUCCAAAAGCGGGCCCGAAGGUGCUGAAACCCACUCCGUGGGUCUUGCUGGUCGCGGCUGAACGGAGCAGCUCCGGCGGCUAGGGCGGCGGGGGAAGGCCGGCGGAGGGCGAGGGGGUCACCGGGGGUGGUCCGGCGGGGUUGGCGGUGGCCGGAGGUGGCCGGAGAUGGGCUGGUCGGUGCAGAACAGUAGCUGGGUCAGCUGGAUCGCGCGGAGGGAGGAGCGGCAGCGAGCGACGGACGGCGGGACGGCGACGGGCGCGCGGGCGCGGCGCGGCGGUGCGGCGGUGCGGUGGUGCGGCGAGCGGGAUGAGCGGCGAGCUGCUGUCCUUCCUCCGUUUCUGGUUUCCGCGAAGAAGAAGAAGGAAGAAAAGAGGGGUUCGGUCGCGUGGGGAAGAAAGAAGAAAGAGGAGAGAGGAGAGAGGAGAGAGAGAAGAGAGGGAUAAGGGUUGACCGGUCAAGAGAAAAAGAAAGAGAGAGAGAGUAGGCGGUGGGGGAUCGCACGAGGGGGAGGGAAGAGGAGAGAGGAGAGAGAAAGAAAAGAGAGAAAAAGAAAGAAAAGAAAGAAAAGAAAAGGGAGGGAGAGAGAGGAAAAAGAAAAGGAAAUGCAUAAUUCCUUAUUUCAAUUUUCCUUUUCUCUUUUCCUUUUCCUUCCUCUAUUCUUUUGGGCUUCAAUUUUUCUUCCGAUAAUUUCUUUAUUGAAAUUUCGGACUCGUCAAUAAAUUGACGAGCGAUGAGACAGGAUCCUAAAAAUAAGAAUUAUGACGCGCUUAAAAUUCGAUUCCCGAAAUCGAGUUCAAUUUUGUGGUUAAAAAUCGAUCAGACGUGAUUUUAGCUCAAUCCAACCAAUUAUGUAGCUUUUAGGGAUUUUACAGCUGAUACAUCCCUUAACGGCUUUACCCAAUAGGUUAGUUAACUCGUGAGUGAUCAGCUCAGAGAAAAAGGCUAUAGGCACGCCGACGAAAUGCCCAUUUCACUUUAUCGAAACGGGGUCGAAUUUCAGGACGUCACAAAUAUAAUUACUAAAAAAAUAAAUGAACUAAUUAUUAAACAAUAGUAUAAUUACUAUAUAGAUAACUAUUAUUUUUAUAUAAUAACUACCAUUCGAGUCAAGCCAAUACAAUAAGGCCAAGCUCAAGCUCAACUCAUAUUAGAUAUUUGAUGCUCGGAGUUCCACUCUAGCUAUGCAACUCAAAUUUUUAAUGAAAAAAAAAAUACAAGAAUAUUAUUAAUAAUAAACAAAGUAAUUGCAGAAAAAUAAUAAAAACACGGAUCGACUGUCCAAUGACUAUAUUUCUGAAGCACCAAAAGUCCUCAAGGCUGGGGCCAACCAGUCCAUCAAAUGUUUGUCAGGCCACAGUCAGCCAAUUAGGGCCCAUGGGCUUGAUUUGACCUACGCUCACAAUGGGGUUGGGCAACACGGCCAACAAGGCCCUAAAGUAACUAUAACUUUAGUGUUUAAUCUAGUGAUGAUCGACAUAAAAUGCUACAAUGUACAUUUUCUCCAUCAUAAAAUAAAAUAGCAUUAAAAAAAGCUCGAUGGCGCCAGUCAGCUGCCACAUUAACGCCGGCUGGCCAAUUUUGGCCAAAUGGAUUGAUCGGGAAUAAUUGUAAAAGGUUUAGGACUCAAUCAAUCAAAAAAUAAGUUUAGGACUGAAUUGGCACAAUUACAAUAGGUUUAUGACUUUUUUGGUAAUUUUUUCCUGUUAAAUGGGUUGAUGUUAGAAGGAACGACUUCACCUAGUUGAUUCAGCUGAAGAUCAUUUCCUUGAAUAAUGAAAAGAUGUCGAUGGGGUUAUCCUUACUUAUUGAAAAUUCCCUACUAUGCUUAUCCAUAAUUACUGAAUAUAUAUAUAAAUAAAAAAUAAACUUCAAAUUUUGGUUUCCACCUCAAAUUUACUUCUAUACCUUCACAUAUAUGUUUUAACAUCUUGCAUUUACACUUACAAUCGAAAGAUCUGCACCAUACUAUGCCAAGGAUGAGAGAAAAUAGGAAAUGGGGGGAAGAUGGAAUAAUUUUGUUGAGAGCAAAUAGGAGAAAUUUAUGUUUUUAUCAGCUUUAAAUUAUUAACUAACUUAUUAAGUGUUCUCUCUUCGUCAAAGAAUAAAAAAGGAAGAAGAAAACUAACCAGUCUGGCAUUGUGUAACCACCUAGUUCAUUCAUUUUAUUUGGCUGAAGUUGUAUGUAUAAUCGAACAACCUUUUGGAGGCACUUUUAUGACAUCUACUGAUGCGUUAAAGUGUCACCUUAUGUUCAUCGUCGUUUUUACAAAUGCUACAAACUGUGAUGCUUAAUGCACAAAAUAGCAAUAUUUUGCAAAGUGACUCUAAAAGUGCACCAUAAUCAAGGGUUAAGAUGAGGAAAAUUAUUCAAAAAAAUAUACAUUAUUGUAUAGCAGCAAAUUUGAAGAGUUUGAGCAAUUUAGACGAUUUUCCAAUAGAGUCCAUCCAAUCAAUUUUGAUUGAAAAUCACUAAUGUGAUAGUUCAAUGAGCACUAGCCAUCCUCCUUGACUCAGUUGAUACCAAUAUGGAGAAUAUUUACAAUUUCUUAAAAUUUUCUUUCUUUUUUCUAUGUCCCUUUCCUUUACUUUUUUUUUUCCUUUUUCCCUUCACCGGUUGUCAAUAUGCUUGUCGUUGCCAAAGGCCAUGACUCCCUAUCCUCUUCCUAAUUGAUGCCCCUGCUAGAUUUGGACUGAUGACCUCUACUGGCUAUCACUAACGCUCCGCCCUAAGAAAUAGGAAAAAAAUUAAAAAAAGGAAAAAGAAAAAGGAAAAAAAGAAAAGAUUUAUAAGUGUAAAAGAAUUAUACAAAUCAUUAUGUUAGUGUUAAUCAUACUANNNNNNNNNNNNNNNNNNNNNNNNNNNNNNNNNNNNNNNNNNNNNNNNNNNNNNNNNNNNNNNNNNNNNNNNNNNNNNNNNNNNNNNNNNNNNNNNNNNNGGAUAUUAUCCGUAUUGCCGUGGUACUCUAACAAGUGUUCUCCUUACUUGUGGUGGCACUUCGCACCAUUUAAAGGCGCUUUUCAAAGUACGUCCACUGCUCUGUUUUGUCUAGGGGAAGAAAAGGUCAUUAAAGGACCGUUUAGUUUUUUUUUUUUUUUCCAUAAAAAGUGAAAAUAUGAGGGGGACAACAGUUAAUUUUGUGAUGAAUACCAGCGCCUAAAUAACGGUACUCAUCUGCAAUGUAGGUGAAGAAACAGCAGAGAGGUUGAAUAUUCGUCAGUUGCACAAAAAAGGUAAAAUUGAGAGAGUUUUCAGUGGGGUUGGGCAUUGAACCGGACCAUCCCUAACGGGCUUGAGGCGAGCCCAACCCGGUUUCUUUUUCGAAUGUCUCCUGGGGGGGAUUGAAAAUUUUCAUUUAAAAAAAAAAAAAAAUGGAAGAAGAGUUUUUUCGAGAGGGGGGGAGGGGGGGGGGGGUGAGAGCAGGGAAUUUAAGCAAGUGCCCUUUGAUUUUGUUUUUCAUACUCCCAUUCUUAUUUUCUAAUCCCUUAUAAUGAAUUCUUGAAAAAAUUGAAUCGAUAGUUCUAAACAUGUAUCUCAAUCUAUGUCAAAUUUUAGAAGUUAAAAAAAAUAGAAUCUAACUUUAAAUGUUUUAAAAUUGUUACAAUUAAGUCCUUUAGAUGACACCUCAGUCAUUUUGGCUUAUGUGGCCAUUGGGAAUUUGGUGUGGCUUUUUUUAGCAUAUGGGGCACAGAUGUGGUGCUAAUGUAUUUUCCACAUCAAUAAAACUCAAAUUUCUAAAUACAACAAAAAGAAAUAAAGAAAACCCGUAAACCCAAAAUAAUUAUAUAAUCUGAAAAUAGAAGGCCGUAAAUUAAAAAAAUAAAAGUAAAAAAAUAAAUUAAGAGAGAGAAAGAGAUGAUGUUGGGUUAAGCAAUCCUUGCCGGCUAAAGGCAAGGGCUUGCAACUCCACCUCUAGCCACCACCGCUGGAGGAUUGCUCGACCCUGGGAGUCCUACGUGGGGGUGAGGGCUUCGCUCUCCGGCAACGUCAGCCGAUGGUAUUAAUCCCAAUCGACAGUGGAUCCCCAUCCACGCCAAACCCCUCCCUCCCUGUUCAGUUGAUUUUUUUUCUCUAGAUUUUGGCUUUUUUUUUUUGUUAUUUUUGUUACUUUUUUUUUUGUAUAGUUGACUUUUUGAAUGCGGUGCCAAUGUUAGUGCCACAUUUGCUCAAUAGUGUUACAACACGUUGAAUUCACACAUGCUGCAUUAACAAUUCUAGCUAAUUAGUCAUUGACAGGACUUGAUUGUACCAUGUCUUUAAUUUAGUCUUCAUUUCUUUUAUUAUCACUUAUAAUUUAAUUUCAUUUUCAAAAUCUUACCGAUUUUUUUUUUUUUUUUUAUGUUUUUGCAUCGUAUAUAAAAGUAAAACAAAAAGUCAAUGUGGUAUUAAUACUUAUUGCCUCAGUAAGCUGAACAAGAUUAUCUCAAUUAUGUCAAGCUUAUGUAAAUAAAAUAAAAAACUUCACCACAUACAUGACCGAUUUGAAAAUUAACAUACUAACCCCAUUGACGUGAUAUCCAUUAUCUUACCUAGCGGAGCCAAUUCCUUGGAGUUCACAACAAAAGAGAUAAUAGAUCAUUUGACCACCCAAGCCGACAUAAACAAGGAUGCCCUUGCCAUGUUUGUAGCCCCUUGUUGGAAAGAACCGUUAUCGUGUAGAGUUACGGAAGAAUGACUACAAUAAACACUUAGUAUUACAAGGACAUAUAGUCGACGCCACAUUCUUUUAUUGUUACAAGAACAAACGCUUAACACUUCUCACAGCCUCACACUUCUUUCUAAUGGUGACCUGCAAUGCGCACGCAUAUUUUCCUCUCUCCCCUCUAUUCCGCACGUCACACACGCACACCCUCCAAACCUCACUUUCUCUCUGGUGGAGCCUCCCGAUCCACGCCCAAAAAUGGAGCACUUCGGCUAAAGUUGGUGGAGGAAGCCCCCUCAUUUAUUAUGCGCCAAACUUGCCUCCUGCCAGCUUUCUAACUUGUUGGCUGCCAAGUUUGAAUAUUCUUCAUGUAGAGGGGAGAUAUCUCGAGAGAGCGGGAGAGAGAGAGAGCCGUGGUGUCUCUCCAACAUAUCGUUCCAUGAAUUGCACCAAACAAUCCAACCCAAAAAAUUUAUUUCAUUUUUAGGAAUAGCUAAGAAGAUUAUACUAGUUAUAACGUGAGCCCCAUAAUGGAAUUGAUCCAUUGUUAGGAAUAGCUACCCUCAUACCUUCAUCAUUUCAGAGAAGAUUAUGCUUGUUAUAAUGUGAGCCCCAUCCAUUUUUAGGAAUAGCUACCUCAUAAUUGAUACUAGACAUUGUAAAAAUAGGACCCAUGUGCUUUGGCAUGAUUAUAUGGACUCAUUUUAUUGCUUAUGAAAUGGAUGAACCUCAUCGCAAAAUUAAGAUGAGAAAUACGGAUUUUUGUAGCGUGAGCAUCUUCAAGGAGUACAAAUAGGCCAAGUAAUUAAAAAGUUUGUCCCAUGUAUGCAUUCUUACUGUAAAAGCCUACAUUUAUUUCCACGAAGGGUGGGAAACCCAAUUGAAAUCGAGUCCGCUUGGGCUUUUACUAUAUAAUUUCAUACUUCUAACUCGAAAGUCCCUAGAAAAAGCAUCUCAAUUGGGAUCCCGGAAUUCACCCAAUGAUUGUUUUCAUACUUUGGAUUAAACGCAACUCUCUUGUCAAAAGAGUUAAAAUACAUAUAUUGUCUGAUUUAUACAUAUACAAACCCAUAAUGUUGGAAUUCAAACUUAGUGCCCACCUUGACGAAGGCAUGAUAACACUACAAUAUUUACGUUCAGGAUAUUAUAACGUCAUAAAUUUUGUGUGUGGGUGAUGGUAGACAUGUGUUGCCCAAUUUUUCUAGAAUAUCAAAGUUUAUUUUGAAAUGAACGUUGAGAGAACAAUAUCAAAAUCUUGAGUCUAUCUAGUAAGACAGUUUAUUAAAAAAAUUCAUAGAUUUUAAUAGAGCAUCUCAUUUGAAUAUAAUACUCUCUUGAAUAUAAUUCCACUUUUACCUUGUGAUGUGGUUUGGAGUCAAAAUCAUGACUCGUUAUCAAAUAAGGCCGCAACUAAAAUUACUUGCCGAAGGAGUAGAAAUGAAAUGGAACAACAAUCGCUCUAUCAUUCCGUGGUUUUCUCAGGUAUACCUAAAAAUGAAUACCAUUCAAAGUUAGGAAUAAAAUAAAAAAAUUCGUGAUACUGGUUUUUAUAGGGUAUACCUAAUAUCGCGGGCCAUUUGAAAAAAGAUUAUGUCAAAUCUUAACAAAACGCCAGAAGACCCCAAGUAAAAAAGAGGAAAUUAUACUUCUAGACAUCCGCUGAUUACAGAGCAAACCCAGUCACAAAAACUGGAGAGAAAAAGUUGCAUCAUGGGAUUUCAACUUGAGUCAAUAAGGUCACGAACCUGAGGAGGGUGGAUGAUAGGAGUAUUCAAAACGCUCCCGUUGACACCAUCGUAAGACAUCGUAAAAGUACCUCCUGCCAUUUCAUCAAUUGAGAUGGAACCAUCAUUCAUUUGCUUUCUUUACAAGACUAUUGAUUUCUUUUUUGAUAUCAGCAAAAUUCAUCUUAUCAGCAUUUUGAAUUACGGAAACAACUAGACCUCGCGUGAAGAAAAAACGAAUUAACUUAAACAACAAUUUCUCAUUAGAGUCUAUAUGUACUAGACGAUCAAAAGACAAAUCCCUAUACCUACGCCAAGCUUAGAGAGAAAUAUCAUGGAAAGGACUGGGAAUUUAUGUAGCUAAUCAGUCAUUUUCUGGAGACGAAGGGCUACAGGUAGUGUUUUUUUGGGGUGGGGGUAGAAGGGCUGCUGAUGAUGCUAGAAAAGCGUGACAUUAUCUCAUCACUUCUCAUGUUUACUAUCCUUGGAAUGAUGGAGGCAUCCAAAAUCAAAGAACGAGAAUAGUCGCUCUAAAUCCUUGGUCUCCAUCCUGGUGAUUUUCUACAGCUUAAGAACAACGCCAAUGGAAAUCAUAAUAUGCGUAAGACAGGUUUGAACCAGGAGCUUGUGCUCCAUAUAAGUCGGUGCGAAGCAAAUUAAAGAAACCUCUUUCGUCCGGGUGAGAGCAAAGGUGAAUCACUGCUUGUCAACGUAUGAAGAUCUACGUCCUUUGGCCCAUGUAGAGAAGGAAAAAUAAAUAAAUAAAAGGUAAAAAGUCCAAAAAAAAAGUCCCAAACUUUACAUGUAUGAUACAUUUACCACAAACUUUUUUUGCGACGUCAAAAAUCCCAAACUUAUAUCUAUGUGACAUUUUUACUACCAAAUUGUUUUCUGUAACAUCAAAAUCGAUGCCAAAUUUUUAAAGGUAAAUGUGUCGAAUACAAAUUUAGGAUUUUUUGUGUUAUAAAAAUAAGUUUUGGAUACUUAACAAAAAAAAAAAGGAUAAAUGUGUCUCACUAUACAAAUUUAAGGUAAAUGUGUUACAUAAAUACAAGUUUAUGAUUCUUAGUGUCACAAAAAAAGUUUAGAGUAAAUGUAUCACAGUAAAUAUAAUUUAGGAUUUUUGAUGAUUUUUACCCUUUCUUUUUUCCUUUUUACAAAACAAGCACUUGAUAGCAAGCAAUAGUUGUAAAGUGAUUGCAAGCAUGGGAUAAAGACCCAAUGCCAGAUGCUUUUUAGUCUUGACGAUCAACCCUCCAAAAUUGACUUAUUCUAAUGGGUUUUCCUUUCAAUCUUGGAUGUCACAUGGGAAAUUUUAUACAAGGAACAAGUUGAGAUGGUCUUGAGUUUUAACUCAACUAUUGAGGUAGAAUUAAAAUGUCCUUUGGAGAUAUGGUACUGAAUAUAAAAAAUCCACAUAUUCUAAAUUGAAAAUAGAAUCCAAUUGAUAUAGAAAGUAGCAAUAUUCAAUUUUUUAAAUUUUUUUAUUUUACCUUUAUGAAAAGUUAAAUUUGACUUAAAACUUUCAUGUGUAUUUUUCAUGUUUGAUUUGACAAAUGGUUUUACUUGGUAAUUUUUUAUGCCUAAUGGAUAACGAACAGAGUGUUAUACACAAUCCAAAAUUAUUGACAUUAAUAAAAAUAAAAAUGAAAAUAAACAUAUUUGAAGUACAUUUAUUAACAUAUGUUCGCGUACAGCUUGGGCAAAGUACCUAGUUUUAGUUUUAAUCCCUUCUUAUCGCGAAGCACUCCAAACACGCGACUCUGGUAAAUCUGUUCACCUGCCGCGUGUACAUGGUGCGGUUAUCCUCCUAAAUGACUCAACUGCCCUCACUUUUUUGACGAAUUUCCUUAAAAAAAAUAUUCGGACUCUGAAAAAUCCCCUACUCUUCCCUCAGUCUCUCCACUCCGCCAAUCGGUCACCGCAAGCCUCCGCCACCUCGCCGCUGCGUCGCCGUCGCCGUCGACGUCGUAUUUCCUUCCCGUGCCAUCACCCCUCGUCGUCGGCCAAGCCACCAUCUCUCUCUCUCUCUUUCCCCGUGUUUCCUCUUCGAAGCAAUUAUUUUGUCAAUCUGAACGGCUUUUUCACUUAUGAAGGAAGGCCGCGUGUAACUUCCAGGCAAACACAGCGAAAGUGAGAGAGAUCUCUCUCCGUUGCUUUAUCAAGUUGCUACAAAGAUCAUACUGGGACUUCCCAAGCCACCGGGCAGGCCCAAUUUAGAUGUUUGUGUAUAAUUUCUCAUCGACUGAUUCUUUUGUAUCGUUAUAUCUGCUAUUGAAUUCGCUGUUCAGUUACAUUUCGUUGUUCAUUUUCUUCAUGUGAUCACNNNNNNNNNNNNNNNNNNNNNNNNNNNNNNNNNNNNNNNNNNNNNNNNNNNNNNNNNNNNNNNNNNNNNNNNNNNNNNNNNNNNNNNNNNNNNNNNNNNNNNNNNNNNNNNUUUCAAUAUAGCGUAACCAACGCAGUGUUGAAAAUUUAAGCAAUGGUUAACAUGGAGGUGGGCGUACGUGCAUGUGUGGUUAGAACUUUUCUCAAGAACUUGAAGCAUCUGAGUGGGCACUUUUUUCUUGAUUCUUAAGAGGUAUAAAGACAUGAUCAGAGAUAUUGAUACCAAAGGCUCAAUCACGAUGAAUAUUUAGUUUCAGGAAAAAGAAAUGUACUGGUUGAGACAAACAAGUAACACAACAAGAAGCUUGUCGGCUCCGAGUUCUGCCUUUCAUAGUGCAUUGUUUAUUUAGUAUCUUACAUUUUUCAUUAAUGCAAUGGGCAUGUCCUCAAUUAUGAAGGUUGCUACUCUCUCUUGCAGUUUUCUUUCUCCUUAUUUCUCUUAUCUAGUUUCUGCUUUUCUAGUUCAACUUAAACCUCUUCUCAAAUUCGAGUGAGUUUUACUUUUUCCCUAAAAAAGGAUGAGAAAUUGGCUUACUGUUGCAAUUAUUGUGAUCUAAUCUAGAAUAAAAAGUUAAAACAAAUCCAGAGGGUCAGCACCUCUUUGACAUCUCACAGUGAAUUUCUCUUUACAUUGACCUGAUAGAUCUGAGUGCACGUGGUUCGUUGUUCCCACAGAACUUGAUGACUUUGUUAGUAUUUUAUUGUUACUCUGUCAGCAUGAUACUUGUUCAUUUGCUUUUUAUUGGGUUGUUAAUUAAAUGUCUAUAUUAAAUGCCAGGCAAAAAUUCCUGAUAUUGAGAAGUGUUUAGAGAUAGUCGCCACUCUACAGGCCAAGAAGAGUUCUGGUGAGGUUUGUUGUCUCACGCAACUCAUACUUCUGACUAUGUGAGCAAGAUUUUGGGUGAAUUUCCAUUUAUUUCCACAAGUUGAUAGGAAAGUGGUGGUUAUUUUCUUUUUAACAAGAAGCUGUGGAUUUCGGUAAUUUAGUUGAUCGGUGCCCAAUUGAUUGACGACCUUGUGUUGAAAUUGCAAGGCUUUGAAUCUUGAAAUGAUUGCAGUUACUUACCUCUGAGCAAAUUAGAUCGAGAUGUUCACAUGUAAUUAGAAUGAGAAAGAGACUCUCCUUCUAAAAUGCUUGCUUGGCCCAUUUAUGAAAAUGAAGAAUGUCGAUGCACAUCACUAAAUAGUAAGCCUUGUUUAUGCUCUCCACGUUAGGAAAUUUUCUCAUUUAAAGGUACUGGGAACGUGCUGAUUAGGUGUUGCAUCUCACAUGUUAUACAUUAUAAAUCUUCCUUAUACUUUAUCACAUAAAAUGGUUUGUCAUUGAAAAACGUCGGUAUUAUUUCUCAUGUCGUGCAUUAGAGGCUUUCAAUUUAAAAAGGAAUCACUUCAGCGGAUCUUUCUCGUCCUUUGAGAAAGCACAAGAGUAUAGGAAGAGAUAUUGUUUUGCAUGUUAUUCCAGUUCAGAGCCUGGUUAAUGGUAUUGCAAAAACUGACAAAAGAAAGGUGGAAAUGUAUCCAAUUCUGGAGUUCUUUCCUUUUUUUUUUCUUUUUUUCUUUUUUAAACUGUUUCACAUUGGUUGUUCUUUUUUUGGCUGAACCCUUAAUGAAGCUCAGAGCUGGUAUUAUUGUCUUGUGUACAGAACAAAAUAAACAAUUCAUUUGUUUCAUGUGUCCCUUCAUUUAAAUAUGAGAAUGCUUUCUUGCUGAUUGAAUAUUCUUCAGAAAGCAAUAAUUGUUAGAGCAAACCUCUUAGUAGAGUUAUUUACAUGAGAGUGAAUCUAACAAACUUGGGGUAAGAAGUUAGUCUUAGAAAUUGUUAACCGCGUGUGAAGUCUAAAAAGCCAUCCUUUUCCUUAAUGCAAGAUUUAAAGGCUCUCUUAUUUCUAUCUCUUGACUAAGAAAAAGGCUAAGAUUUGGAUUGGGAUUCAAUUCCAUGGUCACCACAUCUUAUCUGCAUCUUUUCCAGCAUAUCCAUGUCCAAAGGAGAUCAAGUCUGAGGGCAACACAUUGGUGGGUGAUCUGAGGAUUCUCAUUGACUUUGCCAUAGCUAGUAUCUGUUUGUAUGCACACUUCUUCUUGUUUUUGGUUUCUUUUUGUAUGUUGGCUAUUUGGAAACCCUCCCAGGGCAAUCACACAUGUCGAAAACUUGUGAUGCCGAAUAGUUCCAUAUGGUUUUCAUCUAAGCAACUAAUACCCCCUGCCUUCUUUGGACAGAGUCCUUCCGUCUCUUUGUUACCAGCUAUAUUGUGUAAGAGAACUUAAAAUUUGGCCAUCUCAUUCUCUACUGGUUACCAGUCUCUGCAUAAAUGGUGAAUCCUACCAAUACCUUCUGCCAUCAACAAAGUUUCCUGCUCAUGUGCUAUAAUAGCCAUAUCUCUGCAGUGGACAAGAACCUGUGAGAUUUGUCCUGCACAAUUAGUCCUUAGCAUCUACUAUGGGUCGCCAGGCACUCGGCCCCUCUGCCAAGACCCAUCUCUCUCUCUCUCUCUCUCUCUCUCUCUCUCUCUCUCUCUCUCUCUCUCUCACACACACACACACACACACACACACACACACACACACACUUACACACACAAACACGGACAAACACAAGUACUACUAUGUGCUGCCUCCAUCUUUCUUUGCACUGAGGUUUACUCCAUUAAAUAGGCUAUGACUGUGCUGACAGUACAUAAACAAAGGUGUGGUAUUUCUCUCAAUACGAAAAUCCAGGAUUUGAAUUGGUCAAUGAUUUCAAAUUGGGGCACCUUGAUGCAACAAUUAGUUCACCACUCCAUUCCACCACAAUGUUAUGCUCUUGUCUCCUCUCUUAUUUAUUUGAUAUGUAUACCUGCAUAAUGACUGAAGCAAACUGGCUUAUUUGCUAUAGCAAAGUGACCUGUGAUUGAGGAUGCCAUUAUAUGCGUGCACAAUGAGCUUGAGUUUCUAUUACAGUAAGAUUGAAUCAUGGCCUCAGAACUGGAAUUUAAGUUUGAAAUUCAAGCUGAACACUUUUCGGUGCAUGUAUUUUAAUUGAGGAUACUUAAUCGGUAUCUGUCAGGCUCAUGCUGCUGACGUUGAGGCUUUUCACAAAGUAAACUUGAUGUCGCAUAACCAGAUCAUAUUUUUUCAAUCCGUAGUUUUUUCUCAUUAUAACCACCAGAGUUCUUUGUAUUGUCUUAGAAUCCACCAAUUUUUUCCUUUGCAGUUUCUGUUUUUCAUCUGGAAUCCUCGACAAUCUAUCAGUCAUCUCUUAUUUAUGAUGUCAACUAAAUUUUUCUCAUAAUCUUAAUGUGCUAAAAAAUAUUAUCUUAAAAAAAUAUUCUUGCUCCUCGAUGCUCUCUUAGCCGAUCAUAUUAACCCUUUCUAUCUUUACAAAGCAAAUGGAGGAUAGGCUAGUUUAAUUCUUGCCAUACUAGGAACUAAUUUUGGUACGGUUGACAUGAUGUGAAAUAUCUAAUUGUCGUUUCUCCUUUGCAAAUGCACUUCUGGAAGCAAUAUUCCUAAUAAUCUAGGUUAGUGCUUUGAAGAGCCCAUGCUGAUCUCAAUAAUGGGGUGGUUUUAGAUUUGAACACCUGAAUAUCACCAGUAAUAUUUAGCUAGUUGCUUUGGUGUCUGAAGGUCCAAUUAGAAACUGACUUUGGGGUGGGAUUACUGUUGGGCUUAAGACCUAAGACUAUCAAAACUUAUAUGGCGCAAAAGAUAAUAGGCACCAAGCUGACUGGUUUUUAUGACUCUUUAUUUUGUAUACAGGCACUCCUUGCUGAUUUUGAAAUCUCUGAAGGCAUAUAUUCUCGAGCUCGCAUUGAAGAUACUGAUUCAGUAUGUCUAUGGCUGGGAGCAAAUGUUAUGUUGGAGUAUUCAUGUGAAGAGGUUGUACUCGAGUUUAAGCAAUGUCCCUUUCUCUCCAAUAAUGAUGUCAAGUAUCUUAUUUAUUGCAUAAAUUUAUGUUGCAGGCCACAACCUGUCUACAAAAGAACUUAGAAAAUGCUAAAGCAAGUUUAGAAGUUCUUGUUGCUGAUCUACAAUUCUUAAGGGAGCAAGUAACAAUCACGCGGAUAAGUAAGAAUUAUUUGGAACUUGGAGGUCCUUGGUUAUUUCAAGCCGUUUACUAUGUCAGUUUUGGCUAGGUCUUUUGGGGUUGAACUACUGUUGUUCUGAAUUUUCUUUUCUUUUUUUUUUUUGGUAAAAGGUAAGAAAUAUAUUAAGGAAUGGCCAAAUGUACAAAAGAUCUCGACACCAGGAACUUGCACUCCAAAUGUAUGAACAAAAGAAGUGGAAGGGUGACGAGAUGCAACAACAACAAGGCCAAACUAAGCAUAGCUAGGUCAACCGGCGACCAAACAGAGAUAAAAGCAAGGAGGAGGCCACCGUCAGUUCAAGGACCUACGGGUCCCCAGUGAAAAUAAUUGGGUCUAGGCUCCAACUUCUCUGCAGCCUUCUGUUUCUGAAAUUGUCUUCGACGUUCCUGAAGGUGAUAGCUUGUCUCGGACCACUUUGAAGAGGUGGUUCUUCAUGGCCGGAACUGAGAGAGGCUGGUCUCUAAAGAUGAUGUUAUUCCUGUUUUUCUAAAUGAUAUGACAAAGCGCGCCAAAGCAAAAACGGGCUAUGCACUUAUAGAAAUCUUUUCCCAUCAAAUAGGUAGCUGCCCAUCGGAAGUUCUCCCCCCAAGCUCUGUUACGCCAGGGUAAAUUGCAUCUGGAAGCCCAAAAGAAAGCAACACUAGCCGUGAUACAGCAGUCAAAAAACAGGUGGUCAAGAGAGUCAGGAAUAUUCUUGCAAAACGCACAGGUAGCACUUCCAAUUAUACCAUAGGACAGAAGGAGAUCCUGGGUUGGAAGCCUACGUUUGGCCAUGAGCCAAAGAUUGAGCUGAUAUCGAGGCACUAUGGCGUUGUCCCAUAUGAAAGAGUACCAAUGGACCCGCGUCCUCUUCUUCCUGAUGAAGUUCCACGCCGAUGCCAUAGUGAACUGUCCCGAAGAGCUUUCUCGCCAACAGCAACGAUCCAGGACACUCGUCAGGAUCGAAAGAGGAUGACCCCACGUUUCAAGCACCAACCUAAGAGCUUGGCCAACAUCUGACAAGAGGUCAGCAACACAAGCUUGUCUAGAGAGCCCUGAGCUGUCGAUAAGAGAAUCUGAGAAGAUCAGGUUCAAGGGCCCUCUAGGGUGCCAAUUGUCAAACCACAGAGAGGUUGUUUGUCCAUCGCCAAUUUUCCACUAGAAGGCCAUCCUGAAAUCCCUUCUUAGGAUCAACAAGCUCUUCCAGGCCCAGGAUCUAGAUGUUGGCUUCCUAGCAACCCAAAAGUUCUUAUUUUUUAAGAAGGUGGAAUGGACCCAUCUACACCACAGCGCUUCCUUGUCAGAGAACAAGAGCCAAAUAUGCUUUAGCAUGGCAGCUUUAUUACAAUCUUGGAGCCUCCUAAUACCUAGCCCUCCUUCAUCCUUUGGAAGGCAAACUUCAUCCCAGGCUACCUUAGCACCACCCCUGCCUAGGUCCGGACCUUUCCACAGGAAUUGUCUAAAUAUUUUCUCUAUCUAUUCCAUCACAGCUAUAGGUAAAACAAAAACACUAGCCCAAUAGGCUUGUAUAGCAUGAAGAACUGACCUGAUAAGCUGAAUCCGACCAGUAAUAGAGAGGAAACGGUGGGUCCAAGACUGAACCCUUGCAGUGAUACGAUUGACUAGGGUACAACAAUCUGCUUUGUUGAUCCUCGAAGUGAUAAUGGGAACCCCCAGGUAUCGAACUGGCAAGCUUCCUUCUCGAAAGCCCAACUCCAAGAGAAUAUUAUUCCUUAAGGAGGGAUUGCCACCUGCCAAAAAAAUUUCACUCUUGCACGGGUUAGGACAAAGGCCACUCCAAGAGGAAAAGAUAUUAAGACCUUCCUUAAGGAGAGUCGCCGUAGGAAGAUUCGCCUCACAAAAAAGGAAGACAUCGUCCGCAAAAAAGAGAUGUGAAAGACCCACUGCCUUGCACCUCCAGAAGAACUUGAAAUCAGGCCUUGAAGAGUACUUAAGAAUGAUCCCUGAAAGCACUUCCAUGACCAUAGUGAAGAGGUAAGGAGAGAUGGGAUCACCUUGGCGAAGGUCUCGACCGCUCGCAAAAAACUCGUGGAGCUCUCCAUUCAAAGCAAUUGAGAAUUUAGGAGUGCGUACACAAGUCAUAAUAAGUCUAGUCACAGACUAAGGGAAGCCAAAGGCCAGCAACACACUUUCAAGGAAGUCCCAAUCCACAGUAUCAUAGGCUUUCCUGAAGUCCACCUUUAUCGCACAUUUAGGGAGAUAGAGCUCAAGGUGGAAGCUAGAGAAUAGCUCCUGAGCCAGCAAUAUAUUGUCCCUGAUCCGCCUACCUUUUACAAAAGCAGUCUGAAAGGGGCCUAUCGUGCUCUUCAAAGCUAGGGCCACCCGAUUUGCUAGCACCUUUGUAAUACACUUGUAGAUAGUGUUGCAGCAGGCGAUAGGCCUAUAAUCCUCCACAGAAGUGGCAUUGAGCACUUUAGGAACCAUUACCAAGAUGGUAUUGUUAAUCUCCCUCAAGAGUUUACCGGAGGUGAAGAAAUCCAACACUGCGGUCGUUACUAAAGGACCAACCUUGUCCCAGUUUUCUUUGAAGAACUCCGCUAUGAAGCCAUCCGGCCCAAGAGCCUUUCCCUUAGGCAAGGAGAAGAUAGUGUCCAGGAUCUCCAACUCUGUAACUGGCCGAGCAAGAAGCACAGCCUGAUCAAGUGAGAGUGGAUGGUGGAUAACCUCCCUCAAGUCCUCUAACGAAGGUCUAACAAUCUCCCCUUGCGGCGCCAAGAGGUCCUCAAAGAACUUUACAAAUCGUCGUUGCACCAGCCGUGGCUCCGUCACUAGGUUCCCCGAAGAGUCAAGGACGGAAAGGACUCUGUUCCUCAACUGUCUUUUGUUGACAUAUUGGUAUUUCGGUCUCCCUCCCUGAGCCAUCUGAUCCUAGACUUCUGCCUGAAGAAUGACUCCUCCGAGGAGCGCAACUCUGCAAAGAUACACCUUUGGUUCUUUUCCACCUCAGCAAGGUCAGCAGAAAAGGGAUUUAGCUGUAAUUCUGCUUGAGUGGCCUCCAUCAUCUUUCGCGCAUCAAGAGUUCUGGCAGAGAUAUUAGAGAAGGAAUCUCUAUUGAGCUGCUUGAGCCGACAUUUAAGAGCCUUGAGCUUAGACACAAGCCUAUACAUAGGAACACCACUCCCCGUCGCAUCCCACACUUGCGAGACAAUCUCAUUGAACUCCGGGUGCUUCAUCCAGAAGUCGAAGAACUUGAAGGGCUUCCUCUGAUGAGUCGGAUUAAGCACCUUCACCACCAUAGGCGAGUGAUCUGAGAUUCCCGGAGCAAGGAAGGAGGCUUCCGAGUAAGAGAGAUCCGAGCUCCACUUGGCGUUCACUAGAACCCUGUCAAUCUUUCUUGCUUUCCUAGAAGGCCCUGAAGACGUAGCCCAAGUGUAUCUAAAACCAACAAACCUCGAGUCUUCCAGCUCGGCUUGCUCCAAGCACUGUCCAAACUCAUCAAAGCAAGGGAGCCAAUCUUCGGAGCCACCGACACGGUCCGAUGGAUCCUUAAUAGCAUUGAAAUCCCCCAAGACAAGCUAAGGAGUGUCCCGGGAGAUGGGUGCUUUUCAGAAUGAUAUCCUCCCACAGCGGUCUCCUCAGCGAAAAAGAGUGAUCUCCAUAGAUAAAAGACAUACAGCAAGCCACCCCAGAGCCCAAGCUCUCAAGAUUCCCAUGAAUCGCCUGCUUGGUAAGUGAGAAGGCUUCAAACUUAACUCUCACGGGGUCCCAACCGACCCAAAUUCUACCCUUGGGGAAGAAAUCAUAGUUUGCAAUCCAACACCAAUCCCUCAAUAGACCUUCGGAUAUGGAGUUAAAGCAAUCUUGUGGCACCUUAGUUUCCACCAAACCAAUACAGCACAAGUGGUUCGAAAUAAUAAAAUUACAAAUCUCCGCUUGCCUAGUCGGUUCAACCAUGCCCCUAAUAUUCCAACAUCCUAUAUACAUAUCUACAAAAGAGGAAAAGAGGAAGGGUUACCUCCUUCUCGGUGGCUUGCGACGGCUCGGAGGGGGAGCCGCUCGAGCCGAUGGAGGAGGUGGGUCUGGGGAGAGCGCCAGGGGCUUGUCCUGGGUAGUCUCCUCACUUCUUCUAGUUGGAGGAGCCUUCGGCGAUAGACAUGGAGGAGCUUUCGGCGAUAGACAAGGCGAGAGAAGAUCAUCAUCUGAGCUAUCUAGGUGGUUGACAGUCUCAUUCAACUCCGCUCCACUCCCCAUGCCCGCAUCCGGAUGGCUAAUGGAGUCUUCCUCCAUUGUCGAGGUGGGGUCAUCCACCCUGAUUAGGGCUCGAAACCCACUCUGAGCCCUCCGGGUAGAGGUUGAUGGCAAGCUUUUAAGAGCUGCUGCUGUCUGCUUGAGGGAUGGUUCCUCUUCUCCGAAGCUGACUGGAUGGUCUAAGCACGUCUCCUUAGGAGGGGGGGAUUUCUUCUUCUUUCCCUUGACUUGUUUCCACCCAAAUUCAGCCUCAUUCAGAUCUACCACCAACACUGGGGAAGUCUCAGGGGGGGCGGGCCUCCACUGAGGGGGAGGAGAUAGGCUGAGCCUGCUUGUGGCCUUGCAUCGCCUUCCGACCAGCUAAAGAGGCUGCACAAUUGUGCCCAAAGGAGCCACACUUCAAGCAUUCCGCUGGCUUCCACUCAUAGUCGAUGGCAAUGGACCGAGCAACUCCAUUUAGUCUUACCUUGGCCGAGGAGAACCUUGGUUGAUUAACUUGAAGCUCCACGCAAACUCUUGCGAAAGAGAUCCUUUGAGUUUGCUCCGUGCGUUGAUCAACAAACAAAGGCUUGCCAACAGUGCUCGCAAUAACGCUAAUUGUCGGGGCUGUCCAGAGGUCAAGAGGUAGGUUCUUCAGGCGAAUCCACACCGGCACCGUGGUUUGCUUCUCCCUCUUCAACUCUAGCAGAGGCUUCCAUUGUUGCAAAACGAGCGCAACCCUUGCAACCAUUAUAGGACCGUCUUCCAAAAUCUUCCUUCGGAACUCGGGGUCAGGGAUGCGGAAGAAAAAGAAGCCCUGGUCAUCGGCGAAAACCUCAACAAGCUUCGAUCCCCAACUUGGCUUGAGCGUGUUCUCCGUGAGCUGGAACGGCAAACUCCUUCCUACAUAAUACCCAACCAGGCACUCAUGCCAUUUGGGAUCCACCACAUCUAACACUUCAUCAGGGAGAUCCACCACUGGGAUAUCAUCCUCAAACGAGGGAGGAACAAAGGUAAGGUCAUACCCUUUCGCUGCAAGUUUCGCAACAUUUGCCCACGUCCGGAUAGCCGGGGCGUCUGUUUUCCUCCCUUGCUUUUGCGAGGCCUGGGGCUGUUUGGAAGCCGACCUCACUCUGCUUCGUCCUCUCGAACGCCUAUCACGGGCUGCAUCCUUAGGAGGACCACGGUUUGAGGUCUCCGCUGAUGCAGAAACCUUGCCCGUGAGCAAGGAGGACCGGGCCUCCUUGUUUCGAUUGAGAGGGCUAGAAGCCUUCUCCGUUCCAGCUCUCAACUGGGCCGCAAUACUUGGCUCACCAACCACAGCAGAUGGAGCAGCCAUAACUACAAUAAUACCUAGCCAGCUAAACCCGAACCCUCUACACAGCAGCCAUCAAGAGAGCGAGAGACUAACCGGGCGUUCUGAACGGACUGACCAUCUCUACUAGAGGAUGAUUUUCUAAGUGGCGUGAGGCUAUAAAUUGGGAAGACAUGUUAAUUGGUGAUAAGUUGGAGUGUGGUAGGUUUGCACGAAAGUGAGGGGGGGGGGGCGCGGGAGGGGAGGGAGGGGGAUGGUUUGAAACAGCCCUUUAGAGGUGAAUUUUUAUUUGGCAGGUUACGAUUGCUCGUGUGUAUAAUUGGGAUGUUCACCAAAAGAGAAUCCAUCAAGCUGGUGUUCCUGCCAAAGACUCUUAAAGGAGUCUUUUCAACUUGGAUCAUGGUAGGAGAAUGCGUACUCCUGAAUGAGAGUAUGACUUUGAUCUCCGCAUUUUUUAUUAGGUGAAUGAAUUAUGUACCGCUUUGUGAUCGCAAUGGUUAAGACCGACUAUGGGUGAUUUUGGUUAGGUUGAGUUAGAUUUACUGCAUUACACAAAGCUUGUCAUGUAAACGAUUUCUUGAGAACCUCUUGAGCUUGAGUUUUCACUUACUGUGUGCAGUGUGCUAGUUUUGAGUUGACGUUGGAUCCAUCAAUGUUUUGUCGUUUCACCUUGACUAUGUAUGUUUAGUAAGAACCAAUUUAAAUUUGAAUUCGGGGGAGAAACAUGGGCCUGCCUGGGGUCCCCUGAGGAAUACGCGUCAGCACGAGUGUUUUUGGAUCAAGUGACUUAAUGCUGGAAUUUUGGGUGGGGCUCUUGUUGUCAGAUCUUGAAGAUUUCCAUUAUAUUAGAGCAAUUUAGGUACAGUCUGGGUAGAAAGUCCGUGCCAUGACAAUUUGUGUGUGUAUAUAUAUAUAUAUAUAUAUAUAUAUAUAUAUAUAUAUAUAUGUAUGUAUGUAUGUAUGUAUGUAUAUAUAUGUAUGUAUGUAUGUAACCAAUCUAGUUGAUUUCCAUUAUAUUAGAGCAAUGUAGGUACCGUCUGGGUAGAAAGUCCGUGCCAAGACAAUUUGUAUAUAUAUAUCACUAAAAUCAACUUUUUGCAACUUUUAAGUUUUUAAUGUAAGUACAUUACUCAGUCAAAUUUUCAAUUCGAGCCAAUACAGUAGUGCCAAGCUCUGAGUUCAACUCCUCUUAGAUAUUCGAUGCUCGAAACUCCCCUCAAAUAAUGGAGUAUUAAAAGUUUGGCUUGAGCUUCACCAAACUAGAAUCAAGAUAUUCAAGAUCAAGUCGACUCGAAACAAUCAAAUUAAAGAGUGGGCUUGAGCUUAAGCUCAUUAACUUCAAAUAUUAUCCUCUACAUUUAUGUGCUUUAAGUAUACUACAAUUUGCAAAUGUCUUCCCCUCUAUUUUUGUGAUUAUCAAUUAUUUUCUGAACAAAAUAAUAUAAAUUGGAUUGGAAUUGUGAUUCUCUCGAGGUUGAUCCUGACUCUAUGAAAUUCUUGGUGUAACUUCAGUCUAGGCUCGACUCAAAACCAGACUAGUCGAUUUCAAUUAAUUAUUAAGUCAAGCUUCAAUUAGUCUAAGCUCGACUCCAAACUAGACCAGUCGAUUUCAACUAAUUAUUAAGUCGAGCUUGAAUUAGUCCUAAGUUGGACUCAACUUCAACCCUACUGCUAGGCUUGCAAAGUCCAAUAUAUGUAUGAGGACUUUCAUGGGCCAAAUAGUAUUUCCGACGUUGAACUCCACAUUAUGUGAUGCAAGCCAUUCCUUGGUAGGAGGGUCUCGCACAUCUCCCCGAAGAGUUAUGACCUCCGAAUGAACGCGAAUUUCUAGAAAAGUUGAUGGGAAAAAGUAUAUGAUCACAAUUCAAUGGAGGCAAUUAAAAGUCCCAAAGGGACAAUAUUUCUUUUUCCAUGUGAAAGAAUGUAUAUUUAUUAUGUACAAUAAUUAUUCCUCUGAUCAUGAAUAUACCAAGAUGAUGGAAUGCAAAAGGUCAUUAGUGAAUUUGGGAAAAUUUGUUUGUUUUCUCAAACAGUCUAUUAAUGUUACAUCAUGCAUUACAAUCAAUCUACGACUCUUGAAAGCAAAAGGUGACUUGGAGCCAAAUUCAAAUUUCACAACUUUUUCAUGGCACAAGAUAAAAGAUUAGUAAGUGGAAUAAAGGCAAGUAUCAAUUGAUCAAGCAAAUUAGUGUGAAUAUGGAUUAAAUAUUAGAAGAUCUGCUUUGUUGGGCUUAGCAAAAGCAAAAUGAAACUUCGGCCUCAUGAUUUUUUGUGGUUGAAUUCCUUCUGAAUUUAAUGAGCAAAACAAAAACAAUUGUGCGUGGUUGUAUAGUAAAAGUUCCACCGUGAAAGUAAGCAAUAAUUUUGCUGCAAUGAUCUCGGGGUGAACAGUAUCUUGUCUGCCAAUACUGGAGACCUGAUAGCAUAGUGUAAAUAAGCAAUAAUUUUUUCUGUAGUGAUUGGACAGUGAAUAGUAUUAUUACACGUGUUGCUACAGCUUCCGGCGGCUAUCUUCUCUUAAUGAUUUUGUUCUUCUUCUAAUAGGUCGACCCCACGGCAAUCAUCUUCUUUUGUAUCUCCGCUACGAUGUGAUUGGUAGGAACUAGCUUUUCAUAGUUGGUGGGCUCCUUAAUUUCGGAAAUGAUUUUCUCCAUUACUGAAACAUAUUCAUGUGGUGAUUGCGCAGUAGCAAGGUAGGGCUACUGCAAGAGAUUUUCGUUGCAAGAGUGAUGCAUUUGAUGAUCCAUCUAAUGUUGUUUGUGAUCUUGUGGUGAUUUGGGCGUAACGGUUGUUUAACCAAUUAUGGACUGAUUCUUUAGAAGUUUGUAUCGUCAAAGAGCGCAUAUAGCAAAGUUUAUCCCUACUCCCGCAAUUUAUGCAUUCCUACCGUAAAAGCCUGCAUUUAUUUCUUGAGUUACACACAUUUUCUUGAUGAGUGAUGACCAAGCCUCACCUAGCCACGACAAAAAGUUGAUGGAGCAAUCUAUCCUGUAAAUAACAAAAUUCACCCAAUUUUCACUAAAAAGACAAAAUUGUUUUAAAUCAUUCAGUCUCAAUUUAAUUGAUAGCCCCAAAUUCAUGAACUUUUUUUUGUUUUUGUUUUUCUAUUUCAAUGUAGGAUUUCGUUACCAUAAUUAAGAAUUUCACAUGUCUAGUUUUUCUUUGUAAUAGGUAUUUCAAAUAUAUUUAAAACGCCAUUUCUUUUUUCACUGCUAGAUUUUUCUUCCAUAAAAAUUAGUUUUGUCUAAAAAAGAAAUUUCCAAGAAACCUAGUAUGUCAAGCAAAUUUAAGGAUGAAUCUAGAAAAAAUUAUUAUAUAAAUUUUUUUUGACACAAACACUUGUUUACAAAUUUUCAAUUUUGUUGUGCAUAUCACUAUCAAACUCCUUCUUUUAUCAUUUGACCAAAUAAAAUUCCUUCUUAUCAAUUCUCUUCUAUACAUAGAUACAUGCAUGCAUGCGUGGAAAUUUAUCUAAUCUUCUAUCUAUCUAUAUAUAUAUAUAUAUAUAUAUAUAUAUAUAUAUAUAUAAUGGGAUGAUCGGAGAAAUCAAGAAGGACUAGCAAAGAUUUUGAACUUAUUUCAAAAUAAAGAUUCAAAGUAUUAGAUCAAAAUCUUGAAUUUAUUUGACAAAUUUAGAUAGAUUAUCAAAAGGGCCUUUAAAUUUUUGUUAUCAAUCAAGAAGGACCAACAAGGAUUUUAAUAGUGCAUUACAUUUCAAUACAAUAUAUCACAUAUAAAAUUAUUGUUCAGUUUGAUCAAGGAAAAAUUGAUCAUGUCACUUAAUGCGACAUUGGAUUAAAUAUAAGGAGAUCUGCUUUUUUGGGCUUAGCAAAAGUAGAAUGGAAUUUUGGCUCCAACUGACAAAAGCUAAUCCUUUUGAAUUGAAUGAGCAAAACAAAAGCAAUUGCGCGUGAUUGUACAGUAAAAACUCUAUAGUGAAAGUAAGUAAUAAUUUUGCUGCAAUAAUCUGAUGGUGAAUAGUAUCUUGUUUGCUAGUAUCGGAGGCCCGCUGGCAUAGUGAAAGUAAGCAAUAAUUCUGCUGCAGUGAUUAGAUGGUGACCAGUAUUAUUGCACAUGCUGCAACAAUUUCUAGCGGUAUCUUCCCUUGGUGAUUUUGUUCUUCUUCUAAUAGGUGGACCCCAUUCCAGUCAUCUUCUUUUGUGUCUCCAUUACGAUGAGGAAAACAAAAGCAAUUGUGCGUUAUUGUACAGUAAAAGUUCUAUUGUCACGCCCCGAUCCUCAGGCACGCACACAUCCCUUACCUUGGUCGAUUAAUAGCGACGUCCCAGGACGCAUCGCCGAUCCUUUUAUAUAUUAAGCACAUGCGGAAGCAGUUAUAAAUCCCCAGACAAUAAAACAAUGGGAUAGGAAAGUAGGCCAUAUUUUUCAUAUUGAAAUUCAUAACCACACUUUCUUUAACAGCACAACUCAUAGUAUAUUUACAAUACUAUUUACAACAUAAAAGUCUCACACCCAUCUACAUUAAGACAUGGUGCACAAAAGGGAUGGGAUCUCAAUCCACAUCUAGGUUGUACUCAAGAUCCCUCUCUGGAUCAUCUUCUACUUCAAAAUACUUUCUCCCCUUCAGGUUCUUCCUCCUCAACUUUUCCUCAGGGUCCUGAAAUGGUUAUUCAAUAACCAAUGAGACCACGUCUCAGCGAGUCCUACCCCCUACGACUCGAUUAGUAAACUAAUACACCAUACGGUUGCCUAAGCACAACGCGAGUCAGAGGACUUACCUUAGCCUCAGUUCCAACCUGCAAUUCAAGGUUAAACAUAGAUAUCCAAACAAUUCACGAAAUCCGAUCAAGCACUGGUCAAUCGACUAAGUCGAUUACAUGUCAGUCAGACCCUUUCUAGGUCAUUCCCACUCAUACCACGAUUUCUCAAUGGUGUACUCAUUCACCAAAUCACAUGUGUUUCUCGGGCGUCGUUUUCGCCAAUGACAUACCGAUCACCGACACCGUGCGUUCUUUAAGGCGCCGUUUUCACCAGUGAUAACCUUGAUCACCGAACCACGUGUCCUUUCAAGGGCGUCGUUUUCGCCAAGGUGACAUCGGCUAUAGACAACAUCGUGCGUUCUUUAAGGCGCCGUUUUCACCAGUGAUAUUCCCAUAACCACCGAACCACGUUUGUCUAUAAGUCAUUUACGUGCGUUCUUUAAGGCGCCGUUUUCGCCAGUAAUACUUCCAAUCACCGAACCACGUAUGUCCAAUAAUAUCGUACCUGAUUGGUCUCACCAUUCUCCCUACUAUAUAGCCCAUCAACGUACUGGCGCUAUAUACUCAUGCUCGACCAUUACCAAUCAAAUACUCAAUAACAAACAAUUUGGGACAAUUCCUCAAAUUUCACAAUUUAAAUCAAUUCCAUAAAAAUUGAAGCUCAAUUAAAUAAACGGACUGCACCACGACAAUCGGCACGAAAUUCCAGUCACCGGCCAUCCCGGUUGAAUUUCCGGAAAAAUAAUUAAUUAAAUAAAUAAAUUUCGAAAAUAAAUAAAUAAACAUUGAAAAUCCAAUUUAGGCCCAUAUUGCCUUAUUGGAGCCCGAAACGGGUCGGGAAAAAUCCCGAGAUACAUUCAAUAAAUAACCAAACAUUUCUACUUGCUAAUAGCUAGGUCUAACCACCUAACAUGCAUCCUCAAGUCACUAAUUUAAUUGUUCUAACCUAAUCUAACCACCUAAGUGCAUGUAAUUAAAUCUAACCAACCCUAAGACAUAAUUAGCAAACUAAUAAAGCUUUAGUGAGUAAAACUCACUUGAUUAAAGAUUUGAUUGGAUCAAAUCGACGAGCACGCGACAAGGCUCGAUUCUCUCCAAAGCGAGUCCGCCAACCGGGGUCAAACCGGGGCCGAAAUCGGCCUACAAGCUCGCUGCUCGAGCUGGGCUGAGUCCACUGAUUCGGUGGGCCUGACUUCAAUUGAUUUGCUGGAAGUUGGGCCUCAAAACUGAGCUGUAAACAGGUUAGGCUUGCUGGGCUGAUAGUGCUGAAGAUGGGUCGAGCUCCACGCGGGCUGAACUGUUGGAUUGGGCCACUGAAAAAUCAGAGUGGGCUUGCUGUGGUUGGUCCACGAGCAAAAGAAAUGGACGCUGGCCUCACGGACUGGGCCAAAGACACGUGAGCGAAGGAAGCAGCGGCUUGCGGCGUCGAGCUGGGGAGGACCACGCGGAAACGCUGAACUGCUGCUUCGGUUGCUUCGAGCUUCACUGGCAAGGGAACUUCGUCCGAUGCUGAGUUAAUUUCGUUGCCUUCAACGCUGCUUCGGUUAACUGGGAUGUGGCAGAGACGGAGGGAGCAGCUGCUGGCCGAAGAUGGAAGACACGCGGAUUGAAGCCCGCUCGGUGGUCAACAAAACAGGAGGUCAGCAAAGUGAUGCUGGCGUAGAGAAUUUACUGGUAGAGGGGAAGCGGUGGAGGGAUUUCGGUUGGGUCUUCGAUGGAGGAACGUGGGGUAGCAAUUCGGUAGAGAGAGAUGCGAAGAAAUUGAGGGAGGCUUCGCUGGAGAACCCGCUGGUUUGACUCGGGGAAGAUGAGCUGCAGACAAGUGGUGGCUUCGGUGGGGAUGAGGCAUGCGUGAGUGCGGCCAUGGUAGAGGAGAAGAGGAAUCAUGGGGCUGCUUCUGCGGGUUUGCUUCCGUCCAAGCAAAUUAAAGAAAGCAGAAGACGUGAGGGAGAGAUAUUUGUUUCUUGGAUAAGUGCAAGCUUGGUCAAAGAUAAAAAGGUGAGGUUGAAUUUCUGCAGGGGGAAAGCUGUCGGUGGGCAGCUAAGAGAGAGAGAGAGAAAACUAAAAGAAGAACGUGCGGGUGGGGAAGAUCGCACGCGGAGAGAGAGGAAAAGAGAUCUGUGCGGCUGAGGGAGAAAUGGAGGCGUGCGUGUGAGGGGCGUGGGUUCAAGGAAAUAUAAGGAUAAAACAAAAUCACAAAUACAAUUCUUGAUCCAUUUCAAAACCACCGUGUGAAUUGGUCACUCUAGGAUCAAUUUCUCAGCCGACUUAAACAUUCGAAAUCCAAUUUAAGACGGUCCUUUAACCCCGCAAAUUUUCUUCAAAACCGACUUCCAUUUCAUUUUUCUCGGAAUCCGAUUUUCUGAACAAAUAAAUUCGAUUGAGGUCCAAUUUGAAAUCAAAAAAAGCCCGAACAACUUCCAUUCACCGAUUCACUUACACCAGAUGUCAAAAGUCUCUUCGAAUUGACCAAUCUGAAUUUCUGCUCGUUCUCCGAAUCGUCCGUCCCGAUUUCCCCGAAAAAUCCCGAACUCUCCAGAAUUUCCUCAAAAGGUGAGCCGACGUUCCUUGAAUGACUCAUGACACGACAGGACUUCCAAUUUCUGAAAUCGAAUUCAAAUUCGCGGUUAUUUUCAAUCAAACGUGUUUUUAGUGUGACCUUACCUACCGGGUAGCUUCUAGGACUUUUUGGCGCAAUUGACCCGUGGUCGAUUUUCUUCGAACCACAAUGAACCCAUCCGACCCAUUAGCAACUCUUGAUGAUCGUGAAAAUCUCAAGGUUUCAAACACGGGCAUAGGGUACCCAAAACGACAGAAAAUUGGUUUAGUGCCGAUCGAUGAGAAUUUUGCAAUCAGGUGGCAUCACCCACACUUGAUCACAUAUCUCAGUCAAAUUGACCUAUCUCCGAUCUCUGAUCGAUUUUGACAAUGCCGUAAUGACCCUUGUAGACUAGCACGGUCGAGUAGUCGAUUUCUGGUCGAAUUCUCAAGUCUAUUGCGUUUAAAAUCCCCGAAUGGCUUCACCGGAUAGGCCAGUUAUCUCGUGAGUGGCCAACUCAGAGAAAAACACUAUAGUCACGUUGACGAAAGGCCCAUCUUAUCCAAUCGAAAUCAGAACAUGAAAUUCAGGAUGUCACAUCUAUAGUGAAAGUAAGUAAUAAUUUUGCUGCAAUAAUCGAAUGGUGAAUAGUAUCUUGUCUGCUAGCACUGGAGGCUCGCUAGCAUAGUGAAAGUAAGCAAUAAUUCUGCUGCAGUGAUUUGACGGUGACCAAUAUUAUUGCACAUACUGCUACAAUUUCUAGCGGGUGUCUUCCUUUGGUGAUUUUGUUCCUCUUCUAAUAGGUGGACCCCAUUCUAGUCAUCUUCUUUUGUGUCUCCAUUACGAUGUGAUUGGUGGGAGCUAGCUUUUCACCGUUGGUGGACCCCUUAAUUUCGGAAAUGAUUUUCUUCAUUACUGCAAUAUAUUCAUGCGGUAAUUGUGCAGCAGCAAUGUGGCUUGCUGCAAGAGAUUUUUGUUGCAAGAAUGAUGCAUUUGAUGAUCUAGCUACUGUUGUUUGUGAUAUUGUGGUGAUUUGGGCGUUUCGGUUGUUUAACCAAUUCCUGACUAAUUCUUCGGAAGUUUGUAUCUUCAAAGUUCAUUUACCCUCCCGCAAUUUAUGCAUUCUUACCAUAAAGGCCUACAUUUAUUUAUUUCCCGGGUUACACACAUUUUCUUGAUGAGUGAUGAUGAUCGUGCCUCUCCCGGCUUAUGGCAAAAAGUUGAUGGAGAAAUCCAUUUCAUGUAUAACUAAAUUCACCCAAUUUUCACUAAAAAGAUCAAAGUGCGCCAAAUCAUUCAAUUGCAAUUUAAUUGGUAGUCCCAAAUUCAUUGACUUUUUUUUUUUUUUGGUUUUUCUAUUUUAAUGUAGGAUUCAAUUACCAUAAUUAAGAAUUUCACAUGUCUAUUUUUAAAAUUUUUUAUUGUAGGUAUUUCAAAUAAAUUGAAAACACCAUUUCUUUUUUCUUUGUUAGAUUUGUCUUCCAUAAAACAUAGUUUUGUUGAAAAAAGAAAUUUCCAAGAAUCCUAGUUCUUUUCAACGUUGUCAAGCAAAUCUAAGGAUAAAUUGUCAAGUAAAAUCUAAAAAUAAAUAAAUUAUCAUAUAGAUUUUUUUAAUACAAUCACUUGUUUACAAAUUUUCAAUUUUGUUGUGCAUAUCACCAUCAAAUACCUUAUCGUUUGACCAAAGAAAAUUCCUUCUUAUGGGUUCUCUUCUACCACACAUAAUUGGAUGAUCGGAUAAAGAAACCCUCUUUAGGGUUUGAAGAUUUUCCAAAAUAAGAUCACAAUUACAUUUUCCAAUGGAAAACUUUAAAGAUGAAAUUUAAUUAAAUUAAAAAUUGCACAAAAAAUAAUUUUUUUUUUAAAAUGUUGAUGACAUCUCAUUAUUUUGAAUUGAAAAAAAAAUAAUAUCAUUGACGAAGUAUGUAUGAAAAAUUAUCUUGAUGCUUCAUUAUGCACAACCGUUUUAGUAUAUUCCAAGAUAUUCCACAACGCCUAACAUCUAUGUAAAAGCAUCUCACCGAUAGUGAGGGUAAAAGAUAAGUUCUUUAAAAAGACUUGCUAUAUAUUUUAGACUAAUGAAAAUAAAAAAAUAAAUAAUUCAGCAAGAAAGUGAGCUUUUGAAAUAAGAGGGAGAAAGAAUAAAUUAGUUUUUAUUAGGGCAAUGAUGAGAAGAGACUUUCAAGGUUUUGACUAUAUCAGAUAAUUUGUGUUUUUUUUUCUUACUAGUAGCCUUUAUAUGAAGCAUGUAAUACAUUAUAGUAAUAUGUAAGGAUACACUAAAAAAAAUUCUUUAGUACACUAAGAAAAAUAAAAUGUGUGGAAUGCGUAAUUAUGGUAACUAGAAAAAGUAGGAAAAGAAACGAUGUGUUUGUCACUUUAAAUUGCAAUUGAAUGAUUGAAGGUAGUUUAGUCUUUUUAGUGUAAAUGUGGUGGAUUUGAUCUAGCUGUCCAAAAUUUAAUGGGGAAAUUAAAGUUACAAUGAGAUAAUAUUUUCUUUUCCAUAUAGAAAGAAUGUUAGCUCUUAUGCACACUAUUUAUUCCUUCAUCAUGAAUAUACCAAGAUGGUAAAGUACAGAGGUCAUCACUAGAUUUAGAAAAAUUCCGUGUGAUUUCACCAACAAUUGGCUUUUAACAGUGUAUCAUGCGUUAUGGUGGAUCUACGACUCUCGAGGGCGGAAGGCGACUCUAUGCUGAUUUUGCAUUCACAAUUUUGCAAUGACAAAAGAAAAAGAGUAGUCAAUGGAACAAAGGCAACAUGAUCAUUUGGCUUAGCAAAAGCAUAAAGGAAGUCUGGCUCGGACUGAGAAAAGCUAACCCUUUUUAAGUUAAGAAGCAGAACAAAAGCAAUUACAAUAUGCUUUUUUCUAGACUAGAAAUCGAGGAAGAGAUUUCUCACCAAAAACAAAACGGACAAAAAGGAUAAAGUGGAUCCAUUAUACUUCUUUGGAGGUCAUGCCAAAUCGUCUAUUUAUGGAGCCAGACCACUUACAUGUUACAUCAUCUUGUGUUAUUGUAAUUCUAUAUAUGUCUAGAAGGAAAAGGGCAUUAAGACAAGUGUCUAGAUUGGGAUCCCAUGAUUCGUGCAAUGACUUAAUUGCAUAAUUUGAAUUAAAAUACAAUCUAUGAUAACAAAAAUUAGAUACAAUUCUAAAUGAUUUGUGAGCCUAUUCCCUCUCACUUUUUGUUUCUCGAAUUUAGACACCUAUAUGGGAAGCUUAAUUUUUACGUGAAAUUAAUCGUCAGUAUCAAUAAAACAUUUUAAAUUUCUGUGUGUGCGUAUGUGAAGUGAGUGUCUAUACAAUCGCAUAAUAUUAGAUUCAAACUUGGUGUCCACCUUAAAAAUGACAUUAGGACAUGAUCACAUUUUGUGUAUUUGCAUGUGUGAAUAAUCUGCAGAAAUGGAGAAUAAAUCUAGACUGCAUUCAAUGGAGCUAGAGAAAUGUUCAAUGCCUUCGAUUCAUUAGAGACGUCAUCAUCGAUCCACCAGAAAAAAGUAGUUGAUUUAACCGUAAAAUUUUGGGCCUGGCACUUAUAAGAAAGAAAAAUUUGCUCACAAAAAGAAGAAAAAAGAAAUAUAGCCCUUUGGUCGUUACAUGGAUGUUUCUACGAUCUUUCCAAGAGGCAUAUGCAAUUGUUAAAUCACAAAAUAAUGGAUCUCAACUGUGAAAACAAAGCUUUUCAAGUUUUUAAAUUCAGAAAUCACACUCUCUGGCUGGAUUUUAGGUAUGAACGGUUACCUCACUACUAUUAUUCCUGUGGCCGAUUGGGCCAUUACACUGUCUCCUGCCCGUCAGUCCCUUUCGAGGAGAAUAUGAUGACAGACUCUGGGAAAACACCUUAUGGCCCCUGGUUAAAAGCAGAAGUUCAGCAAUACAGCCCUUACUGGAAAGUCUAUUAUGAACAGUCAACUAUGGAAGAGGGGUCGGAGGAAACCGUACCUGAAACGCCUCCUACCAAUGCUCACCCUAUCCCACUUCUACCACCACCCACUCCCAAAGUACCCGCUUCUUCACAGCAGGCUACUUUGAUCAUAUCAAAGGGUUGUAAUGAUAUAGCGGGCUCAACUCCUUUGACGCGUCAUAAUACCAAUACUGCUUUAAUUCCUGCGGAGGAAAAGCUUAAAGGAGUGCAAAUACAGACCUCGGUUCCUCCAGCAAAAAAGGGCAAAAAUGUUCGUUGGAGAGUUAAAAUAGGCCCUGCUAAGAAACCACGACGUUAUAAUCCAUAUGACAUACCUGGAGGGCAACUGGGAACUGAUGAUGAUUCACUCUUGUUGGACACGCCAAUUGUCGAGGCGGCAAACGAUAGUUUGUGGGCGACGGUGGCUGGCCCUAAACAGUCACCUGUUCAAAGAUGAAACUUAUUAGUUGGAACUGUCAGGGUUUGGGCAAUCCCCUGACAGUUCAAGCUUUAAAAGCCCUUUCGGCUAAAGAAAAGCUUGAUUUGUUAUUUUUUAUGGAAACGAAGAAUGGCGAUGAAGUUUUAUCUCACCUGAAUCGUACCUUGCGUUUUUUGAAUCUUAAAGUGUUCAGCCCUGUUGGCUCUACUGGUGGCUUAGCCCUUUUUUGGAAUGAGGGUUUACGGCUGAUGGACAUUACCUCCAAUCCUCAUUUUUUUGACUUUAUUUGCCACGAUAUCUCCGUUGAUAGAUCCAUGCGGAUUACCUGCCUUCACGCACCUGCAGUUUUUCACGAUCGUCAGUAUCUUUGGCAGACUUUGUGACAGUUUAGCAAUUUCAAUGUUUUACCUUGGGUUUGCCUUGGUGAUUUUAAUGAAAUUCUUAAUCGUUGGGAGAAAAUGGGAUCUCGACCUGCUGACUCUUACCGUCUAUCUUCAUUUCGAGAUGUUCUUAAUGACUAUUGCUUGCUGGAUCUCCCUUCUCAUGGCUGUGCCUUUACUUGGUCCAAUAACCGAGAAGGGGAUGCCUUAGUGAAGGAGCGUCUUGAUCGGGCUGUUUGUACUGCUAAAUGGCGUGUCACUUUCCCAAAUGCUCAAGUGCUUGCUCUCCCUACAGUAGGAUCAGAUCACAGUCCACUUGUAUUAGAUACUAAACCCUGUACGGUUCGACGAAAGAGGCAUUUUACCUUUGAAGCUUUCUGGAAUCAGGAUCCUGACUGUAACUCGGUCAUUCAAACCUCCUGGCACUCUGUUUCAAGGCAGCACUCUCCUUUCUCAGCCAAGCUUCGAGCGGUUAUUGCUGCUUUAUCCACUUCGAGUCGAAAGAAAUUCUCACAUAAUCGGCAACAGGCAAUGAAAUUAUAGCACCAGUUAGAACUUAUGACAAAUCAGCAUCCUACUUCAAAGAAUCAAUCAAGGCAACGAAUUUUAAAAACAGAACUUCAGAAAGUAUGGCAGAGGAAGAGCAAUUUUGGGCAAUGUGUUCUCGGAUUAAUUGGUUAAAGUGGGGAGACCGCAAUACCAGAUUCUUUCAUGCCACUACACUUCAAAGAAGACAACGUAAUCAAAUCACAGUAUUGCGAGAUGCACAUCAGCAAUGGGUUCGGGAUCCUGGACAGCUCCAAGAGAUGACUACAAAUUAUUUUUCUCAGCUCUAUACAACUUCAAGCCCUAUAAAUUAUGCACAGAUCUUACAACAGUUCCCUCAGGUGGUUAAUGCAGCAAUGAAUGAAACGCUUCUUGCACAGGUAACAAUGGAAGAAGUAAAAGAGGCUACAUUUCAAUUGGGAGCUUCGAAAGCCCCUGGUCUGGAUGGUUUGAAUGGAAUAUUUUAUCAAUCUCAUUGGGAUGUACUUAAAGUGGAUAUUUAUUGGGUCGUUAAGCAAUUUUUUAAUUUUGGAUCAUUACCGUUAGCUUUAAAUAGAACUGCUAUCACUUUGAUCCCCAAAACCUCAAACCCAGAAAAGCUUGGAUCAGUAUCGUCCUAUUAGCUUGUGCAACUAUGCUUAUAAGAUUUUUUCUAAAGUGCUUGCUAAUAGGCUAAAACCCCUGCUGCCUACUUUAAUUUCUGAGGAACAAAGUGCUUUCGUUGCCGGAAGACAGAUUCAAGAUAAUGUUCUCAUAGUACAGGAAGUCAUUCAUCAGCUUAAGACCAGAAGAAGGAAGCGAAAUUUUCAAGCUAUUCUAAAAUUCGAUAUGCAGAAAGCGUAUGACCGUGUAGAAUGGGAUUUUCUUCAGGACUAUUUACUUCAAUUAGGCUUUCAUUCUCAUUGGGUCCACCUGAUCAUGCAGUGCAUCUCAACAACAACGCUGUGCGUCAAAAUGAAUGGUGAGUACUUGCAAAGUUUUAUACCUACCAGAGGGCUUCGACAGGGAGAUCCUUUAUCCCCUUACUUAUUUAUUCUCAUGGCUAAUCUUUUAUCCUUUCUAAUCCGAAAUGCUGUGGAUAUGGGCUUACUCAAAGGCAUUAAGUUGAAUCAUUGGUGUCCUGCUUUAUCACAUUUAUUCUUUGCUGAUGAUAGUGUGUUCUUUCUUGAUGGUACCUUGUUGGAGUGCCAGAAUCUAUCUAACAUAUUAAACCAGUAUUGUUUGGCUACUGGACAAACUAUCAAUAGAAACAAAUCUGGAAUUUUCUUCAGUCCAUCUUCUCCUAUUUCUCUCCAGCAAAAUUUGGCUAGUGAAUUAAGGGUACCUAUUUUACAGCGAUGUGGUAAGUAUUUAGGGAUACCUACUGAUUGGGGAAGCUCUAAAAGGGAUAUGUUUUCUUGGCUCCUCAGUCGAAUUCAGUCGAAAUUAGAGGGUUGGAAGGAGAAAUUGAUAUCUAAGGGAGGAAAGGAAGUCCUGCUCAAGACUGUGAUUCAAUCAAUUCCGCAAUAUGCCAUGUCUAUUUUUAAAAUUCCCAUUUCAUUAUGCAAAGUUAUAGAACAGCGUAUGGCUAAAUUCUGGUGGAACAAUGAUACAAGCAAGUCUGGCAUUCAUUGGCAGUGUUGGAAAGGACUACAGAAUCGAAAGGAAGUAGGGGGUUUGGGCUUCAGAGAUUUGCUCAGUUUCAAUCAAGCCAUGCUUGGCAAGCAAGCAUGGCGCCUUAUUCAACAACCUUUAUCAUUAUGGGGUAAGUUUUUUAGAGGUUUAUAUUUUCAUUCCUCCACUUUUCUCAAUGCUGUCAAGGGCUCUCGCCCAUCAUGGGGCUGGCAGAGUCUCUUGAGUGGGAGGGAAGCCAUCUUAACCAACAUUCGUUGGUCAGUCGGGGAUGGAAAAUGCAUCAACAUUAGACAAGACAGAUGGCUUCCUAUGGGCAUUCUAGAUGGACCAAAGACCCAAGAAGAACCCCUUCUAGUAGCUGAUCUUAUUGAUCAGUCUACCAGCACAUGGAAGAUAGAAUUACUGCAUAAAUUUUUCGACUUGCCUAUCAUUCAACAAAUCACAGACAUUCAGAUCAGACCUUCAUUCGCCAAAGAUGCACUCAUAUGGACAGCCACUAAUCAAGGAAUAUUUACGGCCAAAUCAGCAUAUCAUCAAAUCAUGAAGACUAAAUCAGGUAUUCCACAACUGGUGCUUCUACAUCGUAUCAAAUUCCUACCUAGCUUUGGCGCAAUCUAUGGAAGAUGCCUGCAGCUCCUAGAUCCGCAUCUUUCUCUGGUCCAUAUGCAGCAACUCCUUAGCAACGAGAGAUAACCUGCAUCGAAGGCAUAUUAUAGAAAGUCCUUGUUGCUUAUUAUGCAAAAAAUAGAUUCCAGAAACUUUAGAACAUUUGUUCUUACUCUGUUCGUGGACUAAUCGGGUGUGGUCACACUCUUAGAUCGGGAUCUCUGUCAACCCCAACAAUAUACAACGUUUGGACUCAUGGAUUGUGGCUACAGUAGGGAAUGGCAAUCGAUUACCUCGACUGGCACUUAUCUCCAAUGUACUGUGGCAGAUCUGGUGAGCUCGGAAUGGUUUCCUUUUCCAGGGAACUUUUCCCAAUCCGAUCCUGGUCGCAGAAGCAGCAUUGACUCAUUCCCAGGUCGAUCGCUUGUCUUCGCCCUCCUGCACACAAAAGGAUCGCUUGGUUAACCAUAAGGAAAAUCUCUGGCGUCCACCAGAUCCUGGGGUUCUCAAGGUGAAUAUUGACGGAUCUUUUCAACAGGGUAGCAAUCACGGCAACAUAGCUUGUAUUUGUAGGGAUUACCAGGGUCGACUCACCGAUGGAUUCUCCAAAGCAUCGCUGUGUCCUUAGCUAUGCAGGUCGAGAUCCAAGCCCUUUCCUUGACGCUUCGGCAUCUUCUCGAUCAGGGUCUCCAGAGUGCAAAGCUUCUGGUGGAAUAUGAUAAUCUCACCCUGGUGGAAACGCUGAAUCGUCGGACACAACCGCCAUGGACGGAUCGCGCUCUCUUCUCUAAGGCAGCAUUCCUGUUAACCCUCUUCUCCAAUCUCUCGCUAGGGUUCUAUCGAAGGGAGGCAAACACGGCAGCCGACUGGGCCUGUAAGGCUCAUAACCGAACUCCUUUGAAUUGUAAUUGGGCUCUUCUUCCGCCCUUUCCUCUUAUGAACUUGCUAUGCGCGGACACUAUAGCAGCUGGAUGUAUGGAUUGCUCGUAUUAAUAUAUGUUUUGGAGUUUUAACGACCAAAAAAAAAAGUUUUUAAAAAUUGCUACAAUUUGCAUUAUGACAGGUAUCGAUUGAUCCUCUAAUCAUAAAAUGGAAAUAGUUGCAUGGUUCGUGGUCUGUAAAAUAAAUGUGAUUACAUCCAUUGAUGUUUGGGCGUUCCAUGUAUAAUAUAUGUCAUAAUCAAUUUUGUGAUAAACCUGUUUUAUGUGGAUCCGAGUACUGGCAAGCUAACCCAAUGAAGCCAACAUGAGUUAGGAGAGAGAAUGAACUUCCUUAAGAAAAAAAUAUGAACUUGAGUUCUCUUUGCUUAUAAUAUACGCAAGUCUAUCCCCAAGUUUUUGUCCAGCCCUCUUGUGAAAGCAAAAGCAAAAGCAAAAAAGCACUGAAGUACGUUUGUCUAGUCAAUUCAUUUGCACAUACCCAAAUUCCACGUUAAACAGACUUGUUUGUUCGUGUGGUCGCACACAUGCGUGUUUUGCAAUUUCAGGACCGAGACCUGGAAAAUACCAAGAAACUCAGAAUGAUAUCAUCAAAAAGCAUAAAGACCCUCCUUCAAGAUUAAAAAUGUUUCGAAAAUCUCAACUUUGUUGACCUCCUUGUGGAAGAGGAACUGUACUUUCUUCGCAAUUUCCACCAAAGAAUCGGCUAGGACUCUUUUAGCUCAAUGAAAGGGAUCUAUUUUGUACAUGUAAUUUGCAAGGCAAAACUCAAAUUGCGUAAAAGACUAGAAUUAGCAUGGACCUAAAAUUAAAGAAUAUAGAAAACUUUAAUCAAUAUCUUUCAAUUUUUUGAACCAUUAGGUGAAAUCCAAGUACAUAGACUUCGAAGGAGGUCAGCCAACUAAAAUUGCCCAAUCUAUUAUGUAGAGUAAAACUGAAGUUGAAAGAGUGGUUGCUCCUAUACUGGUCACGCGACACUUCUGUAUAGCUCAAUACUUAUGACAUGAUGUGAUAUGACACUUGGUAUUGUGCUGCCAUGUGGUCCAAUGACCUUACAAAUUAUUUCUAUGUCAUCUUGUAAUUCAUGUGUUAUUUUCUAGUGCUAUUUAUAGAUAACAUCAACAUUUAAUCAUCUUCAAAUACUAGAAAAAAUGAUUAUAUCUACAAGUAGGCUUAGGCAAAACAAUUGAUUUAAACUUAGCCGAAAUGAUUGAAUUAAAUAACGAAAGGAAUGGAAAUGUGUUUUAUAAGUAGUACAUACUCCAAUAAUUGUCCUCUUCCACGGAGCGUCCACUUUUUUUUUUUUUUUUGCUUCAAAAAUCUUGAAAAUUAAUGUUACACUUUUUUUUUAACAAAACUUGAUCGAACUUGGCCCAGCAUAACUUUUCUGUAUAAUGUACAAUUGAAGCCAUUUUCCCCCCACGGAAAGCCGGUGACUUCAAUUUUGCUAAAAUGCAAUUCACCUCAGAUUAUGGCAUUUGGAUGGUUGGGUCGGAUAGAUGAACUUGGCAAAAAGUGAUGGUAUUUUCGUAAUAAAAAUUCCGAUCUUUGUGAUUUUUGUGGUGUUGGAAAGCUUAUCAUUUAAUUUUAAGAUGAAAUCAAUCGAUUGGAUAAUAUCAUAAAGUUUCCAACACCUCAUGAUCAGACAGCUGUGUUAGAAAAACUUGACAUCUUAAGAUCCAGUGAUUCAAUUUGGGCAAAUUGGGUAUCUUCAAAAAGCUUUUGACAAGUACAACUCAAUUAUACCCUUUGACUGAACUUUUAACGAGGUUGGCCUCUCGGUCGACUUUGCUAUGGCAUUGGAGGGUCGCUUGUGUCUUUAGUGACCUUCCGCAUGUGUUCAAUGAUGCAAUGGAGGCUCUGUCCACCAGUGAUUAUCUAUGGAGCAAUCGAGCUUCGUCAUUUCUAUUCCUUAUUUGAUGAAGUUAGCCAACAAGGAGAAUGAUCAUUUUACAGUCCAUUCGUCAUUGCCGAAAUAAUAUUUUCUGGAGUUCUACUAUUCUUUUGGUCUUUACUAUGUUGGAUCCAAAUUGAACGUGAAAGAGCUCGGACUUCUGCUUCUAACAUAUUAAGAAAACUUUGGCCUUGAUGAAUUUUGUUAUGUCCGACAAAUCUUGGCAACGGCGAGGACUUGGCUACAUAAUCUGUAUGGUAAGUAUUUUCCUUGAUAUGAUAAGCAAUUGGCCAUAGACAAAGAUGCCAACCUCAUCUAGCAAACUAUCCACAAACAUCUAGGACCUAAUAUGCCCAAAUAAAAAAGCACCUUUGAGCUCUCAGAGCACAUCAGCGGGGCAACAAAAGAUUAUUAAUUAUUCUUUAUUAAUGAAUCUCAUUCUUUCUCAACUACAUGGACUUUACACUUUUUUUAUAGCCGUGUCUUCCUCCUAUCUUAUCUCUCGCUCGGCACAGAGCUACGUACCGUAAGCUCGUAACUAAGUAGGGGAUUAAAUUGGGUCGAAUGUUCUUGAUCAGUCAGACCAGUCAUCCUCAACUAGCGUGCACCCUUUCUCGGGUUCAAAGGGACUCCCCGUCGUCAAGAUCUAGCUAGGAACAAAGGUUCUCUCUCAUUUCGAAGCUGCAAAAACGCUCAUUUCGUUUCAUGCUUGUAUAGCCAAAGCAAAAAGUAAAGAGCCUACGUAAUGACCCCGUUUCAGACACGUGGAAUACAAAGGCUGAAAUUAUUUGGGGCCCACAAGCGUACCUAUCCCACGUCGGGACGUGAAAGUCCAAAAUUACCCCCCGCACGCAGGAAAUGGGAAAUAUUAAGAGCCUUUUUUAUAUAUUUACGGAUGAAGAGAGAAGGGGGAAAAUAAGCAUUUUAGAAAUGUGACUGCCAUGUCAACUGGUUAUAUUUGAACAUCUUGACCAAAUUGGUCUUGAUGGGUUAUCAACACUGUGAGCCUCCGUUACAUCCCACUCGAUGCGAAGGAGUAUAAGAAGAAGGGUGCUUUGGUCAUGUGCCAAUUUCAAGAUUCAAAACAUCACAAUUUCAGCAUAGGGUUGUCCGGCCGAGUAGCAACUACAUCUAAACCCUUCUCGGUAUCAGGAAUAUAGCUAAUGAAUUAAUUACACAAUAAAAUCCAAAUGAAUUAUGAUGCUUAGCAUGAUAUAAGAAAUGACCCAUUAUGAUAUGAUAAUCUCUCUUUCAAUAGAUCUUGAAGUUAUCUAAUCAUGAAAAUUAUUGACUAGUUUUCAUGUUUCAAUUUGAAAGCAUUAAAGGGAAAAGGAUGGCUUUUUAAAGUCCUACCAAAUAAUUUAUUUUUAAUAAUUGAGAAUAGAAAUCAAUAGUCCGAGAAAUUUUCCUUAAUGAAACGAACCAUUGUUUCUUCAUGUUCUUCUCUCCUCCCUUGGCCCCUUCUCCUUCUCCAUUGACGUCGCUUCAGUGCAAGCUUCGACAGCCUUUGGCAGCUUUCUAGCUCAAGGAAGGCGGCCAAUACAUGAUUCAUGAAAUCUUUAAAAAGGGAAACAUUCGAUCAAAUUUCAAUUUGUUGAGUUCUUUCACCCCAUGGUCCAUAUGCUCGUAAAACCAGAGUCCUAUAGUUUAUCAUCUCUCGAAUUGUUGAUAUGAAUGCCAAGUACCAGAAUAUGACUCCACACUUUAUUUAUAUCAUGACCAUGUAGAAGCCACAACAAAACUAUUGGACAUUUGCCGGAAACCAUGAAAUGAGUGGAAUCGGUAGACCAAUUCUGCCAAUGUUAUUUUGAACAAGUUGUCUUUAGUUUUAAGGUGUAGUUUCCUCAAACCAUCCCAACAUGAUGGUCUCGUAUACUUGCAAAAAUGAUUGUUAUUAAGUCUUGACUUAAGAUUAACCAACUUGAUCAAAAAAUACUUUGUAACAGAAGAGUCCUCAUUACAUGAAGCACCAUUGCCCACAAGGACCAUGAGAAUGAUUCCUUGAAAGCAAGAUGAAUUUCAGCUCAAAACUUGAUAAAACUUAAACUCAAUUUGAACUUAACCUUCACGCGACUUCAUCUACCAAGCAUGAACUCCCAAAAAGUUGCUGAGAGAUGGGGCAAAUAUCCUCGAGUCUCGCACCAAAGUUCCCGCGGAACAGCUAUGCACCACCCUUUUUUCCUCACUUUUUUGAAUGGGUGGAAUCCACGUGGCAAACUUAGAGUCGUUAACUUUUCUUUUAUAAAGAAGAGUAGUCGGCCACUUGAAAAUUUUGCAAUUUGGUCUGUCGGGGGAUCCAAUUUUUUGAGGGCUUUUUAAAUAUUUGUCCGGUCGACUUGAUCUCAGAUGCGUAGGCAAUCUUUCGUAUCUUUGGUUUGAUUUACUGGGCGAUGAGAAGAGUGAGCCGAGGNNNNNNNNNNNNNNNNNNNNNNNNNNNNNNNNNNNNNNNNNNNNNNNNNNNNNNNNNNNNNNNNNNNNNNNNNNNNNNNNNNNNNNNNNNNNNNNNNNNNAGAUAAGGAAAAAAAAAGAGAGAAAGGAAAAUACUUAUUUGUAAAAUUGUUUCUUCAAAUAAGAAGUUUUUUUUUUUAUUUCUUAUUUUUGUUUCAAAUCUAUCUCUGGCUACUAUUCUAUUCUGGGGAUUUAAAAAAUUAGUUGACAUUACCAAAUGGAUUUCUAUUAUUAUUUUGUUCCGGAAAACAAAAGAGUAAAAGACUAGAGAAAUUGGCAAGUUACCAUGCACACCCCCAAGGAACCAUAGAAGGGAAAUACUUGCAUGGUUCAUGGUCUAUGGACCAUAUGCAAUCACAUCCAUUGAUUUUUGUAAUUUAUACAACUAAUGAUCUUCAUAUUUGAGUUAGGAGAGAGAAUGAACUUCCUUGAGAAAUAGAAAUGAACCUGCCUUUUCUCUUUGCUUAUGAUGUACACAAGUCAAUCUUCAAGUCUUUGUCCAACCCUCUUGUGAAGGCAGGAGAAAGCACCGAAGUAUGUCUUGUCUAGUCAAUUGACUCGUUAUGCAUUGGUCUGCACAUGGUCAAAUUGCGCGUCAAAUAGGCUAGUAAUUCGUGUGUUCACACAAGUACACACAAAGAUGUCAACACUUACAAGUUCUGUUUGGAAAUUGGCAACCCACUCGCAAUACUAGCAAAGCGCGUUUUGAAAUUUCGGCCCUGGAAAGUACCAGGAAACUCAGGUUGAUAUUAUAAAAGAAAAUCAUACAGUUCACACCUCUGAGAAUAAAAUAUUUAAAAUAUCUCAACUUUGUUGGAAUCAUCGUGAAGGAGGAACCACAUUUUCUUCGCAAUUUCCAUUAGAAAAACAACGUCAAAUUAAGCGGACAUGAAUCCAAUGCCAAAUCAAGCAGUAAACAAACAAUAGAGACGAAUCAGACAAAAUCAGCAUUUGAUUUGAAUAUCAGCAUCGGUGUACAAUUUCAAUCAGCUGAGCAAUUUCAUUUUGUCAUCGUUCAAUCUAGCAUUGAAGUGCAAUCAUAACAUGCAAUCCUAGUCUAUUUUCAGCUUCAUGUAACUUUAUGGCAAUAGCAAAUAAUAUCGAGUAUGAAUGGCUUUAUGAAGGAAGGCUGCAGGUGGCUUCCAGGCAAAUGGCGCAUAGUACCAAAGUAAUAGCAAGCGGAACUCAUUUUAACUUGUCCAGAUACAUCCAACAUCUAACCGUUCAGCAACACGCAACUUAUACUUCCGACGCCACCUCCUCCCCUUCGACGACUUUCAUCAACUUAGCCUGAAUGCUUUUGUUUGCUUAUGAAGGAAGGUCGCUGGUGCAUUACAGUGCCUGUUACUCUAGACACAACUCGCCCGGUCUCUACUCUGUGAACAACCAAUUAUACUUUCGAUUGGUAUUGCAGGUAUAAGGAAGGCAGCACACGAUUGAUAAAGUUGGAUUAUGGGUGCGUUUAUUUUACGAAAAAUGAAUAAUUUAAAAAUAUUUUUUUAAAAAGAUUGUUUAUAUCGCUCAUAUAUAAUUAGUCAAUGAAAAAUAUUUCCNNNNNNNNNNNNNNNNNNNNNNNNNNNNNNNNNNNNNNNNNNNNNNNNNNNNNNNNNNNNNNNNNNNNNNNNNNNNNNNNNNNNNNNNNNNNNNNNNNNNNNNNNNNNNNNNNNNNNNNNNNNNNNNNNNNNNNNNNNNNNNNNNNNNNNNNNNNNNNNNNNNNNNNNNNNNNNNNNNNNNNNNNNNNNNNNNNNNNNNNNNNNNNNNNNNNNNNNNNNNNNNNNNNNNNNNNNNNNNNNNNNNNNNNNNNNNNNNNNNNNNNNNNNNNNNNNNNNNNNNNNNNNNNNNNNNNNNNNNNNNNNNNNNNNNCAAACCAAUUGAAAUCAUCUCUUUUAUAAAUCAUACUACAUAAAUCAUCUAAUGUUAUUACAAUUCCAUGUAUGUCUAAAUGAUAAAGUACUAAGAAAAGCAUCUUGAUUGGGAUCCAAUGAUUUACACCAUGAUCGAAUUGCCCAGUUCGAAUUAGAAACAAAUCCAGGGGCUUUUGUCUUUGCUUAGAACAUACGCAAGUUCAUCGUCAAGUCUUUGUCCAACCUGCUUGUUAAGGCAAUGAAAAAGCACUAAAGUACGUUUAUCUAGUCAAUUUGCUUAGCAUGCGCUGGUAUACACACAUCCAAAUUUCACAUCAAAUAGACUUGGCAACUCACCCACAAGACCGGCACAACGUGUUUGGCCCAGGGAAAAUACCAGGAAACAUGGGUCGAUCAUUAAAAAAAGAAAAGAAAAAGAAAAGCAUAAAGAUACUCAUUCGAGAAUAAAAUGUUUCAAAAAUCUCAACUUCGUUCGCAUCAUUGUCAAGGAGGAACCAUAUUAUCUUUGCACUUUCCAUCAAAAAUCAGCUAAAUUCAGUGAGGACUCUUUUGCUCAUUGAAAGUGAUUUAUUUUGUAAACAUAGUUUGCAAAGCAAAACUCAAAUUGCGUGAAAGAUUAAAAUGAGCAUCGACUUGAAAUUAAAGAAUAUAGAAAACUUUAACAAUGUCUUCUAAAUUUUUGAAUAAUUAAGUCCAUUUAAAGUGUGGAAACUUCUAAGUAGGUUGGCCAACUAAAAUUGCAAAGUAAAAAAUCUAGGAAGGGCACGUUUUGGAAAUUUUUUUGGAGUCCGUUCACGGGGUCUGAAUAUUAAGUAUGAAUCAUAGUUAAUAUUUUGUGAUCUAUACUCAAAUACACCCCUUGCCUAUGGCAGUGAGGGCCAGGACCCUCACUUGUGGUGGGGAUCUUAUGAUCUAUGUCCAAAUUGUAAAACUAUAAGAUAGCAAAGCAUAUUGGCUGGUCUCUUAAAAUAUGUUUUCCAAGGCAUCCCGCUCAACUACUUCUCCAGUAUGCUGCUUAGCUCAUGGGGUUGAGAAUAUAAUGUUCUNNNNNNNNNNNNNNNNNNNNNNNNNNNNNNNNNNNNNNNNNNNNNNNNNNNNNNNNNNNNNNNNNNNNNNNNNNNNNNNNNNNNNNNNNNNNNNNNNNNNNNNNNNNNNNNNNNNNNNNNNNNNNNNNNNNNNNNNNNNNNNNNNNNNNNNNNNNNNAACACCUCAUAAUGGGGUUACAUGUGUCUGCCUAGCCAUAGGCUAAACUCUCUUGGUGAUUCAUGAAAUGCUUGAUUCAAUGGUAAUAUUUUGUUCAUAAUGCAAAGAUGUGCAAUCAUCAAAUUUCAUAUCGUAAGUCAACAUUCAGAAAUUCAAUCAAUGACAUUCAAUCACUGGAUGUCGAAUUUUUCAAACAAAAAAAUGGAGUCGGUAUUAUCUAAAAGUCGUUUCUUUAUAGUAUUUGAGAGUAAUUAUUUGAAAAUUAUCACAUAGAGCCUCGGUUCACACAUCGAUGAUGUUUGAGGACUCGUCUUGGACCAUUUGCCUUAGCCGCCCAUUUGGUGCGAAUCUAGAAGGGUCUUUUUAACUCAUCGAGGAAGGCCGCCGGUAACUUCCAGACAAAUGGAACAAAAUAUCCUAGUAAUGGCUAGUGAAAUGCGUCCAAACAUUCAAAGAACAUGCAAUCAUGUAAUAUAAUUCCGAGACGACCUCUUCGUCUUCGAAGACUUACACCAAUUAUUUCCUCAAACUUAGCUUUCUAUUUGGUGCUGAGUCUGAAUGGUGUUUUUUUUUUUUUUAAUUAACUGAUGAAGGAAGGCCCCAGGAAACUUCCAGGCAAGUGGCACACGAUAACAAAGGAAUGGCAAGUGGAAAAUAUAUACUAAGUUGUCCAAUACGUCCAACAUCUAACUGAACAAAAUAAGAGAAACCUUCUGGCUAAAAAAUAAAAAUAAAAACUUGAUUAAUAUCCCGAGCCUCUUAAGCAGAGUAUAAAUGAGCUCGUUUUCUUUCUGUUCAUGAAUAAAAUUGUAAUUGAAAUAUUUAAGAUUGUGCUAACACGAAGCACAAAAAAUUGGCUUUUUACUGAUGCAUAAUGCUAGUAGGUGGAAUAAAAGCAAGAAUUAAUUGAUCAUGCCAAUUAACGCGAAUCUAGAUCGAACGUAAGAAGAUAUGCUUUGUUUGGCUUAGCAGAAUGGAAGUUUGGCUCCAGCUGAGAAAAGUUAAUCCUUUUUUAAUUUAAUUAGCAUAACAAAAGCAAUUGAAAUAUGCUUUUUCUAGCCUAGAAAUAAAGGAAGAGAUUCCUCAUUCCAAAAACAAAAUAGACAAAAAGAUCAAAGGGGAUCAUCGAUUAUGCUUCCUUUGUGGUCACGCUAAAUUUGAGUGGACCUAACGGGCCAAUUGAAAUAAUAUCUAUUAUGAAUUGUACUGCAUAAAUCAUCUUAUGUUAUUAUAAUCUUAUGAAUGUCUAACUGAAAAUGCACUAGCAAAAGCAUCUCAAUUGGCAUCCCGUGAUUCACGUCAUGAUUGAAUUGCAUAGUUCGAAUUGGAAACAAAUCUGUGGCCUUUCGUCUUUUCUUAGAACAUAAGUAGGUCCAUCAUCAAGUCUUUGUCCGACCCUCUUGUGAAGGCAAAGAAAAAGCACUAAAGUGUAUUUAUCUAGUCAAUUCACUUAGUAUGUGUUGGUCUACAUAUAGCCAAAUUCCACAUCAAGUAGACUUGUGUUGGUUGACUCGUUUUCCUUGACAAUCUAAACGCCAGAUAAAUCGGAAAAUAUAAUAUCGGAAAUAUGUUUUCCACGAAACAUAUUUGGAGAAUGGCAACCCACUAGCAAGAACAGCAAAGCGUGUUUAGAAACCAGCAAGCUUGGGUUGAUAUCAUCAAAAAAUCUUAAAAGUCACACCUUCGAGAUUAAAAUGUUUGAAAAAUUUCAACUUUAUUGGAGUCAUUGUGAAAGAGGAGCCACAUUUUCUUCGCAAUUUCCAUAUAAAACGUCCAAUUAAGCAGACAUGAAUCCAAUGCGAAAUCAAUUAAUAAACAAGCGACAGGGAUGAAUCAAAUCCCGAUAGAAUCUACAUUUGAUUGUAGUAUCAGCAUGCAAUUUUAUUUAGUGAGUAAUUUCAGUCGGCGAGGAAUUUCAUUUUGUCAUUGUUCAAUCUAGUAUCGUAGUGCAAUCAUAACGUGCAAUCUUAGUCUAUAUUCAUUUUCAUGUAACUUUAUCACAAUAGCAAAUAAUUUUGAAGUUACCAUGCAAUCGCUAGUCAGCAUAUGAUUUUAUAGCAGCCCAAAAUUUUCAAGACAAAUGUGUAUGUUCAUAGGAUCGUUAUAAGGGAUUUUGGAAGUCUUACACAACUACAACUAUUGUAUAAAAAUUCAAUCCGAUUAAUUACUUGUUUUACGUCAAGCAACUUGAAUUAGUGUCCUGGACAAAGUAACACAGUAAUGGCGAGAGUAGCACGUGAUUGUUCCUCCUAAGACUUUCAUUAAUUAUUUCUUCAACUAGUUGGUGCGAGUCUGAUUUUUUUUUUCCUUUUCUUUUUUUAUAUACAUGAAGGAAGGCCGCAGGUGACUUCCAGGCAAAUGGAGCUUAGUAACAAUGUAAUAAUAAAAUAUAUUUCUGAGAUCACGUCCGACGACGGAUGACUUCCAUCCAUUCUUUCCUCAACUUGGCCUCCUAUUUAGUGCGAUCCGUAUGGCCCUUCUUUUAAGCUUAUGAAGGAAGGCUGCAAGUGACUUCCAGGCAAAGGAUUAUUUCCUCAACCGAGCGAUCUCACUCUGUUUGCGUGGGGGCUUUUAGGCAAAGGAGCAAACUGGACAAGGUAAGGCAAGUUUCAUUAGAUGUUCGUGUUUUACAAAGGAUAGAGGGGAAGAGCUUCAUUUUUUAGUUGGUCUGUUAUACUUGUUUCCGAGACCAAACAGACUUGCCUCUUCAUAGGUUCGUUUCCACUGCCGUUCUUCAGUUAAUUUCUCUGAAUAUUAUCUCUGCUUGUUCUUUUUGCAUGCUGAACAUUAUUUUUAACUAUCGCAACUCAAGCUAGAGAACACCAACUACAACUACCAACUAGAGACUUGAAUCUUAGAGAAGUCCAGCAUUUUGUGGAGAUUUGAUCAAGACGUCCACAGCUUUAUCAAGUUGUUUCAAGGAUCAGACUCAGACUUCCGAGUCACCCAGCGGACUAGAUUAAGAGAUCAAUCACUUCAUCGUCCUCCCAGAAUGAAUAGAAAGAGUGAGGCAGAAGAGAUGGCGGUGCCUGCAGUGAUGGCGAUGGAGGCGGUGACAACAGCUCCGGCAAGUGGUAGCCAUGAUGGUGGAUCGGAGAGGGGGCUGAUGGCGGUGGCGAUGGCAGCACUGGCAAGCAGUAGCCAUGACGGCGAAUUGGGGAGAGGCUAUGAGGUAUUCUUGAGCUUUAGAGGGCCCGACACCCGCUUAACCAUCGCUGAUUUUCUCUACGAAGCCAUUAAACAUGCAGGGAUCCGCGUUUUCAAAGAUGACGAAGAGCUCCGAGUCGGUAAAGAGAUAGANNNNNNNNNNNNNNNNNNNNNNNNNNNNNNNNNNNNNNNNNNNNNNNNNNNNNNNNNNNNNNNNNNNNNNNNNNNNNNNNNNNNNNNNNNNNNNNNNNNNNNNNNNNNNNNNNNNNNNNNNNNNNNNNNNNNNNNNNNNNNNNNNNNNNNNNNNNNNNNNNNNNNNNNNNNNNNNNNNNNNNNNNNNNNNNNNNNNNNNNNNNCCUCCAAAAGCACCAGAAAGACUCCGGGAAGGAUACGGCAAAGCAGUGGGAGGAGCGAUUUAAAAGAGGUUGUCAGAAUUAAAGGAUGGAAUCUAAAAGAUUACGGGUACUGUUAGCUCUCUGUUAAGUUUAUUUCCAUUUUGUCAAUUUCGAGAUUAUUUUCUAUGGUACUUUUUUCCAGAAUAAUAACUUUCAGUUUGCUGCUGUUCAAUCUUCUUUGAUGUAUGGUUGGAUCGGACGCAGUGAGGGAGCGAGAAAUUUUGCUCUGGGAGCAAGGUUUCUUGCACAAAUUGAUUUUUCACUUUUAAUCCCAAGUUAUGGUAACAAUAAUGCACAUAUGUGUGAAAAAGAAAAUUUUAAAUCUCUUAACUUCCCAGCUUAUUUUUCGGCUAGCAAAAUAUUUCAAAAAAAUUUUGGUCGUUGCUCUUGCUUUAAACAUGGACCUAUUCACGGCCCCAAACCUUAUUUAGGGCACCACGGGGUGAAGAUUUCCUUUGCCUUGUGACCAUCCUAGUUUUAAAGUUCUCAACUUUUAUAUGAAACUACCAACCUUAAUUUGUGUCUUGCCAACUUCUUUUCGAUUAUUUUACAAACUAAUUUUGGGUUACCGGUGUUUAUUUGAGUCAUUUACUAGGUUUUAUUUGAUCGUUUGCUGACUAACAACUUUUUAUAAAACCUACCAUCUCUUAUUUGAAUUGUGUACUUCACAUUUCAAAAUUACCAAUAUUUGAAACAAAUUACUAACCCUAAUAUGAGUUUCAUACAAACUAAUCUCUAAUUAAGUUAAGAACUAAUUUAAGUUACCUACUCUUAUGUGAGCCACUUAUCAAUAUUUAAUUUUUGCUUAAAAAUUCCCAACUUUCGUAACAAAAUUUUGUUAACAACUGACCCCCUUUUAUUAGCAUAGUUCACGAACAUUCUUACAUUAGGAACUCUAUUAUCAAGUUACCAAGUAUAAUCUGAGUAACUUACCAACUUAUUCCGAUUAAAUACUAACAAAUUUAAUGUGAGUGAUGAGAUUGCUAACUUAAACUAGUUGGUAGAUUAUUCGGAAAAAUGAUGGUUGCAUGUUAUGUAUGUGGCAGCCAAUAUAAACUUACAAAGCUCAUGGUGGAAGAGGUUUCAAAUUUGCUAUGGACAAGACGAACGGACAUGUCAAAUCAUUUGGUGGGAAUUAAAGAUCGAAUGGAUGACAUUAUGAAGCUGCUAGAUCUAGGAGCUUUUGAUGUACGGUUUAUUGUGAUUCACGGUAUGGGUGGCAUCGGAAAGACAACACUAGCCGAGGCCGUCUUCAGGCAAAUCUACCCUCAAUUUUUGGGUAAUUGCUGCUUUCUUAAAGAUGUUCAAACUCAUGAUAUAAUAGGCUUACAAAAGAAAUUGAUGUUUGACGUUCUCAAUCUUAGUUGCACAAACCCCUUCUUCAUUGAUGAAGGAGCUGACAUGAUCAAGACAAGGUUUCUUGGCAAGAAAGUCCUCAUUGUUCUCGAUGACAUUGACAAUUGGGACCAAAUCAUGAGGCUUGCAGGUGAGACCAACUGGUUUGGUGGGGGUAGUAGAAUCAUCAUAACAACAAGGAAUAUUGAAUUCUUGGUAAAGGAAGGUGAGGAUGACAAUCUCCCAAUCCCUAAUAGCGGACAAUUUUCAUUCUACGAUAUGCCGGAGAUGAAUUCACAUUAUGCUCUUGAACUUUUCUGUGAGCAUGCCUUGGGAUGUGCCAAGCCUCCGCUUAGUUACAUGGAUAUCACAGAAAAGCUAAUCAAUGCACUAGGAGGACUUCCAUUGGCUCUCAAUGUCGUAGGUUCCAUGCUCCGUGGAAAAUGCCCAAGUACAUGGGAAAACGCCCUAUGUAAGUUAAAGAAGGUGAUGAAUGAGGAUGUCAAGAAGAAGUUGAUGAUAAGCUAUGAUGCAUUGGAUCAUAAUCAACAACAAAUUUAUCUUGAUAUUGCAUGUUUCUUCAUCAACGAAAAGAAAACAAUUGCAGUUAAAUAUUGGGAUGCGAUUUUUGGGUAUUCGACCGAAAUCGAGGUCAAUAUCCUCAAACGCAUGUCUUUGAUAAAAAUAUCGAACAACAAUAAACUAUGGAUGCACGACCAACUUAGAGACCUUGGAAGGAGUAUCGUCCAUCCAGAAAGUGGCGAAAUCCAUAUGAAGGGUACAAGAUUGUGGUCUCCCAAGGAUGCCUUUCAUAUAGUGCGGACAGAAACGGUAAUCUUUACCUCUAAAAUUUUUCUAGUGCAUCUAUUAGCAUCAUCACCUUUUUAAUCUAAUUUCAACUCAAACUAACAUAUGUUUUCAUUGGUUGCUACUUUUAUUUUCCAGGGAACCAAGGACGUAGUGGCGCUCAAUCUUGGUACACUUGACCCCCAUAAGACAUACAUAUUUAAGCACAAGCAAUUCAUGGGCUUGGUCAACCUUAGAUUCCUUCAAUUGAACCAUGGAAAUUUUGAAGGAGACUUUAAGAAUGUUUUCUUCGAGUUGAGAUGGCUCUCUUGGAGCAAUUGCCCUUCGAAAUUCCGAGCUACCAACUUUGGGUUGAAGAACCUAACGAUUCUCAUGCUAUCUGGGAAUAAUGUUACUGAAGAUUGGGGAGGAUGGUGUCAAAUCAUGGUAUGAUCUCACAACAUGCUUUUGCAUUACAUUUACUCUUCCUUUUGCAUUACAUUUACUCUUCCUCUUUUCUAAGUUUCAACCAAUUACUUUAUAGGUGGCGGAACAAUUGAAAAUCCUACAACUCGAGGACUGUCCAUUCCUUAGAAAGAUGCCCAAGUUCUCCACAAUCUCGCAGCUAGAGAAAUUGAUUCUUAGAUGCGUUCGACUAAGAAAGAUUGACAAGUCCAUCAGCAAUCUACAACAUCUUGAUUACCUAGAGAUAAAGAGUGAAGCUAUUGAGUUGCCAUCGGAGUCCAUCGGCGGUCUAAAAUCUUUGACAGUGCUAAGAAUAGAACGGCCACCCUCAAGGAAGCCUCACUCGAUUGGCAUUUUAGCAAAGGUGAAGUCUCUAAUCUUGCCAUGCAAGGAACUUCAAAAGCUUCCCGACUCUAUCGGACAAUUGGAGUCACUACUUGAGCUAGAUGUCCAAUAUUUAAAAAUUAGUGAAUUACCUCAUUCUAUUGGAAAUCUUGAAAGGUUAAAAGUUUUACGCAUAUGGAAUUCCUAUCUAGAAAAGCUACCAGACUCGAUUGGAAGGCUCCAAUCAUUGGUCAAGUUGGAUUUGAGCAAGUCAAGAAUUGGGAGCUUACCUGAUUGUAUUGGAAAUCUCAAAAAGUUGAAGGUACUAAAUCUCAAUGAUAGUUGCAUAAGUGAACUUCCGAAAACCAUAGGAAUGUUGGAAAAUCUGGAAAAGUUAAAUGCCCGCUCUAAACAUCUAGUGGGGGAAAUUCCAAGUGAAAUUGGGGCACUAACCUCAUUGAAAUAUCUAGACUUAUGCCAAGGUCGCUUUAGUGGAUUGCCCACAACGAUCAAUCAACUUACAAAUCUCCAACAACUUGAUUUACAGUACUGUAAUUCAAUCCAACAGCUGCCGGAGCUUCCCAAGAGUCUAAUGUUUUUAACCCUAACAUCGGAUUCACUAACCACGAUCCCCGACUGCUCAAACCUAACCAAUUUAGUUGACGUUACGAUAACUGGAUAUUCAAUUGAAGAACCCAACACAGAGGGGAUCGUGAGACUACCUGCUCUAAAAGCACUGAUCCUCCGCAUUGGAAGAAUGGCCUUGCCUCCAACUGAUUUUAGUUCCCUCUCUCAGCUACAACACCUCUCCAUAAAUUGUGCUGAGCCCCAAUCUCUUAUCGGGCUCCCAUCCAGCCUUCAAUAUUUGUUGUUAUGCAAUGUCCAGUCACCGAUAGAUUGGUCAGUCUUUUCCAACUUGGAGAAUUUGUCAAAUCUGCAUAUUGGUGGAUAUUCGCCGGGAGAGAUUCGAUUCGAGGUGCUUGGAGAGCUACGGAAAUUCAAUAAAUUGUUGAUGUCCAAUUGUCCAUUGCUCAAGACGCUGCCCCUUCUACCUGGUCUGAAGGAGAUCCAGAGUUUGACCCUAGUUCUAUUCCCUCGGCUAAUUGAGAUUCAAGGUUUGGGAGAAUUGAAAUCAUUGCAGGAUUUGCAUAUCUUGGAAUGCAAUUCCAUCAAAAGCUUAAACGAAUUUGAUCUUUCUAAUCUACAAAAUCUGAAAAGUUUGAGGUUCUGUGGAUGUAAAUCAUUGGAGAGGGUGCUUGGUGUGCCAAAAUCUUGUCAACUUGAGGUGGAUGAUUGUCCGAGGUUCAAUAAAGAUGGAUAAGAUAUGUAUCAUUUGAUUGGCAAAGAUAGUCGAUGAUGGUAAGUCCAUAGAAAUAGAGUUCAUUUUUUGUUGUGUCCUGUUUUGUGAGUUUUCCUUCAACUAACCUUUCAUCUUGGUUUUGGAACCACCUCUUGCAUUCGUUCAUCCUGUUGUCUCUGAAGGAAAAUCCUCUUUCAUGUAUCAUAAAUGUGUGAUACUUUGACUUGCCUACUUGACGAUGGUGAUACCUAGCUGGUUUAUGUUGCACACCAGCAUACGUCGGGAUUGACAUGCUUCGCGGCACCUGUUUUGUUUAGAAAAAAUGGAUAAAGUGGAAGGGAACUUUUACAUAGUAAGCACACUAAAGAUGCUGACAAAUGCUGGGUUUUGUUGUAAGGCUAAGGUGGUUGAGACUUGAGAGUACUGGUCUCAUCUUAUGGAGUGUUUUUUUUAAAUUAGUAGAGAACAAUCAUGAUUUAUGAGGACUGAAAUAAAGGAGUUAUUGCUUGGUUAGCGGAAGAGUGAAUCGUUGAUACCUAUUAUGCAAUAUGAGUGAUUUAGUUAUUUCCUUCAUGAAGAAUUGGAGGUGUUUUUCUUGUUACUUCUGAACUGAAGUGGAGAAGCUUCAAGUCUUGAGUCACGGUGUGAUUUUGUGAACUAUCUUUCUUCAUUCUAGUAUUUAGCCAUUUAUGCAUGAAAUUCGUGCUGGGAGACAAUUGAUAUUGGAGUAAACUUGUCGAUAUGGUCAAGCCACCAUUUUGUUGAAGACUAGGUUUAGCUACAUCGAGUUGUGCAUUCUGCAAUUUCUGUUGUUAGGAAAGAGGACCUUUGUGUCAUUGAAGACUAGAUUUUGUUUAUUCUUUCAGCUGACCUAUUGCACCUUUCCUCAUCUCUCUCUCUCUCUCUUUCUGCUAAUAAUGUGGUUACUGUUAACUUGUUAAAUAAACCUGUUUGAUCUUUGUGUCUAUCAUUUUUACAUUUGCUGAUAAAACAUUUUUUUACAAGCUCCUCCAGGACGAUGGUGAAAUGUUCUUUUACAUGGUAGUCUAGGCUUUGGCAAGACAUAUUGUUGGUGCUACGGUAACGACUUGUUCUCUUCAAUCCAUAUUAGUAAAAGGGUGAGCUAUGGAUAAGUACAUUGGUACUUUUAAGCAAGCUGUACAAGGCUUCUUUUCAACUAUGCGGAUGUUUAUUGAGUUCUAUUAUGCAAUCUUCUAAUGAACUUUGUUAUUUCCAUAUAUUUCACAAUUUUGUGCUUUCUCCUUUUGCUUUUGUAUCCAUUUAAUAGAGGUCCCUUCAUCUAUGCCAUCAGUUGAAAUAGGAUAACUAGUAGUAGCAAUGAGGAUCCUACCACUGCAACCAAGAUGUUCUAAUUAUAUUAUUUUAAACAAUAGCAGUGAGGAUUCUCCCAUAACCAAUAAAGAGGCCAAGUUAAAAUGGUUCUUGAGUUUUCUCACACAUGAAUGAGAGAAUCCUCUGUGAAGAUUAAAAGAAAGAUUAAGAUGUAAGAUAUUUGAAGUUUUUCUCUAAUAGAAAUUUGAAAUUUAUGAUCAAAUGUCUACUGGAUCAUCUGUUCAGCACAUUGGCAGCAUUGAUUUUGUGAACAAACUAGAGAAAUUUUGAAUAUUUGAGAGUACUAGCAAUUUUAAAAUUACAGGUUUGGAUAUAUUCUCGAAGGCAACAGCUAUAGCACCUUAACUUCUCUUUUUUCAUGAAUUUGAUUCCAUUGUGCUGAUGAGGAGGCAUGAUAAUACGAGGGUCACUGACCUUGUCAUCAAUCAGUUAGUUGCUUGCAUUCAAUGGCACUUGUAAAGUGGUCAUGUGAAAUAUAGUUGAUGGUAUGACUCACUAAUAGUAUGUUAUUCAUUGGUGCAAAUUUUUACCGAAUCAAAUGGUGUUGAAGUUUUAAGCGGUGUGUUUGUGUCAGCAGGGACAAGGCAAUAAUUUCAUCUUACAUGGUAACAAAAAGUACUCUUUUUCCAUAUCACACUAAUUGUAAACUGCCAUUGGAAAUUGCAUGGCCAUUAUGAAUGCUUUGCCAAAAAAAUUUCUAUGAAGCAUUUAAUAUGGAGACUACGUAAUAACCUUCAAGGCAGACUAUUAAAUGCUGGACAUGACUUUUCCUUGAUUUAGAAUUGUUUAACUUUGGAUACACAGUAUUAGAUAAACUACAUAUGUAUCAAAUAAGGAAACACACGGUAGGAUUGCUUGAAUUACUUUUCAGUUGCUGAAGUAGCUUACAAGAAGUGUAUUAAACUGGUCUUGAGCCUCUUCAACAACAUCAACGGAUGUUGAUCGUUUUAGUUUUGGGUGUGCCAAAAUCUUGUGAGCUCAUCAUCAUUGACUGCCUGAAGCUCAAUAGAGAUGGAUAGGGUAUAUAUCAUUUGAUUGGCAUAUAGUUGAUGAUGGUAAGUCCAUAGAACUAGAGUUCGUUUUUUUGCUACGUCCUAUUUUGUGAGUUUUCUUUCAGCUAAGCUUUCAUCUUAGUUAUGGAACCACCACUUGUAUUCGUUCAUCCUGUUAUCUAUGAGCAAAAUUCCUUUUUUGCAUGUCAUGAACAUGCGGUACUUUCACUUGCCUCCACGGUGGUGAUGCUUAACUAGUUUAUGUUGCACAUCAGCAUAAUGUUGGGGUUAACAUGCUUCGCAGCACGUAACUUGCUUAGAUAGUAAGCACACUGAAGUUGCUAACAAAUGCUAGGUUUUGUUGAGAGGCAGAGAUGGUUGAGAGUACUAGUCAUACCUCAUGUAGUGUUUUUUCAAUUUCACUGUAGAACAAUCAUGAUUUGUGAGGAAUGGAAUAAAGGAAUUAAUGCUUGGUUAGCGAAAGAGUGAAUUGUCGAUACCAUUUAUGCAGUAUGAAUGAUUAAAUUACUUCCUUCUGAAAGAAUUGAAGGUGCUUUUCUAGUUACUUCUGAACUUAUAUUAUGUUUGUCUAGUUGUUUGCUAUUUGUUCAUUCCCUCCCAUCUUAAAUUACCAAACACAAUUGCGGAAGAUGUUGCAAAUCACCCAAUAAGGCAUUUACAUUCUUGAAUUCUUAUUUGUUGUGUCGAUGACUUCUGAAUCCUUUGCUAUUUUCAAUUGGGUUUGGGAAUUUGAUAACUCUGACUCAUUGAUGAAUUAAAGAAGGCAAAUACAAUAAUCUUGGUUGAUCUCUUUUGUAUAAUUUUUGUUUCCUGCAGUUCCAUAGAUUGAAUUGGGAUUUUCCGAUGCUGCACAAUCAAAUAUCAUUGUCAGCUUUGCUCCACAUCUGAUUCCAAUGGUUAUAGUUGCAAUUUUCAAGCAUUCACAUUCUUAAAGUAGAAGUUCUGCUUCUCUGGCCAUAAUUAUUAACUUUUUUCAUCUAUUUAUGUAAAGUCCUGGAAUGCAGUCAACUGUUGUUGUUGAAAUGUCUUAGUGUGUAAUGGUGGGGAUCUAUAUGAGCAACUUAAAGUUGUUUGCUGGCCAAACUUUGUUUGGCCCAUAGUCCUAUUCCUCUUAGGCAUUCAAUGGCUUAAUGUAUUGAGCAUUAACCUUAGCUUUUGUUUGCUGAAGUAUUUUUCAAUACUCAUAAUUAGCUUAAUCAAAGUACAUAAUUUAUUUCACCCACAUCUAGAUAGUGUUUUAUGAGUGUCUUUCCUAAUUGAGUAUCUAGGCGAGCAAUACUAAUCUCUAUUGUAGGUUCCCAAGUGUCUGUUUUCCAUUGAAUGCUUUACUUUCCGUGUAACGUCAGAGUCAUCUUAUGGUGGUAAGCUAUCUAAACCUUUUUGCAAAUCAACAAUGUAGUGAAGGGAGCUUGUGGUCAAACUCUGCAAAAUUUCAGUGAGAUGAUGGUAUUACUUGAGAUUGUGGGGUUUAAUUGCCUACCAUUGUUUCCCUGAUGCAUUCUUGUGGAGUUCAGGAGUUCUUUUGUUUCAAAAAAGUGACAAAAGAAAGGUGGAAAUAUGUCUAAUUUAGGAGUUCUUUUGUUUUCUCUUUUUUUUAAACUGUUUCAUAUUGGUUGUUUUCAAUUUUUCACUGAACACUUAAGGGAGCUCAGAGCUGGUGGUACCAACUUUCGUGUGUCCCUUUAUUCGAAUAAGACAAUGCUUCCUUCCUAUUGUAAUAUUCUUUGGAAAGCAAUAGUUUAAUUGCUAACACACCAAGUGGGAGCAAACCUUUUAACAGAGUUAUUUAAACUAGAGUGAAUCUAACAAAGUCGAGGUAAGAAAUUAAUCGUACAAAGAGUAAAUCAUAAUGUGAAGUCUAAAGCCAUCUUCCCUCAAUGCAAGAUUGAAAGGCUCUCUUACUUCUAUUUCUCAACUAACAAAAAUGUCAAGAUUUUGAUUGGAUAUGACUCAAUUCUAUGGUCACCAUCUUAUCUUCAGCUCUUUAAUAGAUCCAUGUCCCGAGGAGAUUUAGUCCAAUGGCAACAUAAUAAGUGGGUGACCUAAGGAUUCUCAUUGACUUUGCUAUAGCUAGUAUCGAUUUGUAUGCAUCAUUCUUUUUUUCUUUUUGUAUAUCGGCUACUUUUAAACACUCCCAAGGCAAUCACUCGUGGAAAACCUAUGGUGCCGAAUGGUCCCAUGUGGUUUUCAUCUUGUAAGCAGCUAAGCUAAUAGCCCUUGCCUUCUUUGGAUAGUCCUUCCUUGUCUCUUUCACACCAGCUAACUUGUGUGUUCGACAAUCUUGUUCUCGUCUGGUCACCAGUCUCCAUGCAAGUGGUAAAUUGUACGUUCUAGUACUUUCUGCCAUCAACAAAGUUUCCUGCUUGCGUGCUGUUAUUUUGCAUAUCUCUGUAGUGCACAAGAAUCUGCUAGAUUUAUUCCGCACCAUUAGUCCUUCAAAAAAUCAACUAUGAGGUAGCCAAGCAUCUCAGCCUCUCUACCAAAACACAGACAAAGCGCACAAGUAGUACUAUGUCUUGCCUCCAUCUAUCUCUGCACUGAGGUUUACUACCUCAAAUAGGCUACAACCUUUAACUCUUUGAUAUUACAUAAAUAAGGUGUGCUAUCUCUCUCAAUAUGAAAAUCUAGGAUUUGAAUUGAUCAAUCAUUUCAAAUUGGGCCACCUUGAUGCAACAAUUACUUCACCUCACCACUCCAUUCAGCCACAAAAAUGUCCUCUUUUUUAGGCUCUAGUUUUUUUUUAUACUCAAUUAGGAACCUGCAUAAUGACUGAAGCAAACUGGCUGAUUGGAAAGG